UUUUUUUUUUUUUUUUUUUUUUUUUUUUUUUUAAAUUCUGAUCCCUUAUUUGUUUAAAUCCAUCAGAAUUUGAAGUUCAGUUUCAUCACCAAUUCAAUUGUGAAGGACAUAACUUCCUUGGACAGUAAAAAUUUCCACAUCAAUCUUUUGGGUUGCAAGAAUGUUACUUUUCAACACGUGACAAUCAGUGCACCAGAGAAUAGUCCCAACACGGAUGGAAUUCACAUAAGUAGCUCUGAACAGAUAAACAUUCUCGAUUCAAAAAUCUCAACUGGAGAUGAUUGUGUGUCUGUUGGAGAUAGCAACAAGCAAGUAACUAUUACUAAUGUAACUUGCGGACCAGGACAUGGCAUUAGCGUAGGAAGCUUGGGCAAGUACACCAAGGAAAAGGACGUGGUAGGAGUUACUGUGAAAGCAUGCAAAUUAAUCAAUACUACCAACGGUGUCUAGAAUCAAAACAUGGCCAGAUUCUGCCGGUGCAUUCAUAGCCUCUGACAUGCACUUUGAAGAUAUUGAGAUGCAAAACGUGAGCAACCCUGUCAUUAUAGACCAAGAAUACUGUCCGUGGAAUCAAUGCAACAGAAAGGUAUAUAUUGUAUUGAAAUUAUACUUUAUUUUGUUUAUUAGUUAAACUUCAUGAACUAAACAAAUACACUUUUGGGACCAUUAAUAUUUCAGGUUCCAUCCAAGAUUAAGAUCAGCAAAGUGAGUUUCAAAAAUAUUAGAGGCACUUCUGCUACUCCUAUCGCAGUGAAGCUUGUUUGCAGCAAAAGUAUACCAUGUGAAGGUGUAGAAGUCGCUGAUAUUAACCUCACUUAUAGUGGAAUACGAGGACCGAUUUUGUCUGAAUGUGCAAACGUGCAGCCUCUCAUUACUGGAAAGCAAAGCCCUCAAAUAUGUGCUAAGCCUGCUCCUGCUGGUGCUCCAUCAACAGACUAAUCUUUUCAACCAAUGCCACACAAAGUCUGCAAAACCAUAUGUGAAAGUUUAUCACAUAUCUAUAUUUAAUUCACAACAUUAUUCUGUAUUCAUUUUUAACAUUCCAUAGGUUUGAUCCAUUCUUUGAUGAUUCAUGAAGCUGAUCAUGUACCUUUUUUCUUCCUUCCAUUUUCUUCUGGGGAAUGAAAUAUAUAAUGAAAAUAAAUCAUACAAUUUUAACUAUUCUAUCCCUUUAGACGUAGACCUACAUGAGUCGUGUUAUAACAUUCAAUUCUACGAAUGUUUUUAUAACUCUUAACAACCUGAAAUGUGUUAUCAAACGUUGUUGAGUUUUGGAAUUUUUAAAAUUAAUUUCUUAUGUAUUUAGCAAAAGCACUGAUAUAAUUAAUUUUUACAUAGUUGAAAUUAAUAUUCAAUCAAUCAAAAAUCAUAAUUUAAUUAAUCAAGCUAGUACUAUAAUAAAAUCUCUAAGCAUCCAAUAAUAUCAUCGGAAUGUAUUAAAACAUAAUUGAAUGAUCAUCGUUAAGUUCAAAAUCUCAAAAAUAUGUUGAAGUAGGUAAAAUAAUCCUUCGUACCCAAGCUAGAGUAUAAUCAAAUUUGAAAUGUAAAAAAAAUCACAAAAUGAUAUUGCUUAUUGAAUUAAUUAAUUGUUUUUGUCAACUUUUGUAGUUUUGUUACUUGUGAAACAUAGGCUUUGAAAUAUGCAUGGAUCAAUGACGCAUGUGCAUCUGUUCGUCCAAGUGCGGUGGUUCUUCUAAGGAGAAUAUUUAAAGUAAGAGAAGGAGAAUUUAAGGCCCUUGUAAUAGCCUAUUGAAUUGCGAUGGAACAUUGUCGGCUCCAAAACACUUUCAUGAAGAUAGUUGAAUUACUUUGCAUAUGUUGAUAGAAUGAGACUAUCAAAUGGAGUUUUUGAUGGCCAAGGAAAGGCAUGUUCGGAAAAGAAUGAUUGCCAUUAACGUAUAAAUUUUUCUAACCUCCGUAUUGUAAGUUCUAUACCUUUUGUUUUCUCUUCCAUUAACCCCAUUCGUCUUUUUUGAUUCUGGAAGGGUUCGUUAGAUUUUAUUCUCUAUUAUUUUCAUUUUUACAAUUUGGUAAAUGUGUUGUUAGUACCAUAUGAUGAUUAAGAAAUAAAAUAUUGAACUAAAUUUAACCAUAUAAAAUUGAGGCAAAAGAGCUAACUUAUUUUAAAAAUAUAUAUAUCAAGACUAAUAUUUAGAGAAAACUCAUAUUUUCAUCCCUCCCUAAAAGUUUGUGUGCAUUAUUGCUUUCUCACCGUAUCUCUUACACGACUUAUUGAUCAUAUAAAAUGAUCAAAGUUUAAGAUUUGAUUUCAUUACCAAUUCAAUUGUGAGGAGAAUAACAUCAUUCGAUAGCAAAAACUUCCAUGUCAACAUCCUAGGGUGAAAGAACCUCACAUUCCAAGGUGUUAACAUAAUUGCACCAGAAGAUCGUCCGAACACAGAUGGAAUACACAUUGAUCGAUCAAUUGGGAUCUCAAUCUUAAAAUCUCGAAUAACAACAAGAGACAAUUGCAUCUCACUUGGAGAUGGAAGUAAACAAAUAAAAGUCACUAACGUGAUAUGUGGGCCAGGUCAUGGAAUAAAUAUAGGAAAGUCUUGAAAAAUACACAAAUGAAGAACCUAUAUCGAAAGUGUCAUAGUAAAGAACUGCACAAUAAUGAACAUCACUAAUGGUGUUAGGAUCAAAACAUGGUCAACCUCUCAUGUUGCUGGUAUUGCCAUCAACAAGAAUUUUUCAGACAUUACAAUGGUCAAUGUUAGCAACCCAAUUCUCAUAGACCAAGAGUAUUGUCCAUAGAACGAUAGAAAUCGUUAGGCAUUGAUCACAUUCUUAAAAUUUUGAUUUGAAAAAUUUUCAUGCAUGUCAACUUCAUGGAUAAACUUUAAUUUUCACUCUCAUUUUUUUCAGAUUUCGUCAAAGAUUAAGAUUAAUAAAGUGAGUGUCGCCACGUGCCCGAGACGAUGUGAAACGGCCGACAUCCUCAAAAGAGUUUGUUUAAAAAGAAAAUAAAAGUCGUCACCAAUUUUUUUUACGGUGUUAUUGGACACCGAAAUAAAGUAAACGAUUUAAAAAAAAUAGUCUGCAAAAAAUAGAGUUGAGUUCGAGAGCCAUUUGUGUGUGAGGAAGGUAUUAGCACCCCACAACACCCAUUUAGAAAAGCGGUGGUCAAAUUUCAAAUUUUGAAUUGAAAAUAUUUUAAAUUUAUUUUAAAACUAAUGUCUUAUUUUAACCCUCAUUACUCCAAUAUUUGAAGCAAUGAUCUCAUAAAAUAAGUGGAACAAUAUUUCAUUAAUUAGACUUAUAUAUUGAAGAAAAGUUUCUCACCUUAGGAAAAUGAAAUUUUAUUAAAACUUCUCAAAAUCUAUCAUAGGCUAGUAUUGGAAUAAAGUUUUUUUUUAAAACAUCGAUUAAAUUCAUUUUUUCUUGUGAUCACAUCUUUGACUUCGAAAGAUGUGAUCCCUCACCUUAAGAAUUCUAGAAAAUCGGAUUCCCAAAUUUUAUAGAUUCCAUCAUAGGAUUUUAUUUAAGAAAAAACGAUAUAAGUUUUUUUAGAAAAGACUGAUUUAGAAAACCUUAUGAAAUCUUGGGUUAAUUUUGAAGGUUUUGAAAGAAAUGAAACAUUUAUAAUUAAAGACAAAUUUGGUAAAUGAUUAAUUUUUUUUUUAUUUUAAAACCUAAAGAAUUUUAAAUUAGAAGGAUUUUAAAACAUUAAACCAUUUUAAUAGAAAGAGAUACAUUUAAAUUCAUAUAAACAAUCAUUAUGAUAGUGACCUGAAUAAGUGAAGCAUAAUAACAAUAUAUAAGAUAAGGAAAGAAACGAAAAAAGGAAUGAAUAAAGAAAGAAAAAUGGUUGAUAGGUGGCGACCCAUCAAAUAAAUAAAAAUAAUAAUCAUAAUAAAAAUGAUAAUGGUAAUGAUAAGAAGUGAAGCAGAACAAGAAGAAGAACAAGUAAAUAGAAAAAGAAAACCAUAAUAGUAAUAAAAUAUAAUAUAAUAAUAAAAAACGAUAAUAAUAAUAAUGGUAAUAGUCGCUGUGCCCGAGACGACGCGGAGCGGCCGUAAUAACGAUGAUAAUGAUAAAAUUUUCUCUAUCCUCAUUCUUUCCCUAUAUAUUUUAGAGAAAAGAAAAUAAAGGUUAAAAGUUUGGAUUUUUUUGAAAGAAUAACGAAAUACGGAUAAAUAAAAAAAAGAACAUUUUUCUUAUGUCCUUUUCUUUCUUCCUAUUUUUUUUAGAGAGAAGAAAAUGACUAAAUAAUUUUUUUUAAGUGAUGAUAAAAGAAAAAAAAAGUAAUAAAAAAAUACUAAAAUUGUCCUACAUUUUCUUUUCUUUCUCUUUCUCUUUUAGAAAGAGAAGAAAAGAAAAAUAAGGAUUCGAAUCCCAAAGAAAUUACUUCUUGUAUGAGGUGUGCAUGCUUGAAAUUAAAUCCGUACCAAAUGUAACAUUCAAUUAAGUUUAUUUUAACGUGCGAUUUGAUUUGGUUAAGAUAAAGUAAAAAAAAAAAAAUAGAGAUAAUAAAGUAACAAAAAGAAAUAAGAAAAAAAUACUCACAUUUUUCCGAAUUUUUUUUGGAGAGAUUUGCUCUAAAUAAUAAAUUUUUUUUUCUAAGCACUCUAUCUAAAGAAUUAUUUUUCUAAGCAAUUUUCUUCCCCUUCUGCAAAUGACAAAGGUCUUUAUUUAUUUAUAGAUUGGGAGUGUACCACAUAUUAGGAAAAAAUAAUAACAAUAAAAUCAAAAUUUGAUAUUAUGUGAAUAAAAAUAAAUUUUUAUUUUUCUAAAGUAAAUUAAAUGAGAUAUUUUGAGAUUUUGUAAAAAUAAAUCAAUAAAUCAAAUAAAUAUUAUUUUUUUUUCCUAAAAUGAUAAAAGUGAUAUUAGAAGAUUUAAUUUAAAAGAAAUUCAUUUCUUUUUUCCUAAAAUAGUAAAAAUGUGAUAUGAAAAGAUUUUUUAAAAUAAAUUGAUUUAUUUUUGUUUCCUAAAAGGAUAAAAAUGAAAUAUUAUAAGAUAUUAUUUUAUUACUAAUUUUUUACCUUUAAACAUAAAUAAGUAGUCAUUACUAAUAUUAUUAUUAUUAUUUUUAAAACAUGUGUAGAAUAAAAAUAGGUGGCUACAGUGAGCUUCAAGAAUAUAUGAGGAAGUUCUGGAACUCGAGUGGCAGUCAAACUUAUUUUUAGUAGCAACCUACCAUGUGAAGAAGUAAAAGUAGCCAGCAUUGACUUCGUUUAGAAUGAACGCCACUAAUCAUUUUAAAUACAAAUUCUUCCAAUUUGCUCUUCAAUCUUACACUACCACUUCAAAAUUAUAUGGACAAACUUAAUUAGACUAUGUAAGACAACUCCUUUGUCUCUUUUAUUUUUCUUUUGUUUUUUACUUUUCCAAAUAAAUUACAAAGAAGUUGGAAUGUUUGAGGGAAGCUUGGUAACCCUAGGUUUAUUAAUGAAAAUUCUUGGGUAAUUAAUAUAAAUAGUAGUCCUAAAUUUAUAUUCCUUUUGUCCCUUUCAAUAAAAUGCCAAUAUUUGUUCAAACAAUUUUAUCAAAAAUUAUGAAACAUUUUCUUUUACAUAUAUAUAUACCUGCGAUGCACGUGCAAAUCACACACGAAAAAAUUAUAAUUUUAACUUAACUUUUAAAAUUGGAAGAGUCAUUUCAAUAUUUUCAUAUUUAUAUUCUUUUUAUAUUCACAUAAAGAGACAACGUUGUCAUCUUUCGAAUGUAUCUUUGAAUUUAAUUUGUUUUCACAAUUCAAAAUUCAUUUCUUAUUAUCUUGAACUUUCAUGUUACAAACUUAACCAUCUAAUCUAUGUAUAUCCAAAUAAAGUGGAAGAUAGAAAAGUUGUUAGUUGUGUAAUAAUAUAUAGCAUUAUGUAAUGUGAGUUACGUGGAAUAUGGAAAAGUUACAUUAUGACCCUAAUGAUAUAGAACAUUAACUAAUACGAGUUAUGAGAUCAAAACUUUUUUCUUGUUUAAAUAAGAAGAUGAAAAGUUAACAACGCGUAUAACUUCUAUCUUGUUGAAUGUGAAAAUGACCACACACAUUAAAUGGAUGUGAAUAUAAAAUUGCCACUAAAGCAAACUAAAAAAAACUUAUAAUGAAAGAAUAAAACAUCCACCAAAACUAAAUCAUAUUUCUUUUGAAUUUAUGAAAUCAUAAUUUUUUUUUUAAUGAUUUUGUAGGUAAAAAAAUUUAAGGAAAGACUAAUAUUUCUUGCUUUACACCUAAUAUUAUUUUUAUUUAUACUUAAUAAAUUCCAACAAUAUUUACAUUGUUUUAAAAGAAUUAAAGUAUAAGCCACUCAACCGUCAUUAAUAUACUAGCUUUAAUAAAAAAUAUUAAAUGAAAAAAAACAUGAGCAAUAUUUAAUGGUUACAUUAGAAACAAAUUCUCAAUAUUACAUGAUUUAAACAUUAAAGAGCAUAGACACAUGUACAUGUCAACCACGAAGUUGGUGGUUCAAGUUUCCCCAACUUAUUUUGUGUACUAAAAAGAAACCUAUAAAUGAAGAAAUAAAAGCAUACUUCUAUAUAAAAAAAUACACAACAAAAUUUAAAGAAAGAAAAAGGAAAAAAGUAGAAAAGAAUACAAAAGCAUGAUUUAAUUUCUUCUUCAUCUUUAGCCUUUUGUUUUGACUCGUGAACAUGAAUGAAAAAAAAUAAUAAGAUAUUUAUAACCAAGAUUUGAAGAGAAGAAUUUAAAAGGUUGAAAGAGAUAUGGAAUGUGAAUAGUUAGGAGAUAGAAGAUUAAGAGGGAGAGAGAAAUGUGAAUGGAUUUGGAUAAAUUUAAAUGACAUAAUUAAUUGGAGUGAAAGUGACACAAACAUUAAAUAUAUGAAAAUGACAAAAUUGUUCCUAAAGCAAAACUAAAAAAAGUUAUAAUGAAAUGGUAAAAUGGGGCUAAAAAUUUUCUCUACUUUUAUAUAUACUAUAGAUAGAUAUACACAUGAAAUCGUAAUGGACUUAAAAUAUAAUAAUUCUUUACAAGCUUUACUUGGACUAUGCUUUCAUAAUCAAUAUCUCAUGAUGAUCUCUAUUCAUUCGUGUAUACCCUCGUAUAAAUUCAAGUGUUAUAAACAAAAAAAAAAAAAAUCAAAUAAAUAUAAAGUAAAAUCUUGUACCUUUCAUAUUAGAGAGAAUGUGAGUUAAUUUAAAAUAUUUUUAUUUUAGAAAAUGAUACAAUAUGAUGGAUUAGUAGGUACACCCGAAUAUCUUCAUUAGGUAGACACCUCCUUUAGCACAUUCAUCAUCCUCACUUCAUUAAUAUAUAAAACUAAAUACACGAGAAGCAAAGGGAUCAACCCAAACAAAAUACAAAAGGCUAGAGAGACAAGCCUCAAGCAAGUACAAACUAGUAGAAACAUUGAAGAUUGAAGCAACAAAGCUAGAGCUAUAGUUGGUAAAUAAAGGAAAUCUACUAGCUAAUUUAUUUUAUAUCCAUAAAAGAUAUACUAAUCCUUGAUUUUUGUUUCAUCAUUUUUGUUUUUAAUAUAAUCUAAAUUUUGACUCACUCAUCCUUCAUUAUCAACGAGAAUUUAAUAUCACAUAAUUGUUAUGUCGUAGAUUUUUAUAUUGUCGAUUGAAACAUAUAUAGAUCUAUUUUUGUUCAACUUGUUAAGCCACCUGUGUUGCACACUGUCACGUUUGAACAUGUGUGAUCUCAAACAGGAAUUUAAGGAAUGAAUUUUAUUGGGAUUUAGAGAAUUUAGAAGUACUUCAAAAUUUCAAGGGAUUAUAACUAAUUUUUGACAAAUAUAAACCAUGGUUAUUUAACUUCAACCAUUCAUCGAUCUUUGCCAAAUAUAGUAAAUAAAAUUUGGAGGAGAAUUUUUCAAACACUAUUGAUCUUCUUCUCCUAUAUAAAGAGGGCUGAAUGAAAGUGCAUAUUCAAACCCAUUCUUUUCAAGUUAGCCAUUAGGACAAUAUAUAAGUAAAUAAAUAAAGUAUAGAAGGCGUAGUAGUGAUGGGAUUGGCAUUACUACCUUUCUUUUUAUUGUUGGCAUCUACUAUUGAAGCCCAAUCCCUUUUUGAUGUUACAAGAUAUGGUGCCAAACCUAAUACAGAUAUUACUCAGGCAAGUAUAUAUGCAAAACUGAUGAAUUUUUUUUUUAAUUUAUUAGGAAGAAGACUUUAAUUUGAUGAUAGAACUAAACUUUUGCAGGCCUUAGCAAAUGCAUGGAAGGAAGCAUGUAUGUCCACAACUCCUAGUAAAUUGUUGAUUCCAAAAGGAGUAUACCAAUUAAGUCAAUCUUAUCUUAAAGGACCUUGCAAGAGUGUUCCUAUUCAAGUCCAAGUCGACGGAACACUAAAAGCUCCUCUCCAUCCAAAUGGAGAUGGGUUGGUUCUUUUUGCAUACAUUGAUCAACUAAUGUUAUCAGGCACGGGAGUUUUUGAUGGUCAAGGAAAAGCAGGUUGGGAUAAGAAUGAUUGCCACAAAAAGAAGAUAUGUACCAAACUUCCCAUGGUAAAUUGUUUAUAUAUUAUUUCAAACCUUUUGCCUCAUUUUAUAUACAAUUUAAAUCUACAUAAUUUCAAUUACAUAUGCGUCGUUUUAAAUUGAGAGUUUUUUUUUUUUUUUUUUUUAAUUCUGAUCCCUUAUUUGUUUAAAUCCAUCAGAAUUUGAAGUUCAGUUUCAUCACCAAUUCAAUUGUGAAGGACAUAACUUCCUUGGACAGUAAAAAUUUCCACAUCAAUCUUUUGGGUUGCAAGAAUGUUACUUUUCAACACGUGACAAUCAGUGCACCAGAGAAUAGUCCCAACACGGAUGGAAUUCACAUAAGUAGCUCUGAACAGAUAAACAUUCUCGAUUCAAAAAUCUCAACUGGAGAUGAUUGUGUGUCUGUUGGAGAUAGCAACAAGCAAGUAACUAUUACUAAUGUAACUUGCGGACCAGGACAUGGCAUUAGCGUAGGAAGCUUGGGCAAGUACACCAAGGAAAAGGACGUGGUAGGAGUUAGUGUGAAAGCAUGCAAAUUAAUCAAUACUACCAACGGUGUUAGAAUCAAAACAUGGCCAGAUUCUGCCGGUGCAUUCAUAGCCUCUGACAUGCACUUUGAAGAUAUUGAGAUGCAAAACGUGAGCAACCCUGUCAUUAUAGACCAAGAAUACUGUCCGUGGAAUCAAUGCAACAGAAAGGUAUAUAUUGUAUUGAAAUUAUACUUUAUUUUGUUUAUUAGUUAAACUUCAUGAACUAAACAAAUACACUUUUGGGACCAUUAAUAUUUCAGGUUCCAUCCAAGAUUAAGAUCAGCAAAGUGAGUUUCAAAAAUAUUAGAGGCACUUCUGCUACUCCUAUCGCAGUGAAGCUUGUUUGCAGCAAAAGUAUACCAUGUGAAGGUGUAGAAGUCGCUGAUAUUAACCUCACUUAUAGUGGAAUACGAGGACCGAUUUUGUCUGAAUGUGCAAACGUGCAGCCUCUCAUUACUGGAAAGCAAAGCCCUCAAAUAUGUGCUAAGCCUGCUCCUGCUGGUGCUCCAUCAACAGACUAAUCUUUUCAACCAAUGCCACACAAAGUCUGCAAAACCAUAUGUGAAAGUUUAUCACAUAUCUAUAUUUAAUUCACAACAUUAUUCUGUAUUCAUUUUUAACAUUCCAUAGGUUUGAUCCAUUCUUUGAUGAUUCAUGAAGCUGAUCAUGUACCUUUUUUCUUCCUUCCAUUUUCUUGUGGGGAAUGAAAUAUAUAAUGAAAAUAAAUCAUACAAUUUUAACUAUUCUAUCCCUUUAGACGUAGACCUACGUGAGUCGUGUUAUAACAUUCAAUUCUACGAAUGUUUUUAUAACUUUUAACAACCUGAAAUGUGUUAUCUAACGUUGUUGAGUUUUGGAAUUUUUAAAAUUAAUUUCUUAUGUAUUUAGCAAAAGCACUGAUAUAAUUAAUUUUUACAUAGUUGAAAUUAAUAUCAAUCAAUCAAAAAUCAUAAUUUAAUUAAUCAAGCUAGUACUAUAAUAAAAUCUCUAAGCAUCCAAUAAUAUCAUCGGAAUGUAUUAAAACAUAAUUGAAUGAUCAUCGUUAAUUUCAAAAUCUCACAAAUAUGUUGAAAUAGGUAAAAUAAUCCUUGGUACCCAAGCUAGAGUAUAAACAAAUUUGAAAUGUAAAAAAAUUCAUAAAAUGAUACUGCUUAUUGAAUUAAUUAAUUGUUUUUGUCAACUUUUGUAGUUUUGUUAUUUGUGAAACAUAGGCUUCGAAAGAUGCAUGGAUCAAUGACGCAUGUGCAUCUGUUCCUCUAAGUGCAGUGGUUAGUCUAAUAAGAAUAUUUAAAGUAAGAGAAGGAACAUUUAAAGGCCUUUAGAAGGAAAAUUCAAAGGCCCUUGUAAGAGCCGUAUUGAAAUGCGAUGGAAUAUUGCCGGCUCCAAAUUGAAACACCUUCAUGAAGAUAGUUGAAUUACUUUUGCAUAUUUUGAUAGAAUGAGACUAUGAGAUGAAGUUUUUGAUGGUCAAGGAAAGACAUGCUGGGAAAAGAACGAUUGCCAAAAACGUAUAAAUUGUGCUAACUUCCUAUUGUAAGUUCUAUACCUUUUGUUUUCUUUUCCAUUAACCCCAUUUGUCUUUGUUGAUUCUCAAGGGUUCGUUAGAUUUUGCUCUCUAUUAUUUUUAUUUUUACAAUUUGGUAAAUGCGUUCUUAAUACCAUAUGAUAAUGAUUAAGAAAUAAAAUAUUGAACUAAAUUUAACCAUAUAAAAAUUAGGCAAAAGAACUACCUUCUUUUUAAAAAUAUAUAUAUCAAGACUAAAUAUAAAGAGAAAACUCAUUUUUUCGUCCCUCCCUAAAAGUUUGUGUGCAUUAUUGCUUUCUCAUCGUAUCUCUGACACGACUUAUUGAUCAUAUAAAAUGAGCAGAGCUUAAGAUUUGACUUCAUUACCAAUUCAAUUGUGAGGAGAAUAACAUCAUUCAAUAGCAAAAACUUUCAUGUCAACAUCCUAGGAUAAAACAACCUCUCACAUUCCAAGGUGUUAACAUAAUUGCACAGAAGAUAGUCCCAACACAGAUGGAAUACAUAUUGGUCGAUCAAUUGGGAUCUCAAUCUUGAAAUCUCAAAUAGCAACAAGAGACAAUUGCAUCUCACUUGGAGAUGGAAGUAAAUGAAUAAAAGUCACUAAUGUAAUAUGUGAGCCAGGUCAUGGAAUAAGCAUAGGAAAGUUUUGAAAAAUACUCUAACAAAGAACCUUUUGAAGGUGUCAUAGUAAACAACUGCACAAUAAUGAACACCAUUAAUGGUGUUAGGAUCACAACAUGGGCAACCUCUUCUGUUGCUGGUAUUUCCAUCAACAAGAAUUUUUGAGACAUUACAAUGGUCAACGUUAGCAACCCAAUUCUCAUAGACCAAGAGUAUUGUUCUUGGAAUCAUAGCAAUCAUCAGGCAUUGAUCACAUUCUUAAAAUUUUGAUUUAAAAAAUUUUCAUGCAUAUUGUCAACUUCAUGGAUAAACUUUAAUUUUUACUCUCAUUUUUCAGAUUUCGUCAAAGAUUAAGAUUAAUAAAGUGAGCUUCAAGAAUAUUAGAGGAAGUUCUGCAACUCCAGUGGUAAUCAAACUUAUUUAUAGUAGCAACCUACCAUGUGAAGAAGUAAAAGUAGCCAACAUUGACUUCGUUUAUAAUGGAAUAAAAGGUUCUAUUACAUCUUAAUGCAUAAAUGUGAAACUAAUAUCAUUUUGGAAAUACAAAAUCUUCCCAUUUGCUAUUCGAUCUUACACUACCACUUGAAAAUGAUGGACAAUCUUAAUUAGAAUAUGUAAGACAACUCCUUUGUCUCUUUUAUUUUUGUUUUGUUUUUUACUUUUCCAAAUAAAUUACAAAGAGGUUGGAACAUUUGAGGGAAGCUUGGUAACCUAGAUUUAUUAAUGAAAAUUCUUGGGUAAUUAAUAUAAGUAGUAGUCCAAAUUUAGAUUCCUUUUGUCCAAUGUCAAUAUUUGUUCAAACAAUUUUAUAAAAAAUUAUGAAACAUUUUCUUUUACAUGUACAUAUACAUAUAUACAGUAGUAAACAACAUGUGCGAUGCACAUGAAAAUCACACACGAAAAAAUUAUAAUUUUAACUUAACUCUAUAAAAUUGGAACAAUCAUUUCAAUAUUUUUAUAUUUAUAUCCUUUUUAUAUUCACAUCAUGAAUAAAAAAUGAACUUAUUCAGUGAAGAGACAAUGUUGCCAUAUUUCGAAUGUAUCUUUGAAUUUGAUUUGUUUGCACAAUUUAAAAUUUAUUUCUUAAUAUUUGAGCUUUCAAGUAGCAAAACUUAACCAUCUAAUCUAUUUAUAUCUAAAUAAAAUGAAAGAUAGAAAUGUUGUUAGUUGUUUAAUAACAUAUAGCAUUAUGUAAUAUCAUAAUAUGGAAAAGUUACAUUAUGACCCUAAUAACAUAGAACAUUAACUAUCGGUUAUUGGAUCAAUACUCUUUUUUUUAAAAAAAAUAAGGAGAUGAAAAGUUAAAAAAGUAUAACUUCUAUCUUGUUGAAUUUGAAAAUGACCACAAACAUUAAAUCAAUGUGAAUAUAAAGUUACCACUAAAGCAGAGUAAAAAAAACUUAUAAUGAAAGGAUAAAACAUUCACCAAAAUCAUAUUUGUUGUGAGAUUAUGAAAUCAUAAUUUUCUUUAAUGAUUUUGUAGGUAAAAAAUUAAAGAAAAGACUAAUAUUAUUCUUGCUUAAUUUACACGUUUUAUUAUUUUUAUUUAUACUUAAAUAAAUUCCAACAAUAUUUACAUUGUUUUUACAAAAUUAAAGUAUAAGUAACUCAACCAUGUCAUUAAUAUAAUAACUUUAAUAAAAAAAAUUAAAUGAAAAAAAAAACAUGAGGAAUAUUUCAUGGUUACAUUAAAAAAAAUUCUCAAUACUACAUGAUUUAAACAUUAAAGAGCAUAGACAUAUGUACAUGUCAACCACGAAGUUGGUGGUUCAAGUUUCCCCAACUUAUUUUGUGUACUAAAAAGAAACCUAUAAAUGAAGGAAUAAACACAAGCAUACUUUUAUAUAAAAAAAUAGACAACAAAAUUGAAAAAAAUAAAAAGAGAAGAAUUAGAAGAGAAUACAAAAGCAUGAUUUGAUUUCUUCUUCACCUUUAGCAUUUUGUUUUGACUUAUGAACAUAAAUGAAAAGAAAAUAAUGAGAUAUUUAUAACCAAGAUUUGAAAAGAAAAGAAUUUGAAAGGUUGAAAGAGAUAGAGAAUGUGAAUAGUUGAGAGUUAGAAGAUUAAGGAGGGAAGAGAAAUGUGAAUGGAUUUGGAUAAAUUUAAAUGACAUAAUCAAUUGGAGUGAAAAUGAUACAAACAUUACAUCAAUCGGAAUGACAAAAUUGUUACUAAAGCAAAACUAAAAAAAGUUAUAAUAAAAAGGUAAAAUGGGGCUAAAAAAUUUCUCUUCUUCCAUCCAUUUAUAUAUACUAUAGAUAGAUAUACACAUGAAAUCAUAAUGGACUUAAAAUAUAAUAAUUCUUUUCAAGCUUUACUUGGACUAUGCAUUUAUAAUCAAUAUCUCAUGAUGAUAUCUAUUCAUUCAUGUAUACCCUCGUAUGAAUUCAAGUGUUAUAAACAAACAAAAAAAAAAAUCAAAAAAAAAUAAAGUAAAAUCCAUAUACCUUUCGUACUAGAGAGAAUGUGAGUUAAUUUAAAAUAUUUUUUUUUUUGAAAAGGAUACGAUACGAUGGAUCAGUAGGUACACCCGGACAUCUUCACUAGGUGGACACCUCCUUUGGCACACUCAUCAUCCCCACUGCAUUAAUAUAUAAAAUAAAUACACGAGAACUAAGUGAUCAACCCAAACAAAAUACAAAGGGCUAGAGACAAGCCUCAAGCAAGUAUAAACUAUUAAAAAACAUUGAAGAUUGAUAGCAAUAAAGCUAGCGAUAUAAUUGGUAAAUAAAUGGAAUAUGCCAACAUGAGUUUAGUUUAACUGACACCUCUAUGUUCCUAUGGACAAGAGGUUCCAGGUUCAAAUCAUCACCCCCAGCAUUUAUUACAAUACCUUUGGAGAAAAAAAAAAUCCUCACAGAACAAUUUUGGUAUUGAAUUUAAUGAUGUCUUUUUUAACUUGUUUAACGUUUUUGGCGAGAUAACACUUUCCGCGACAGUUAUUUGAUAUCAUAGAAAAAUCAUAAAAUAAUUUUUUAUUUUUAUUAAAAUAAAAAAUUUAAUUAAAAUUACAAAUUUAUAAAAUCUUUUCCCCAAAUCUAAAACCCUUCAUCUUCCCAAAUCCUCCCACAAAGAAGGCCAUCUCCAAUCCAACCAUCUUCCGACCCCAUCACCACCACCGCCCCCUCGUGGCCCGUCUGUUCAAUCGGGCGCUGCCACAACCUUCUUCUUUUUCUUCCUCUUUUUCUUCUUCAGACUUCAAUUCUUUCUCGGAAACCCCAAUUUCUCAUCCCCUUCAUUUCUCAAUCCUUCGAUCUGUUUAUUCUUGCUUCCAGCACUUGUUUUCCUCCAGGUAUUGAUCACCCUUCUCUUUACUCUCUCAAUUACUUUCAUAUUUUCUUUUCAAUUCAUUCAAAACCUUCUUCACUCUUGGAUUCUUUCUGUGUUGGCUUCAUUUUCUUUUCUGGCUUCUAUUUUUCUUGUUGGAUGUUGAGAUGGAGAUGGGGUUUAUUUUAUUUGUUUUGUGAUUGUAGCGAUUUGAUGCUUGGUUUUAUGUAGAUGAGUGCACAUGAAAUGUGCUAGUGAUAGAGUGUUAUGAAUCUUUCAAAAAUGUCCUGAAUGUUCUGGUGGUUGGAGAAAAUGAGAAAAGGUUCCAAGCUACCGUCCUACUUAUUGAACCAAACAUCAUCAAAUAAUCAUAGUUUUCCUUUCCUGCCCAUAGAAAACUUGAAAAAUCUUAACCUUUUGUUCUUUAUCAUUUGUAAAACCAAGAACCUACGUCAACUGUUUUCAUGAAUUCUUAUUCCACUUUGAAUUUUACAGGAUUAUUGGGACCAUUAUUAAAGAAGUUGAAAAUAAUAUUGGAAAGAACACACUUCUUACAAACUUCAAAAUGGAUCCAUUACUCAUUUUGUGCAAGAAAUUUGUGGAACUCGUGGAGAUCUUGGUAAGUUGUGAUGCAAUUCUGAAGUAUUUUGUUGGUGUGGAAUAGUUUAUCUUGCAUGUACCUAACACAAUGAUUAUGUUUGCUUGAUUGUAUUUCUAUUUUUCAUUUUCUUUUGCUUUUCUUAAAGGUUUUGAGUGAACUCAAGUUUAUGGUAGAUUGGGGUACAUUAAAGUUUAUUAACUUAUUCAUCAUUGUCCCAUUGCAUAAUGUCCUAUAUAAGAUUAUGAAUUUCUCAGUGGAUUAGUUUAAAUCAUUCCUCACAUUUUAUAUUUGAUACUUUAAUUGUGAUCUUGUCACUUUAAUACUUUGCUUUAGCAGUUUUUAGUCCCACCUUAUUUUGUCAAAGGUGUGUAUAUAUAUAUUGUUAUAUUUUUUAAUUUUUCUUAAAGUUUAUAAAGCAUGGAAAGUAAGUUGAAAAGUAGUUUCUCGUUAGCUUUUGUUUCUAGAAACAUGUCUUUUAUGUACAUAGUUCUCUUUAGGGUUUGUUGAAAUUGGUUUGUUGUGAAUAUCUAUAGAUCGUAUGAAAGUCACAAAAAAGAAAAAAAAAUUGGUUUGUUUGUCUUUGAAUAUCUUUGAAAUUUUUAUUUCAAUGUUUGUUUGUUUAUUGAUUUUAGGUAUAUGUUAAUUCUUCUUUGACUUAUUAUGCCUAGCUAAUUAUGAAGAACAAUUUAAGUUAGGAACUUAUUGGAUGCGUUCAAGGUUAUAUUUAAGUAUCUACGACCUUUAAACCAUAGUUUAAUGUUUAUGGUUCAAGUAUAUGUUAAAGGUUGGAAUGAGACUUAAGUGUCCAAAAUCUUAAAAGGUUGCUUAUGUUAAUUUUGACUACAAAUUAAAAGCCUUCAAACCAUAAGUUUGAACCUCUGGGUACGUAUUGUCUGAUGUUCAUCUUUUAAGGACUAGAACUACGAAUCAGUACAACUUUUACACUGUUACCAACACAUUUGUUUUGAUAAGUCUUCUGUCUAGCUAAUUUAAUUUUGUAGGUGAUACAGGUUAUAAUGGUUGAUUUUGUCUUGUAAAAUAUUAAAAGUGCAGUUAUCCCACAUUGUUCUUGUAGUGUACCCUUUUGAUAAAUUAUGUUAAUAACGUGUUUCGAAAUUGGAGCUUUUGCAUUUUGUUAUGUCGCUUGUUUAUUGAUUAAUGGUAAUUUGUUGUAUAAAGUCUACCCUAAUCUAUUUGUUUAUUGGAGGAGAUUGUUGAUUUUUCUUCCCCGUAUUUUAUUUCUUCAAGUUAAACUAAAUGAAUAAUGAACCCCAUUUUAUUCAUUUUUGCUAUUUGGUAUCUCAUUGUAUUUUUUUUUUAUUAAAAUGAAGUUUGUUUAAUGAUCAAUAGUAGAUUAAGAUAUUAUGAAUUGUUUGUAUCUGUAAAGAAGAGUGAAGGGAAGGGAUUUGAAAAGAUUCAGAAUUAGCCCCCAUUAUAACCAUAUCGUUUUUAGUCUGCGACAUUUAAUUUAGGUUAGGUUUAUCAUCAUUUCUUUAGUAUUGUCUUCACCUUCAAGAAGAAAGGGUUGAAUUAACAAGUUUUUGAACAUUAGAAACUAGUUUUCGUGUUUUAAAUUUAGCUACAAAUUCGAACCUUUGUCUAACGAAGAUGAAAAAUAUUGUACAGAAAAUGUGAGAAAACAAUUACACUUUUAAAUAAUUAAAAAUCAAAUGAUCAUUAAACUGAAACUUUAAUCUUUAUUUUCCGGAUGAAAAUUGUACUUUUAUCCAUUUGCUGGGCAAAUAUUUGCUUUUGGGCUUUUCCUGUCACCUUUGUAAGUUCUAGUUAUCUGCUCUACUAGACUUUCUAGAUAAGUAAUGGUGGUAGACUUUAUAUGCUCACCUUUGUAAGUUUUAUGAAAAUGUAACAUUGAAAAGGUAUUACUUAUGGGUAUUUAUGUUCAAUCUUAUUUUGUUGUGAGUAAUUGAGAUGCAUAAUAUACACUAGAAAUUUGUUAAAGUGUUAGACUUAUCUGUUUUUUUUUUUUAUUAGGGUUAGAAGGACUUCAAAGUACGUUUUGUUAAAGCAAAUUUGAUCUUUAUAUGGCUAGGUUGAUGAGUUUCCAAUUUCAAAAGUCUACCUAAAGCUCUAUUGUUUUUUUAACUCAAAGGUAAAAAAGAGUAAAGUCUAUGGACUUGCACCGAAUAGAGUCAUAGUAAGUUUCCAAUUUCAAAAGUUUACCGAAAGCUCUAUUGUUUGUUGAUGAGUUUCCAUAGAAUUUUGAAGGUUUUAGAAGAGUUGUGGAAAUUUGGGACAAUACCACCCUCCUUACUUGUAUUUAUUCUCAUCCUUAUUAAGUUUUUCUAACUACGUUUCUGUGAAAUUACCAACUAGUGUAACUAUGUUUUUUUUAGCUUGUGGUCAUAUGUCGAUUUCUCAAUGUCAAUAAUAUUUGCAAACUUACAAUUGGUUGUUAUCCAAGAAGAAGAAAACUCAAACCUUUUAUUUGAUUAUUUUGUUUGGUUUCUAGCAUUUAGUACUACUUUACUUUUUGGUUGAUGGUUGUGAUUUUUUUAUGUCAGUUUGUCCUAGUAUGAAAGAUUUAACCAUGGUUCAAGCAACAAAGAAUAUUUUCAGAGGUGAAUGAUUACUGGUUGGUUGUUUAUGCUUGUACAGAAAAUCAUGUUUUAUGUAUUAUGAUGGUUCUUACACUAGUUUUGAUUAAGGACUGUAAUUUCAUACUUGUAAAUCGUUCAAACUUGAUUGGAAAUGUACGAAUAUUGCAAAGUGUAUUAUAGUGUAUAUAUAUUAAAAUGUUGACCAUUUGUUUCUAUAUGAGCGUUAUAUAUUUUAACAUUAUUGUCGUUCAAAUGGUUCGUGUAAUGGCGGAGCGACAAGAAGAACAAGGAAAAACGGUAGUCAUUGAAGAAUUUGCAACAGGAAAUAAAUGUCAUAAUAUAUAAAUUCGUUACACUCCAUAAUUGUCGUCAAUAUUAAAACAAUAACAUUUUUUAUAAGAAAAACUGUCACGAUUGCCCUAUAUUUGACAGAAAAAAAUGUCGUCAAUAGCAAAACAAUGUCAUUUAAUUUCUAAAAAAACUGUCACAAUUGACAUAUACAUGACAUUUAAAAAAUGUCAUAAUAAACGAAUUCACGACAUUUUUAAACUGUCGUUAAUAUGCAAAUGAUGACAGUUAUUUGUUGUCAUAAUAUAAAAUAUGACAGUUAUUUGUUGUUAUAAAGUAAUAAUUAACGAAUUUAUUUUCUGUCAUGAAAAAACUUAUUGUGUCAGUUUUCAAAAAAUUUUAUGGAAUGACUUUUCAUAACUCCCGCUUCUAUGACUGUAAAUAAUUGUCACAGAUUUUAUUCGCGAAAGAAAAUAAUUAUCAUCGUAGACCACUUUUCUUGUACUGAUCGAACAUUUGUUGAACCAUCACUUGAUCGCUAAUCUUUUCUAGAAUGACACACACAUGUCAUCACACAAACACAUUUGUGAAAUCCAUAUAUCUUACAACAACAAUAUUGCUAUACGUUUGAAAAUAACAUAGGUUUAAUUUGCUCCAUUUAUUUAAGAAUGAAUGCAAUGGAUGAUCAUGCACAUUCUUUCAAUAAUAGUAUAUACAUUCUUCAAAGUGAUAUUACAACUCUAGCUAAUUUAUUUUAUAUCCAUGUAAGAUACACUCAUCCAUGAUUUUUGUUUCAUCAUUUUUGUUUCUAAUAUAAUCUAAAUUUUGACUCACUCAUCCUUGAUUAUCAACGAGAAUUUAAUAUCACAUAAUUGUUAUGUCGUAGAUUAAACAUAUAUAGAUCUAUUUUUGUUCAACUUGUUUUAAGCCACUUGUAUUGCACAAUGUGAGGUUUGAACAUGCGUGGUUUAAAGAGGAAUUUAAGGAAUGAAUUUUAUUGGGAUUUAGAGAAUUAGAAGUACUUCAAAAUUUCAAGGGAUUAUAACUAAUUUUUGACAAAUAUAAACCAUGGUUAUUUAACUUCAACCAUUCAUCGAUCUUUGCCAAAUAUAGUAAAUAAAAUUUGGAAGAGAAUUUUUCAAACACUAUUGAUCUUCUUCUCCUAUAUAAAGAGGGCUGAAUGAAAGUGCAUAUUCAAACCCAUUCUUUUCAAGUUAGCCAUUAGGACAAUAUAUAAGUAAAUAAAUAAAGUAUAGAAGGCGUAGUAGUGAUGGGAUUGGCAUUACUACCUUUCUUUUUAUUGUUGGCAUCUACUAUUGAAGCCCAAUCCCUUUUUGAUGUUACAAGAUAUGGUGCCAAACCUAAUACAGAUAUUACUCAGGCAAGUAUAUAUGCAAAACUGAUGAAUUUUUUUUUUUAAUUUAUUAGGAAGAAGACUUUAAUUUGAUGAUAGAACUAAACUUUUGCAGGCCUUAGCAAAUGCAUGGAAGGAAGCAUGUAUGUCCACAACUCCUAGUAAAUUGUUGAUUCCAAAAGGAGUAUACCAAUUAAGUCAAUCUUAUCUUAAAGGACCUUGCAAGAGUGUUCCUAUUCAAGUCCAAGUCGACGGAACACUAAAAGCUCCUCUCCAUCCAAAUGGAGAUGGGUUGGUUCUUUUUGCAUACAUUGAUCAACUAAUGUUAUCAGGCACGGGAGUUUUUGAUGGUCAAGGAAAAGCAGGUUGGGAUAAGAAUGAUUGCCACAAAAAGAAGAUAUGUACCAAACUUCCCAUGGUAAAUUGUUUAUAUAUUAUUUCAAACCUUUUGCCUCAUUUUAUAUACAAUUUAAAUCUACAUAAUUUCAAUUACAUAUGGGUCGUUUUAAAUUGAGAGUUUUUUUUUUUUUUUUAAAUUCUGAUCCCUUAUUUGUUUAAAUCCAUCAGAAUUUGAAGUUCAGUUUCAUCACCAAUUCAAUUGUGAAGGACAUAACUUCCUUGGACAGUAAAAAUUUCCACAUCAAUCUUUUGGGUUGCAAGAAUGUUACUUUUCAACACGUGACAAUCAGUGCACCAGAGAAUAGUCCCAACACGGAUGGAAUUCACAUAAGUAGCUCUGAACAGAUAAACAUUCUCGAUUCAAAAAUCUCAACUGGAGAUGAUUGUGUGUCUGUUGGAGAUAGCAACAAGCAAGUAACUAUUACUAAUGUAACUUGCGGACCAGGACAUGGCAUUAGCGUAGGAAGCUUGGGCAAGUACACCAAGGAAAAAGACGUGGUAGGAGUUACUGUGAAAGCAUGCAAAUUAAUCAAUACUACCAACGGUGUCAGAAUCAAAACAUGGCCAGAUUCUGCCGGUGCAUUCAUAGCCUCUGACAUGCACUUUGAAGAUAUUGAGAUGCAAAACGUGAGCAACCCUGUCAUUAUAGACCAAGAAUACUGUCCGUGGAAUCAAUGCAACAGAAAGGUAUAUAUUGUAUUGAAAUUAUACUUUAUUUUGUUUAUUAGUUAAACUUCAUGAACUAAACAAAUACACUUUUGGGACCAUUAAUAUUUCAGGUUCCAUCCAAGAUUAAGAUCAGCAAAGUGAGUUUCAAAAAUAUUAGAGGCACUUCUGCUACUCCUAUCGCAGUGAAGCUUGUUUGCAGCAAAAGUAUACCAUGUGAAGGUGUAGAAGUCGCUGAUAUUAACCUCACUUAUAGUGGAAUACGAGGACCGAUUUUGUCUGAAUGUGCAAACGUGCAGCCUCUCAUUACUGGAAAGCAAAGCCCUCAAAUAUGUGCUAAGCCUGCUCCUGCUGGUGCUCCAUCAACAGACUAAUCUUUUCAACCAAUGCCACACAAAGUCUGCAAAACCAUAUGUGAAAGUUUAUCACAUAUCUAUAUUUAAUUCACAACAUUAUUUUGUAUUCAUUUUUAACAUUCCAUAGGUUUGAUCCAUUCUUUGAUGAUUCAUGAAGCUGAUCAUGUACCUUUUUUCUUCCUUCCAUUUUCUUCUGGGGAAUGAAAUAUAUAAUGAAAAUAAUUCAUACAAUUUUAACUAUUCUAUCCCUUUAGACGUAGACCUACGUGAGUCGUGUUAUAACAUUCAAUUCUACGAAUGUUUUGAUAACUCUUAACAACCUCAAAUGUGUUAUCAAACGUUGUUGAGUUUUGGAAUUUUUAAAAUUAAUUUCUUAUGUAUUUAGCAAAAGCACUGAUAUAAUUAAUUUUUACAUAGUUGAAAUUAAUAUUCAAUCAAUCAAAAAUCAUAAUUUAAUUAAUCAAGCUAGUACUAUAAUAAAAUCUCUAAGCAUCCAAUAAUAUCAUCGGAAUGUAUUAAAACAUAAUUGAAUGAUCAUCGUUAAGUUCAAAAUCUCAAAAAUAUGUUGAAAUAGGUAAAAUAAUCCUUCGUACCCAAGCUAGAGUAUAAUCAAAUUUGAAAUGUAAAAAAAAAUCACAAAAUGAUAUUGCUUAUUGAAUUAAUUAAUUGUUUUUGUCAACUUUUGUAGUUUUGUUACUUGUGAAACAUAGGCUUUGAAAUAUGCAUGGAUCAAUGACGCAUGUGCAUCUGUUCGUCCAAGUGCGAUGGUUCUUCUAAGGAGAAUAUUUAAAGUAAGAGAAGGAGAAUUUAAGGCCCUUGUAAUAGCCUAUUGAAUUGCGAUGGAACAUUGUCGGCUCCGAAACACUUUCAUGAAGAUAGUUGAAUUACUUUGCAUAUGUUGAUAGAAUGAGACUAUCAAAUGGAGUUUUUGAUGGCCAAGGAAAGGCAUGUUCGGAAAAGAAUGAUUGCCAUUAACGUAUAAAUUUUUCUAACCUCCGUAUUGUAAGUUCUAUACCUUUUGUUUUCUCUUCCAUUAACCCCAUUCGUCUUUGUUGAUUCUGAAAGGGUUCGUUAGAUUGUAUUCUCUAUUAUUUUCAUUUUUACAAUUUGGUAAAUGUGUUGUUAGUACCAUAUGAUGAUUAAGAAAUAAAAUAUUGAACUAAAUUUAACCAUAUAAAAUUGAGGCAAAAGAGCUAACUUAUUUUUAAAAAAUAUAUAUCAAGACUAAAUAUUUAGAGAAAACUCAUAUUUUCAUCCCUCCCUAAAAGUUUGUGUGCAUUAUUGCUUUCUCACCGUAUCUCUUACACGACUUAUUGAUCAUAUAAAAUGAUCAAAGUUUAAGAUUUGACUUCAUUACCAAUUCAAUUGUGAGGAGAAUAACAUCAUUCGAUAGCAAAAACUUCCAUGUCAACAUCCUAGGGUGAAAGAACCUCACAUUCCAAGGUGUUAACAUAAUUGCACCAGAAGAUCGUCCGAACACAGAUGGAAUACACAUUGAUCGAUCAAUUGGGAUCUCAAUCUUAAAAUCUCGAAUAACAACAAGAGUCAAUUGCAUCUCACUUGGAGAUGGAAGCAAACAAAUAAAAGUCACAAAUGUGAUAUGUGGGCCAUGUCAUGGAAUAAGCAUAGGAAAGUCUUGAAAAAUAAACAAAUGAAGAACCUAUAUAUCGAAAGUGUCAUAGUAAAGAACUGCACAAUAAUGAACAUCACUAAUGGUGUUAGGAUCAAAACAUGGUACACCUCUCAUGUUGCUGGUAUUGCCAUCAACAAGAAUUUUUCAGACAUUACAAUGGUCAAUGUUAGCAACCAAAUUCUCAUAGACCAAGAGUAUUGUCCUUGGAAUCAUAGCAAUCAUCAGGCAUUGAUCACAUUCUUGAAAUUUUGAUUUUAAAAGUUUUCAUGCAUAUUGUCAACUUCAUGGAUAAACUUUAAUUUUCACUCUCAUUUUUCAGAUUUUGUCAAAGAUUAAGUUUAAUAAAGUGAGCUUCGAGAAUAUUAGAGGAAGUUCUGCAACUCCAGUGGAAAUCAAACUUAUUUGUAGUAGCAACCUACCAUGUGAAGAAGUAAAACUUAUGUUUCAUGCUUUUUUUUUCUAAUAUAAUCUAAAUUUCGACUCACUCAUCCUUGAUUAUCAACGAGAAUUUAAUAUCACAUAAUUGUUAUGUUGUAGAUUUUUAUAUUGUCGAUUGAAACAUAUAUAGAUCUAUUUUUGUUCAACUUGUUUUAAGCCACUUGUGUUGCACACUGUGAGGUUUGAACAUGCGUGGUCUCAAAGAGGAAUUUAAGGAAUGAAUUUUAUUGGGAUUUAGAGAAUUAGAAGUACUUCAAAAUUUCAAGGGAUUAUAACUAAUUUUUGACAAAUAUAAACCAUGGUUAUUUAACUUCAACCAUUCAUCGAUCUUUGCCAAAUAUAGUAAAUAAAAUUUGGAAGAGAAUUUUUCAAACACUAUUGAUCUUCUUCUCCUAUAUAAAGAGGGCUGAAUGAAAGUGCAUAUUCAAACCCAUUCUUUUCAAGUUAGCCAUUAGGACAAUAUAUAAGUAAAUAAAUAAAGUAUAGAAGGCGUAGUAGUGAUGGGAUUGGCAUUACUACCUUUCUUUUUAUUGUUGGCAUCUACUAUUGAAGCCCAAUCCCUUUUUGAUGUUACAAGAUAUGGUGCCAAACCUAAUACAGAUAUUACUCAGGCAAGUAUAUAUGCAAAACUGAUGAACUUUUUUUUUUAAUUUAUUAGGAAGAAGACUUUAAUUUGAUGAUAGAACUAAACUUUUGCAGGCCUUAGCAAAUGCAUGGAAGGAAGCAUGUAUGUCCACAACUCCUAGUAAAUUGUUGAUUCCAAAAGGAGUAUACCAAUUAAGUCAAUCUUAUCUUAAAGGACCUUGCAAGAGUGUUCCUAUUCAAGUCCAAGUCGACGGAACACUAAAAGCUCCUCUCCAUCCAAAUGGAGAUGGGUUGGUUCUUUUUGCAUACAUUGAUCAACUAAUGUUAUCAGGCACGGGAGUUUUUGAUGGUCAAGGAAAAGCAGGUUGGGAUAAGAAUGAUUGCCACAAAAAGAAGAUAUGUACCAAACUUCCCAUGGUAAAUUGUUUAUAUAUUAUUUCAAACCUUUUGCCUCAUUUUAUAUACAAUUUAAAUCUACAUAAUUUCAAUUACAUAUGCGUCGUUUUAAAUUGAGAGUUUUUUUUUUUUUUUUUUUAUUCUGAUCCCUUAUUUGUUUAAAUCCAUCAGAAUUUGAAGUUCAGUUUCAUCACCAAUUCAAUUGUGAAGGACAUAACUUCCUUGGACAGUAAAAAUUUCCACAUCAAUCUUUUGGGUUGCAAGAAUGUUACUUUUCAACACGUGACAAUCAGUGCACCAGAGAAUAGUCCCAACACGGAUGGAAUUCACAUAAGUAGCUCUGAACAGAUAAACAUUCUCGAUUCAAAAAUCUCAACUGGAGAUGAUUGUGUGUCUGUUGGAGAUAGCAACAAGCAAGUAACUAUUACUAAUGUAACUUGCGGACCAGGACAUGGCAUUAGCGUAGGAAGCUUGGGCAAGUACACCAAGGAAAAAGACGUGGUAGGAGUUACUGUGAAAGCAUGCAAAUUAAUCAAUACUACCAACGGUGUCAGAAUCAAAACAUGGCCAGAUUCUGCCGGUGCAUUCAUAGCCUCUGACAUGCACUUUGAAGAUAUUGAGAUGCAAAACGUGAGCAACCCUGUCAUUAUAGACCAAGAAUACUGUCCGUGGAAUCAAUGCAACAGAAAGGUAUAUAUUGUAUUGAAAUUAUACUUUAUUUUGUUUAUUAGUUAAACUUCAUGAACUAAACAAAUACACUUUUGGGACCAUUAAUAUUUCAGGUUCCAUCCAAGAUUAAGAUCAGCAAAGUGAGUUUCAAAAAUAUUAGAGGCACUUCUGCUACUCCUAUCGCAGUGAAGCUUGUUUGCAGCAAAAGUAUACCAUGUGAAGGUGUAGAAGUCGCUGAUAUUAACCUCACUUAUAGUGGAAUACGAGGACCGAUUUUGUCUGAAUGUGCAAACGUGCAGCCUCUCAUUACUGGAAAGCAAAGCCCUCAAAUAUGUGCUAAGCCUGCUCCUGCUGGUGCUCCAUCAACAGACUAAUCUUUUCAACCAAUGCCACACAAAGUCUGCAAAACCAUAUGUGAAAGUUUAUCACAUAUCUAUAUUUAAUUCACAACUUUAUUCUGUAUUCAUUUUUAACAUUCCAUAGGUUUGAUCCAUUCUUUGAUGAUUCAUGAAGCUGAUCAUGUACCUUUUUUCUUCCUUCCAUUUUCUUCUAGGGAAUGAAAUAUAUAAUGAAAAUAAAUCAUACAAUUUGAACUAUUCUAUCCCUUUAGAUGUAGACCUUCGUGAGUCGUGUUAUAACAUUCAAUUCUACGAAUGUUUUUAUACUCUUAACAACCUGAAAUGUGUUAUCAGAUUCUCUUGAGUUUUGGAAUGUUUACAUAGUUGAAAUUAAUAUACAAUCAAUGAAAAAUCAUAAUUUAAGUAAUCAAACUAGUACUAUUAUAGAAUCCCUAAACAUCCAAUAAUAUCAGCGAAAUCUAUUUAAACAUAAUUGAAUGAUCAUCGUUAAGUUCAAAAUCUCAUAGAUAUGUUGAAAUAGGGAAAAUAAUCCUUCAUACCCACUAGAAGAAAAACUAGCUUCUAUGAUAGUUCAAUGCAACCCAAAUUAAAGAGAGGGAAGAAAAAACUGUCGUAGAAUGUCAAAACACGCGUUUUUGGCAGAAAAAAACGCUGUUUUCGGGUUCUACCUUUUUGUGACAGUUAUUUGAUGUCAUUAAAGUAAUUGAUUUAUUUAAAUUUAUUAAAAUAUAACUUAAUUUUAUAUUCCAAAAAAGACAAAACUCACACGCCCUUCUCCAAAUCGUCUUCCUCUUCGACCCUCACUCCGCCGACCAGACCAUCAGACGAACAACCACCGUCGAUCUCUGAAAAUGUCGUUGACCGUCUCCCAAUGUUGUCUGUCACUGCCAAUCGUCGCCCACUAUCCAUCUUUGGAACCAAACGCCCACCGUCGACGUUGGAGACAUUUACUAAGGUUAGGUUUUGUUACUGUCUCUGAUUCUUCUUCUUCUUCCUUUCCAUUUCUUUCUUUUUGUUUUUUUUGUCUCUGUAUUAAAACUUAUUUGUUGAGGAACACUAGUUUUGAUUGAAUUUUUUUAGGGUAGAUUUUGUUUUACCAAAGAGAUGAACACCAGUCCAUAUUAAGCCAUGGAAUUCUUUGAUUGUAAAAUCUUCACCAAAAUUUUCAUAAUUAUUUUUUAUGGUGUCAUUCCAAUUGUUUGUUAGUGUCGAUUUCUUUGCAAUCUUCAGAAUUCUUUUCUUUGUUUUCAAGAAUUUGUGUAGGUUGGUAGAGAUUUGCACUUGUGAAACAACACAAGAUUUUGUUAUAGUUUAAAUCUAUAAAAAUUAGAGAAUCUAAGAAGUGUGAUUAACGAUAACAAUCUGAGGAGCUUGAGAGGGUAAUUGCAUCCAAUGUGUGUGGAUCAUUAUUUAACAAAUAUGAGGAGCUUUUGAUGAGAAGAAAUAAUUGCAUUGCAGUUAUGAAAUCUGUUCAACAAUCCAUGAAUUUGCUUGGUCUUCCACAAACUACAAAUAAAAGAACCAUUGUGAAUUUCUGUUUUCAGAAUGCUUCAUUGUUCUUUUGCACGGUUUCGGGUACGUUUAAGUUGUAUUUGAAGUCAUUAGAGCCAUUGAAGGCUUUGGUGAUUGAUGAAACAGCACAGUUGAAAGAGUGUGAGUGUGUUAUUCCAAUGCAACUGGCUGACAUAAAGCAUGCAAUCCUCAUAGGUGAUGAGUGUCAAUUGCCAGCAUUGGUUCAGAGCAAUGUAAGAAAGUUUCUCCCUUUAUUUAAUCACAUUUGUUUUAACAUAUAUUGACACUUCGAUACACACUUGUUAAACAUGAUAAAUACCUUUUGAACACUCACGUACACAUAUGGAUAACCUAAACAUUUCAUAGACUUAAAAUUCCCAUACCCUAUUUGAGAGGCUAAGCUCAUUGGGGCAUCCAAAACAUCUUCUCAAUGUGCAAUACAGAAUGCAUCCAUCCAUAAGCCUUUUCCCAAACUCAAAAUUCUACUCAAGUCAGAUCUCAGAUGGUCCUAAUGUCAAAGCUAAAGCCUAUGAAAAGACGUUUCUUCCGCGACCGAUGUUCGGUUCGUAUUCUUUCAUAAACAUAAAUGGUGCACGAGAAGAAAAGGAUGAAAUUGGACACAGUUUGAAAAACAUGGUAGAGGUUGAUGUUAUGCUCAAAAUUGUUCAUUCUUUGUCUCAAGGUAUAAUAUUUUCUCUAUUUGAUCUUUGUUUUCGGCUUGGUUACUUCUGUGUCAGAUGAAAUUUUCUCAAAUUGUUAUAUACAUUAUUAUUUUGCUAUUUUUAUGUAAAUCUCUUUCGUUUUCUUAGGAGCAUGAAAGCAUUUCAACUUGGUUAGUGUGUCUUUCACAUGUAUGUACCAUACAUAUCGAAUAGUUUAGUUUGCCUACUGCGUUUGACCCUAAGAUACUAAAGCCUAAAUGUAUAAGACCCUUGUUGGUAGAAAAGAUUUUAUCUCACAGUAGUUGUAGGAAAUCAAAAUAGCACUAAAAUAUGUUAGACAUAUAUUUAAUGCUUAUUUCGUACUAAAUAGACCGUAGAUAAAAUAGCAAAACUAGAGAGUGAAAUACAUGGUGUGUCAAAGUAAAAUUUGAAAUAUAUUGUUAAAUUGCAGAACUCAUAGACUAUAAUUUUUCAUUUGUAAAACAGUAUGUCUUCUAAAAACAUUCAUGUCCAUGUUGUGCCCAUGGCGUGUCAUCUUGUUUCAUGUCGAAUCUUUAAUACAUAUAUAUUUUUUAAUAUAAUAUAUGUUUGUAGCAUGUGUUGACUCAAAAGGAAAGAUGAGCAUUGGUGUAGUGUCCCCAUAUUCAGCUCAAGUCGUUACCAUUCAACACAAAAUUGGGAAGAAGUACAAUUGUAAUGGAUUUAAUGUGAAGGUGAGUUCAGUUGAUGGCUUUCAGGGAGGGGAGGAAGAUAUCAUUAUUAUUUCCACUGUUUGGUGUAAUACAGGAUCGUCCAUCGGGUUUUUGUCGAGUAAUCAAAGAACAAAUGUCGCACUUACAAGAGCUAGGUAGCUGCUUUCUAGUUUCUCUAUGCUUACUCUCUUUUUGUUCCUUUACUUCAACAUGUAUAAUUCAAAUUAAAUUAAACGCAGGGUGACUUUCAAGUUGUUUAUUUGGAGUGAAAGGAGCUUUUAGCUCAUUAACUAAAUGAAAACAAUUUUCAAAAUUAAUCAUCAUAUGAUGUUUUUUUUAUUUAUGAUUUUUUCCUUCCGAUUGACCAUUAUAAUGUAUUUGAAAACUAGUCCUUUUCUUUGACUUAAGAGUAGGUACUGUUUGUAGAUAUUGGGAAACUUCAAAACACUGUCAAAGAGUAACUCGGUUUGGGAAGAGUUGGUUAUGGAUGCCAAGAAUCGUGGCUGUUUCUUCAAUGCUAAUGCCAAUGCCAUAACCAAAGACAUCCAACAGAUAGUUCCACUACUGGAUUAUUUCAACUCCAAUGAUGAAGGAAGAAGCUUGGAGAUAAUGGAGGGAAAGAACGUAGAAGAUCAUGAAUCCAAGGCCAAGAGGCUGCUGCAGUUGUUGUGGCAAGAUUAACUUCAUAAAAAAUGGAGAUGGAGGUAUUCUUAAAUGCUUAUAACCCUAAAAAUGACUUCAACACUUCUAUUUAUGAAUUUCAUGAAGCCACUGGGCUGAUUUUAAAUUGCUAGGAUGAUCAACCUGUUGAGGAAGGUAACAUUAAUCUUGUUUUGUUUACAUUUGAACUACUCAAAUUUCUAUCACAUAAAAAUUAUCAUUCAUGAACAUAAUAAAGUGGAUCUUAAAGAUGUAGAAAAUGACUUUUGUUUAGUGUUUAAUUGAACGGAAAAUUUUGGGUAAAGUUCUUUCUUGUAAUAUUUUUUUUACUUUGGUUUUAAUUUUUUUUCUGUGAAGAAUGCUCCUCCUUCCUUGUUCUCAAUUUUUAUCUACAACAUAUUUUUGUUUUUCUUAGUAUUUGAACAUUUUUGUAUUCGUAGCAACCUAACUUUGUUGUUUCUCUUAGUUUGGUUGUGAUUUGAGUAUUUUAUAUUUGGGGUUCAGGAAGGGCAGUAUUUGUUGAAGGAAUUCCCCGUGAACUGGUUUCUUGUAAGAAGUAUUGUAAAGUUUUAGAAGUAUUGUAAAGUUUUGAAGGUUGGGUUGUGGUAAUGGAAGCACCGUUAUUCCAAUCUUGUUGUAACCUCCAAUGUAUUCUAUUUUCCCUCUACUUUACUUCUUAGUCAUGUUCCUCAAUUUUGUUUGUUUUUUUUUUUUUUAGAAAUUUAGUUGAUAAAUACUGUUUGUGUUUGCUUUGUGCUUGCUUAUAUGAGAUAUUAUUAAAAAAAUCUUAUCGUUGAAAUUAAUUCGAAAGUAGAGAAAAAUCAGUGUCAACUGGAGGAGUCUUUUAGAACAGAAGAAUAAAAAGGCAAAUGUUAUUGAAUGGGCUCUUAAAGCUUCCACAUUUUCUAUCUUGCUCUUUACAUUUUACUGUUUAGGUUAGCUUUCAUAUUCUAUAAAAAAAAAAAAAUAGAAAUAAUAUGAACGUAUUCAACCAAAGUUUCAUUAUUUCUAUUGUUUGUAGUUGUAUAGUAAUAUGUGGUUGUGACAUUGCUUUCUUUUUUUUCCUGUUUCUUUUGUAUUACUCUAUUUUACAGCAAGCUAAUUUUAAAGGUGUGAAGUGUAUUUUGAUGUAUUUUGAUUUUGGGGAAGAAUUCAGAUGACAAAAGCAUCAAGAAGUCGAUCGUCGGUCUGAAAAGUUAGUGAUAAACAUCUAGGUUGAUUGUUACAAUAUAAAUCUCUUAUUUGUUAAUGUCUUUUCCUUAUCUUAUCCAUCCUCUUUCAACAUAUCUUGCUAAUUUCAUAAGCUAACAUUGGUUGCGAUAGACUAUAAUGCUAGUGAUUCUGAUUCAGAUGAAUUGACUCGUGAUUCUUAACCACACCAGUGUUGUUGAUUUCUCUAUGUCAUGUCAAAACAACCACUUGUAUCUCCUCCACGACAUGUCGUUUUAGAAAUUUAAUUAACUUGUAAUUCUUUGAAUUUAUGUGUGGCAUCAAUUAUUCUUUCUUGUACAUGUGAGAGUAAAGCAUGCAUAGUUUAUUGUUUGUAGUCAUUCCUUCUGUCAUCAAUAUUUUUGCUUAUGCUGAUUUUUUUUUUUUUUUUUGCAGUAAUUUAUGUGUUCUUUGGGUUUUAUGAUUUAAUUGUUAUGUUGUUUUCCUGAAUUUAUAGGUUGGAUAUGCUUCAGCUAAGUUAAAGUUAGAUGGUCGUAUCAGGUACGAUUUUCUCAAAUAAUCCCCAGAUUUUUGUUUUUCGCUCAUUAACUUGUCUAGUUUGUUACUGAAUUCUACCUUCCAAUUCUACCAAUAAUAUUCAACAAGGUAUUUAUUUGGAUUAAACUUGCUCUGAGAUAAAAUUUCUAUGGCUGGGCUGGGAUGCAGGGGAAGGAAUUCAUUAGGUUGUUAUUAGCAAAUACCACUAUUUGUUGGGCUGUGAUGCAUAUUGUUGCUUAAAAACUCUUUCUUAACGCAACAAAUUUUAUCAAUGCUUUUAACUCAUUCCUCCAUUUGUUCAUGGAAUUAUGUAAUGAUGAUUUGAUGUAAAUCCUUACUAAUUAAGAAUCUUGGCUACAAUCUUCUUCGCUUGACAUUCAGCUAAGUUAAAGUUAAUUGUGAAAUCUUCAUUUCUUUCAUUUAGAGUUCUCUUGGCCUAUCGUUAGUUUAGUUGAUAUGUUUGUUUGCUACCAUUCAUUAUUGUAGUUUUUCACCAUUCUUCACUUAUGGAUUAUUUGGUAUGAAGUUUUAUGAGAUAAUCCUUUGUGGAAUGACUAGGUGAUUGUUAGGACAGUUCUUAUGCAAUUUUUGUAUGCAUAAGCAACCUUCUUCUCCCCUUCCCCAUGAUUCUUUUCAAUUCUGAAAACGUAGGUAGCUUCUAUGUUUUCUUUCCUCUUCCCAUGAUUACUCUUUUAUGUUUUCUUUCAUCAUCGUCCCAUGUUUACUCUUCUAUGUUUUCUUUCCACUUUCCAUGUAUACUCUUGUGUUUUACUCUUCUAUGUUUUCUUUCCUCUUUCCAUGUAUACUCUUGUGUCUUCUCGUAACUAUAUUUCUAUAUCUAUACCUUUUGUUCUUCUUUUAUCACAACUUUUUGGUGCACUUUUCACCUUCCUUGAAAACACAUUUGAAUCCUAAGUCAUAUUUUAAAAAAAAUAUGAAGCGAGUUGUACUCUCUUGUCCUAUGAUGGAUGCUUAUAUUCAUGUUGUCUUUGUAGGUUCAACUGGAGUCGACAACUUCAUGAGUUUACUUUCAAAGAACAUUUUCAGAGACGAAUGUUCUCGGUUGGUCGUUUAUGUUUUAGCAGAAAAUCUUGUUAUAUGUAUUCUGAUGCUAUUUAAAAUAUUUUUUGAUUAAGGGCUAGAAUUCCGUACUUGUAAAUUGUUGGAAGUUGAUUGGAAAUGUAUGAAUAUUAUAAAUUGUAUUAUAGCGUAUAUAUAUUAAAGUGUCGGCUAUUUUUUACUAUAUGGGUGUCAAUAUUAUAAAUUCAAAAUUGUCAUUGUCGGCUACAUUAUUGUCAUUCAAAUGGUUCGUGUAAUGGCGGAGUGGCAAAGAGAAUAGAAAAAAAUUGUAGUAAUCGAGUAAUUUGCAACAGGAAAAACAUGUCGUAAUAUAUGAAUUUGUGACAGUUAUUAAUUGUUGUGAAUACCAAAACAAUGACAGUUUUUUUUUACAAAAUCAAUUGUCACGAUUGCCCUAUCUUUGACAGAAAAAAAAUGUCGUCAAUAGCAAAAUAAUGACAUUUCUUUAAAAAAAACUGUCGCGAUUGACAUAUCUGUGACAUUUAAAACAUAUCACAAUAAACGAAUUCGCGACAUUUAUUUAACUGUCGUUAAUACAUAAAUGAUGUAGUUAUUCAUUGUCAUAAAAUAAAAUAUGACAGUUAUUUGAUGUCGUAGAAUUCUAACUAACGACAUUUAUUUUAUGUCAUGAAAUAAGUUAUUGCGACAGUUUUUGAAAACUGUCAUGGAAGGACUUUUCAUGACUCCCGCUUCUAUAACUGAAAAUAACUGUCAUGGAUUUUGUUCGCAACAGUAAAUAACUGUCGUCGUAGACCAUUUUUCUACUAGUGACCCAAGCUAGAAUAUAAUCAAAUUGAAAUGUAAAAACAAUCACAAAAUGAUAUUGCUUAUUGAAUUAAUUAAUUGUUUUUUCUAACUUUUUUAGUUUUGUUACUGGUGAAACAUAGGCUUUGAAAGAUGCAUGGAUCAAUGACGCAUGUGCAUCUGUCCGUCCAAGUGCGGUGGUUACUCUAAGGAGAAUAUUUAAAGUAAGAGAAGGAGAAUUUAAAGCCCCUUCACUACGAGAAAAAUGACAAUUUCUAUACAAUCCAAAUUAAAAGAAGAAAAAAAAAAACUGUCACAAAUUGUCAAAAUGCGCAUUUUUGGCGUGAAAAGACGAAAAUUUUCGGAUUGACCAAAUUUAUGACAGUUUUUUAAUGUCAUAAAUCUAUGACAUUUUUUAACUAUCAUUAAAUAUUAAUAAUAAAAUAAUAUUUAUUUGUUUCAAGUUAAAAGAAAGGAAAUAAAGAAAAUAAAGGAAAGAAAGAAAAGAAAGGAAAGCCUCUAAAUUUCAAAAACGCUCUCCCCCUCUCUUUGCGAAAAUCACAGCUGCACUUCCCUCACUGCAAUCUUUCUCAAUCUCUCCACUGCCUACGUCGGUGGCUUCUGCGACUGAGCGCUGACCAUCCAAACGCACCGCUACCACCUAUCGCCGGCGUCUUCUCCCUCACUCUCAGGUUUUCUUUUCCCGUCACGCGUCCGUGGCUCCAUUUCGACUUCAUCCUAUUUUUACAUUAGAUUCAGGUUUUGGAGGAGUUUAUCGUGUUGUCCAGCAAAUGUUAAUUACAUUUUGGGGAAUUUCCAGUAAGUAUCGAAAUUUUUUUUCUGUCCUUUCGAAAUUCACUGCAAAUUGCUGAAAAUUGGGUUUUAAUAUUUGAAAUUUCAUUAUGCCUAGGUUUGAAUUGUGUUAAAUUAAAGGUUUUAGAGAAGUUUUGAAUAAAAAAUAGGUUGGGCAAAUUUUUUAAUGUUUGAUGGGAAUUCUCAUUACCCAAAUCCCAAAUUGCAAAAUGGAUGAAAUUUUGAUUUCCAAUUCCACUUUGUCUUUGGUUGUUUAUGUGAAUGCAAUUUACUCUCCAAUCGCUUCAGAACUCAUCUCCUAUAUGUUGGAUUCCAUGCGAAUGAGUCAAUGUGAUAUGUUGAUGGUUCUUUUUAUGAAAAACAUCCCUCAUAGUUUUGAUUUGAUUUUAUAGGAGAUAUGUGUUUGUUUUGUCUAUCAUCAUAUUCAUCAUAUUCAAUAUUGUUGUUUACGAUCAUUUUUCUAAUGUGAAUCACAUUUUUUCUUUAUGGUUGACUAUGUGAUGAAGCAUUUUGGUAGCUUACAAUAUGUUUGAUUACAAUGUGUUUGAUGAAAUGUCUCAAUGAAGCAUUUGAUUGAUUUUUAAUUGAUUUUUGUUCAUUUGAAUUAGGAAAAUUCUAAGAAACGUUUUAUUUUGUUGAGAAUACAAAGGGAAAAAGGAGAUUGUGUUUGCUUUUGUUCUCUAAAAGUUGAUCAACUUCUUCAUCCAUAUGUAUUUUGCAGGUCAGACGACCUACGGGGAUUAUUUGUGCAGUUUGGUCCUCUUAAGGACACUUACUUGCCACAAGAUUAUUAUUUUGGGUAGGGUACUUUGGAAGAUUGUUAUAUUGAUUUUGUAUGCAUUUGGUGUGUAUAUGCGGUAGCCACCUAUUUUUAUCCUAUACAUUAUAUCUUUUUUAAAAUACUAAUAUUAGUAAUAAUGACUAAAUUAUUUAUUUAUCUAUUUACUUUAAAAAAAGCUAAAAAAAAUAAUAACAUAAUAUUUUAUAAUAUUUCAUUUUUAUGAAACAAAAAUAAAUCAAUUUAUUUUUAAAAAAUAUUUUAAUAUCAUAUUUGUACUAUUUUAGGAAAAAAGAAAUGAAUUUGUUCUAAAUAAAAUCUUCUAAUAUCAAUUUUGACUUACUUAAAUCAUUUUAGGAAAAAAGAAAAUCAAUUUUAAAUAAAAGUAUUUUAAUAUUCAUUAAUUUAUUUUUCACAAAAUCUCAAAAUAUCUCAUUUAAUUUAUUUUAGGAAAAUGAAAAUUUGUACGGUCUAUUAAUAGGGACCAUUGUCAUUUCAAAGAAAUGAGAAAGAGUUUUUUUAAACAAAUAAUUCUUUGGAUGAAAAUUUUCUUACAAAAAGUCUUUAAGAAAAUUUUGUUAGAGAAUCUCUGCGAAUUGGAAAAAAAAAAAAUUCUGCAAACGUAAGUAUUUUAUUAUUUAUUUAUUUGUUUAUUCUUACUUUCUUUUACUUUGGUUGUUAUUAUUUUUAUUUUCUUAAAAAAAAAAACCUUAGUCUUUUCUUCUCCCUAAAAAAUAGAGAAAAAGAACAUAAGACUUUUUUUUUUAAUCUUUACUUUAUUCUCUUUAAAAACACACACAUAUAUAAAGAAAAUUUCAUUUACUUAUUAUUAUUAAUAUAAUUUUAUUUGUUAUUAACUUUUUUUUAUUACUGUUUUUCUUAACUUUAUUUAUUUUAACUUCUGUUUUUCUUCUUUUUAACUUUAUUAUUAUAACUAUGGCUUUCUAUGUAUUUAAAACUUAUUAUUAUUGAUUUAUUUAUAUAAUUACUAUUUAUUUAUAUAAUUACUAUUUAUUUAUAUAAUUACUAUUUAUUUAAUUAUUUAUUUGUUAUAAUAAUAAUUAUUAUUAUUAUUUGGCCUUGCGGCCACACUUCUUGUUUUUUUAAAAAAAUGUUUUUCUUUCUCUUCUAAUUCCUUUUAUUUCUUUUGUUUCCUUAUUUCUUCUUUCCUUUUUCCUUAUUUAUUUAUUUCUUUCUUCUUUAUUUUUAUUUAUUUAUCUAUUCAUUUUCGUUAUCUGCAUUUUCUAUUUUCUUUUUAUUUAUUUUAAAUUAUUUUUAUUGCAUGCAUAAUAAUUAUUGUUAUGUAGUUUUAAACUUAUCAAUAUUUUUUUCACUUUGCAAUGUUACCAUGAUAUUUUAUAACAAUUAUUUUUCUUCUUCUUAUAUCGUAUUUAUCUUUACAUUUUAUCAUUCUAAAAAAAUCCGACAAUGGAAUUAGAAAUAUCUGGGAGUCCGUUAUUUCUAAAUUUUUGAGGUGAGGGAAUCUGUUCUUUGGGAGUCCAAGAUCGAUUCCCAAUAUUUUUUUAAAAAAAUAAAAUCUUAUCUUACUUGCUUAAUCUGUCGUGUGAUAUAUUUGAUUCCAUUGUGCAUUUCCUAUUGACCUAAUUUUGAAAUCUUUCUUAAAUUUCCCUUUUUAACCGUUUAGAAAUUUUUACUUUAAAACUAUUCCUUUUAAUUUUUUAAAAAAAUGUUCAAAAUAUAAAUCUAUAUUUCAUAUGUUUUCCUUAAUCAACUUUUUUAAUAACUCACUUCUAUUUCGCUAAAAUUAUUCCUAUGAUGGAAUCUAUAAAAUUUAGGAGUCCGAUUUCCUAGAAUUCUUAAGGUGAGAGAUCACAUCUUUGGAAGUCCGAAAUUUGAUCCCAAGAAAAAAUGAAUUUAAUCAAUGUUUUAAAAAAAAAUCAAAGACUAGCCUAUGAUAAAUUUUGAGAAAUUGUAAUAAUUUCUCAUUUUCUUAAGGUGAGAAACUUUCUUUCAAUAUAUAGUCUAAUUAAUGGAAUAUAAUUCCACUUAUUUUAUGAGAUCAUUGCUUCAAAUAUUGAAGUAAUGAGGGAUGAAAUAAAACAUUAGUUUUAAAAUAAAUUUAAAAAUAUUUUCAAUUGAAGAUUUUAAAUUUGGCCACCGUUUUUCUAAAUGGGUGUUGUGGGGUGCUAAUACCUUCUCCACACACAAAUUACACCCGAACUCAAAUUCUAUUUUUCGUAGACCAUUUUUUCAAAAUUGUUUAUUUUAUUUGGUGUCCAAUCACACCGUAAAAAAUAUUGGUGGCGACUCCUAUUUUAUUUUAAAACUAGCUCUUUUGAGGACGUCGGCCGCUCCGCGUCGUCUCGGGCACGUGGCGACAUAUGCAUGUCUGAAUUUUUUUUUUUUUCUGGAUGUUAACUCAUUUAGUCCUUUAGUUUUGGACGUAUCCGAUCUACUUUACAUAUUUGUAAAUAUGUUUUUAUUGAUGGUUGGUCCUAUAGUGAUUGCUUAAUGGUUUGGAAAUGGUCCUAUGUUUUCAAUUAUUUGGUUUUCCAAUAAUAACAUACAAUCUGUUUAUGGACUUUGGUUGUUUUUAUUGAAAGUGAUAAUGUUUGAAGACACCCAAUGAAGUAAUAAGAGUAUCUUGUGGAAUACAAGAAGCAUGAAUUUUUUUUUGUGUGUUGAUGACAUUCAAGUUCUGAUGACUUAAUGUUUACGUGUAGAUUUGGUCGAAGUUGGGUUACAGUACAUUGAGAAGUUCAAGUCUUGAAGAAUUUCAUCUCAGUUUUUUCUUAGCCACUCAGAAGGUUAGCAUGGUGAUGUUAAUAUUCUCUUGUUAGAGCUCUCUGUCGAUGUUUCUGCCACUCCCAAUCGAUAGAUUAAUGAUCAAUGAUAUCACUGGUUUAAGUGACAUUUUGGAAAAAUAUGCUAAGUUCUUUUUUUUUUUUUAAUUUUUUAUUAAGAUUCUCUGUAAAUAUUAAAUAUUAGAGGUGGGUGUGGAAAUGGAUGGAGAGCUUGGAAAAUGAAAUCUGUCUUCUUUUUUUUUUUUUUCUAGAGGGGGGAUUUUCAAGAUGAGCGUAUAUCAAAAGACGAAUGAGAUAUUUAAAAAAAGAGUAAAAGAUAAAAAAUAAAAAAAAAGGAGAUGAGUAUCUUUUCUUUUUUUGUUUGUAUAGGGUUUUAGCAAAUUCACAUAUUUUAAUCGUUAGCUGUAUUUUGUGGAGUUGUAAACUCUUUAGGAUUGUAUCAAGGAAAGAAAAAGAUAAACGAUAUAUUAUUAUUUAUGAAUGUAUUGAAAUGCUAAUGAUGUUGUGUGAUUGUGUUUGUCCCGAUAUAGGAUAUUUGAGUCACACAACAAGCCUUGAAUUAUGUUAUUUAAUACUUCUUCUGUGCUCAUCACUAAUUUUUAAGAUUAUAUGACAACAAGUUUUCUUUAUUAUUUUCGUAAAAAUAUCAUUACCUAUUCAUUGAUUUCUGAAUUUUUUAUGGUUAAUUUGCAUUAUUUAGUAGAUUUUAUGGCAAGGAAUUGGAAAUGGUUUUCUUUUGAAAUAACACUUGAUUUGUUCCUUGAAUGUUGUUGAGCUAUUUCCUUGAGUGACCUCGUUUUUUCUCAUUAUUGGUGUUUUUGAGUGAGUGGGUAAAUUACAAAUAUAUAGACUUAGUGGGGUGGAGUAGAGAAAGGGGAGAGUGAAUUUGUCUUUUAUUUAUAUUAUUUUAAUGUAGAUACGGUUCAUUAAUGUUAACUUGUUUGUAGUUUGUUACUCCUUUGAACUAAUCGAUUUCAUUGGUUCAAGGAAGUAGAUUUUUAAAUUGAAAAUUGUGGGUUCCAAUCUACAUAAGUAAUUUCCAUGUUUGCACAGUAAGUUUACAUUACAAACAUGUUUGCACAGUAGGAUAAUUAUUGGUGUUCAUUGGAAUUAUAAGUUAUGCUAUUAUUCAGGAUCUAGUUGCAAAUUCUUAUUUUUUUAGGAUCUAGUUGUGGGUAAUGAUGUGCUUAAUCUUCAUGAGAUUUUGUUUAUUGCAUGUUCCUAACUUCAUGUUAUGUUACUCUCUGUCCAAAAUUCUAUCUACUUUGUUGAUGUUAGUUCUUUUCUCCAUAUUUGCAGUGGGGAAUCUAUGUUACUGGUUUGUGAGAAGAGAUUGUUGCUUCUUUUGAGAAAGUUAAUUUCAAAAGAAUACAGUCUUUUGCUUCCUCCUUAAAGAGCUCAUUGGAAUUUUCUUUUGUUUCAAAAUUUAUUUUAUAUUUCUCAACCCUUGGGUUAAUAAUUCUAAAAUUCUGAUUGAGACUGAAGAGUUGAAUAGGGAGCUCAAUGGAAUUUAACCCCUUUGAUGCUAUUAUUUGCUUUAUAUAUGUGUUUUUCUGAAUGGAACACAUUGGGUCAUGGGAGAACAACAGGAAAGCAGCUCUUGAGGCUGAACUAAAACAAAUUGAGGUAAUUAGAAAAUAAAAUAUAUGUAAUGUGUUUAAGUUUUAUUUGUAUAGUAUGUAGAUGCUAUUUACGAUUUUAGUUCUAGAAUUUUAGAAAAAUUCAUUAAAUAUAAACUCACAACCUCAGUGAAGAUUCCAAAAUCUGUAAUUCGAUAUUUCUCUUCAUUGACGGAACUGCUCUUUACAACUAUGUUUUUUUUUUUUUUUUGUCGAUUUCAUUUGGAUUGAUUUUGUAAUGAGAGCAUGAAAAAUUUGAGAAGAAGAAGGGUGAGUAUAUAGAGAAAAUGAAGAACAAAAUAGCAUUGAUACACAAAACAACAUAAGAAAAUAAGGUUGUUAAUUGAAGCAAAGCAUAGAGAAGAAAGGCUGAAGGCAAAGGCAGAGGAAAUUGCUGCCAAACACAGAGCUACUGGAACUGCUCCUAAGAAGAUUUUCAAUUGUUUCUAAUUUUAAAUUAAACCAUAUAUGUUUACAAUAAUUUUAAAGCUGAAAUGUGCUUGAUUUUCUGUAAUGGUAUGCUCUUGUUUCCAUUUCUUAUUGACUUGUUAAAAGUUAAGAUGUUCAAAAAGCUAACCACAAAAGUUCUUAUAUUAGAUAUUUUUUAUCUCUGACAGACUAUCGGUUCCAAUUUGUAGGAACGGUGUAUUUAGGUACUUUAGAACCUCAACUACCUUCAAGUAGAUUGUACAUUGUAAGGAAAUCAUAGUAAGGUAUCCAUAAACAAUAUUCAUCUCUAUACAUUGAAUCUAGGAGAAGAAUUUGUGCAUGUCAUCAUACUCGGGUGUAUAAAGAUUCAGAAUUCAUUUAGAAGUUUUAGUUUUCUUAUUGUAAACAUAUUACGUUGCAUAUCUACAUUUGUGCUUAUUAUUUUGCAUGAUCUUAAACGUCCAAAUCCAAUCACUAAAGUUUGAUUACAUGAUGAAAAUGUGAUUCAGCCUUCAGAUGUAUGAUCAUAGAGAAUUGGGAAGCAUCCAAUAGAAAUGGAGCACGUCAGACAAUAAAGGUAUAUAUCUUAUGAAGGCUAACAACUCAAGAGGAUACCUCUAAUGUUAACAUGUAAAGAAGAUAAGAACAAUCUAACGAUAUAGUUAACAGGUAAUAUUUAUUUCAAAGUAUAUACUCUUACAACUUUAGUUUGUUGAAGUUAUUGGCUUUCCAUUUUUCACUCUUUGAUGAUUUGUCAUUAUUCAAUUUUAGUGGUUAUAUAUGCUAAAACAAACUAUUGAACUGUUGCUUUACGAAACAAGAUAAAUACUUGAAAACAAUCGAUCGAUACCAACAAUAUACCUGCUAGGAUGCUACAAUUUUUUUUUUAUCAUGGAUAGUAUGCUUAUACCGGUUGACUAUUGCUACUUGUGUAAAUUGCCAUGGGUGUUAUGUCUAUACUUAUUGCUAUUGCUAAAUUGCUACUUGUGUAAAUUCUCAUGGAUUUUAUGUUUGUACUCAUUGGUAGAGCUUUUUUUAAAACAAUCCAUAACAUUUUUUUUUUAAUCAUGGAUAGUAUGUUUAUACCGGUUGACUAUUGCUACUUGUGUAAAUUGUAAUGGGUGUUAUGUCUAUACUUAUUGCUAUUGCUAAAUUGCUACUUGUGUAAAUUGUUAUGGAUUUUAUGUUUGUAAAAAUUUUUAUAAGAAACUAGGAGACCUUUAAUUUUUGUCAAGCCAUAAAUGAUACAAGUUGUUCUAGUUUCAUUUUCCUAGUACCUUAAUAUUUCUUGGCUUCAUUAACUGAAGUGGAUUGCAAAUGAAAACUGUCUUCUUUCUGAUAUUUGUAGAUUUGAAAGUGUUUGACUCCUUAAGAUGGAAACUUUUCGGUUCUUGUUGGAUAACGUUUCUUCCAACCUUAGUUUCAUUCAUCUUGAUUAUUACUUAUGAUUACUUAUUCAAUAAUUUUCUUGUUGCUUACUUAUUUAUAUCCAGCUAAAUUUUCUAAAGAGUAAUGAUACAAGAGCUGUAAUUUGUAAAAAGUUCCAAUACUGUAGACCAAGUGGAUGUUAAGGUGAUGCUGUUAUUCUACAUGUGUGCUAUGCUAUGUAGUUGUUUCUCUUAUCGACGUAUGUGGUGAUAGAUAAUGCUCAAUGUUGAAAUUUUCUAUAAGAGUUGUACUCUCUUGUUCUAUGAUGAAUGCUAAUAUUCAUAUUGUCUUUGUAGGUUCAACUGGAGUCGACAACUUCAUGGGUUUACUUUCAAAGUACAUUUUCAGAGACGAACAUUCUCGAUUGGUCGUUUAUGCUUUAGCAGAAAAUCUUUUUAUAUGUAUUUUGAUGUUGUUUAAUAUAUUUUUUUAUUAAGGGCUGAAAUUCCGUACUUGUAAAUUGUUGGAACUUGAUUGGAAAUGUACGAAUAUUAUAAAUUGUAUUAUAGCGUAUAUAUAUUAAAGUGUCGGCUAUUUUUUUCUAUAUGGGUGUCAAUAUUAUAAAUUCAAAAUUAUCAUUGUCGGCUAUAUUAUUGUCUUUCAAAUGGUUCGUGUAAUGACGGAGUGGCAAGGAGAACAGGAAAAACUGUAGUAAUCGAGUAAUUUGCAACAUGAAAAACAUGUCGUAAUAUAUGAAUUUGUGACAGUUAUUAAUUGUUGUGAAUACGAAAACAAUGACAGUUUUUUUUACAAAAUUAAUUGUCACGAUUGCACUAUCUUUGACAGAAAAAAAAUGUCGUCAAUAGCAAAACAAUGACAUUUAAAAAAAAAAUGUCACGAUUGACAUAUUCGUGACAUUUAAAACAUGUCACAAUAAACGAAUUCACGACAUUUAUUUAACUGUCGUUAAUACAUAAAUGAUGAUAGUUAUUUAUUUUUAUUUGAUGUCGUAGAAUGCUAACUAACGACAUUUAUUUUAUGUCAUGACAUAAGUUAUUGCGACAGUUUUUGAAAACUGUCAUGGAAGACUUUCCAUGACUCCCGCUUCUAUGACUGAAAAUAACUGUUAUGGAUUUUGUUCGCGACAGUAAAUAACUAUCGUCGUAGACCUUUUUUCUUGUAGGGCUUGUAAGAGCCCUAUUGAAAUGCAAUGGAACAUUGCCGACUCCAAAUUAAAACACCUUCAUGAAGAUAGUUGAAUUACUUUUGCAUAUUUUGAUAAAAUGAGACUAUCAGAUGGAGUUUUUGAUGUUCAAGGAAAGGCAUGCUGGGAAAAGAAUGAUUGCCAAAAACGUAUAACUUGUUCUAACCUACCUAUUGCAAGUUUUAUACCUUUUGUUUUCUUUUCCAUUAACCCCAUUCGUCUAUGUUGAUUCUGAAGGGUUCGUUAGAUUUUGUUCUCUAUUAUUUUCAUUUUUACAAUUUGGUGAAUUCGUUCUUAAUAUCGUAUGAUAAUGAUUAAGAAAUAAAAUAUUGAACUAAAUUUAACCAUAUAAAAUUGAGGCAAAAGAGCUAACUUAUUUUUAAAAAAUAUAUAUCAAGACUAAAUAUUUAGAGAAAACUCAUAUUUUCAUCCCUCCCUAAAAGUUUGUGUGCAUUAUUGCUUUCUCACCGUAUCUCUUACACAACUUAUUGAUCAUAUAAAAUUAUCAAAGUUUAAGAUUUGACUUCAUUACCAAUUCAAUUAUGAGGAGAAUAACAUCAUUCGAUAGCAAAAACUUUCAUGUCAACAUCCUACGGUGAAAGAACCUCACAUUCCAAGGUGUUAACAUAAUUGCACCAGAAGAUCGUCCGAACACAGAUGGAAUACACAUUGAUCGAUCAAUUGGGAUCUCAAUCUUAAAAUCUCGAAUAACAACAAGAGACAAUUGCAUCUCACUUGGAGAUGGAAGCAAACAAAUAAAAGUCACUAAUGUGAUAUGUGGGCCAGGUCAUGGAAUAAGCAUAGGAAAGUCUUGAAAAAUACACUAACAAAGAACCUAUUGGAGGUGUCAUUGUAAAUAACUCCACAAUAAUGUACAUCAUUGAUGGUGUUAGGAUCACAACAUGACCAACCUCUCAUGUUGCUGGUAUUGCCAUCAACAAGAAUUUUUCAGACAUUACAAUGGUCAACGUUAGCAACCAAAUUUUCAUACACCAAGAGUAUUGUCCUUGGAAUCAUAGCAAUCAUCAGGCAUUGAUCACAUUCUUGAAAUUUUGAUUUUAAAAGUUUUCAUGCAUAUUGUCAACUUCAUGGAUAAACUUUAAUUUUCACUCUCAUUUUUCAGAUUUUGUCAAAGAUUAAGUUUAAUAAAGUGAGCUUCAAGAAUAUUAGAGGAAGUUCUGCAACUCCAGUGGAAAUCAAACUUAUUUGUAGUAGCAACCUACCAAGUGAAGAAAUAAAAGUAGCCAACAUUUACUUCGUUUAGAAUGGAAUAAAAGAUUCUAUUAUCUGAACGCGCGUAAGUGUGAAACUUAUUUGUAGUAGCAACCUACCAUGUGAAGAAGUAAAACUUAUGUUUCAUGAUUUUUUUUUUCUAAUAUAAUCUAAAUUUCAACUCACUCAUCCUUGAUUAUUAACGUGCAUUUAAUAUCGCAUAAUUGUUAUGUUGUAGAUUUUUAUAUUGUCGAUUGAAACAUAUAUAGAUCUAUUUUGUUCAACUUGUUUUAAGCCACUUGUGUUGCACACUGUCAGGUUUGAACAUGUGUGGUCUCAAACACGAAUUUAAGGAAUGAAUUUGAUUGGGAUUUAGAGAAUUUAGAAGUACUUCAAAAUUUCAAGGGAUUAUAACUAAUUUUUGACAAAUAUAAACCAUGGUUAUUUAACUUCAACCAUUCAUCGAUCUUUGCCAAAUAUAGUAAAUAAAAUUUGGAAGAGAAUUUUUCAAACACUAUUGAUCUUCUUCUCCUAUAUAAAGAGGGCUGAAUGAAAGUGCAUAUUCAAACCCAUUCUUUUCGAGUUAGCCAUUAGGACAAUAUAUAAGUAAAUAAAUAAAGUAUAGAAGGCGUAGUAGUGAUGGGAUUGGCAUUACUACCUUUCUUUUUAUUGUUGGCAUCUACUAUUGAAGCCCAAUCCCUUUUUGAUGUUACAAGAUAUGGUGCCAAACCUAAUACAGAUAUUACUCAGGCAAGUAUAUAUGCAAAACUGAUGAAUUUUUUUUUUUAAUUUAUUAGGAAGAAGACUUUAAUUUGAUGAUAGAACUAAACUUUUGCAGGCCUUAGCAAAUGCAUGGAAGGAAGCAUGUAUGUCCACAACUCCUAGUAAAUUGUUGAUUCCAAAAGGAGUAUACCAAUUAAGUCAAUCUUAUCUUAAAGGACCUUGCAAGAGUGUUCCUAUUCAAGUCCAAGUCGACGGAACACUAAAAGCUCCUCUCCAUCCAAAUGGAGAUGGGUUGGUUCUUUUUGCAUACAUUGAUCAACUAAUGUUAUCAGGCACGGGAGUUUUUGAUGGUCAAGGAAAAGCAGGUUGGGAUAAGAAUGAUUGCCACAAAAAGAAGAUAUGUACCAAACUUCCCAUGGUAAAUUGUUUAUAUAUUAUUUCAAACCUUUUGCCUCAUUUUAUAUACAAUUUAAAUCUACAUAAUUUCAAUUACAUAUGCGUCGUUUUAAAUUGAGAGUUUUUUUUUUUUUUUUUUUAAUUCUGAUCCCUUAUUUGUUUAAAUCCAUCAGAAUUUGAAGUUCAGUUUCAUCACCAAUUCAAUUGUGAAGGACAUAACUUCCUUGGACAGUAAAAAUUUCCACAUCAAUCUUUUGGGUUGCAAGAAUGUUACUUUUCAACACGUGACAAUCAGUGCACCAGAGAAUAGUCCCAACACGGAUGGAAUUCACAUAAGUAGCUCUGAACAGAUAAACAUUCUCGAUUCAAAAAUCUCAACUGGAGAUGAUUGUGUGUCUGUUGGAGAUAGCAACAAGCAAGUAACUAUUACUAAUGUAACUUGCGGACCAGGACAUGGCAUUAGCGUAGGAAGCUUGGGCAAGUACACCAAGGAAAAAGACGUGGUAGGAGUUACUGUGAAAGCAUGCAAAUUAAUCAAUACUACCAAUGGUGUCAGAAUCAAAACAUGGCCAGAUUCUGCCGGUGCAUUCAUAGCCUCUGACAUGCACUUUGAAGAUAUUGAGAUGCAAAACGUGAGCAACCCUGUCAUUAUAGACCAAGAAUACUGUCCGUGGAAUCAAUGCAACAGAAAGGUAUAUAUUGUAUUGAAAUUAUACUUUAUUUUGUUUAUUAGUUAAACUUCAUGAACUAAACAAAUACACUUUUGGGACCAUUAAUAUUUCAGGUUCCAUCCAAGAUUAAGAUCAGCAAAGUGAGUUUCAAAAAUAUUAGAGGCACUUCUGCUACUCCUAUCGCAGUGAAGCUUGUUUGCAGCAAAAGUAUACCAUGUGAAGGUGUAGAAGUCGCUGAUAUUAACCUCACUUAUAGUGGAAUACGAGGACCGAUUUUGUCUGAAUGUGCAAACGUGCAGCCUCUCAUUACUGGAAAGCAAAGCCCUCAAAUAUGUGCUAAGCCUGCUCCUGCUGGUGCUCCAUCAACAGACUAAUCUUUUCAACCAAUGCCACACAAAGUCUGCAAAACCAUAUGUGAAAGUUUAUCACAUAUCUAUAUUUAAUUCACAACAUUAUUCUGUAUUCAUUUUUAACAUUCCAUAGGUUUGAUCCAUUCUUUGAUGAUUCAUGAAGCUGAUCAUGUACCUUUUUUCUUCCUUCCAUUUUCUUCUGGGGAAUGAAAUAUAUAAUGAAAAUAAAUCAUACAAUUUUAACUAUUCUAUCCCUACUAUUCUAUCCCUUUAGACGUAGACCUACGUGAGUCGUGUUAUAACAUUCAAUUCUACGAAUGUUUUUAUACUCUUAACAACCUGAAAUGUGUUAUCAAACGUUGUUGAGUUUUGGAAUUUUUAAAAUUAAUUUCUUAUGUAUUUAGCAAAAGCACUGAUAUAAUUAAUUUUUACAUAGUUGAAAUUAAUAUUCAAUCAAUCAAAAAUCAUAAUUUAAUUAAUCAAGCUAGUACUAUAAUAAAAUCUCUAAGCAUCCAAUAAUAUCAUCGAAAUGUAUUAAAACAUAAUUGAAUGAUCAUCGUUAAGUUCAAAAUCUCAAAAAUAUGUUGAAAUAGGUAAAAUAAUCCUUCGUACCCAAGCUAGAGUAUAAUCAAAUUUGAAAUGUAAAAAAAAUCACAAAAUGAUAUUGCUUAUUGAAUUAAUUAAUUGUUUUUGUCAUCUUUUGUAGUUUUGUUACUUGUGAAACAUAGGCUUUAAAAUAUGCAUGGAUCAAUGACACAUGUCCAUCUGUUCGCCCAAGUGAGGUGGUUCUUAUAAGGAGAAUAUUUAAAGUAAGAGAAGGAGAAUUUAAGGCCCUUGUAAUAGCCUAUUGAAUUGCGAUGGAACAUUGUCGGCUCCAAAACACUUUCAUGAAGAUAGUUGAAUUACUUUGCAUAUGUUGAUAGAAUGAGACUAUCAAAUGGAGUUUUUGAUGGCCAAGGAAAGGCAUGUUCGGAAAAGAAUGAUUGCCAUUAACGUAUAAAUUUUUCUAACCUCCGUAUUGUAAGUUCUAUACCUUUUGUUUUCUCUUCCAUUAACCCCAUUCGUCUUUGUUGAUUCUGAAAGGGUUCGUUGGAUUUUAUUCUCUAUUAUUUUCAUUUUUACAAUUUGGUAAAUGUGUUGUUAGUACCAUAUGAUGAUUAAGAAAUAAAAUAUUGAACUAAAUUUAACCAUAUAAAAUUGAGGCAAAAGAGCUAACUUAUUUUUAAAAAAUAUAUAUCAAGACUAAAUAUUUAGAGAAAACUCAUAUUUUCAUCCCUCCCUAAAAGUUUGUGUGCAUUAUUGCUUUCUCACCGUAUCUCUUACACAACUUAUUGAUCAUAUAAAAUUAUCAAAGUUUAAGAUUUGACUUCAUUACCAAUUCAAUUAUGAGGAGAAUAACAUCAUUCGAUAGCAAAAACUUUCAUGUCAACAUCCUACGGUGAAAGAACCUCACAUUCCAAGGUGUUAACAUAAUUGCACCAGAAGAUCGUCCGAACACAGAUGGAAUACACAUUGAUCGAUCAAUUGGGAUCUCAAUCUUAAAAUCUCGAAUAACAACAAGAGACAAUUGCAUCUCACUUGGAGAUGGAAGCAAACAAAUAAAAGUCACUAAUGUGAUAUGUGGGCCAGGUCAUGGAAUAAGCAUAGGAAAGUCUUGAAAAAUACACUAACAAAGAACCUAUUGGAGGUGUCAUUGUAAAUAACUCCACAAUAAUGUACAUCAUUGAUGGUGUUAGGAUCACAACAUGACCAACCUCUCAUGUUGCUGGUAUUGCCAUCAACAAGAAUUUUUCAGACAUUACAAUGGUCAACGUUAGCAACCAAAUUUUCAUACACCAAGAGUAUUGUCCUUGGAAUCAUAGCAAUCAUCAGGCAUUGAUCACAUUCUUGAAAUUUUGAUUUUAAAAGUUUUCAUGCAUAUUGUCAACUUCAUGGAUAAACUUUAAUUUUCACUCUCAUUUUUCAGAUUUUGUCAAAGAUUAAGUUUAAUAAAGUGAGCUUCAAGAAUAUUAGAGGAAGUUCUGCAACUCCAGUGGAAAUCAAACUUAUUUGUAGUAGCAACCUACCAAGUGAAGAAAUAAAAGUAGCCAACAUUUACUUCGUUUAGAAUGGAAUAAAAGAUUCUAUUAUCUGAACGCGUGUAAGUGUGAAACUUAUUUGUAGUAGCAACCUACCAUGUGAAGAAGUAAAACUUAUGUUUCAUGAUUUUUUUUUUCUAAUAUAAUCUAAAUUUCAACUCACUCAUCCUUGAUUAUUAACGUGCAUUUAAUAUCGCAUAAUUGUUAUGUUGUAGAUUUUUAUAUUGUCGAUUGAAACAUAUAUAGAUCUAUUUUGUUCAACUUGUUUUAAGCCACUUGUGUUGCACACUGUCAGGUUUGAACAUGUGUGGUCUCAAACACGAAUUUAAGGAAUGAAUUUGAUUGGGAUUUAGAGAAUUUAGAAGUACUUCAAAAUUUCAAGGGAUUAUAACUAAUUUUUGACAAAUAUAAACCAUGGUUAUUUAACUUCAACCAUUCAUCGAUCUUUGCCAAAUAUAGUAAAUAAAAUUUGGAAGAGAAUUUUUCAAACACUAUUGAUCUUCUUCUCCUAUAUAAAGAGGGCUGAAUGAAAGUGCAUAUUCAAACCCAUUCUUUUCGAGUUAGCCAUUAGGACAAUAUAUAAGUAAAUAAAUAAAGUAUAGAAGGCGUAGUAGUGAUGGGAUUGGCAUUACUACCUUUCUUUUUAUUGUUGGCAUCUACUAUUGAAGCCCAAUCCCUUUUUGAUGUUACAAGAUAUGGUGCCAAACCUAAUACAGAUAUUACUCAGGCAAGUAUAUAUGCAAAACUGAUGAAUUUUUUUUUUAAUUUAUUAGGAAGAAGACUUUAAUUUGAUGAUAGAACUAAACUUUUGCAGGCCUUAGCAAAUGCAUGGAAGGAAGCAUGUAUGUCCACAACUCCUAGUAAAUUGUUGAUUCCAAAAGGAGUAUACCAAUUAAGUCAAUCUUAUCUUAAAGGACCUUGCAAGAGUGUUCCUAUUCAAGUCCAAGUCGACGGAACACUAAAAGCUCCUCUCCAUCCAAAUGGAGAUGGGUUGGUUCUUUUUGCAUACAUUGAUCAACUAAUGUUAUCAGGCACGGGAGUUUUUGAUGGUCAAGGAAAAGCAGGUUGGGAUAAGAAUGAUUGCCACAAAAAGAAGAUAUGUACCAAACUUCCCAUGGUAAAUUGUUUAUAUAUUAUUUCAAACCUUUUGCCUCAUUUUAUAUACAAUUUAAAUCUACAUAAUUUCAAUUACAUAUGCGUCGUUUUAAAUUGAGAGUUUUUUUUUUUUUUUUAUUCUGAUCCCUUAUUCGUUUAAAUCCAUCAGAAUUUGAAGUUCAGUUUCAUCACCAAUUCAAUUGUGAAGGACAUAACUUCCUUGGACAGUAAAAAUUUCCACAUCAAUCUUUUGGGUUGCAAGAAUGUUACUUUUCAACAUGUGACAAUCAGUGCACCAGAGAAUAGUCCCAACACUGAUGGAAUUCACAUAAGUAGCUCUGAACAGAUAAACAUUCUCGAUUCAAAAAUCUCAACUGGAGAUGAUUGUGUGUCUGUUGGAGAUAGCAACAAGCAAGUAACUAUUACUAAUGUAACUUGCGGACCAGGACAUGGCAUUAGCGUAGGAAGCUUGGGCAAGUACACCAAGGAAAAAGACGUGGUAGGAGUUACUGUGAAAGCAUGCAAAUUAAUCAAUACUACCAACGCGUGUCAGAAUCAAAACCUGGCCAGAUUCUGCCGGUGCAUUCAUAGCCUCUGACAUGCACUUUGAAGAUAUUGAGAUGCAAAACGUGAGCAACCCUGUCAUUAUAGACCAAGAAUACUGUCCGUGGAAUCAAUGCAACAGAAAGGUAUAUAUUGUAUUGAAAUUAUACUUUAUUUUGUUUAUUAGUUAAACUUCAUGAACUAAACAAAUACACUUUUGGGACCAUUAAUAUUUCAGGUUCCAUCCAAGAUUAAGAUCAGCAAAGUGAGUUUCAAAAAUAUUAGAGGCACUUCUGCUACUCCUAUCGCAGUGAAGCUUGUUUGCAGCAAAAGUAUACCAUGUGAAGGUGUAGAAGUCGCUGAUAUUAACCUCACUUAUAGUGGAAUACGAGGACCGAUUUUGUCUGAAUGUGCAAACGUGCAGCCUCUCAUUACUGGAAAGCAAAGCCCUCAAAUAUGUGCUAAGCCUGCUCCUGCUGGUGCUCCAUCAACAGACUAAUCUUUUCAACCAAUGCCACACAAAGUCUGCAAAACCAUAUGUGAAAGUUUAUCACAUAUCUAUAUUUAAUUCACAACAUUAUUCUGUAUUCAUUUUUAACAUUCCAUAGGUUUUAUCCAUUCUUUGAUGAUUCAUGAAGCUGAUCAUGUACCUUUUUUCUUCCUUCCAUUUUCUUCUGGGGAAUGAAAUAUAUAAUGAAAAUAAAUCAUACAAUUUUAACUAUUCUAUCCCUUUAAACACUUUAGUGUAGACCUACGUGGGUCGUGUUAGAAAAUUCAAUUCUACAACGGAUGUUUUUAUACUCUUAACAACCUGGAAUGUGUUAUCAAACUCUCUUGAGUUUUGAAAUUUUUAAAAUUAAUUUCUUAUGUAUUUAGCACGGAUAUAAUUAAUGUUUACAUAGUUGAAAUUAACCUACAAUCAAUUAAGUCAAUUUAAUCAAAGUUGUAUUAUCAUAAAAUCCGUGAGCAUCUAAUAAUAUCAUUAAAAAAAUCUAUUAAAACAUAAGUUUAAAAUCUCAAAAAUAUGUUGAAAUAGGGAAAAUACUCCUUCAUACUCAACCUUGACAAUAAUCAAAUUGAAAUGUAAAAAAAAUCACAAAAUGAUCCAAAAUUAAGCAACAUUAGGUAGUACAUUCUUGGUGUUAUCAAACACCACCAACAAUUAAUCCGGCCUUCAUCCUUCUGAGCAAGGUAGAAUAAAGCAUACACAGUCACAUUAAACCUCGAUUAAGUAAGUCACUUUCUCAUGCCUUAACAGUCAACAAGAACCCAACAAACACUCAAUCUUUAAUAAUAUACAAAUCCAAGAACAAGCAAUAUGCACAUUAAAAUUCCUAACAAAGGCAUGGCCCUUCUACUUAAGUCCUAACAAAAUUAAAUUUGGAAUAGAUUUAAAGGACCCUCAAUUCACUUUUCUCCUACACAAAGUGGCAAAUGCAUGCAAAUUUUGAACAAACCGACUUCAUUUCUUUCUUAUCAAUAUUUUUCUGUAUUUUUCUAAUUUUUAUUCAUUAGCUACAAUAAUUCGUCCUGGUCGAGGAUUAUCAUACCACAGUAACAUUGAGCAACCCUAACUGAUCAUGAGGGAGAUUUGUUUUUAAACAAGCAAAAAAGUUCGGUUGGUUGUGUCCUAGUCAUGAAUACAUUGCUAAAUUGAUAUGGAGCCGGAAAAACGCUACUUAGCCUAGGAUAUAGCCAGGUGAAGGACUCAAGUGUGCAUGAGAGAUGGAAGAGAAAUUUUUUAAAAUAUGCUUAAUUAAAAUCAUACUUAGUAUUUUCUCUUCACAAUGCUUCAGUACACAUACAUGACUCAAAAAGUGUAUCAUAGGCAAGUCAUAGAAAAGCACAAGAUAACAAAUUAGCAAGCAACAAAGAAGCACAUACAAUAGUCCAAGCACAAAUGCUCAAAGGCUCUAGCCAGAACAUUGACGGUAUCCCAUCCCAAACUCAAAAUCUAACAUUGUCUCCAUCCUAAUAGAAAGGAUAUCGAAUCGGUCUAUAUCGCGAUGGCAUUGUGACUGAUCUUCUCCUAAGAAUACGAAUAUAUGAUAAGUAAAUAAGUAAAUUUUGGCACAUAUUUUUAACCUCUUACAAAGAAAGUGAUUUAAGAUAUGUCAAAAGUGGUUUUAUUUUCAGUACAUGGGAAGCAGAUUUAAAUUAAUACACCUCAUGGUUACUAAUAAUCUUGUCUGCCAGAUGAAUUUUUGCUCCAUUUGACAUAUCAAAAGUGACUUUAAUCAUUGACAAAUUACUCUCCUACAUACCCUUUAACUAACUAUAGAAAUAUUUGAGCCACUUCAUAUAAUAAUAGAGACGAGGUUAUAAAUUUUUUUCAAUUUCUCAGAGGUUGUUUUUCAAUCAAAUACAAUCCUAAUUAUGUCAUAUGUUUUUUCACUAAAAUUAUCCGUUCUUCCUUUUUUCAGUUGGUCUCAAACAUAAAUUUUAUUGAGGUGAGGAAAUGAUUAGUAAAUUCCAUUUGUUAUGAAAUGGCUAUUUUUAUGACGGACAGCCUAAUGGUUUAGCUUCAAUCUUUCAACGAUCUUUUUCCAAAUUUAGCAACCAAGAUUUUUUGGAAUAUAUAAAGAGGGGUUGGAUGACUGCAUAUUUGAAUCAUUCAUUCCCAUUUUCAUAGUUAAUUAAAUUAGAAUAAAGAGAAAAUCAUAAGCAAAAAGUAGAAGACAUACAUAAAAAUGAUGGGAUUGAAGUCAAACAUUAUGGCAUUACUAUUACAUCUGUUGUUAAUGUUGGCAUCAACCGCAAAAGGUCAAUCCAUUUUUGAUAUCACUACGUAUGGUGCCAAACCUAAUACUGAUAUUACUCAGGUAAAUAUAUAUUAGCUUGAUAAAUUUUGCAUUUUAUGUAAUUUUUUUAUCUAAUGAAAUAAUUCAAUUUAUAGGCUUUGGCAAAUGCAUGGAAGGAUGCAUGUGCAUCGACCAAUUCUAGUAUAUUGUUGAUUCCAAUAGGAGUUUACCAACUAAACCAAUCCAUUCUCGAUGGUCCUUGCAAGAGUACUAUUGACUUUCGGUUGGAAGGAACAUUACAAGCUCAUCCCAAUCCAAUAGGAAAUAUGAUGGUUCUUUUUGAACAUAUCGAUCAAUUGACAGUGUCAGGCACUGGUGCUUUUGAUGGCCAACGAAAAAAGGGUGGAGACAAAAAUGAUUGUCGCUUGGAAAAAACAUGCGCUAAAUUUCCCCGGGUAAAUUCUCUAGUUAUAUUAUCUUCUUUCUCUUUAUUCUUGAAGAAUACAUAAUUUUUCAAUUAAUAUAUGCAUUUUUUUCUAACUCGGAUACCUUAUCUUUUGGGCGGGCCGACAUUAAAUUUGUAAGAAUGUGAAGUUCAAUUCCAUAAACAAUUCAAUAGUGAAGGACAUAACUUCCUUGGAUAGUCAGAAUUUUCACAUCAAUCUUUUCGAUUGCAAGAAUGUUACUCUCCAAAAUGUGACAAUUAUUUCACCAGAGAGUAACCCCAACUCUGAUGGAAUUCAUGUGAGCAGUUCAGAAGAGAUUAACAUUCUCAAUACACAAAUCUCAAACGGAGCUGAUUGUGUAUCUGUUGGAGACAGCAGCAAGCAAAUAACUAUUACUAAUGUAACUUGCGGACCAGGAGAUGGCAUUAGUAUAGGAAGUUUAGGCAGGUACGCUAAUAGAACAGAGGUGACAGGAGUUACAGUGAAAUCAUGUAAAUUAAUCAAUACUUGGAAUGGUGUUAGAAUCAAGUCGUGGCCAGAUUCUGCAUCUGCAUACACAGCCUCUGACUUACAUUUUGAAGAUAUUGAAAUGGUUAAUGUUAGCAAUCCUGUCGUUAUUAACCAAGAAUAUUGUCCAUUUGAUCAAUGCGACAAAAAGGUACAUAUGUAUUGAAAUUGCUCCUUAUUCAUAAUUUGCAACUAAUUAAUUUACUUCAAGUAAUAUUUUUCUUAUAUAUAACGAAUGCAAAACUAACAUGAUUUAAUUUUUGGUUUCUUAUGUAUACGUUUGUUCAGAUUCCAUCAAAAAUUAAGAUCAGCAACGUUAGUUUCAAGAAUAUCAGAGGCACUUCUGCUACUUCGGUUGCUAUUCAACUUAUUUGUAGCAAAGAUUUACCGUGCGAAGAUGUGGAAGUUGCUGAUAUUGACCUAACUUACACCGGAACUCAAGGACGGAUUACGUCUCAGUGUAGAAACGUGAUUCCCAUCAUUACUGGAAAGCAAAAUCCUCGUGCGUGUGUCGAAGCUGCUCCUAUUAAUGCUACAUCCACAUCCACGUCAAUGGCAGAACUCUAAACCCUAAAUUUGCCGUUAGCUAUAAUAAAACUUGAAAUUUAUAGCCAUUUUGUUUUAGAUUGAAAAACACAUUUUUCAAACUGUUUUGUAUUCUGAAAACAAAUAUCAUCUGUGUCUAUCUCUGUAUGUUUUGUAUUGCUUAAUUGUAUCUUUAUAUGUUUUUUUAUUACUUAAUUGUUGAUUUUGUAACUUCUUUUUCAACCUUUCUAUUUUAAAUCUUUUAUUUAUGAAAAAUUGUAUCAAAUGACAAAAAAACAUUUAGAAAAAAAUAGUCUAUGGCAUCAAUUUUUCUUGCAUAUUGGAAAUAUAGGAUAUCGACUAUUAGAGGGUCAUCCAGCUGUAAUCAUAGAGCUAUCAGAUAGUCAUCAAUUUUAAAUUUGCUAUUGAGCUCUAUUAUCAUAAAACUCUUUACUAUUCUUGCAAAAGCUCAUUUAUUAAUUUUCUUUCUUUAAAUCUAUAACUAAGUUUUUUUAGAAGGGGUGCAUCAAGGUAGGUCACAAGUUAGUACUGCAUCCAAGCACGCUUAAAUUAAUUAAACUUAGUACUACUCUACUCUUGCCCAAGCACAUAUAGUGGAGUUCUAACCGACUUGGUACUGUUGAGUGGCGGAUCCAUAAAUUUUAUAUAGGGCACUGGACAUUAUAUAAUAAAUACACAAUAUCUCGACAUUUCACUAAUGCUCCAAUAACAUUCAUUAGCAAUAAAGAAUAACAUUCAUUAGCAAUAAAGAAAGAAAGACUAACAAUUUUCACAUGAUUUUUUGUAAUGUAAAUAUGUAUAUUUAAAAAUUGCAUAAAAAAAUAGUACAUUUUUCAUAGAAUAUUGUCGAGAGUGAAAGUUUGGACCACCAACUUUGCAUUUUUUUUCUAAAUAUUGGUUAGAUAACAAAUGUGAGCUAGAAAAUAAGGUAUCUUAGAUAGGUUUUUUACUCUUUUUAAAAAAUUAUAUUCUUUUAGGAAAUUAAAUUAUCUUCCAUUUAGAAAAUCAUUAAAAUUUAGAAAGAAAAAUCAAAUUAUCUCAUUUUAGAAAAAUCAAUCCUCGUGAUUUUAUAGGGGCACAGCCACUAUACCAAAACUAAAAUUUAGCUAAAUUAGAAUAUUAUUUAAUGUAUAUUGUAAUCUGACAUUUUAAUACAAAAAUUGAGAAUGUGGAGGUAGAAGGAGCACGUGCCUCUAAUCCCUUAAUAAAUUCGUCCAUCUCUGUAGAAGUUGUGAUGGGAUCUGGUGUACUGGUAGAGUUGUGCAUGUCACCAUUUUUAAAUUAGAGCUUUCUUAGCUUGUUGAGAUGUUUUUGUUAUAUUUAUUUAAUUUCUUUGCUCUUGUAAUGAAAAUGUCAAUCAAUGUUGUGUUUACAGAGAUAUGAAUCCUUACCUAAAUCCAAACUUCCUCCAAACCAUAGAGACGUAUUUUGUAGGUAAUUACUCCACGAGUCACUAGUUUUCAGUUGUCUAAAAUAAGAAUUAUAUUCCUUUUCUAAAUCUGCUACCGAAAUCACGUAUCUGCAUGGUAAAGAUAACAUGCAUCAAAAUUGUUGAGUUAUUAAGGUCAAAUGACAGAACAGAAGUCCCUAAACCCUGAACCCUGAAACGAUCUUCCAAAAAUUUGGGGAUAAGUGUUUGAUCGAGAUCUUGUUGGUACUUUGAUCUGUUUGAUUUUGGAGUGAUUUUAGAUUCAAUUUCUGGUAGAUUUCCCCUUAAUUUUAGUGAUCUGUUACGUAUUAAAAUAGAAUGGUUUGAAAAAAAAAAUGGUCAUUAAUUGAACUUCUAACAUUAAAACUAACGUCAUAUAGCCCCACACUGAAAGAUUGAAUUAUAGUUUUUCUUUUUUUCCAAUUUCUAUACUAAAAGUUCUAAUCACAUUUAUUUCAAAUCUUCACUGUCAAAUUUCGUUAAACUUACAAAUUGGAAUCUCUGUUGAAAAUGUUAGGGAACUCUUAUUUUAUGUAAAAAAUAAGUUUUUUUUUUCUUGGGAAGACAGAAACAGGGUACCAAGGAGUAAUCCUAUCUAACUACUUGUAUGUAUAAAGGUAUAUUAAACUUUUUUUUUUAAGUCUAUGUAUAUGCAUUGAAACCUAGUUGAGAUAAUAAGGUACAUUUUUUAUGACUUGUUAAAAAAAAAAGGGUGAACUAGUGAUAAUUGAAAUUUAGUACUCUUAGGGUCAAAAAUCCAAAUUCUGCUACUCCGAUUUGAUAUAAUAAACAAAAAUUAUGCAUGCUUAUUCUAAACAGCUAGGGUUAGAUGAUAUUUUGAGAACCAUUCAACUAAAGAAAAGCUUCAUAUUUCACCCUUCAUCUUCAAUCUCUAAGAACAAUGGCUGCCGAAGCAGCAGCGACGGCCACCGCCCGCCAUACUUCCCUCCACAUUGCGAUGUACCCUUGGUUUGCUCUUGGCCAUCUCACUCCAUUUCUCCAUCUCUCCAAUAAACUAGCCAAAAAAGGCCACAAAAUCUCUUUCUUCAUCCCCACCAAAACCCUUCCCAAAUUUGAGCCCUUAAAUCUCUUCCCUAAUCUCAUUACAUUCAUUCCUGUCAUUGUUCCUCAUGUCCAUGGCCUCCCACAUGGUGCAGAGACCACUUGUGAUGUCCCUUACCCUCUCCAUAACCUCAUCAUGACCUCCAUGGAUCUCACUCAACCUCAAAUCACUCUCCUCCUUCAAACUCUAAAACCCCAUCUCAUCCUCUUUGAUUUCACUCAUUGGUUGCCAAAAUUAGCUAGCCAAUUAGGUAUCAAAUCAAUCCAUUAUUGUGUUACUAGUGCAGCCAUGAUUGCUUAUACUCUAACCCCUUCAAGGCAAUUUUAUAAAAAUGAGUUAACUGAGGAAGAUCUCAUGAAACCCCCAGUUGGUUAUCCCAGUUCCACCAUAAACCUUCAUCCCCAUGAAGCAAGAGUUUUUGCUUCAAAAAGAAAAUGGAAGUUUGGGAGUGAUGUACUUUUUUAUGAUCGCCAAUUUGUAAGUUUUAGUGAUUGUGAUGCAAUAGGGUUUAGAACAUGUCAUGAGAUUGAGGGAGAUUUUGUGAAUUAUCUUCAAUUUGAGUUCAGAAAACCUGUUUUGCUUACUGGGUCUGUUUUGCCUGAAACACUAAACCCUGAAGCUUUGGAGGAGAAAUGGGAAAGUUGGCUUUUAGGUUUUAAGGAGGGCUCAGUGGUAUAUUGUGCAUUUGGGAGCGAGUGCACGUUACAAAUGGAGCAAUUUCAAGAACUUUUGAUGGGGUUUGAGCUUUUAGACAUGCCAUUCCUUGCUGCACUCAAACCGCCUUUCGGGGCAGAAACAGUUGAGGCUGCGUUGCCGGAGGGGUUUGCAAAAAGAGUCGGGGGACGAGGGGUGGUUUACGGUGGGUGGAUUCAACAAGAGAGGAUUUUGGAGCAUCCAUCCGUGGGAUGCUUUGUUACACACUGUGGUUCUAAUUCUUUAAAAGAGGCAUUGGUGAAUAAGUGUCAAUUGGUGCUGUUGCCUCAAGUUGGGGAUCAAAUUAUCAAUGCAAGGAUGAUGGGGAACAAUCUUAGGGUUGGGGUGGAGGUGGAAAAAAGACAAGAAGAUGGAUGGUUUACAAAGGAAAGUGUUUGUAAAGCUGUGAAGAUUGUAAUGGAUGAAGAUAAUGAAAUUGGAAAAGAAGUUAGAACAAAUCAUUCUAAAAUAAGGGAUCUUUUGUUGAAAAAAGAUUUGGAAGAGUCUUAUAUUGAUAGUUUUAGCUACAAUAUUUGUGAUUUGGUGGCAUCUAUGGAAGUAACAUCCAAAAACAUGUAGAAAAAACAGGUAAAAGCCACAACUUUUAUUUUUCGUAUGAGUUGUUGAGAAUGACGAAUAUGCUUAAGCCUAUUGUGCUUCCAAGACUUGAAUCUUGGCUUUAGUUCUGUUGUGUUUUCUUUUCCUAAAAUGUUCUGAUUCUGGCACUUCAAUGAAAAUCUAGGGUAUAAAAUUUUUUAUCUUUUGGAACAAUUUUUAAAUGUUGUUAAUCUUCUUUUACCAUUAUUUACAUACAUUUGUUUACAUCCAACCAUUUGAUUAUUAUUAACCAUGAAAUUAGUGUGGAUAUCCUAAAUGGUGCUCUGAUAACACACCAUAUAGGAGGAACCCCUUGUACUUUUGAUAAUUAAUAUGAGAUUUCUUGUCUGUGUGGGUUCAUAUACUCCUAACUUAUUGAUUAUUAAUUUAUUCAUAAUAAUUUAUUGUUAUUGAUUGAUAGCUAAUGGUGGAUUAUGCAAUUUCGUGUUUAAUUUAUAAUAAGUGUAAUGUAAUUAUUUGUUAAUCACCUCUAGAAAGUAAUAUGUUAGAUAGACUUGUAAUUUGUUAGAUAGACUUGUAAUUUGAUCGACAACAACGAUAACAUAUUCUUCUAUCGAUCUUGCAUAAAUCAUAUUUAAUUUUUUAUUAAACAUUUCCUAUUAAAAAUUUAUCCCCAGCCCAAUUCCCAAAGUAUAGGAAUUAAAUUAAAUUGAUUAGGAUGUGAUUCCAUUCCUCUGGACUAGAAUUUGAUUGCAUUUAAUUAAUAUAUUCUACAUUUACUGCUUUGAUGCAUGUUUUUACUUUCAUUACACAUUUCAAUCUCAAACCACAUAAAACACCCCAUUUAUCCCCUUAACUAAAUAAUUUACUUCCAAAAACUAGUCUUUAUGCUUUCUCGUGGAUCUACCUAAUGAUCCUUUUUUUGAAGUACUUAGUAGUAUAGAUAGAAUUGAGCGGUAUAUUAUAAAUUUUAUUUGAUUGGUCAUUUACAUACGAUAGGAAAAGGCUAGCUACACCGUGGAUUUUAGAAUCAAAACAUGGUUAGCCUCUCCUAUUUCUGGUAUUGUCACCGACAUAUACAUUUUUCAGACAUUAUAACGGUGAAUGUUAGACCAAGUACUUUCAUGGAGUCUGUGUAAUAAUUAUUAAAAAGGUAUAGAUUGUUCUCAAAACUUUGGUUUUGAAAUACUUCAAGACAACUUUACAAAUAAACAUAAAUAGAAGUUUCAGAUUGGGUAAAAGUUUAAAUAAAUUUGAUUAAAGUGAGCUUCAACAACAUUAGAAAAACUCUUCUGCAGCAGUAGAACUUAUUUUGCCAACCACAACUUGCCAUGUGACGAGAAAAGGUAACCAACGGGAAACCCAUCAUUUGAGCCUGCUCUUCCCAUAUCUCUUCCCCAUGAUUUGUUCAUUACCUUACUACUUCAAAAUCAUGGCCAACCUUAAUUAAUUUAAAAUAUAUGUCUCCCUUUAUCUUUUCUCUCUUUUGUUUUCCUUUCUCAAUGUUUGGGGGAAGCUUGUAACAUUGGUAUCCAUCCUAUACUUUUCUUAUAUAUAUAAAUAUAUUGAAGUCUUGUGUGUCUUGAAACAUGUAAUUAUUCUAAUAAUACCACACUUGUUUGACUCUACUUUUUGCCAACAAUUAUAAACCAAACAUUUUAUCAAUAUCAUUCUCUACUUCCCAAAUUUAUUAAAUCAACACAAAAAAAUAUUGAUUGAAUCAUUUAAAUUUGUAUUCCUUAUCUAGCAAGUGUUAGUCCUUAUCAAGACAAUAAUUGUCACUUGAUAACAUACUCUAUUCCUCUCUCUCUCUAUUAUGUCAUUUUCAAACUUAUAUUUAUGUUUGUAAAAGCUUGAAAAAUAGAUGUGGUUGGAAUUGAAGCCGACCACUUACUUGGGAAAUCGUAUUCCUUAAGCAAGAGAUAAGAUUUUUAAAGCCCAUUUUUCUAAAUAUAAUUUUAGUAAAAAGCUACUUUUUCCCACCAUAAAUAUGUUACUUUAUUUAUAGUGUGGUUUGGCUUAAUUAUAUUGAUCAAUAAUAAUGUUCUUAAAGAAAUCAAUUUUUCAUGAUUCUUCUUAGUUUCAUAAAUCCAGCAAUAAAAAUUAUUUUAGUUGAUGUUAGAUUGAAAUAUCUACUAAUAUUAUCGACUAAUCGAACCCUUCGAUAUCUUUUAAAUAUAUUUAUGUAAGCAUCUCUAUUAAUUCCAAAUAUGAAGAUGUGAUUUAUACUAGAAGAAAAACAACUUAAUUAUUAGUUUAAAUAAAUUUUGUUAUUCUAUUUAUAAAAAUAUGUAUUGAUAUCAAUAUUUAAUAUUCAACCACUAUAGUGAGAAUUAUUUUGAAUCCUUUCAUUUGCAUAAUUUUUCAUUGAAGGGAAAUAUUGGACAUUUUUCUUAGGCGAAGAUGUAAAGUUUUACCAAUUAGGUUUAUAUUAAAUAUAUAUAAAUACUUCAAAUUUGAAAUUUAACGUACAAGGGAAAGAUGGAAGGUUGGAAAUCUUGAUGUUUAUAAUAUAUAUAAUUUUCUUAACAUAAGACAAGGGUGAGUGGGGAAAUUAUGUGUUAGAUAACCUAAUAAAAAAACCAUAGUUGGAGUUGUAUGUUGCUUAGAGGUUUAUAAACUUUGUUAUGAGUGGUUUUUGAGUUAAAUAAUUGAAAUGAUACAAUGGAAAAAAAUAACGUAAGAGAACUAUCAUACUAAGAAAAUGAUGAUAAGCAUAUAAGUAAAAAUGGAUCAAGAAGAGAUGAGCUUAAGGAAAAUGGCUAAUUUAAUUUGACUUUGAGUCAAAAUGAUCCACUCAGCCUCGACCUUCAUUUGCUAAAUUAAGCAUGCACAGUACAACUUGAUUGGGUCUUGAGAAGAAGAUAAUUUGGGCCAAAAGUAAAAAUUGAUCUACAUGGCUUCGGUCUCAAUCAAGGAUGAGAUUGUGAGUACUUAGCCUCCAAACUUAACAAGCAAAACAUAGAUAUUCAUUUGGCUCAAUACUUAACCUAAUGUUACUAAAGAAUAUUACUCGAACAUGGAUGUCAGUAGAUCAAGAUUUUACUAUAUAAUCAUUAUGACUACAUAGAAAGUUAUAAACUUAUUCUAAAUAAUACUCAAUCAAUAUACUCUUCAUGCUACACAUAAUUACACUUUUUGACUUUAAGUAUUGAAGUCUAUGUCGUCACAAGCACCAUACCGGUGUGUAGAUUUUACAUCCUACAUAUCACAUUCUUCACCAAAUUACAUAUUUAACGUUAUUGUUGUAUAAACAUGAGGAACUUUUUUUUUUCAAAAAAAAUCUUAAUUUAAAAAGAAGAGAUGGAAUCUUAAAUAAAAAAAAGAGGAAUUAAAAGAAAAUGGGAAGUAAAACCCUUAUGCACAAAACCACCCUUAUAAUAUAUAUAUAUAUACAUUUGUUUGUUCCUUCAAAGGUUAAGGCUUUCAAUCAUUUUCUUGGUCUCCCAUUCCACUGUUUUCCCACUUAUCCCUUUUAACUUUUCUCCAAAGGUUUGAUUGCUGAGAAAAAAAAAAAAGAAAAGAAAAGAAUGAAAAGACAAGAAAGUAAUAGUGGAAGCAAGAUAGAAAAAAAAAUCAUUUUAUAUUUGGGAACAUCCAAUGGCCAUUUCUAUCAUAAUUUUCAUAUGUUUAUACUUAUAAAUUAAUGCAAUAUGCACAUAAAACAAAGUGCUAUUCACAAAACCACUAUAAUUAUAUAAAUCCCAUUUGCAAUUAGAAAUUUAAAGAGGAAAAAAUUGAAGCAUAGUAAAAGAAAUUAGAGCACUUGUAAGCAAUUAUAAGCAAAUAUAGCUAACGAUACAUAUUUUUAUAGAGUUUAUGUCAAGGAUCAUCAAAAACGUAAAUAGAUCAAAAUCUCACCAUAACGAAAAUUUCAUACUUGAUCAUUUAAUAUUAUACAACAAAUUAUUCUAACCUAUAUAAUGAUUAUUACAAAGAAGUCAUUUUUUUACUCAAUUCAAAAUUUAAUAAAUUAAUUGACCAUUUAUUUUUCGAUAUUAUUAACUUUUAUAUUAAUGAUAAACAAAUUGUUACGGACCAUAUUGUCCUUUUCUUUUCUAAAGUAAAUCACUAAUUCACAUCACGACAAUGAAUGUUUUUAAAAAAAUGUGAUAUUUUUAUAAAUAAUUAAUUCAAUUACUUUUUUGGAAGAGAAAAAGUAUAAAGUUUGUGUCUUCAUAUAAUUUUUAAAUACUUAAAUCUACUUCUUUGCUAUAGCUAUAUAGCUAGCCUUUAUCUUAAGCAUGCUUUUAAUAAAUUAAUAAUUAUCUUACUAAAAUUCCAUCCUUGAUGUGAUGUUCAUAAGUACAUAGUACAAUUUGGUAAAAUUUUCUCCAAAGUUUAGGGUUUGUUUUGGUAUCUAUUUUUAUUUUGUGUCAUAAUCUCUGAAAAAAUUAAAAACAUAAAAAGGUGAAAGAAGCUAUAAAUACAUGUAGCUAACUUAUUUUAACGUGACAUUAAUUCAUUAAUUUUCUUAAUAAUUACAACUUAAAGACAAAUUUUAAACUUCAAAACAAGAACUCAAACUAGUCAAAUUUUUUUUAUAACCCAAAUAGAGAACCAAAGAUUCCCUUAUGGAAAUCUUUAGAUAUGAUUUGUUGGCCAGAGAAUUAGCAUAAGAGAAACUACCACCAAAGAAGGGGUUUGGUUUAAUAAUAAAUAAGUGUUCUCUAUUUGUGGAGCAUGAAUAAAAAAUUUAGAGCAAAACCAAAAGAAAUCAAAAGAAAUCCUUCCCCACAACACAUGAAUAUAGUGAAGAAUAUAUUGAGAGGUUGAGAGAAUAAUAAUAAUAAGAUUCAAUUUUUAAAGAAAAAAACAGAGAAAGAGAGAUGGAUAGUUACAUUUGUAUAAGAGAAGAGUGGUAGUCACUACCACUACUCCCACCACUACACAAGUGCACAUUAGUCCCCAUUAAAACCAAAGUUGGAGGCUGUUGACUCUCUUUUUAAUUUAUUUUGUUAUUCUUCCCACCUAAUUAUUAUGCACCCAAUAACCCCUAAAAAGAAAACUUUCCCCAUUUACCUCUUCAACUUAUCAUCACUUUGGAUCUACAUUCAAUUUUGACCUCUCAUCCAACUCCCAAAUACAUUUGUUUUUUCGCCUAUUGUUAUUGCGUUUUGUAAAAAAAAGAAUACUUCCAGAAAACUUCAAUUAAUAGUUUAACCAUCGUAAUUUAAUAGAAGCAACCAAAGUGACGAUAAUCGCUUUUUUUUGUUGUCUUUUAUUGAAGAGAUUCUGUUGAUUCGCUCAAAGCAAAUGAAUCAUAUCAUUACACUCAAAUAAAUUUACUUUUUCUUUUUUAACUUCUCUUUUGAUUCAUUUUUUUUCAUGAGCUGAGACAAAUUAGAAUGUUAUUGUCAUUUCAUUCAAGCUUUUAGUAGGCACAUGGUUUUUGAAUCCCUAUGUGCUUCUAAUUCAAAUUAAAAACAAAAUAUACAAAAGUUAUUACAUUCAAACUCUUUUGUGUAACUUUUGAACUAAUACAUUAUUGUAUACAAGAACAUAUACGUACAUAUAAGAUCACUAAAUUUCAAAAUUCAAGUCAAUUUUAAACCGUCAAUUCAAGCAUAACUGACUGUAACGUUACACACCCACAAUUUGUUAUACAAUAUUCUAACACAAAAAGGAAACAAAAAAGAAAAAAGAAAAAGUAAAACCGAUCAAAGUAUAUGAUACCAAUUAAUAAUUCUAUAGCAUUCGAUUUGUGACUCUUUUUGAAAACCAGAUCCAAUCGAAAUUACUACAGAGGAGGAAGAAACCCCAUUUAUUUAUUUUAUUUACAUUAAUAUUGCAUAUCUCAUGCUGUCGCUUACCAUAAGAUGAUUAACUUCCGAGAUUCUUGGAAACUCGCCGGAGACCCACAUCCCGUCGACCCCAUUAACGUGUGGUUGAGAAAAGCAAGACAGAAUCGAAAAUGGGGUUCGAAGAAGGCUGUAAAUCAUAGAAAACCCAUAUGAAUUACCUUCUCUUCGGUCACCGUCCACCACCGCCCCCACCCUUCCGCCACCGUCAACUCCGCCGCCGUACAUGCUUUCAUCUGCCACUCGUGGGCUCUUCCUUAUGUUGUGGAGGUUUCUUCUAACUGCCGCCGCCAACCGCCACAUCGGUUUAAUUAUUUUUCUUCUUGAGAAUUUGUAAUACAAAAAAGAAGAGGAUUUUUGGAGAAGAAAGUUUAAUAAGGAGAGAUUUUUGAAGAUUGUGAAGUUGGUGUGUGUUUAUCAUGAAGGUUUAUGGUCACCUUUUUAAGGACCUUUGAUUUUUUUUUUUUUUUUUUUUUUUUGGUGUAUCAAUUUGUUUGGGGUCCAUUCAUAUCCAACCCAAUAUGCCGACAAUGUUACCUAAUUUAUUCACAAAUCCAAAGCUUUUGUUUUAUGUAUUUAUUUAUUUAUGUGGGUUUUGGUAUAUGUAAACAAGAAACUUAUAUAUAUAUAUAUAUAUAUAUAUAUAUAUAUAUAUAUAUUGAUGAUGGAUUGAAAUAAUGUGACUGAUAUCGUUAGUCGUUCUACAAAAUAGUUUUUUGGGAAUGUUAUAUUGAUGAAUGAAGGUUAGGGUUGUCAUAUUCAUGAUAUCGGUAUCUUUGAUAUAUCUUUACUAAUGCUCAUGUAGAGAAUAUAGAAUUGGUUAACAAGAUUUAUAACUUAGUUUCAUAGAGUAAAAAUAUAAUUACUUGGGUCAUUAAUUUAAUUUUGUUAAUAAGAUUUUCAUUUAAAGAAACAUCCAUUUAUGUCAAAUAAGUAUGUUAUUACGUGUAGAUAGUGUUUAAAUCUUUUGACUUUAAAAAGGGAUUUGUAUGUCAACUAUUGGGUUGAAUUUGCUAAAAUUUUCAAGUAUAUAUUGUAUGAAUUAUGAUUUUUGACUUUUAACAAAUUUCCUUGCUAUACAAAAUUUAUUUCCUUAAAAGUAUAUAAUAUAUCUUUAUAUGAUUAUCUAUAAUAAUAUUGUAAAGGAUAAUGGUAAUAGGUAGCAAUUUUAAGAGAUAAUAAUUAAGUGUAUAACAAAGCUAACGAUAUACUAAGAGAGAUAUAUAUAUUCUAAUAUUGUAAUUCGGAUAGCUAUACAUGUAAUUAUAUUAUUGCAGGUAGAGAACCAUUUAGAUUUGAUUAAAGAGACUUCUCCUACCCUCCCAAAUUGCUUUUAAAUUUUGUGAAAGUCUUACUAUACUAAAGGUCUAGUAGUCUUUAUGCCACAAUAUUAGAUGUUCUCUCAUAUUUUCGACUUUAUCCUCUUAGAAUAUUUGGGUUUGAGUGUUAGAAUUGAAUCUUGAAGAACAAGCUCAAAUUUCCUCUCUUUGUGCGAGAAUAUCAUCCUUCUUAUUAGUUUCUGCCUCACGGUGCUCCACAUCUAGUGGUCUUUUUGUUUUAUUUAUUGCCAUACUUUGAUUCUUGGGAGAGCUUUUCUCUAACACUUCUCCUACACAUUUCUUUUUAUCAUGGAUGAAGUAACUUCUUUUCAAUAGAGUAAGCAAUACAUUUGGAUCAAUUUCACAUAUAGUAUAUGGUUUUACUUCUCACCGUUCUUGCUUCCUAAUUUUGUUAGUGAAAUAAAAGAUGAAGGUUGAAAUUAUAGAGGCUGCUAGACUCAUUUGAUAUGUUAAUCGAAUUAUACUCAUAUUUAUUUUUGUAAAAACUAAUUAAUUUAAAAGAUUUUAAAUAUAUAUGAUAAUGACAUGAUAAAUCUAAAAUUUUGAGAGGAUAUAUUGAAAGGUAUAAAAUAUGCGAAAGAGGCAAAGGUGUAUUUGAGUAUUUCAGUUGCAGAUAUAAUAGAAUUUGUUGUGGGAUAUGUUAUAAAUAAAGACAUAUAGCUCUAGGGUUAUAAAGAAAUAAAUUAUUCAUUUUUUUAUUGUUUUGAGGACAAGAAAUAAAUUAUUCAAUUUUAAAAACAGUAAAACUAUAAAUAACAACAAAAAUAGUACAUGUAGGCUGAGUUAUGAGUAGAUUUUUUUGGUAGCUAGGUUUGACCAUUAAUCUAUCAAGUAUAUCAAUAAUACAAAUUCUAAUAAUCCUAUUUUAUAUUUCUUACUUAUUAAUUAAUCUUUCACAUUCACUUUAAUAAAACAAUAAUAUAUACUAAACCAAAUUUUAAACUCAGACAGGUAAGAAGGUGUUUGGAAUUUCUUUUUCAUUUAAAAUAAAGAAAGAAAAUAAAAAAAGCAUUACCUUGCAUAGUUUUCUUUUAGAAGCAUUUUGCUAUUUAGCACCCUAUUCUAUUCAUAUUUUUUAAAAAUCUAUCGUUCUACUUAACAUGAAAAUGAAAGUUUAGGAUUAAUUAGAAAGAAAAUUGAUUAAUUAAAAAUAAAAUUCAAUAAGGUUAAAAGAUGAGUUAAGUUUAUUUUGUAAUAAAUAUAUUUGAAGUUUAAAAAUUAUCUAAUAGACCCUAUAAUUUAAUAAACUAAAUUUGAUUUAUAAAAAAAGUGUGUGGAGUUUAAAAAGUUUUAAAUAAGCCAAUUAAAAAAUUUAAAAGCGUAGAACUCUAUUACACAUACUAGUUUUUAUUCUUUAAAAACAAAAUCAAAAUUUAAUAAAUAAGCAUAUAAUUAAAAGUUUAGAAAUGUAUUAUAUAUUAGAAGAAUUUAGCAACUCAAACUUGUCAAAUAAUCUUACUUAAUUUAUUUUUAAACCUUAGCUUGAUUUGGUUUUGGAGUGAGAGGAGAGUGUUAUAGAAGUAUUAAUGUAGUUAAGAUGUUUUUGAUGGAGUUUGUGAUUUUGAUUAUUAUUUAAUUGUUGUUGAUAGAUAAGCAUUUGGAAAGGAAAUGUGGUAGGUCAAUUUUGGAGUAGGGGAGAAAUUUCCAAAAGGAAAAGUGGUGGAAGAAAGAAGGAAAGAAGGGAAUAGGGGGAUGCAAGUGUUGUUUGUGAUAAGGACUUGACCACAAAACCCAAAAAAAUAAAAAUACAGAAAAUGUGAGUGCUACUCCACUAUAUACCCAUCUUAUGUUGCUGUCAACUUUCACUUAAUUAUGUCCUUACAAUUUUAUAACAAUUACAUAUUCAACUUUGUCAAAUGUUUUUCUUUAUUAAUACCACAACUUACAUUUUAAUUAUAUAUAAUGUAUGUUUAUAUAAAUAACAUCAACCUCUACACCCACUUUCAACCACAGCUUUAAUAAUCUAAUUUUAUUAUAUGUAGUUGAUAUAUAAAAUCAGAAACUUCUGGUGAAAAAUCAAACAUAUAUUCUAGUUUUUGUAUUUUCUAAUUAGUUUAUUAUUGAUUCUUUUUUAAAAGAAAAUAAAUAUAUGGAAAGUAGGUCCUUCCACGAUCAAUUUUGAAAAUAUAUUGACGUUGAGUAUUUUUUAUGAUUAUUAUUAUUUAACUAAUUUACCUAAGGUAAAAUUUUGAUUUAUUAGGGUUUAGAGCUCGAAGAAUACAAGGAACAUAUAUGAUUACUUUUUUUAUAUAUAAAACAACCAUGAACUUAUUGAUCAAGCUAGCUAGGCAAGUAUUCUUGUGGAUAUUGAUAUUUCCUUUAAUUUUAUUCUUAUAUACUUUAAUCUUAAUUGUCCCUAUGCCUCUUAGAUCAUGUAAGAUAUAACUAAUAUGGAUUAUUGAUGAUGUAAUGCUGAUAUAUAUGGUCAAUAUGUAUUGUAUUGACCUAACUAUAAAAAUAUAAUGAUGUGGUUAACAUCAAAAACACAACUAUGAAAUGUAUAUUUUAAUAUAAUUCAUAAUGAACAUAACUAAUUGUGAGUUAAUAAAUAUUAAAAUUAGAAUGAGAUAAUUUUAAUAAAUUCCCAUUAUAAACCUUCAAUAACUACAAAAAUGUGAGAAUUAAAUAGUUAAAUAUAGGUGGUGAGUGGUCGACUAAAAAAGUUGUCAACUAAGUUCAUGAAUUUGCAUAAUUCCAUAUUAUUGAACAAAAUACAAAGUGGAUUUUUUUCCUUUUUCCUUUUUAAUUUUUCAUAAAAUUUUCUAAUUAUGUUUAUUUAUUUUUUUCCAUUUACUUCUUAAAUUUAAGUCAACGUUAUUUUUAAUUAAUGAUGAAUUUAUAUUGCAAAAUGGGAUUAAGCUAUUAAACCUACCGACACAUUAUAUUUGAAUAUGGUAGACAAUGAAAAGGCAUUUUCAAUAAUAGCCAAUUAUUUUCUUAUGACAUUGGUUUGGAGUGCUUGACCACUAAUAUUUGUUGAUUUUCAAUUUUUUUUGUAGUACAAGACUUUGAUUGAUUGAUUAGAAAUUUCAUACCAUUUAAAUGUCUUUCUUUUCCUUUUUUUUCCUUUAAAAAUUUUAGUAAUUUAUUCAUAAGAAAAAAAGUGAAAAAUUAGAGAGUCUAAAUUUUCAAUCAAGUUUAGUUUGGAUCAAUUCAACUAGGUUGGAAAAGGAAGAAUUUAAAUUUAUAUAUUAUUGAAUUAAGAAAUGGUACAUAUAGUGUUGUAGAUUUUAUAUUAUAUUAAUAUAUAAUUUCAUAUGAUUUUAGAUCAAAUUAUUCUAUGCAGUUGUUUAGAAGGUUGAAUUGCCCUUUAAUUUUUUUGGAGGUGCACACAUGCAUGUAUUGUUGCUGGGAGUUUUGAAAAAAAAAAAGGUUUAAGGUCUCCUUUUGGAUCAUGUAUUUUAAUUGUUUUUAACCAAUCAUUUUACAAAUUUAUUUUUAAUUAGUGAAAUGUGUGAUUGUAAUAUACAGGAAAAAAAGAAGAAGAAGAAGAAGCAGAACAUCUAGGGUUUAAGGCUUUUUAUAGCAUCAUAUAAAUGGUAAGUUGGUAAGUUAGGGUGUUUCGGUCCAAGGAAUUUAGAUGUAGGAGUUGGAAAGUAGGAAGUUGUGAACUUCAUUCCUUAAUUGGCUUAAGUAGUUUGUGGAUCUCACCACCAAGAACGUCAAUUUUAUACCUUAUUAACUCCUUACAUUGUUGUCCCAGGAGUUCACCAUUACUCCUUAGACUUCAUAAUUAACUCCCUACUCCUCACUAUCCAACUCUUUUACCUCAAGAUUCUUUACUAUACUAGUUUAUGUCGUUGGUGUUGGAAAUGCAGUAAGAGCCCAUAUUAUAUCUAGAUAAAGCGAUAAUCAUGAGUAUAUAAGAAGAAAAAAAACAAGUAUCACCAAUCAUAUAAGUCAUUUUAGGAGAAACAAAAAAUAAAACCAUUAGAGUAUAAAGAAUAUAACGUUGAGUUGGACAUCAAAGGAAAUUGUUGAAGAUGAUUGUUGGAGAGUUAGUUAUUGAAGGUGGUUAUGUUAGAGUUUGGCUGUUGGAAGUGGUUAUCAAAGCAUGUCAUAGACAAUAAUGCUUGUUGCUAGAGUUGGGUAUAUCAAUGGUGGUCGCCAUAGAUGGUGGUCGCCAUAGAUGAUCUCGAGCAAAGGUGGUCAUUAGACAAGUCACUAAUAAUAAUCGUAGAUAGAGUUGGUCAUUAGCGAUGACCACUAACAUGUAGAGUCAUUAGAAAAAUUAAAGAGGAAGAGAGAGAAAGGAAAAAGAUACAGUUUCUUAAUCGGUGUUGCAAAAUGUUGUUAAACUUUGUUACCAUAUUGGAUAGACAUAAAAAAAAAUUCACAAAAUCAAUUUGAAUAAUCAACUUUUCUUAUAAAAAUGAUGGUCUCUCAAUGAAUACUUCUAAUAUAUGGAAUCCUUAAUGUUACAUUAUGUUGUUGGAGAUAAAAAUAAAGAAAAAGAAAAGUAAAAGCAUUUACAUCUCUAAAGACGUGGUAAAAAAAAGUUAAACUUUUAGAAGUAAAAUAAAUACUUAUAAAUUAAUUAUUUAUAUUUAGAGACAAUUAAAAAUUGUCAUAAGAUUGAUGAUACUUAAAAAAAUGUCAUAAAUUCUCCAAAUCCAAAAAUGUUAAAAAUAAAUUGAUGUUAAACAAAAUUUACAAAAAAGAUAAAUGUGAGAAAAUUAUUAUGGAAAAAAAAAAUCAAAAGCAACUUGAAGAAGAGACAAUUUUACUGCUAUUCGUGGUCAUUCAAAUAGUCUCCUCUUCUUUAAAUUGAUUAUUUUUGAAAUGACAUGUUCAUUCAUGAAGUAAUACAAUUCUGGAUCAAUUGUCACAUUCUAUUUAUUCUAACAUUUUAUGUUGCUUAUUUUAACUUAGUUAGUGGAUAAAAAUAUAGAGGAUCGUCCCAAAUAUCAAAAUUCAUUUUUUCUAUCUUAAAAAAAGAAACUAGAACUUUUGUUAAAGAAAGAAAAAAAAAAUCAAAUAUAGUGAAAAUUUCAACUUUUUAUCUCCACUUUUGUCUUUUGUCUUUUAAACUUUAGAAAAGAACUUAUUGAUAUAUUCUUAAGUUUUAAAAAAGGUUUAAUAGACUACUAAACUUCCCAAAUUUUAUCAAUUUAAGGUAAAGGGAUCCUAAUUAGUGACUCAAAAUAUUUUUAAAUCACAUAUCUACUAACAUAAAAAUAAAUAAUCUUUCAAAAAUAUAUUCAAAACCAUAUAUAAUAGUGAAAGAGGUUGUAACAAAUCUCUGGAUGUAGUCCUUUCCAUGGUUGAACCUAUAGUAUGAUAUAGAAUUAAAAGUUAAAAAGAAUUAUUACACAAAUAUUAAAUAUAAUAGGGCACAAAAUUAAAGAUUAUCCACUCUAAUCAAACAUUUUAGAAACUAUUACCCUCUUUUAACUUUAUUGUAAAACAGAAAACAAUGAUAUAUAUUUGUAAUAAUAACAAUGUUUUUGUAUUAUUAAUUUUUUAAUUGAGGAAAAGUAAUAUAUAUUUGUUAACAUUUAGAAAGGUGAAAAAAUUGUUUAGACUUUUAUGAAUAGAUCAAACAAUAGAAGAUGCAAUGGUUGGUCUCUCAAACUACAUACAAAAUUUCUAUUUAUCUUUAUACUUUGAUUGUUUCCUUUAUAUAUUCACUUAUUCGAUCUUGUUGGCUUCUUAACGACAAGUCCGAAUAUUUUUAUUUGGAGCCAUAUAUUCCAUGCAUUUAAACACCAUAACUUUAUAUUAUUGUUGAUUCUAAAUUCCCAUCUUGUAAACAGAAAUUUAUAUUCAAGAAGAAUGUUUUCUUUUAAAUACUAUAUUUUGUUAUCUGUGUGUGAUUUAAAAUUUCAAACUAUAUAUUAAUCUUAGAAAGAAAGUUGAAUUACAAAAAUCAUCCAUACAAUAUUAUUGUAUUCGUAAUUAUACACCCAAAUUUGAUUUUUAAAAAAACAGUCUUUUAUCACAUUAAAACCAACCCUAACUUAUAUAGGUUAAUCCAAACUCAAUUUUUAUAAUUAAGAAAUCAACCCAAAGUGGUUUUGUAAUUUGUCAAAUUUUAUAUUUAGUCCUCUAAUUAAGUUUUAUCAAAUUGGUUUGACAAUGAUAAUAACAAUAAUAAUUCAACAUCUUAUUAGAAAAACUGCAAAAAUGAUUAAUAGAUCAAACAAUAAAAAAAUGAAUAUAAUUGAUUCAUUUUUUUCAGCAAAUUAGAGAAUGGGAUACAACAAUACAAAAUCUCAUUCCCCAACAUAUAUAAACACAAGUUCCAACCAAGAUGAAAAUAUUAAAAUAUACAUCUUGAUAUGAUGAACAUAAUGGCAGCAGUUCCACUCCUUAUAAAAAUACAUCUCAUAUAUAAUUAAAAUUAUGGGACAAACCCCAAUUUUGCCCUAUACCAUUACACAACCAAAAGCCAAACCAACACUUUAUUUGCCACGUGGAAAAUGACGUGUCAAGAGACUCUUUAGGUGGCUUCCAAACUUCCAAACUUCCAAACAUAUAUUCCACACACUAAUAUUUUAACACACAACUCUAUCCCAUCCCAUGCAUCAUAUUGCCUAAUUUUUAUCCCAUAUUUCCUUACUCUUUCUUCUCCUCUGCGGCUUCAUCUUUCUUCUCAUCUUCUUCCUCUGCCUCCUCUGAUACUACAGCUUUGGCUUCCGGUACGACCGAUGACUCGUCGGGUUUGUCGUUUUCUUCCUUGGCUACUUCUGCAGCUUCUUCAUUAUAUUCUAAUUCCUCGACCUCGUCAUCAUCUGUUAGAAUAACAACCUCAUCUUCCUCCUCUUCCUCUUCAGCCGUUGCUUCAACUUUUUCAUUUGGAACAACGGCUUCUGAAUCAUCUGACGAUUUUUCAUCAACAACUUCGUCAACUUUAACACUCUCUUCUUUUUCUUCUACGUUCUCUUUUGAUGUCGUGUCUGGUGACGAUUGUUCCUCGACUUCUUCUUUUGUGACCGUCUCUUUAACAGUCGUCGUGUCUUCUAAGAGAGUGGCAUUCGGAGAUACGAUCUGCAAGUUAUCAUAGUAAUUUCUUACGAGAGACGAAGCUAGAAACUUAAAAGGAAAAAAAAAGGCUUACUAUAUACUAUAGUUAUUGCUAUCUAAUAUCAUAUAUAUAUCACAGUUAAAAUUAUCACAAUCAAUUAAUUUUUUUACUUUUUAAAUAACUAUAAAUUUAAUCUUUUAUUAGCAUGAAGAAAAGAAGUUAAUUGAAAAAAAAAAAUAUCUAGAUCAGUAUUUCGUCUAAAAACUCAUGUUAUAUUUUCAAAAGGUUCAUUUUCUAAGUUUCAAAAUUCUAAAUACAUUUCUUGAGAACAGACUCAUAAGGCAAUUAAAAAAAGAUGCAAUUGCACCCUUCUUUUCCUAGAAAAAUUAUUCAAGAAGGUUGUUACUUAAUUAUUAUUAGGGGUACGCAAAUUUUUUAAUUUUAUAUCCAAAGCGUGGUUUAUAUACAUACGUUACUUUGGACAAUCUGAUUGAAUAAUUUUUUUCUCUUACACAAAUACGUAUAUGAAUGGAGAGAUGUAAAACGUGAUGCAUAUUCGAACUGUAAAGAAAGUAAAAAGUGAAAGAAUAUUACUGAGAUACCUCAACGGUGGCCAUGGAAAUAGCUUCUUAGGGAGUAUGAAAGAAGUGCUUAAGAAAUUAAAGGGGGAAGAAGAAGCUAAGGGAAAAGACAGAAAAUGUAAUGUGUGAAACUUUAUGGACCUAAGAGUUGGCUUUAUAUACACAAAUCCAAAUAGCUUUAGCUUAUUAAUUAUAAAAUUAAAAUAAGAUACAUUUAGACAGAGAAAAUUAUAAAACGUUGAAAAUAUUAAAAAAAAACUACACCAGCUGUGUAUUCAAAUAUUGUUGUUGUUAUUAUUAUCAUACGUUAGAUUUGUGAUUUAUACUUUUGCGAUUAGGGAGAGAACAUUUGGCUAGAACUUUAGUUAAAACAUGCAUUAACAUGGUGAUUAAUAUUUAGUUUAAACUUUUGAUGUUUGUUUUAAUUACAUCUUUAAUAUGAUUUUUGUUUAGGUUUAAUUCUAUUCAAAUUUUCUUUUGGUAAAAAUUUGGUAUGGAUGUCAAUCUUAGUUUGACUAUGAAUUGCAGGUAAAUGAUUUGAUUUUUCACUUAUAAUUACUGAUUUUAUAAAAAUUAUUUUUUAAUAAAACAAGUCGAGACUUGGAGAAAUGUCAAUUGUCAUUGAGUCAUGCGAUUUGACAACGCAUCAAAUAAAACAUUUCUUAGAACAAUAUGGGUGGAGGAAUACAAACUUCCAAUCUUUUUAAAUAUCACUAGCAUAUAUUAUAUGUCACUUAAGUUAUGUUUUUCUUUAAUUGUAUGUGAAAUUUGUACAUGCAAUCAUGUGAAAAAGUAAAAAUAUUGUUGUUUUAGGCCCCAAAAUUAACAUAUACAUUUAAAAACAUAUACUUUUUCGAUGAAGGUGCUAAAGGGAUCUACCUAGUAGAGAUGUUCGGUUAUACAUUCUGACCCAUCGUAUUUUAUUACAAAGUAUUUCUAAGCUCAAGUUAAAAAAGUUGGAUUGCUAUUAAUGACGAAUUUACGUAGGGGUCAGCGGGAAACAUGUCCCCUCGCAAUAUUGGUUUUUGAACGUUAGUGUUAACUUUGAAGUGUGAGAUUAUAAAAUAUAUUAAAUAAUGCUUUGUUUUAAACAAAAUAUGUCCUAUAUAAAAUUUCUAGAUCUAUCACUUGUCACAAUGAAAUUCAAACAUGCUUCUUUUAAAGAAUAUUAAUACACAAAUUCAAGAAGGAAUCUACUCCUAACGUAGAUAUUCAAAUUUCUAGGUUUACUAUAGAAUGAUUUUAAUGAGACAAAUUAGUUAACAUAAUUUAGCAACUAAAAAACAUAUUUUAACCAAUAAUCAUACUAACAAGAAAAUACAUCAUUAGUAUAUUUUUCUAAAAUUCCUCAAGUUUAUUUGUUAGCAUUAGGAUUAGACUAUAUGUUGGAGGGUCCAUUUUCCAACCUAUCAAUUAGUUGGAUACGACUUCUAUAAUUUGUGGGGUUCCAUUCAUGACAAUGCUACUCUUAUCAUCUUUUCAUUCAUUUAAUAUUUAAUUCAUCCAUCAACUUUUCUUUUGAUUUUCUAAUUCAUCCAUCAAUUAAUUUUAAGUUGAAAUAUUAAGUAUAUAUAAUUGUUUUUCUUUUCUCUUAUAUUAAAUAAUAAUUAUCAUCAAUUUUAUCAUUAUUGUCAACCCAAUAAAGUUGGCUUUUUGAAGUUGAAACUAAAAUGUCUUAAAUAAAAUAAAGAAUGGACAUGCACUUUCAUUCUUCUUUUCUUAUAUUAAAAUAAAUCAAUUAUUGGAUUUUUGGAUUUGUGACAUACAUUUUCUUCACAGCAUUAAUGAAUCAUCCAACAUAUAUCUAAUCUAUAAUAAUAUGGAUAAUUAAAGAACCAAAGAAGUCACAAUUUAAACUAAAUUCACAUUAUUGUGGAUUCCAAUGAGUGAGUUUAUAAUUGAAGGCUUCAUUUGAUCAAUCUCGUCACCAAAAAAACAAAACAAUAUAUAUAUAGUAAUCAAAAUUUGUGAUUAUAUUCAUUUGAAAGUACAUUAAAAUUAAAACUCUAAAUUAGUCCAUUUGUACUUUUAGAGAGCUCGAGCUCUUGAUGAAAAGUAAAAUGUUAAAUUAUUUAAUUUCCCUUCUUUUUCACAAUUCAUAACUAUCUCUCAAGUGUAAACUUUCUUUUAGAAUUUUUAUAGCAAAAUUAUUUUCAAGUUGUAUAAUACAAUAUUAUUAAAACUUUUUUAAAUAAUGUGAAUACUUUUAGAACAUUGAAGAAUCUUGAAGUAUUUUCUAUCCUUUAGUAAAAAUAAACUAUUAUUGUCUAUGUGUUUUGUUAGAUUGAUAAAUUAAUUUAAAUAGUUUUUAUAUUCAAUAUAAUUUUGUUUAAAAAUAUCCCAUCACUUCAACAUUAUAUAAUAUUUUCAUCGACAUCUUUUGUAAUGAGAUAUCUACAGUUAGAUUAAGAUGGACAUUUUAAAAUUUGAAUGGUGAGUUAUUUGUUCAUUUGUUGAAUAAUGCCUCUUUGGUGUAAGAAGAGGGCAUUAAAGAAGAAUGUAAUUCCAUUUUCUCAAUAUUAUGGAUAAUGACCCUUGGUAUACAAGCAGGGUUCUUCAAUUGUUACAUUAGUUUUGCCCCAUUGAUCAUGAGCACGUGGUUUCCAAAUUUGGAAGGACCUACCAAAUUGAGACUCGAUGUGUAUGUGGAAUCUAUCGACCAAUAAUUUGUUGACACAUUUUAUUUAAUAUCUAUAUGGAAUAUAAGUUAAGAGUUUAUUUAAAGUUGUAUAUUUUCAGAUUUAGUUUUAAAUUUUUGUUAUUAGUAUUGAGAUUUAUGCAAAUGAUAAUGUUUUCACAUAAUUCGGACAUAUAUUUAACUUUUCCUCUUUUAAAUAAUCAAAGAGAUGUAUGGACAUCAAAGAUGUGAGACUUCUUUUAUGAUUAAAUAAUGAAAAAUAAAUAACCUUUUAUUUUUUUAUACGUUUUUAUAAUUAAAUUAAAGAAGCUAAAAAAAGGUUUUCAAUUGGUAAAAACACUUUGUAUGGUCUUUCUAACUUGUUGAUAAGACAGUGGAAAGAAAUUGCAAAAUAGAAUUUAUAAAAAUAAACGUAUAUAAAAAAUAAAAAAGUUAUUUCUUUUUCAUGCAAGUGCAAUUAUUUCCACCUUCAGCUUAUUCACAAAAGAAAACCAAUAUGCAUGAACCUCUUUGGUAGAAAUCCAUAAAGCUUUCCACUAUAUAUUCAUUAUUAAUCCUCGCGAUGGACGAAGAAAUCCUCCGAUCGAAAUUGUGAAAUCGUGAAGUUUUCUACUGCACAUUCAUCCAAAACCUCGCGAUGGAAGAAGAAAUCGUUCGAUCAAAAACCAUGAAUUUGUGAAAAGCCAUGAAACGAGCAAAACCUCGAAUAUGAAUGAUAGAGUCUUCAAAUUUCUGAAAGUAAACAAGGAAAAUUUUCAAAUAAAGGAGGUAAUGGGGUUUCAACUUCAUGUGUGGCAAUUUAAAAUUUUAGAUUUUUUUUCUCAUUUUUCUUUUUUAAAAACGUAUCAAAUGGUUUAAAUAAAACGGUCCACCAAUAUAUUUUUCUAAACGUAUAAUAUACCAACAUACUAUCUAAAAAAUAUAGUAUCAAAUGAUCAAAUCAGAUAUAUUGAAAAUAUUGCAUGUACGACCAUAUACUUUACUAUAAAACUUAUUUAAUUCGUUAUUUCGAAAGAAAAAAAGAUUGAAUAAAUAAAGAAGACUUCUCCAAAUUUGCAAUUUUCCUCCAAUUCACCAAUAUAUAGAGAAUGGGUUUUUCUUUAGUUCAAGCAAAAGGCCCACCAUGUCUUCUUAACCUCACUAAAAUUUGGGCUUAUAUAUUGACAUAUUCAAGCCCAUUAAUCAACUAUAGUUCCUCUUUUCCUUUCUUUUUCCAUAAUUUAUUUUAAAUAGAUUUUAAUAAAAAGGACACACAUUGUUUAGAGAAGAAUAUGAUAAUCGUGGAUUUAUUAAGGGGCCAAAAGAGGCACGUGUCUCCUUAUAUUAUCGGUUUUUGUAUUUUAAUAUUAAUUUUGAAGUGUCAUAUUAUAAUAUUUUAUUUUAUCCAAAUUUUGAUUCUAAUGUAGCGACUGUGCUUUCAUUGCAAAACCACCCGCUCAAGACUCCAAAUAUCAAUUUUAUUGACAAAUUUCAAUAACGUCAUAAAAAUAAUUUUUUAAAAAGAGAAACAAAACCGUGACUUAUUUUCUAGUCGUCGUUUGUUAUCUAAUAAAUAUUUUUAAAAAAAUGCAACUAAAUUAGUGAUCUAAAUUUCUACUCUCCUAACAAUAUUCCAUAAAAAAAUUAUUAUUCUUUUCUUUUUUUUCUUUUCCUUUUUUUGAUGCAAUUUUUAAAUUCACACUUACAUUACAAAAAAAUAUAUAAAAAUUGCUAGUCGAAAAAUAUAUGAAAAUUGCUAGUUUUUUCUUUAUUGCUACAAAUAUACUAGUGAAUGUUAUUAAAGCAUCAGUGAAACGUCGAUAUAUUUUUUAAACACUUUUUAAUGUGUUUAUUAUAUAGUGCCUAGUGCUUUUCUAUAUAAAAUUUCUACGUCAACAUUGAAUAAGAUUGGAUGAAAGUAUGAAAGAUAAACAAAUAACUUAUUUCAUUAAAUUAUUGAAGAUAUUAAAGAGAAUUAUAUUUUACUAAGACUUGGUAGGGCUCAAAUGUGAGAAUGAGGAUUAGAUGAUUCUAAGAUUUGAUCUUUUAUUUAUUAUUUUCUUUUAGUUUUGAACAUUAUUUUAAAUAAGUUGUUUUAGUUUUGAGUUAAGAAAUAUUAUAUUAGUUGCUUAUAUUUUUUUUUAUUAAAAAAAUGGUUAAUUAGCAUGAAAAUAGAUAAUACCAAAUCACGUGUCAUAUAUGUAAGCAUAAAAAAUUUAGUAUUUGAAACGUAUUUGUUAUAUUUUUAGUACAAUAAUUAUACGGUUGGAGGAUUAUGCAAAUUACUUAAAUUCAUUUUGACGUCAUUAUGUAGAGAUACAUCAUCAUGCAUAUUUGAAACUUUCACAAUUUUGUAACGGAUGUUACUCAAUAUUUUGUUAGUACUAAUAUUACUUUAUUUAAAUAUUUAUUCUAUAUUUAUAUAAAUAUUAAAUUAUUUAGUCUCUAAUAUGUUAAACAAAAUUAUGAACUUUCCAUUUUACAUACAAUGGGUUUCACAAAAAAAAAAAAUUUAAAUUUGAUAUACAAUUGAAUCUUGAAAAUUUCAAUUUAGUAAGUAAUUAGUUUUAACUUUUUUGAAAAACCAUCAAAUGUUUGAAUUAUUAGAUGACACAAAGCUAAAAUAUAUAAUAGAAGAUAUAGUUUUUUGAAUUGAAUUUGUUUAUAAAUCAAAUUUGUAAGAAACAUAUUCAUAUAAACUUGAAACUUGAAAGCACGAAAACAAAUGAAACUAUAUGGAAUUGUGUAGUAGUUUAACGUAAUAGUUGACCGUUUCAAAAGAAAGAAAGAAAAAGGAAAAAGUUAGAAAGAAGACAGGGAGAGCGAGGAAGAAGAAGAAGCUUCUGCAACUUCCUAGACUAAAGUCGUCAAACGGGUAUUCUUUGCUUUCAAUUCAAAUUUUAAACACAAAGAUUUACAAUAAUAAUGCCCCCGCAAUUCUCUGCGCUAAUUCCCCCUCCCCCGCUUUGAAUUUUUCAAAUCCCACAUUCUUUCUCUCUUCCUUUUUCCAAAAACAAUCUAUCCAAUCCAUUUCUUUCUUUUUGCUCCCUCUUUCGAGCAUUUCGGAUCACCACAUAGCUCUCUCUCUCUCUCUCUCUCUCUCUUUUGGUUUGAACUUCAAACCUCAUAGUUUAAUUCAACGCCCAUUUCCUGUUUUCCCCUCUGUUGACGGUUUUUCUCGUUCUGCUUCUUCUUCAUUUCGCUUCUUUUCCUCUUUUCCCUUUCUGGGUUUUGUUCGUAUCUACACCACAAAGAAGAAACCCACCCCUGUUUUCGUCCCCUUCUUUCAAUUUCUUUACUGGGUUUUCUCAUAUGGGAUUGAAUCAGUAAUUAGUGCUCUCUAUAUGAUCUAGCUCGUGGGGUUUUCUUCUUUCUGGAUUUUCUUUUGUUUCUUUGUCUUGGUGUAACCCUUUUAAUGUCUUUGGCUGUUGGGGCUGCCUCAAAUUCCAAGAACAUGGGGUUUGAUGAGAAUCGUGAGGAGGGAGGUGCAUUGGAUAACCAUGGGAAUGAGAAUGAAGCUACUGAGAAGAUUUCAAGGCAAAUGAGUGAAACUUCUCUCUCUGCAACUGAGGAUGAGACUGAUGAUGAAGGAAGUAAUAUUGAGUUGGGGCCUCAACGCACAUUGAAAGAAGAGCUUGAAAAAGAUAAGGUUAAUCUUUGUUCUUGUUUCUCACAUUUGAUUCGAGAUUGUAUUGUAAUAAGUUUUCUUUGUGCUUGUCAAGUGUAUAACUAUUGUUUCUGUUGUUUUGUGGUAUGUAAGUUUAGGAUGAUGAGAGUCUUAGGAGGUGGAAGGAGCAGCUUCUUGGAGCUGUGGAUUUAGAAAAUGCUGGAGGUAAUUAUAAUUUAAAAUUCUUCCUAGUUUUGUAGAUUGAUUUCACUUUCUUUGAUCAUUUCAAAAUUUAGUGUUUGGUUCUGAAAUGCUUCUAUGGAAUUAUCUUGGGGUAUUUGCAGCCAUGUUUUUCCCUUAAAAGAGAAAGUUGUUAUUGUAUCUCUUCUUUUUGGUUUUGUUUUUCAGUUCCAUUUCUUAUGUAUUUUGUAGAAACUCUUGAGCCAGAGGUGAAGAUUCUAAGUCUUUCAAUAGUGUCUCCAGAGAGACCAGAUUUAGUUCUUCCCAUUCCCGAGGACGGGAAUCCAAAAGGAUUGUGGUUUACCCUAAAAGAAGGCAGCCGUUACAGCCUGAAAUUCUCCUUCCAAGUGACUAACAACAUUGUUGCUGGCCUCAAGUACACCAACACUGUUUGGAAAACUGGUGUCAAAGGUUUUUUUCUCUAUCUGAUUCGCCUCUUCGUUAAUAUAAGUUCGUGUUUCGAUUGCCUGACUGAUGAUGACUUUUGUAAUCUUGUAUGUUUCAGUUGAUAGCGCCAAAGAGAUGCUUGGAACUUUCAGUCCCCAGCUAGAGACCUACACUCAUGUAAUGCCAGAGGAUACCACACCCUCCGGCAUGUUCGCCCGUGGAUCGUAUUCAGCAAGAUCUAAGGUCAGUUUGUUUUUUUUUAAACACUAGAAGUCCUCUGACGUUGUCACUUAACAAUGCCUAAGGCUCUAGCAUUUUCAAGUGGGGUAGUGUUUGGUUUUUUCUCCUUAUUCCACAUAUCAUAACCUCUUGGGCAUAGUUUGAAAGAUGCCAACUUCCGAGGAAUCAUCGGUAAUACACAUGACAUCAUCUGGUUUUAAGAGAACAAUCUAUGGCGCCAUAACAUUGAUAUUCCUUUGUCUGCAUAGUCAAAUGAGUUCUAACUUCUCUAGGGCUCUCAAACUAGAAUCAAUAUUCAAUUCCCGAUUUUCAACCGAACGAAGCUAUAAGCAUAACCCAUAAAUUUCUUUAACCUUUCCAAGCUAUAUCUAACUCUAUUUUGAUGAUAUUUUUUCCCAGCUAGCAUGAAACUAAGCAUCAUUGAGGUUCCUUUUUGAUUUCCAUGCAAUAAUAGCUACAGUGCUUAAAAACAAAGAACCCUUUUACCAUUCUCAUAAUUAAAGAAGUUUUACAUUAUUCCCAUCCCAAGUCUUCAUUGCUGUCCAAAUCACGUGGCCCAUUAAGUCCAUUAAUUGAUUCCUGUUGUGCUGGCUGGCCUUUCUUUCCUAAGGGACAUGGCCCAUGUUCUUCUGUAUAACAUAUGCUUUACAAAAUGUGUACUUUCAUCUUGAAUGUUUUCUGAAUUCCCCCUCUUCUAAAUCAAAAUCAUCACCACCUUGCAUAAAAAAAAAAAAAAAAAGCAAAGCCCUUUCUUUUCCAUGACUUGACUGUUCUUUUGACAAACCUUCUUCUCGAAAACCUUCCUUGUUCCCAUAAUUUUUCUUUUAAUGAAUACCCUUUCAUUCCACGAUGAAGUUCAUCAAAAUCAGAAACAAAUGACAGAUCUAUUCAGUCUCUUUCAAACGGAUCCUCCCCCUCUCCCUGCAUUUAUCAAGCUCAAUAAAGGGUUAGAUACAAAAAUAUUCAACUUCCAAACUGAACUUUUAUUUCUCUCAUCAGAAAAAUGAGGAUUCUCUCCAUUGUGCUAGCUUCAUAUCGUGCAUAAAAACGAAGUAGCAUUUGCCUCUAUGUUUGUAUUUGUAGUUGUAAAUGAAUUGUAAAUCUUUUUGUGUAUGGCAGUUUCUUGAUGAUGAUAACAAGUGUUACUUGGAAAUUAACUACACAUUUGACAUCAGAAAGGACUGGGCAGCAACAUAAAGGCAAUGAUUUGUGGGCAUUAGGAGCAGUGCUGCGUUCUUGGCUUAAGCAAUCAAAUCCCCAUCAUCCAGCUGAUUAGCUGAUGUUCUGAAAACUGCCAAUUUUAGUAAAUUAAUGUCUUUUAAUUACAUGUAAUUAUAAUUAAGGCCAACAAAUAUUAUGUUAAUUACUAGGUUUACGCUGCAUCCAAACUCUUGCAAGUUUUCAAUGUAUUGGGAUGUUGGAGAAGGAGAUGAAUGAACGGGGAAAAAAAGGAAUAUAUUGAGAUAUCUUGUUUGAUGGCCCCUCUAAUAAAAGGUGUGUUUGGCCUUCCACCUUUUUUUUACCCAUUUUCUUUUUUCACAUGUUUGAAUCACAUCAUAUAUAAAAUUACAAAAAAAAAAAAUUAUAGUUGGGUUGGUGGGCUGGUUUUCUUUUUUCCAUCUUUUGUAAUACAAAAUUUUAUAUUACUUGAACAAAUUGACACAUACAUACAUAUCAAGGUUUUAGGUUUAUAUAGAAUCGGGUUGGGUCAAGUCAAUCCAACUUUUUUUUUUCAAAACUUUCUAAUCCAAUGUAAAAUUGAACCUAACUUUUACCGUCUUUUUUUUUUCAAAACUUUCUAAUCCAAUGUAAAAUUGAACCCAACUUUUACCGUUUAGUUUGAGUAAUCCGAGUUAGUCUCUAAACAAGAAUAUGAGGACUUUAAAAUCGAUUUUUUUUCGAGAUAAAAAUAAAAUAAUCAUUAGGAAAAAAAAAGAAAAAAAGAAAAGAACAAGUGGUGGAGGUAGAGAAGGAAACAGGCUGUGUUGGUUUGGUUGUUUGUGACUAUUUCUGACAGAUUUGAACCCUAAGUGAAAAUUCCAAACAAUCUUAUUUUUAGUCUCUUCUCACCAAUACUAGAUCAUUACCUUUUACCCUCCAUUCCUUUUUUUUCUUCUCUAUAUAUUCAUUCUUCUUUUUCAAAAGUAUAUUAUAUAUAUUGUAUUUAUGAUCAUACUUUAGUUAUCAUAUUAAUGUAUUAAAGCAAAAUAACAAAACAAAAAAUAGACAGUUUAUUAAUAUGGGAAGAUUAAGAGGAAUAGGGCAUAUUCAUUUGUUUAGCUCAAACACCAGCAAAUAUGUUAGAUUCUUCUUGACAUUGCUUCCACAUCUUCCAACCCUCUUCUAUACAUUUUUUAAAUCUUAUUUUACCAACUCUACUUAUUUUAUAAAAUCCCAAAAGGAAAUAAUUUAUUUUAUGUCACAUACUUUAGUUUCAAUCAAAUUUUGGUGUUUUAGGCCAAUUUUCUCCAAACACACAAAUGGAGAGUAAUUAACUAAGUCUUCAUUUUUGUCUCGACUUUUAAUUUUGUUGCUAAGAGCUUUUAAUGUAGUGAAGUUUGUUUUGAUGUCAUCUAAAUGAAUGUCAAUUUUCAUUGUCGAGCUAAACUCGCUUUAAACAUGUAAUUUGUUAUUGAAUCAAACUUACUUUGUUAUCAACCUAUACUUCUUUAAAUAAUUUUUUUAAAAAAAUAUGUUUAUUUUAAAAGAUUAAAAUUAAUAAUUUAAAUGGAUAAGGAUGGAUAUGAACUUUUUUUUCCACUUAAAUAAUAUUCUUCUUAAUUUUAUAAUAGUUUUAAAUGACAAAACUACUAAAAAUAUUUAUAAAGGUAAAUAUAUAAAAGUUUUGUCCAUCAAUAAUAGAUUUUGAUAGAACAUUACUAAAAUUUUACUGUCUAUUAAAGUUUAUCACUAAUUAACCAUAAAAUUUUGCUAUAUUUGUUAAUAUUUUUUAUUCAUAAACUAUUGAAAAUGACAUAAAAAAUUUUAAGAUGAAACAUUUCAAAGUUGGAAGAUAUUUUUAAAACAAAAUCUGAUUUUCAACCAAACUUGUAAUUUGGAGUUUUUCUUUUUAAAAGAAGUUUAAAGAGUUUUUUAUUUUGAAAUUUUAGGAGUAAUUUCAUAACAAAAUAUUGAAAAAUUAUGAUAAAAUUUCAGAUUCUAUCCUACAUUGAGCUUAUUCUCGGUUAUAACUUUGAUUUAUAUUGUUAUAUUUGAGAAUAACCACAAAGUAUUGGGUCAAAUUUAAGCCUAUUUAUUAUUACUAAAUCUAACGAUUAUAAGAAGAAGCAAUUUGUUUUCCACCUAUAUGAAAAAGGAAAACAAUAUAAUGCAUCACUUUCUUGGGAAAAUGAAAAAUUCUUAAUAGUAACAUUAGGGUACACCGACACAUUAUUCAAACUCUUCUAAAACACAUCUCUAUCUCUUUAAAUUCAUAUAUAGUUUAAAAAAUAACUUUACUAAUUUCGAUUUCACACAAAAACAAUCUUUAUUUACAAGUAAUCAAACCCUAAAUUACAAUUUUGGUUUAAAAAAAUAUUAUAGUCAUACAUCAAUAACAUAACAUAUAAUGCGAUAAUAAAACAACUUAAUUUAUCUAUAUCUGAAUUAAUUGAAAGUAUAUAUUAAUUAUUAGUAGUGAGACAUAUGUAUGUGAAAUUGGAUUUAAGAGUUUAAAAUAAGUUGAAAUUAGGUUGUUGUAGUAGUCUGUUAGGACUCUAAUUGGAUUACUUAAUUACACAAACUAAUAUUGAAAUUGAUGAUGUUAUUAAUUUCUUAUAUACAAAUUUAUUAUCCCAACACACAACAAAGAGUCAUAUAUGGAACAUGAAAAAAGCAAGAUAAAAAUGAAUGAGGCAGUUAAUGAGAUUUAAAAUGAGUAAUAUUGAGAAAAUGAAAAGACAUGAGAGAUGAUUUGAUACAUAUGAAAUAGAAAUUGUUUCCAAAUCAAUGAUUAAUAGUUAAUAGGAUGGAUGGAAUUAUUAAAAUGGGGAUUUAAUUUGGGAGGUAUGGGAUCAAUGAUUAAAUAAGGGUGUGGGUUAAUGGGUCACAACUUCUUCUUCCCAUCCUAUUUCCUUCCUCAAAAACACAUCAUUUUAAUUAAUUAGCUGGCUAAAUUAUAAAAUUAUAAAAUUAAGUAAUUAACUAAUUGAAUAAAAAAAAAAAAGAAAAGAAAAAGAGAUUUGAUAAUCACACUUCUCCAAAUAAUAAGCAUAUAAGCAUGAGGUGGCUGUCACCGACGAUUAGGUUGUUCAUAUUUUCUUUCUUCUAAUUAACUCUUCCCCCUAAUUGUCAAAUAUAUAAUUUAAUGGGUUGAAUUCAUAACUUGUUUUAAUUAAAUACCUAAUUGUGUUGGGAAUUAUUUUCAAAUUUAGGGGAAGAGAGAGUGAAUGAAUUUGGAUUAGAAACAACCGUGAUAGAUGGGAACGGCGGAAACAACCGUGAGAGGGCGGGGAGAGGUGGAGGUCGGAGUUCCCUUCAUUUUCAUUUUCUCCUCUCACCAUAUUUUCAUUAAUUUCUCCUUCUCUGGAUCUUUUUCCUUUUUCUUAUAUAAUAAUUUUACCAUUGAGGCCACCACUCUUUCGUGAAUAUAAAAUUCAUAAAUACCAUUAUUAACUUUUACUUCCUCACCUCCUUUUAAUAAUAUAUAUAAAAAGGAAAAAUGUCUAUCCCUAUUUAUUAUUAAUAAAAUUUAAGAUUUUGUUAUAUUUUGUCUUUUUUUUUUUAAUCUUUAGUUAUCAAUUUUUAAUGACCCUAAAAAUAUAAAAGGGAAUUAAGUUAAUUCUUAUGUUAUUUUUUUAAAGAACUGCCUUUCUAUUCAUUUGGUAAAGUUUACAAAUGCUGUUGACUUUAGCAAAGAGGAAAAGGAAUGCAACAUUAGUUGUAGUUAUUUUUCUACUUUUCUAUUAAAAUAUACCUUAAGAUCUAACUUAAAUCAACGUUAAGAAAUGUCAAAACAAGGUGACUUUGGUAUUAUUGUUAAAAAAAGAAGGUGAAGAUAACUUGAAUUUAGUUUGAUUGUUAUAUUAUUGAACUAAAAAGGGUUGUUUUUUUUUUGACAAAGUAAAAAAAAUGUUGGAGAUAAUGGAGUUGAUGGGGGGGGUAGAGUGUAAGGUUGGGUUUAGGAGGAAGAAGGAAAAGAAAAGAAAAAAUGAAUUAGUUCAAAUGUGAUUAAGAAAGACUACCCUACAUGUCCCACUUCUUAAGAAAAAGCCUUCCCAAUAAAGUAUGGUUUUUUUAUGUCUAAGGAAGAUCCCAUCUCUUAGUUUAUCACCCAAUUACUGUCUCUCCUUCACCACCUCUUUGCUUUUUCUUCUCCUUUUCUUUAAAUACUUGCUUCUAUUUUCAAUCCUUAUUUGUAUUUCUCAUCUCCUCCUUCCCCAUUAUUUCUCUGUCAGGCCCCCCCUUCUCUCUUCCCUGCCCUGGUCAGUCUCUCUCUCAUUCUUCUCGCUUUUUUUAAUUUUUUUUUUUUUUUUUGCCUUUUUUACAUUUGGGUUUUGCUUCUUAUCACCUCUACUGCAUGCAACUGAUCUAGAUCUGGGUCUUUCUUACUUUUUUUUCUUCUUUUUGGGAUUUGUUUAGUUGGGUUUUGUGGGAAUGUGUGUGGCUGAAAUGCUGAUGGGACAAUUUGCAUUGUUUGCUUGUGUUUGUAUGUCUUUCAAUUUCUUUUUUCUUUUUGGUUUUACUGUUUGAUUUACUUCUCUGGAUCUUAGAAUGUGCUGUUUUCUUGUGUUCUGUGCUUGCAUGUGUUUGUGCUCUGUUUUAGUUUCUUACUGAGCUUGUGAGAUCUGGGUUUUGGAGGAACAAAUACUUAAAUUUGCUGAGUUUUGGGACUUGUUUUCUUUAGUUCUUGCUGAGAUUUGGUGAAUUUUGAGAGGUAUAUAACCUUUGUCAAUGCAUUUUAUUGAAAUUUUGAUUCCUGCAUGUGAACUUAUUUGUGGAAAUGUCACUGUGAACUUAUGAAGCAUCUCAUCAAUUUCACAUUUUGAUUUGUAAACCUACCUAAGUACCUAAGAUCUGAUCCAGGACACCUUUUUUUUCCUCUGCAGGAAGUUGUGGAAAAUGGGAUUUUCCAUGAUUUUCACUGUUUGUAGUGCAUUGUUGCUUCUGAGCUCUUCAUCUGCCAAUGCCCAAACAGCCAGCCCCCCCUCAUUUAGCCCGACCCCGGCACCGGCGCCAGCCCCAGAUUUUGUAAACCUCACAGAUCUGCUCACUGUAGCUGGUCCAUUUCACACCUUCCUCAGUUACCUCCAGUCCACCAAAGCCAUCGACACCUUCCAAAACCAAGCCAAUAACACAGAGGAAGGAGUGACUAUCUUUGUCCCAAAAGACAGCGCUUUCUCGGCACAAAAGAAACCGUCUCUCUCGAAUCUCACCGCGGAUCAACUCAAGUCUCUUAUCCUAUUUCAUGGGUUGCCACAUUACUAUUCCCUUGCUGAGUUCAGGAACCUCAGCCUUCAGAACCCGAUCCCAACGUUUGCCGGUGGGCAAUACAGUUUGAACUUCACAGACGUUUCUGGGACUAUCCAUAUUGGCUCUGGCUGGACUAACACAAAGGUUAGUAGCAGUGUGCAUUCAAGUGAUCCUGUUGCUGUUUACCAAGUAGACAAACUUCUGCUGCCUGAGGCAAUCUUCGGAACUGAUAUUCCACCAACCCCGGCCCCAGCACCCGCACCUGAUAUCGCUCCUGCUGCUGACGCUCCUUCGGAUGUUAUUGAUGGGAGGGCUGCUCCAUCUUCAGAACCAAAGCCAUCAUCUUCCCAUAGGAUCAUCAAUUGGGGAAUUUUGAUUCACAUUGUUUUGGGUAUCUCUGGUGGAUUUUUGUUUUGAUUGUGAUCAGAAAUCCUACCAUCCAUUUAUUACAUUUAUGAAAACUAUAUUGCCAUUUUGUUUUGUUAUUGAUGUGAAGCUCCAUUUUUUUAUGAACAUAUAUGUUGUUGGAUUUGUGCAUGAGAAUUCCUAUUGUGUGGUCUAUAAAUUAUGACGGGGAAGGAUUUUUGUUUUACAGUUCAAUGAAUUCAUCCUCUAAUAAAUAUACCAAUUCUUGUAUUUUUAUUGACAAAAAUAACUUCAUCUUUCCAACUUUGGUUUGUAUAUCUGUGAUAUGGAAUCCAAUAAAUUGUAAUUAAGAACUCUUUGAUAAUUUGACUAAAAUUCCCAAAUCAGCCUGAUUUUUUCCUAAAAGUAGAUCAAAUUUCUAUUCUUCAAAUGCUACACGAGAUAGGAAGAUCAAAUUCCACUUGAAUGAAUGUUUUUAGCAUUGCAAUUCAUGAUUCAAAAAGCUCUUUUUGGCUAAACUUGAGGAAGACCAACGACUAAAUUUGAUUAUCAUAAUCGGAAUAAAUCAACCCAAUCUCUCAAUACAACUCUCAUUUAAAUGAUAAACCUAAAACAUACUAAAAUUACAUUACAAUUAUUAAAUCAAAUCUAAUUAAUAAUUUGAUGCUUUCAUGGUUCUUUCAUCAAUAAAAUAUAAUUAUUAAAAUCUAAUUAAUAACUUGAUGGUUCCAUGGUUCUUUCAUCCUAAAUCAUUUUCAUUAUGAUCACACCACUCUAGAAAUUAGAAAGAUUUCUUUUACAAAUUUUAAACUAAUAUCUAAGUUCUAUAUUUAAAAAUUUUAAAACUUAUCAUUUCCAUGGAGUGGUUUUGAAAAAAAUGAAAGUAAUUUUUUUCAUUAUUUCAAAAUCACUUUCGAUUGUGUGUAUAACCGUAACGGUUUGAACUUACUCGAGCCUGGAAAAAGAUGGGACCAUUCCAAAGAUUUGAAGAGUUGUAAUUAAUGAGGAUGGAAAUUUUGUGUGUAUGAUUUGGUUAUUGACAUGGAAAGAUGAAACCAUGAAAAGGAUGAGAAACUCCCCAACAAAAAGAAUGAGACAAAGUGUGAAAAGAAAUAAAAGAAAAUGAAAUGAAAGAGUGUAAACUAAAUCCAACUACAUAUUCACUUCAAAUUGAAAUAACCCCAACUUUCACAAUACAUCUACCAAUUUUACCAACAAAAUAUAUGUUCCAUUAAACGAGUUUAACCAUGUUAGGGUUUGAUUUCCUUUAUGCUCUAAACGUUGUAGGAAAUAGGAAAACUAAAUGUAUGAUAAGUACUAUUUUUUUCGAGUUUGAAACUUUGAAUUUUUGUACCCUCAUUGCCUAUUAAUUAAGUUACCAAUAACCUAACACGUGGGAGACUAUAAAAUCUACCAUAAAUAUGUAGACACUAAUGUCUAAUCGUAUUGUAGCUAAUAUGAAUAAAUUUUAAGUUACAAUAACCCAAAUGAUAAUUUCACUAACAAUAAUGAUUCUUCUUUCUGUUUUUUUCGUUCAUCUCCAAGGAAAUAUGAUCUAAAAUUGAAUGUUAAAUCAAUGGAUUGGACAAUGCACCUUGAUCAAGACAAACAUGUAAAAACAAGUAUGUGCCUAAAGUGUUUCCAUGUGUUGGUAUUGUGCUGUGUCCAAACCGAACAAAUAUUUUGUCCACCAAAAUAUGACCUAAAAUUAUACCAUGGAGUUAUGUUUUUGUUGGUAAUAAAUAAUUACACCAACACAAUUAGAUAAUAGAAACUCAGUCUAAAUGAUUAAAUCACUUUAAAGCUAAAUUCAUCAAUUCAAACAUAAUAACUAAGUCGAUACGACACUUAUUACCAUUCUAUAGUUCAAUCUUUCCUUUCAUAAUUGUUUGAACUAAAAAAACGAUUAAAAAGUUGAAUUAUUCUUUGCUUGCUUAGAAGAAAAAUAGGAAGAAUAUUACACCUUCUCUAUUUCUCUUUUCAAUUUCAUCAAAUUUCUCAUCCAUAUUCAAGAAUAAAUGACACUCAAAGAAUGCGGAUUGAAUUAAAGUAUAAAAAUUGUAGAUUAGCAAAAAAUGUAUAAUUUCAUCUUAAAUAUGAGAGUUGAAUUUGUGUUGAAGAUGAAGAACAAGACAUUCAUGCAUUAAUUAAUAGAAAGUAAAGGCACCCAAAGAGAGAGAUUGCGUAAUCAUUAAGAAAUUCAUGAGAAAAGAGAGCGUAAGCAAUGAAUUUUCAUUUUCAAAACUCUCCAUAGAAUGAAAACAUGAAAGAAUGAAAAAGGAAAGGUUGAUUAAAUUAAAUCAUAUAUGAUUAUUUAUUAUAAUUAUAUAUUUUGAGGCUUUCAGUGGCUGAAUUUGGUUUUUGGUUCCCCAUUUUUCUUGGUCUCUCUCAGCAGUUCCUCAAAACAAGCACGCCUUUCUCUCGUUUUCCUCGCCUAUUCCUGUCCCUAUUCCAUUCGCCUUCUUCACACAUCCUCAUUCAUUCCCACCACCUCUCUUUCACUCUUCACCAUGACAUUGCUUUUCUGAUUAAUCUCUUUCUUCCAUCUCGAUUUUAGGACUUUUUCUCUAGGUACGAUGUCUUUUCCCUUGCUCUUCAUUGAUUUUCCUUCUUUUCAUCCAAUUUGUUGUUUUCAGACUAUUCCAUGAAUCCCCAUGUUUUUGUGUGUUAGUAUUCAUGCAUAGUUUGUUCAAUUGCGUCUAAAUUAUGACUCUUUAUUGUUUUUUCCUUUCUGGGUUUUCCUUAUUUCCAUUGAAUUUGUUGAUUUUACAUUAUUCGGUGAAUCCCCAAGUAUUGUGUUUGAACAUUUGUGCAUAGUAUGUUGAAUUGCUUGUAGACUACGCCUCUUCAAUUGGGUUUUGGUUGAUUUUUCGUUUUAUGGGAUCUGUUGUUUUGUCAAUGGUGAUUAUUUUUCCAUGUUGGUUUCAUUGUGAUUGGUGUGGUUUGUUUCAUAGUUGUCUCUCAUGUUUGUAGGAUUGACCUUUAUUGCUUUUGUGGACAUCUCUGUGAUUGGAAUUUAUUGUUUCAGUUCUUAGGAAGUGUUCUUUGUGUUGAGACUUAGAGAUUCUGCCAAAAAAGAGUUGAAGAUGUCAAGCUUUGAGGGUGUUCUUGUUUCUGAUCCAUGGCUUCAAAGUCAAUUCACCCAAGUCGAGCUUCGUACCCUCAAAUCCAGAGUAAGCAUCUACUUUUCUAUUUUCUUGGGCUACUGGAGUCGUUUUGGUUAUUUUUUCUGGUAAAUUUUGAUUUCUUUUCAGUUGAUAUGAGAAUUGGUUUUGUUGGAUUUAGUUUAUUUCGGUAAGGAGCCAAUCGGGUUGUUUCAAGGUGGAAGAUUUGCCUCCUGUUUUUGUGAAAUUGAAAGCUUUCAGCGAAAUGUUUACUGAGGAUGAGAUUAAAGAUUUCUUAAAGGAAACAAGUAGAGACGUGGGUGAAGAAAUAGACUUCGAGUCAUAUCUUCGGGUGAGUCUAUUUAUGAUGGAAUUUGAAUUGUUUUUUGUUUACGGAUGAACUUUAACCAUUUCCUCUCAGGGAAUGUUGAUUUUCCAUUUUACAAGCAUAAGUAGUUGUUUUGAAGUGGUUGAAUUUAUAAGAUUAAUUACUGUAGGCAUAUCUAGAUUUACAAGGCAGAGCAACAGCUAAAUCGGGUGGAUCUAAAAACUCUUCUUCAUUUCUCAAGGCUGCCACAACUACGUUUCAUCAUGCCAUUAACGAAUCCGAGAAGGCUUCUUAUGUUGCACACAUAAACAGUUUUCUGGCUGAAGAUCCAUUUCUGAAGAACUAUCUCCCUUUAGAUCCUAGUACCAAUGAUUUGUUUGACCUUGCGAAAGAUGGUGUUCUUCUAUGGUAGUUGAAACAACUUGAAUUUAGACAUAUCAAUGUUUAACUUUGUGUUGACAGAUGGUAAUAAUUUUUGUUUAUGCUUUUGGUUGCCCUGUGCAGUAAGCUUAUCAAUGUAGCUGUUCCAGGGACCAUAGACGAACGAGCUAUCAAUACGAAAAAAGUCCUUAAUCCAUGGGAGAGAAAUGAAAACCAUACUCUUGGCCUUAACUCUGCAAAGGCUAUUGGAUGCACAGUGGUUAACAUUGGCACACAAGAUUUGGUUGAAGCUAGAGUGCGUUAUAGCUACCUCUUUGGCCAUCUAUAAGGAUCUGCAUUUAAUUAGCAUAUUCAAUUAAAUAAAUUUAUUGUAUAGUUUCCUAAUUUUGUCCCUUUUUUAAUUCUGUUUUCUAGCCGCAUCUGCUGCUUGGGCUGAUAUCACAAAUAAUUAAGGUAUUAAAUAAUUGAUUGUCUUCAUUUUGCUUUUUGAAUGUUUUUUUGUUGGACAUAUUCAGGAAAAAUGUUUGAUCUUCCAAGGUCUUUACUAUCGGGAAUUAGCUUUAUUUAUCUCUUUUACUGUGCUGGUAAUGUAGAUUCAAGUGCUGGCUGAUCUUAAUCUGAAAAAAACUCCUCAACUUGUGGAACUGGUGGAUGAUAGCAAGGUGAUUUUUUUUGGGUUAAUGUCUUCAUAAUAAGAGUUGAUUUGUCUGGCUGUUGGAGAAAAGGAACAAAUCUUCUUGAAGCUAUUAUCAUAGGAUGGUUGAUGAUUUGUAACAAUUCUCACAAAUAUUAUCAAUAACCUGGCAGGAAGUGGAAGAACUCAUAGGGCUAGCACCAGAGAAAGUCUUACUCAAAUGGAUGAAUUUUCAUCUGAAAAAAGCUGGCUAUGAGAAACAAGUUACAAAUUUUUCAUCAGAUGUGAAGGUUAGAAGAUGCCCACUGAUUACUUUAUAAUUGAUUCACGCUUUAGUAGUUCUGCAUAGAUUCUUGAUUAUACAAGUAAUGUUUCUUUCAGUACCUUUACAUUUAAUUUCUGAAUGGGUUCUAGAUGUUUGAUCAAUUGGACAUAGUUAGAUCUGCUCUCUUUUCAAUCAUGAAAUUAAUUGUCUUAGUUAGGUCCAUUCUUUUUGUCUUUUUUGCUCUAGCUUCCAUGUGAAGUGAUGACCUCCGUGAGCAUGGUUUACCCAUUUUCUAACUUCCGUCAAUGUCCAAUUUUGACAAUGGCUUUCCUGGAGAAAAAUUUAUAACGUGCAAAUCAUAUUAUGUGUGAUGGACUCAUUUCAGGACUUAGAAUUAGAACUCAGAAUUUCGUGUAACCACAUUGAAAUCUCUGUUAGAGGCCCCACAUUAAGUAGAGAAAUUAGACUCAUUAAAAUAUUUUGAAAAAGUAUUCAGUGAGGCUGUGUUUUCUAUAUUGGUUACGUAAUCAAAAUUUUCAUUUGCAGGAUGGAGAGGCAUAUGCUUAUCUGCUCAAUGCUCUUGCACCUGAGUUCUCUGGUCCAGGGACUUUGAAUGUUAAAGAUCCUUCUGAAAGAGCUAAUAUGGUUCUUGAUCUUGCAGAAAAAUUGGAUUGUAAAAGAUAUAUUACUCCCAAGGACAUUAUUGAGGGUUCACCAAAUCUUAAUCUUGCAUUUGUUGCCCAAAUUUUUCAGCACAGGUGAGAAACAUCGUUUUCCCCAUCAUGUUUGUCAAAUCCUUUGCAAGUGUACGUACCUCUCACUGUGGAUGUGCCUUUUCUCUCAUUCUAAACAUGUUAUUUCAUUUCUUAAUAUUCGAAGUGAACAUGUGGAUAGUUGAUCAAAAUUUCAAAGGUAAGAAGGUAUCUAACUCCCAGGAGCUUUUUGUCCAAUCUUUCCUACGUUGGCCAUAAUGGAAAGGACCUAAUGCUGGUCACCGUUGUUUGAUAGCCAAGAAACCCAAUACAAGAAAUAUAUUGAGUUGGAGGCCCAUAUGAUUUCGACUCAAUAACUUGGUUGAAAUUUUCUUUAUGGAUGAUCCUUCAAUUUUAAUUCAAUUAAUCUUCCAGCAAGUUGUAAAAUGAAGGAAGAUAGAAAUUCAUCAUAGGAGACGACCUAUCAUAUCAACAAUAGCAGUAUGUUUCAUGGAGUUUCAAAAUAUAUGAUGCUGCGUAGUUGGAUUUUUAAUCUAAUUUGUAUUGGAAACUUGUAAUGCAGGAAUGGGUUGACUGUGGACAGUUCAAAAAUGUCAUUUGCAGAAAUGAUGACUGAUGAUGCCCAAACCUCGCGGGAAGAGCGGUGCUUCCGGUUGUGGAUCAACAGUCUUGGCAUAGCCACAUAUGUCAACAAUGUUUUUGAGGAUGUGAGAAACGGGUAUUGUUUUCUGUUUUACUCUUACUUAUGAAUCAACUAUAUAUCCUCCUUUUUAUGGACAAGCUUGAGAUAUGACGUCCAUACUGCAGAUGGGUUCUUUUGGAAGUUCUUGACAAGGUUUCUCCUGGAUCAGUAAUAUGGAAACAGGCAUCAAAGCCUCCUAUCAAGAUGCCAUUUAGAAAAGUUGAGAAUUGCAAUCAAGUGAUAAAACUUGGGAAGGAGUUAAAUUUUUCUCUUGUAAACGUAGCUGGAAAUGAUAUUGUGCAGGGAAACAAGAAACUUAUACUCGGUAACUACAAAAUUUCUCUCCUCUUUUCUAGAAUAUGAACUCUCCAUUCAUUUGGAUUUUGAUUGACAUUCACGAAUGCUAUUCUGUCAUGUUUUGAUUUAUUGGUCACCAGCGGAAAGAUUAGUAGACCAUACAUUUUAGGGAAAAUCUAUAAAAAAAAAAGAAUGAGAAUGAUUGGGUUCCUUUAGCCAAAAAAAAAAAAUACUUUGCUUGCGCAUAUGUACUUGCUUAUAUUCUAUGAAGUAUGAACUAUAGUUCUUGCAUCAUAGUUAUUAGCACGUUUUGAUGUUGAAUGUACUGAUCAAACCAUGAUCUUACUGCCUAGUUACUGUUGUUGAUUCCAAAUUCCUAUUUGGUAGUAGAAGAGACUUAAGGAUCCUCAAACUAGAGAUAGAAAUUACAAGACCAAAUAUCUAAAGAUAAUUUCCUUCUUAUUGAGCAGCAUUUCUAUGGCAACUGAUGAGGUUUACCAUGCUUCAACUGUUGAGAAACCUGAGAUCACACUCUCAAGGCAAAGAAGGGAAAGAGAUUACAGAUGCUGAUAUCCUGAACUGGGCAAACAACAAAGUAAAGAAAGCCGGUAGAACCUCCCAGAUGGAGGGCUUCAAGGUAAAUGAUUGAAGAAUGUGUUUUUACGUCAAAGUCUAUUGUUGAUUGUUUCACCUGGAUGAUAUAACUUCUGGUUUCAGGAUAAGAACCUUUCAAAUGGUAUCUUCUUCCUUGAGCUUCUUAGUGCUGUGGAGCCAAGGGUGGUGAAUUGGGCUGUUGUCACAAAAGGAGAAACUGGUGAGUCUUUAUGCUGUUUUUCUUAAAGUUCCAUCUUUGGAGCGUAGGAUUGUUUGUUUCAAUUUUGCAGGGAUGGUUCUGUAAGCUAUCUUACGGUGUAAAAUUGUCAAAUUGCAGAGGAAGACAAGAAGCUGAAUGCGACAUAUAUUAUUAGUGUUGCUCGAAAGCUGGGCUGCUCCCUGUUCUUGCUACCUGAAGAUAUUAUUGAAGUAAGUUGCUUAACUUGAUUAUAUACCAUAUCUUUUGAAAAAAUGGUGAGUGUAAUUGUUGGCACUUAAAACUCCAAUUGAAUUCCUGUUCAACCAUGCCAACUUUUGAUAGGUAAACCAAAAGAUGAUCCUUAUACUCACUGCUAGCAUCAUGUACUGGAGCCUGCUGCAACAAGCAGGUGAGUCCGAGCUGUUAAACAUGAACGACGGUAACGUUUCAGAUGGCAACACAGAAGCUUCGGUUGAUGGGACCGAAUUGUCGUUGGCUAACCAAACUAGUUCUUUGGCAAUAGAGGACAAUGCUUCAGUUCGAAAUAAGGAAGAGUCUGAGGAAGAAACCUCAGCCACUUCCUCAGGCAUUAAAAGUGCAAAUUCUUAAUAGAGAGGGAGCUACUCACAAAAGCAAACUCAGCAUAUUUUUUUUCCCCUUUUUGAUUAAAUUUAUUUAUUGAGAGGAUAUAAUACAGGAAGAAAAAUGAUUACAGUUUAGCUUAUUCUACUGUUUGGUUAAUUGUGGUUUGAGGAGAGCCCUAUUUUAUAUGGUGCUCAUAUUAUCCUCAUUGUAGGGUCCUGUAUAUUCAUUUUCUUUAUAUUUUGAACUAGAAAAUUUUGUUAAUUAGGCUAUAAUUUCUGUUGAACAAUUAUUAUUAUAUCAUAUAUACAAUAAUUAUAUGGGAAAGGAGAAAAAAAAGGUUAUUAUCCUUAACCCCUUGUUUCUUGGAUUAUUGUAAUCAGAGGUUUGAUGGUUAAAUCUUUCAUUUUUUAACUCUAAUUGUUAAGACUAGAAAGUUGGGAGUUUAAAUGCCAAAACUGAGUCUGUUUACCAAACUACUUACUCAAAUUGUUAACAUAAUAUCAUCAGUCUUUUACUAUGGAAGAAAAAUAUAUUGAAAAUUAAAGGUUUUUUUUUUUUUUUCUCUUUUAUUAUUUUAUAUUUUUAUUCGAAAUUUAUAGGCUAAAAUAGUUGAAAUUUAUUGAUAUAUUUAUUCAAAUGUGUUAUAUUUUAUUAUUUUGUGAUUUUGUUGAUCACAAGUUUGUUGAGAAGAGGAGAUCCCUAACCUUAACCAUAUAAAAAAUCUCACAAUUAAUUAUGCUUGAAUAUUGUGUUUAGGUUAAAUAGUAAUGUUCUAAAUGAAACGAUCGUAAAUAUUUUAAAAUAUAAUAAUAAGUGUAGCAACAACAAAAUUUAUUAAAAUACCAUUGAUGGAUGGAUAGAUACUUAUAUACUAUUAUCAUCUUAAUAAAUACUAAUAGAUGUCUUAAUAGAGAUGUCCAUUUAAUCCAUGGAGAUCGACGAACGAGACACGAGGAACGGGGGCGUGAAAAAUUCUUUUUACUCUUUUAUGUAUUCCCCGUUCCCAACCCCGACCUGAACAAAAAUAUAGCUAAAUAUAUAUAUAAAUAUAAAUAUAAAUAUUUGUUUAUUUAUUAACUUAGAGUUAAAAAAAAAGAAAAAAAAGAAAGGCUAUUUUGAAACUCUUCCUUUCUUCUUUUUUUUCCUUUAAUUCCAUUUAUGUGUUGUGAACUUUCUUUAAAAGUAUAUGUAUAUGUUGCAUUUACUUAUGAUUUAUAAACUUUUCUUGGUUGUUUCUUACAAAAUAGGAUGUAAUUGAAGUUUUUGUUAGAAUAUUUAGAGAUUGAUUUUUUAUUUUUUGUAUGGAUUUUUGAAUUUUAUGGAUAAAUUUCUAAAUGUAUUUUCUAAUAAUUGAACUUUUACCUUUAUAAACCGUGAGAAUUUGACAUUUUAAUUGUUUUAAAUAAGAAAAUUGAUAAUAUUCUAUUGAAAAAAAAACAAUAUUCAAACAUAUAUACAUUUCAAAUAGCUAAUCAGAUUGGAUAAUGAAAUUAAACUUAAAAAAAAAGGAAAACUUGAUCCCUUCUAAAUCCUCACGAGUAAUCCCUAUCCUGUUUCCCACGAAAAAUUAGUGGGGAUGUGAAAUAGGACAGGGAACGAGGACAGGAAUUGGCAUCCUCAGACCCGUCUCGAUAUCUAGAUGUCUAUCAACGUUUAUCACUAAUAGAUUAUAAAAUUUUGGUAUAUUUGUAAAUAUUUUUAAGAGUUUUAUCAUCUACUACAAUUUUCCAAUUUUUUUUUUUUAUUCAACUUUUUUCCUCUCUAAUUUUUACCUCUUCAUCUGACUAUUUACUCUUAAAAUCUCAAUUCGUCGCUCUUAAUUUUUUUUUAAUCUUUAAAGUUAGCUUGUCAUUCCCCCCAAAGUUUAUUAAUUUUUUCCUAUGCCUUUGGCAAUUUUUGUUAGAUCUGUAUUGUUUUUCUUACAUUUUAAAAAGCAUACGAUUUCAUUUUUAGUAGUUCUUAUUUCUUGCCCUAAAUAAUGCUCCAUUCAAAAUAUAUCAUUUUUAGUUUUGAUUUUACAAAAUACACUUUCAAAAGUGUAGGGAGCACAACCAAAUAUGCCAUCCAAAUCACUUAUUAAUAAAUCAGUUUUUUUUGUUAAAAUCACUGCCCAAACAUGCUGUACUUGUCAUGGUCGUAAGUGGUUAACUUAUACGAUGAGAUCUUUAAAUAAACACAGUCAAUCUCAAGCCAUUCCAUUUAUUCAUUACUUUUUUUUUUUCAUAACAAAGCAUUUAUUCAGUACUUAAAAGCAAACACACUGGACUGCAGACAUUAUUAUAUAAUAUAUGAACUUGAGAAAUCAAAAAACAAAGCAACAAAGUAGGAUUUGUUGUUAAACUUUUGGCUUGAGAUUGUACAUCAACCAGGGCCUGAUCAUCAGCAGAUUAGUGGCAGCACUUGACGCAAUGACCAUGGGAACACUUGCAGCAACCUUUGUGGCAAUGGUGGUGGCAUUGGGCAAGUGAAGCAUCUUCUCCUCCCAAAUCGUGGUGCUUGACAUCAUUGAUUUCAUCUGUUUGCUUAAAAGCUUCAUCUACAAUGUUAAUGAAUAUCUCAUGAGAAUCAACACACACAUAUAACACUAAUGAAAUGAGUAUAAGUAAAGAGUGUGUUGCAAUGUAUCAUCUAAUAAAUGAUUAGACUCACUAGAUUUUAUGUCGUUCGUGGCCGUAACUGCGGUUACCUCUAGGAUGACAGCUGCGAAAAGGAGACCGAGGAGGAUGAAAGCCUUAGAAUUCAUUUUCUUUUUCUUGUAGAUUUAGAAUGAUAUAUAAAAUGUAUUUGGAGAUGGGAUGAGAAUUAGUUUUGGAGGAUUUCAAAUGUAUUUAUAGUAGUAGGAUGGGAUAUAGAAGAAGGGUAAGAUUGGAAUAAGAAUUUUAAUUGCUAGAGUAGAAGUUUCCUUACAAUAUUAUACAAUGUCAAGUUGGUGAAAAUUUGGUCCCAAUUUUCUUUUACUCAUACUUUGUUUUCAUUGCAUUGGCCUCUCAUUCAAAGAAACGUGUAAAUUUAACAUCUUAUUGUUUUAGCUAAUUCAAAUACGGUAAAAAUUGUUUAUAGCAAAUAACAUUCAAAAAGCGACGUACUAGCCCCUGUAAUGACUAGCAACGUCACUUUUGUUUCUUUUAUGCGUUUAAAGUGAAAGUUGUCUCCACAAAUCAAUUUAGAUUCUUUAAGUAUUUUGACAUUAAAAUUUGAAUACAUAUAUAAAUAUUAUUGAGAGAAAGUUAAAGUAUAAAUUUUUUUUAUAUUUUAUAUUGAUGAAAGAAAAUAAGGUUUUCUAUCAUAGUAAUUUAUACAAAUCGGUCAAACUACAAUAUCUUAAAUUCAUUGAUUUCUUCAUGAAUAGCCUAAUGAAUUACAAUAUCGGAUAAAAAUCAAAAUCAAGUCCAAAAUUCAUAUCAUCUCAUUAACUUUUUUACCAUUUACUAUUGUCUUAAAAAAGAGGAUAUUGGAAAAAAGAAGACACAAAUAUGUAAAAAAGAUAUAAAAAUCAUGUGCUAUAAGAUGGUCUAUUUUGUAAAACGAUUUCUUAUCAAAAUUAAUCACAAAAGGAAAAAUUUUUACAUUUAAAGAUUUCCAUUUGUGGAAUCAUUCAAACCUUUUUCAACGAGCAAAGAGGGUACGUUGUGCAACCAUUUCAAUUUCAUAGUAAGGCUCAUAAUCAAUUAUUAUAUUCUUUAUAUUUAGUAGGUAUAUAGUUCUAUAUUUAUAUCAACAUGUGGGUAUAUAUGAAUAAAAUAUAUAAGAUAUCAUGCACAUAUUAAUUGUUAUGACUAAUCUACCAAGCUCUUUAUUCCAGUGUGUGUAUAUAUAUGAGUAAUAUACAAUACAUCAUCAUCAUGUUGUACAAUAACAAUUCAUAUACACCUUGGGAUUGAGAAACACUUAUUUUUAUGUGUAUGUGUAUGUUUAUACAGUAUAUACUCUUCAUAAAAUUUAUAUAUACUGAUUUGUACUACUUAUAAAGUUAAGUUCUGUGUAUGCAUCCGAGAUAGUUUAGAAAAAGUUUGUGUAUAGUUUUCUGAACAAUGGAGAUGCAGAAGCAGCAUUUAUUGGGUUCUCCAAGUAGAGUAAAUUUUGUCUACGAGGACUAAACCUAUAUUAAUAGAUGAUAUAUAAUUAGACGAAGAAGAAGAAAACCAAGUGUCUUUAAAAGCUUAACUUUCUAGUUUUCAAAAGUUUACUUCAUCCAUCUUCUAAUCUAAUGAAAAAAAUUUGAAGAUAAAAGUAAUACUCUUAAACUUAAUUUUAAAAAUAAAAAUUUAAAAGUCAAAUUGUUAUUGCCUUAUUAUUUUUUGUUUUUCCACUUACACACUUCUUCAUCAUUUUCCAAAAUUUCUUAUUAUCUUAUUAUUUUGUUUCUCCACUCACACACUUCUCCAUCAUUUUCCACCUUAAUUAUCUUACUCAUUACCUUAAUUUUCCUCUUCUUACCUAACUCACUUGAACGACUUUUUGUUUUUCUUCAUCUUCCUCACCGUUCAAUUUCCCCAAACCAAUAUCAAACCUUUUCUCUUCUCUCAUAUGACCAACACUUCAACUUUCUUUUUCCUCUAAACAUAAAUUUACCAUCCAUUUCUUGUUUUUUACUUUUGUUUUCUAUCACCUUUAAAUCCACAACUCCAAUGCUAUUGAAUAGCUUCUCUUUUUCAUAAUAAGAAAGAGUAAAAAACUACUCAUUUUUACCCAAAUGCAUGACAGAUACUUCUCCCAUUUUUACCUAACAAGUUCAUACUUUAAUCUACUUAAUCUCCAUUCUGUCAUGAUUUCAAAUCAAUAGUAGAACUAGCUACCUCUACUAAAUGAAGAACAACCCAAGUAUCUUCCUGAAAAAAAAAAGAAUAAUUCAUUUCUUCAUUCCUAAUUUCUAUGGUUUAUUCUUGAAAAAAUUUACAGAAAAACUUCUUCCAGUUUGCUAAAGGAAACACCUCCAAUUUGUCCCAAGGCCAAUCUCAAGAACAAAAAUGCAAAACAUGAAUCUCUCCAAAUGUGUCUCUCUUUCCUUAAUUCUAUUUGGUUGAGAAUCUUGCAUUAAAAAUAACAAAUAACCUUACACUCAUUAUGAGAUAGAUGAACUAUUUCUCCAAUUGUUUAAUUAAUUUUGAGGUGUAACCCGUGUUACGUAGUAUGAUAACAUAUUGGCUCAUAAAGCUCAAACAAAUAUUUGAUUUAAUAAAAAAAAUUAUAUGAUCUAUCUAUUAUACCAAGGGACAUGCUUGAUUUCCUGUUUGACUAGGGUUAGGGGAGGCCGAACAUCUCUCCUUAGUCACAGUUUUUACUAGGACAUAAAUGUUACUUAACGUAAUACAUUAACUAAUUUAUUUUGCUAUGGUUAGCCUAGGUGAAGCAUGCAUAAAUUUGCUUUGAAGCGAAUUAACCCUCCCCACUAUUAUGCACAUUUUGGCCCUAGGACCUUUUAAGUCCAAAUCUUUUUCUUUUCUAACCUUCUUGUUUUUCGAUUUGAUUAUACCCUUCAUUCUAAAAUCACUAGUAAUAUUGGUAAAUUUAAUUAUAUCAAUAGUUUAACAUGUUGGAUCAUUCAUAUAUAGUUUUGAAAGGCUAAGGUCCAUAAAUAGGCAUAUAAUUUGAGAGCGAAUGUCCUAAAAGCUCAUCAUUUUCUCCAUAUAUUUCUUCAAAAGCUCAGUUUUGCUCAAAAUGCUCGAUGUUCGUCCUUGUGGGUAUCCAAAAUUGGCCAUUUACACAUCAAAACAAUUAUGAAAGGGUCUUCUUUAGGAGGAAAGGAACAAAGAGAGAAAAGAAGGAGAUGGUAGAAGAAAGCCUAAUGUCACGUGGUUAUUUUGAUCACUAAACCAACGUGCGACACAAAGGUGUUGGGGUUGCACCAAUGUAAGCCUAAGAGCGAUUGGACUUGUUGGAACAAUCUAAAGAAGAAGGAAAUUCGUAGGCAAGAAGUAGGCAAAGAGUUGUAGACAAGGUGUUUGAUGAAAUGCUUAAGAGAGCUUUGUUGAUGAAUUCCCAAGGAUUCUGUGUUGUCUAUACAAAUGGACCCCUUUGGGGUAUUUAUAGAAGUAUACAACCGACUUACAAGCCCUAAACCGCCUUACAAGGUCGGCAAAAACAAUCUGGAAAAUUUCCGAGCGCUCAUGACACUGUCUGGAAGCUUCUGGAUCCGUCUGGCGCGCACGCGCCUUCGCGCGUGUUCGCGAGCCUUCUCGGCCGCUCGCUAGUCUUUUGAAAACUUUGAGAGGUUCCCGGACCUUCUCUGCGCGCUCCGUGUCUGCUUCCCGCGCACGCUAGUGCCGUGCGCGCGUCCGACUGGCCUUGCGUGCGCGUCCGUGUCGCGCGCGCCCAUCUGCCGUGCGCGUCUGUCUGUCUGCCUACUGCCCUUGCGUGUGCUCGCGUCCAUACCAUGAGAGGGUUGCGCGCGUCUGUCUCCUGCACAUUGGCGUGUCAUAGGCUUGACGUGAACUUGUUCCUCUUCCUUGGGUCUUUGGACUGCUUGGGACUUGGUUGGCUCCCCUUGGGCAAUGUUAAGGAGCCUUAAUUUGCGAAAAAUUUGUUGGGUCAUUUUUGGGGUGUGACACCCUCCCCCACUCGAUUUCGCAACGGGCGUUGCGCUUUCUUGAAAUCUUCUGAUUUCAUCUUGAAAUUGCCAUAGGGUGUCCUCCUUUUCCCAACUUGCUUCGCUUUUGGGUAGUCCUUCCCAAGCAAUCAAAUAUUCAUUAUAGCUGGGAACUCCUUUCCCUCGUGUCUUCCUUUCUGCUAAGAUCUCCUUGAUUUUCUGUUGAAUUCUGAGAUUAUGGCAGUAGGAAUAACAACAAGCUCUGCCUUUCGGCUUAAGGCAUCAGCAACUACAUUAGCUUUGCCCGGCUUGUAUCGUAGAUGAAAAUCAAACUCGGCAAGAAAGUCUUGCCAUCGAGCUUGCUUUGGUGUGAGUUUCUUCUGCGUCUGGAAGUAGCUGGUUGCCACAUUGUUUGUCAUCAUCGUGAAUUUACUGCCUAACAGGUAGUGUCUCCACACUCGUAUGCAUUGGACGAUGGCGGUCAUCUCCUUUUCUUGCACGGUGUAUCGCCGCUUCGUAUCAUUGAGUUUGCAGCUCUUGUAGGCUAUAGGAUGACCUUCCUACAUCAAGACACCCCCUAUUGUAAAGUCUGAUGCAUCAGUGUGCACCUCAAAUGGUUUGGUGUGAUCAGCUAAAGUCAUCACAGGCUCUUUCGAGACGGCUUCUUUCAAUCUGUCAAGGGAUUGUUGACACUCCCCACUCCAAUGCCAGGUUUGGCUUUUCUUUAGGAAGUUGGUGAGGGGUGCAGCAACAUUUGAGUACCCCUUUAUGAAUCUAUGAUAGUAGUUCACGAACCCUAAAAAUGAUCGCAACUUCGGGAUUUUAGUAGGGGGUUUCCAGUCAAGUAUGGCACGUACCUUUGAUGGAUCCAUCAUUAAUCUGCCUUCUCUAAUCCAAUGUCCCAAAAACUCCACUUCUGGUUUGGCAAAUGAGCAUUUUUCCAGCUUAAUAUAUAACUUGUUGUCGUGGAGUACCUGGAAUACUUGUCUGAGAUGUUGAACAUGUUCUUCCAUGGUUCGACUGUAUACUACAAUGUCAUCCAGAUACACGACAACAAACUGAUCUAGGAAUGGUUGGAAAAGUUUGUUCAUCAGAGUGCAGAAAGUGGUCGGGGCAUUUGUUAAUCCGAAGGGCAUUACUAAGAAUUCGUAAGCGCCGUACCUGGUUACGCAUGUUGUUUUUUGCUCGUCCCCUUCGUUGAUUCUUACUUGGUAGUACCCUGAUCUCAGAUCGAUCUUGCUGAACCAUCGGGCAUUACCAAGUUGAUCAAAUAAAUCAGCGAUCAGCGGUAUGGGUACCUAUUUUUUAUGGUCACCUUAUUGAGGGCUCGAUAAUCGAUACACAGUCUCAAUGACCAAUCUUUCUUCUUCUGAAAGAGCACAUGUGCACCAUAUGGGGCCUUCGAGGGUUGAAUGUAGCUAGCUUUGAGGAGUUCUUUUAAUUGCCUCUUUAACUCCUCAAGUUCUGGAGGGGCCAUUCUAUAGGGAGCCAUAGCGGGUGGUUUGGCUCCUGGCUCCAGCUCAAUCUCGUGAUCUACUUCCCUUCUCGGGGGACGUUUUCUUCGGCAACUCGGCGGGCAUGACGUUCUUGUAUUCUUCAAGGACUUUAUGUACUUCUUUGGGGACGAUAUUUUGGGUAGGACUAGUCUCCUAUGGUUGUGCCUCCUUUAGGGUAACUGCAUAGCACUCGUGCUUGGUGACCCCUCUCUUGAAUUGCAUGGCUGAGAGCAUGGUCACCGGCCUUCCCUUCUUUAGUGGGAUGGUUGUUAUUUGACCAUCCACUAUGGUGAGGGUACUUCCGGAAGAAUUAAUGAUGGCAAUUACCUUAUUGAAGAACCCUAGGCCAAGCACAAUGUCAAAGUCAUCCAUAGGUAUCACGGUGAAGUCGAGCUUACCUUGCCAAUCGCCAAUUUUGACUGUUACACCUCUUGCUACACCUUUGAUGGCUUGUGCUUCUGAGUUUACCGCCUUGACAGUCCCCUCUUCGUUUGUGAACUUGAGGCCUAGUCUCUUAGCCUCAUUCACAUUCAUGAAGUUAUGGCUUGCACCGGUGUCAAACAUGGCAAUAGUCUCUCUCCCGUUUAUCUUUACGUUGCCAUGGAGUAUGCCUCCUUUAGUUGUUUGAUUGGCCUGCUUUAGAGCUCCAAUGUGUUGCAAGGAACCAAUCUGUGGUGUAUCAUCUCCUUGCUUGGGCUCAAGCAAUUUAGCAACGAGUGUGUUCAUUGCUUUUCUAUUCGGACAGUCUCUUGUCCGAUGGGGACCAUUACAAACAAAACAGGGAGAAGGUUUGGACGACUCGCCUUGUUGAGUUUUGUGAUACUUGUCAUGUCUGUGGAAUACCUUCUUUCCUUUUUCUCUUUGUUCGGAGUCUCUAUGCUUGUAGUGAUUGCCUUCACGUUUAUUUGGACUGGGUUUUCUCUCCUUUGAUUGGGCUGUAUAAUCGACAAGUAUCUCGGUUGCAGCUAUAGCGUCAUCCAAUGUUUGAACAUUGCGACGGUCUAGCUCAACCUUGGCCCAAUCUUUUAGUCCAUCUCUGAAUUGGAAUAGGGCUUCCUUCUCUGGCAAAUCACUAAUUUCAAGCAUAAUAGUGGUAAAUUCCUUCACAUAGUCGAGAAUGUUACCUGUGUGUCGUAGCCUUCGAAGUUUGGCUCUUGACUCCAUUUCGGCAUUGUGGGGGAAGAAAGUGCUUCCUUAAUUCGAUCUUGAGUUGCUCCCACGUCUGGAUGACAUUCCCGUUUUGGUCGGCGUACCGUCGACACCACCAAAGUUGUGCGGCAUCCCUUAGGAAUGUCGGGGCAUUGUUUAUCUUGGCCUCAUCAUCUCGAACACCGACAGCUGCAUAGUAUCGGUCAAGGCCAAAGAGGAAGUUUUCCACAACCGUGGCAUUCCUCACCCCAUUGUAUGUGUCAGGUUUUGGCACUUUAAUGUGAGUAGUGCCUUGCACAGCGGUGUGUGUACUGGUGGAUGCACCGUCUCCACCAAAGUGCUUGGAACGACAUUCCAUGCAAAGAGUAUCUACCUUUGCAUCUAGGGAAAUAUACUUAGAAUAGAGUUCGCGUAACUCACCUUCAACAAAUGUCUUCAAAGUGGUUACGGUUGAUGACAACUCCUUCAAAUCCUUUUGGAAUGUCUUUCCAAGAUCGCUAACGAGCUCCUUGGUUACGGUAGAGAUUUCCGCGUUCUCCUGGAUAAGCUCUUCGUAGCUAUCACCCAACUCUUCUACCGUGUGCUGGACAUCCUCAAGACUUUGCUCGAGGUUGGCAAGGCAAGUGUCAACACGCUCCCUUGCAUCUGGACCCUUAGAUUUCGAUCGUCGGGUCGGGGAUCGUCGGGUCGGGGAUCGUCGGUCCUUCCUACCUCAUGUGACAGGUCCUUCAAGAACCUGCUCAACUGGGGCUGAAACGUGGCCUUCUUCGCUGGACAUGAUGUUCACAAGUCAAUUGGAGGUAAGUGGGUAUAGAAACCGUGUUCUGUUACCACUUCGACAACGUUUCAAGAACUAGGGUCUUGAAUCUCGGCCUCUCAGUAUCGUGCACUUGAUAGCAACGAUCAAGAGUAUGUCCCUUUGAACGAACACGCUCUGAUACCACCUGUCACGUGGUUAUUUUGAUCACUAAACCAACGUGCGGCACAAAGGUGUUGGGGUUGCACCAAUGUAAGCCUAAGAGCGAUUGGACUUGUUGGAACAAACUAAGGAAGAAGGAAAUUCGUAGGUAAGAAGUAGGCAAAGAGUUGUAGACAAGGUGUUUGAUAAAAUGCUUAAGAGAGCUUUGUUGAUGAAUUCCCAAGGAUUCUGUGUUGUCUAUACAAAUGGACCCCUUUGGGGUAUUUAUAGAAGUAUACAACCGACUUACAAGCCAUAAACCGCCUUACAAGGUCGGCAAAAACAAUCUGGAAAAUUCCCGAGCGCUCAAGACACUGUCUGGAAGCUUUUGGAGCCGUCUGGCGCGCGCGCGCCUUCGUGAGCCUUCUUGGCCGCUCGCGAGUCUUCUGGAAACUUCGAGAGGUUCCCGGACCUUCUCCGCGCGCUCCGUGUUUGCUUUCCGCGUGCGCGCCCAUCUGCCGUGCGCGUCUGUCUGUCUGCCUGCCACCCUUGCGUGCGUGCGCGCCCAUGCCAUGACAGGGCCGCGCACGCUUGUCUUCUGCACAUUGGCGUGUCAUAGGCUUGGUGUGAACUUGUUUCUCUUCCUUGGGUGUUUGGACUGCUUGGGAGUUGGUUGGCUCCCCUUGGGCAAUGCUAAGGAGUCUUAAUUUGCGAAAAAUUUGUUGGGUCAUUUUUGGGGCGUGACACUAAGCCACCCAAAAACAAUAUUAUAUUAAAUUGAUUGUUUUUUGUAUAAACUUGGAGAAUUCAACUUGGCACCUUUAGAUUUUCCGGAUAUAUAUAUAGGUGCUAAUUGAUUAAACUCUUGUUGGUCAAUUGAUUAAUUACCUAAAAUUUUUUAUUUAAUUGAUAUAGCUCCUAAAAUUUAAAGAGUAUAAAUUGUUUUGUGACAAUUUUUAUUCUUGACCCCUAAGAACCCUUUUCUUUAUAUUAUCAUUCUUCAGAAAUUGUUCUUAAUUUGAUAGUUUAAGUUUUUAAGCUUUGAUGAACAUAAAAGUAAACUUUUUUCCUUGUACAAUAAAUAAACUAAUUAUGAUGACGAUGUUAAAGGUCAUUUCAAACUUAACUAGUCAACGCUUAAUUAAGUUCUAAUAUUAAUUAAUACGUACUGACUUUUUACAAAAAAAAUUACAUUAAGAAAAUUAUUAUAUAAAAAUAUAUUUACAAAAUACAGUAAAAAUUCAUAUGCUAUCCAUUCGAAAAGAAGCAUCCAAAAUAGUAGUUGCACGUGACUAUUUUGAUCUUUUACUAAUUUUUGUGCUAUAUAAUGUAAUUGUUUUAUCCUUGUGUACAUGCCAUUAUUCUACCCUAAAACUUAUUAUCUUUUUUCUUCAUAAUUCAGCUACAUCUCAAGACAACAAUCUACCAAAAUCAUCACUCCAACUUUUAGUAUUUUAGUUGAUGAGGGAUUGAUUUGAGCUUGAAGAGCUCUAAUUUACAAAGACUGUUUGAUAGAAUAAACAAUAAUCUACAGAAAUGAUCUUCACUUGAUUACAACUUUUCGGCAUCGCCGUGUUGUAAGAUUGAGUGUCUCAAUUUGUGAAGUGCAUAGCUCUGUGGUGCUUCAAAAUCCUGUCCUCUGAUGAAUUCCGUUUGCACUGUGACACUGUUUUGGAGCUAUUUAUGUAUUGGAACGAUAUCCAAUAUUGAUCGAUAUGUUGGUGAUGAACUAAGGUAACAUUUUCUAGUUUAGGUAUUGAGUAGAUUUCUCUGUUUUGCAUCUUGGAUAGGUCUAGAUCGUUCAUUAUUGGAUUCCUGUAUUAAGAUCCAAUUCUUUUUUGAUUUUUGAGUGAUAUUUGAUUAUAUUUUGGCUUAAUUACAAUGUAUGAUCAAGUGCUAAAUUUAGCCUAGGAUAUAGAAUUAUCUUGAAAUGUUUUUAAUAUCAUCUAAUAUUUGAUUACAUAUAGUUGCUUCCUAGCUAAAUCUUAAUACUAUUAGCUAACUAGUUAUGAUGUGUUUUAUUCAAGUAAUAAAUUAGUUAAUUAGCUAAAUAGGACUAACGUAACCUAGCUUCUUUAGGUAAUAUGGCCAAGAUUAAUUGAUACAAGAAUAAUCAAUGGAGUCGUGUGAUCAAGUUGCAAGAUAUGGAAACAACUCAAAAACCUAGGCAAGAGCUUUUAACUAUCCGAAUUCAAUUCCAAUUUAUUUCGUGACAAAUUUACUUUAGUUUGCAACAAUCACUACAAAAUCCUCCAUCACUGGUUAUUGUCCUUGGCUUUAAACUGUUUAAUUGAUUCAGCAAUUCACAUGUUUAAUGUGCUCCACCCGAUCUUGUCACUAUGACUAAGAAUGUAGUGAUGGAUACCGUUGAUUGAUUCAUUUAGUCCAUAUAUGUGUAAUGAGAUUCAAUCGGACUAUUGGAAAUGACUUAUCAAAGCAUAACAAAAUUUACAACUGGUUGAUACAUGAACUGUUUGAAUUGAGCAACAUUUUUUUUUUAAAAAUUAUAUCUCAAUUCGAAUUUUACUUAAAAGUUUUAAAUACACACAAUUAAUUUCAAGCUUAUGCGUUUAUUCAUCACUAUUUUUUUUUUUUCCUUUUUUAAGAAAGCAUUUAUUCAUUACUUAAAAACAUUAAACAACAAACAUAUACAUACCGAUACAUAUCAACUUGAGAAAUCAAGGCCAUUAUUUGAAGUAACAAAAUACGUUUAGUUGGUAUGCCUUUAGCUUGAGGUUCUACAUCAUCAACCACGGCCUCACCAGCCAAUCUAGCAGCAAUGGACGCAACGACCACGGACGCAGCUACAACAACGGUUCCUGCAACCAUGGAGGCAUUGUUGGAGGAAUCUAGCUUGUCCUCUUCCAAAACCAUGGCGGUUGACUUCGUCAUGAAGUUCAUCAGUUUCCAUAAUAGCUUCUUCUACACAAAUAUAUAAUGUUAAAUUACAUUAGAAUCAACAUAUAUAUGAGAAGACACUAAUGAAACGAGUAGAAGUAAUAUAAUAACUACAUUAUUGCAAUAUGUAUCAUCAUCUAAUAAAGGUGUGGAUAUGAAGUAAAACUCACUGAAUUUUACAUCCCUAGCCGUAACCGUGUUUACAUCCUCUGAAGAGAGGAUGACAAUGGAGAACAGAAGACCGAGGAGGAUGAAAGGCUUGGAAUUCAUUAUCUUUGUAAAUUGGAAUAAUAAAAAGUAUUUGAAGAUGAGAUGGAGAUGAGAAUUAGUUUGGAUUUCAAAUGUAUUUAUAGUCUGAUGAUUGAAGAAGGUUAAGGUUGAAAUAAGGAUAUGAAUUGCUAGAGUAGUAAAAGUUUCCUUAUUACUAUAAUUUGUCGUUUUCUCAUAAUUUACAUUUGAAAAUAUGAUCAUAAAACUUUGUUACCAUUGAUGACGUUGCCUCUCGUUCAAAAACACGUAGAAAUUUAAUUCUUUAACGGAUGCCUAUAUAUUAUUUUGAUUUAUUCUUUUAGUACGAGUUAAAGAGCUAAUCAUAAUGAAACGUGAGUUGUUUGAUAAAGUUUCGUAAAGAAUUUGUUCAGUAACUAUUUGUGUUUUCUUAAAUAAAAUAAAAUAAUAAAAAAAUGUUUGCUAACAAUUACUGUUCUUGUGUAAUUAUUCAUUUGUGUUCAAGAGGGCUUUCACUCUAGUCAUUUUCAUGUAUGCUUCUUUUGGUCUAUUUUCUCGAUUAUUAUUUAAUUUUAACAAAAUGGGUAUUACAUGUAAUAGAAAUUUAAAAUUGUGUCAAUUUAGUUGAGAUACUUUAGUGCACUAUAAAAUUACAGUACCUAUCUUUUUAGAUGAACUUAACUCAUCUGACAUUUGAGUAUACUAAUAACCUCGAGAUUUAUGGUUCAAAUAUACUAACAGUCUUUGGCGUAUGCGUUUAUUCAACAAUUAUUACUUAAUUAGACUCGAGUACUGCACUUCAUUAAUACUAAAUGAAGCUUUAGGUAGUACACCCAAUUAAUCUCAAGCCUAUGGAUUUAUUUUCAUUACUUGACUUCUCUCCGUCAAUCCUUACUGUUCAAAGGUUUUUAGAUAAUCAACACAAGUAACUUAGUUAUAUUGGUUUUAAAAUUUAAUGGGUAGUUAUGUUGGAAAGGAAUUUUUGGAGGUAGGAGAAAAUUUGAAAAAGAAAAUUGAUGAAAGAGGGUACUUCUGUUUAUUAGGACACUUUUUAUUUUUUGGCUUCAUGCGAGUGGUAGGACAUCCCUCCUAAUUAUACUAGUUGGCACUUAGCUUGAUACCCCUAAAUGUACGUAUGACUAGAAUUUUGCCAACACGUUCUUAUCUAUUGGUUAAAAUGACUCUAAAUGUAUGUAUGACUAGAAUUUUGCCAACACAGUCUUCAUCUAUUGGUUAAAAUGACUCUAAAUGUACGUAUGACUAGAAUUUUGCCAACACAUUCUUCAUCUAUUGGUUAAAAUGAUUCUAUAGAACAUUCUUUACAAUUAUACUUCUUUAGAUAUUUCUUCAAUCUUCUUUGAAUAUCGAUCUCCUACAAAAUAUUAUUAAUUUCUCUAAAAUAAUGUAGUAAUUAAUACUUUCUAGAAAUUGAACUUUUAUUUGUGCUAGACCCAAAUAUUGUUAAUCCAAAAUCAAGUUCAUAUUUCAACAGGUUCCAAUCACAACAAACACACUUAUAAUUUUUAACUUUUUUAACUUUUGUACGAUUAUAAAAGGAUGGUGGCUGAAUAGAGAGUAAGAUUGAAACAAUGCUAGAAUAUAUCGAGAAUAAUAAUAAUGAAAAAAAGGGAGAGAUUAACACACACAUGAAUUAAGGUAAAAACCAAGGCAAUGAUCAUAUAAGAACUUAACUAGGAGUAACAAAUUUUCUUUUGUCACAUGAGAAAUCGAUGAUGGAAGUCGUACUAGAUAAUGACAUCUUUACUCGCAAAUAUGAAUUGGUACACCCCAUUGUUAUUAAAUAACAAUGGUUCGAAAUUCGAUGUUAGUUUAUGUUUCUAAAAUCGGGUCAGAAAUCUUUAGAUUUCAUCAUGUUAAGUUGGAUAUCCCUAACGCGAUGUCAAGAGUUAUGAUUCGAAAAUUAGGCAUUCGUAAAAUCGGGUCAGGGCUUGACUCAUGGCGUCAGACUUGCAUAGUUUUCCUAUUACAAGUGAUGGUGAAGUCAAGAGAAAGUCAAAGUGUGCCACUCAUGAUACGAAGUGUCAUUGAUGAUACGAAUUGCCAUCGAACUAGGGAUGUUUGACCGCCUGGUCAAGAAUGUCAUUCCGACUUUGAGGUUAACUAUUAAUGAAGAAAAGGAGCUAUGACUUCAGCAGAAGGUUAUAAAACACGAUAAGUUUGCGAGGGGCAGGUUAAAACGGAAGCAUACCUUUGUGAAAGGGCCAUUAUGAUAAUUUUCCCUAAAAAGAGUCGCAUUAUUAUAACUUAUAAUUGUAUAUUUAAGUGAACUUAAAAAAUAGUUCCAUUAUAACUUGUGAUUCAAGAUUUAAGUAAAUUGAAAGAUACAACAAAAUAUGCAAAAAUAACCAAACUUGUUAAAAUCAUAAUUUCCAAUUUCCUAAAUUAAAAAAUGUCUUUUUACUUCUACGUUAUUGUGGAUCUAACGAGUCAAAAGUUAAUUAUGUUAUAAUCUAACCACUCACCUCAAAGUUAGAUAGUAAGAACAUUAAGCUAGUUGAUUAUUUAAGAUGCAACAAUCAUAUAUACUUUUUUAACCUUUGUUAUAAGCUUGGACGUAGUUUCAAUACUCUCUCACAAAACUUAUUAAAGAUUGAUACAUACAUCCUACUAAACAGCUAUAAUCACAUUUGUUCAAUAUUUUUAAGAAAUCUUUUAAAACUAAACAUAUAGUACUGUGAUACUUAGAAAGUCGAUUCAAACACACUAGCCUAUUGUAUUAAUUUAGUUUAUUCUUAAGCUUUUAAUUUUUUUUCUGAAAAAGAUACGAAUUUUACUUGGUCUUCUUAGCCUUUAAAUUUGAACAUUCCAUUAUUUAUGGUUUGAUAAAAAAAAAAAAAAUCAAGCUAUUCAAUAUGCCUUUGCCAAAGAAAAAAAAAGGAAAAAUUUUUUGCCAGAGGGACUAGUGUCCACCAUUACAGUAUAUUUAUUCUGCAUCAAUACAUCAAAUAACUUUGAUCAUCUCUCUCAUUUAGCUCUAUUUCUAGCUAAGAAAAACUCAAUCUGAAAUAUGAGAGAAAAAUGAUCAUAAAUGAAAAUGAAGAUACAAAAAAGUCUUAAAAUUUUUAUUCAAAGAGGUGUGAAGUUAUAUUUAGUCAGAAGGAUUGUGUAAUCGUUCGUGAAAAUUUGAUGUUUUCCUUUAGCAUGAGAUUUUCAAACUUCUUUAGUUAAAUAAAUGGUUCCACUUCUUCGAACUCGCUAUCCUAACUAUAUAUUUUCUUAGGGGUUUACAUUGGUAACUUCAUUAGCAUAGUUGCAACAUUGGAUGCAUCGACCAUCACGAUUGAAACCACAGCAACCAUGUGAGCAACCAUUUCCACCUCCACCUCUACCGUACCCACCGCAUCUAUAGUAAUUUCCGCAGCCAGGGGUGUCCGCGGAGCUGCCGCGGCCGUCACUUAAAAGGUCUCUUGCUGCCACUUUUGGGGACAGGACAAGAACGACUACGAUGGAGAAAACAAGAGUCGUCACAAAAGGAAAAUGCUUGGAGUUGGAAUAAUUCAUUUUAAAAUGUUCUUUUCUUUCUAGUAAUUAACUUGUAAUUUUGGAGAGGGAAUGAGAAGAUUUUGCACCCUUCUCAUUCUAUUUUAUAGGCAGAAAUAAAAGACAAAAUUAGCUCCAAUUCAAAUAUGGCAACUAAAAACGACUAACCCCAUUCAAAUUUCUUUCUCUUUUUUCUUUUAAGUCAACCAUGUGAGAGUGAUGGAUAUUCGUGCAUCCAAAGGACAUAUAUGUAUUGGAGCUAAACCAUUGCUUAAAUUGACAUUUAAAUGAAAAAUAGAAUGAAUUGAAAAAAAAAUCCUUUUAGUGCUUCAAAUUAAAAUUAAAUACAAAUAAUAUUUAAGUGCAUUUGUAUCAUUGUUGAACUUUUUUUGUAUCCAACUCCAACCAGUACACUUCAUUUAGAAGGAAAAAAGAAAACAGGUUUGCCAAACUAUACAUAUGCACACAUAGUACAUAUAGUUACAUAUUUUCACAUACUCCUUUUUCUUUAAAAAGAAAUUUCUAAAUAACUUUUCCUCGAAGUGGGUUGGGCGAAACUAUUAAUAUUGUUAUGAUUUAUGUCAUUUCGUAGGGGUAGCUUUCAAUUCUUCUAUUAAAUGCUCUUUUGUCUGCCAAGUUCACUUAACAAAUCAAAUAAUACAAAAUGAACAUACAUUAUUGAUAGGUGAAUUCAAGGUAUGCUCUUCUUUUCGCAACUCCAUAAUAAGAAUAAAGAAUAAUUUUUAUAAAAGAGAAGAAUUUACCAUUGAAUAAUUGAGUGGAAAGAAGAAUAUAAGUGUAACUUAAAGAUGCAUUUAGUUAAUAUGGAAAAAAUUGAACUCGUUGCAGCUUAAUUUGAAUUUCUAUUAUCAAAGUACUGCAUCCCUCUAUGAACACAUUUGUCGUUCAAAGCAAAAGGCUAAGAAGAAGAUUAUCAUCUUUAAUUCGGUGCUGUCUCCCUUCUACCAUUUGGAACGAAAGAAAUAACAGAAUUUCCAACGAUAAAGAAAAAUUCAUUUAUAAAGUUUAGAAAGAUAUUUAGGCUUUAACCGGUCUCUAGACUCGCAAAUUCCCCGGUUCAUCAACUAUGGUGCCAACACUAUAUUUGUUCCUUUUGGGUUGUUAGGGGCUUCUCUCUAGCCCUUUUUAUUUUUUCUGCUUAAUUCUUGUAGUUAUUUUUUAUCAUUAAUGAAGCAGAAAUAAUGAUGGUACUAAAGGGUGUUGAUCUAGUAGAGAUGCUCAAGUGAUCCAAAAUCGUAUUCUUAAAAAAAAAAAGAAGAUGGAUUUAAGUAUUAUUAUAAAACAGUUUAAAAGCAAAUAUAAUUAAAAAUAAAAAAUAACCAUAUAAUUCUCUUCUUUCCAAACUCUUUCUAUUAUAACCUCAAGUAUAAUGUUCAACUUGCCACGAAAAAGUUCUCUCGUAUAAGCCUACUGUAAACUUGUAGUCUAGGAUAUUUAAUAGUGUAAGAUUUCAUCUUAAAACCAAUUGAGAAUGAGAUGAGUAACUAUCUGUUUUAUAAUGAGUAUAAAUACAAAUCUUUAGUUUUUUCAACCCGGGAUUCUUAAUCGUUGAUCGGAUUUCAAUUUCAUUUUAUUGGAUCAAAUACAUGUUUGGACUCUUUAUAUGGAUCAUGACACCAUAUUCAAUCGACAACAAAAAGACUAACUCGUCUAUCUUAUAAGUAUGGUUAGUCUCAUGGUUUUUUCGAUGUACGUUUCUCAAUAUUUGAACAUAAGAUAAGAAAAAACCUGAUACUUUUUUUUGGAGAAAGCUACCAUAGGUAGCGAAGAAUAUGCCUGGAAUGGCUAGUUUGUAAUCUCUGUUAAAUAAAAUGUAAAUUUUAACUGAAUGGUAUGAGCUUUAAAUACCAUAUCAGAAUCAUUUCACUUUAUAACUAGGUGUUGCUUUUGUAAAGAAAAACUCAUGAAAUCUUCGAGAAUAGUCACUUUUCUAUAGAUGUGGACGAUUUUGUUGAACCAUGUAGAUCACUGCAUUCACCUUCCUCUUCUCUUUGCAUUUGUUUGCUUUUAUUUGUGAGAUUUUGAACCUAGCAAAACAGAUCGCCGUUGAAGAGUUUAAAUAUAGGUUGAAGAAAAAGAAAGUUUAUAAAGAAUUUUGUUUCUGUGUGUUGGAAAAAGAGAAUAUAAUAGCAAAAAUGAUUUUGUGUCAAAACUAAACAAUUUUGCUUCAUUAUUUCUCACUUACAUGGUUGUCAUUCAGCAUUAAAACAUAGAAGCUUUCGCAUCAUUCAUUUCACCAACCUAAUUAGUAGCAUUUUGGGCUUCAUUCCUUAACUUUCUUCUUUGUUUUGGGCCUGUAAAAGAAAAUAACCCAACAAAAGUGUGGUGUACGAGCAUUAAAGAUUUAUCAAGAAAGCCCUUUUUUCAGAGCUUCAAGAUUCUGAAUUUCGAGUAACAAUGGCAGUAGCAAGGUAUGAGAUAGAGAAUUUUUAUAGAAAUGGUGAUUUUGGUUUGUGGAAAGUCAAAAUCAAAGCCAUUCUAGGCCAACAGAAGGCUCACAAGGCCCUUUUGGAUCCAUCAACCUUACCAAAUAUAGUCACAACACAAGAAAAUGAAGAUUAGGAAUGGUAGCUAUAGAACCUUGGUUUUGAAUUUCAAAAACAAGUUAUUGACCAAGACACUGCCUACAAGAUGUGCCGCUAAGCUGGAAGGAUUUUUUUGCCACCAAAGAUCUCCAAAACAAAAUGUUCUUGAGAGAAAUUCUUUACAUUCUAGAUGGACUCUUGGAAGAGCUAGCCUCACUAACAACCUAGAAUAUGAAUUUAGAAAAUAGUUUAUGAUUUCAAGGAUCUUGGAGAAAAGGUAGGUGAUGAGAAUGAGGCCUAUGUCCCUUUGAGUUCACUAACAUAAACUAGAGAAGUGAAAAAAGCUUUGAAGUGUGGCAGUGGUAUCGUACAGUCUCUAAUGUAUAAUCCUCCGAUGCUUUCUCUUAGUUUCUAACUUUGACUUGAGGGCUGAUGAGCGCGCUUAUUUUGAAACCAAAAGAGUCUAGGUCUUUAAUUUGUAGAUGGGGAAGAGAUGAUCAAUUUGAGAAGAGACAAUUUGUUUGUUUGUUGGAGAAGAGUUGGUCUAUCCAUUGAGAGAUGCCUAGUUCGUUGAAGAAGAUCACUUUGUUGAAUUCUGAAUUCUCUUAUCUAUAGAUCUAUGUGUGAAGGUCCCAAAUGAAGGUAGUCUCUUUUAUUUAUACAGAGUUUUGGGAGGACUAUAUUUUGAUUGUUUUGUGUUUAUUUCAUAAAUAGAGCUCCUUUACUUCACCAUCUUCUUAUUCGAACACUUGUCAUAUUUGUUGGGAUUCUCUCAUUCUGAUGUUUCUUUCCUCCUUUACUCAUGCAGAAAUUUGUAAGAAAUUGAGAGUUUGGAUAGGUUCCAUCCUAAAAAUAUUGGAAGCUUAGCUUAUAAGAGCUAGUGGAGUUUUUAAUUACUAAAGCAACAACAAAUUGAGCGGGUGUAAUCAACUUACGAGUUUAGACUUCAUGUAAUCAAUUAAUAGGUGGAAUUUCACGUGUAAUAUCUUCAUAUAAGAAGUGUGUGAAUUUAGACUUAAGCCACAACCUUCUAAUUAGCGAAAUGCCAUUGAUUUUCAUUUAAAUUUUUGCUCUACCGUUUCUUUGAUUUAUCGUUAAAAUGAAUUUAUCGACAUCAAAUUCCAUUGUUUGUUCAUAUAAAUAUUUCUAUAGUCAAUUACACGAAACAUUACCUAGCGGUGGGAGCGUUUUUAUGGAAAGAAAAAAAAACAAAAACACCACCGAUAGAAAUUUAUAAAUUCUCUUGAAAAAUAAAUUUAACUUUUCUUUUAAAUCUAUAAUUUAGUGAUAAAAUUUAACAUUGAUAGACCGUAAGCUACACAAAAUAUUCAACAAUGAAACAAUCUUUCUUAUUAACAAGUACACUAUAAAAUAACAAAAUGAUAUACAUAUUAUUCUAAUUACUUUCCAUAUCAAAUUCAACUUUUUUCAAGUCUAUCAGUGAUAAAAACUUAUCAUCAAUGGACUCUAAUAAAAAAAAAAAAAAAAAAAAACAAUGGAACUACACAUUUCUUACUUCAACUUUCUUCCAAUCUACCAAUGAAAGAGACCGAAACAUAUCACAUAUAGACAAUCAAAUACACAACAAAAACAUAAUUGAAACUAUAUAUUGUCUUAUUUUUCAUUAAAAAUUCUUUAAGUCUAACACUAAUCGAAACUCAUGAUCGAUAAAUUAUAAAGAACAGAAAAAAAACAAAAACAAAACAAAAGAAAAAGAAACUAUGCGUUCUCUAACUUUUUAUGAAAAUAUAUUCAACUUUCUUCUGCUCUAUCUACUCUAUCACUGAUAGAAACAUAUAAUCGAUAAACAAUACUUAUCAACAAUCUCAAAAAACAACAUUUUAACUAUGUAUUGUCUUACUUUUCAUGAAGAUAAAUUCAAUUUUCUUCAUGUCUCCUGGUGAUAGAAACAUAUAAUUCGUAGACUCGAAACAAAAAAAACAAUAAAACUACAUUUUCUCACUUUUCAUGAAAAUAUAUUUAGUUUUUAAAAAUUUAUUGCUCAUGAACACUAAUCAACAACAUCAAAAAAAGCAGCAUAAAAAACUGUAUAUUUUACUUUUCGUGAUAAUGAAUUCAACAUUCUUCAAGUUUAUUGUGAUACGAACCUACUCGAUAGACUUUAGUUGAACAAGUUAACAAAAAAAAAAAAAAAAAAACACACACACACACAUGAAACUAUACAACACUUCUCAUGAUAAAUAUUAAAUUUUUUUCUAACAUUGAUAGACCCUUAUAGAAAAAACAGCAAAGAAACUAUAAAUUUUUUCUUACUUUUUAUGAAAAUAAAUUCAACUUUUAUUAUUAGGGAUAGAAACCUAUCUAGAUUCUAAUGAACAAAAAAACAAUACAAUGGCAAUCACUUUAAAUAUAUUUUUUUAAUGAUGACAUGGUUUUAUAAUUGAUGAAAGUUUAUCGAUAAUAAAAAUUUAUCAUUUAUAGAAGCAUUAACGAUCCAUUUCUACGAAUUAUUCAAAACUAAAAAAAAAAUUGUGAAACAUGGUAAUAUGUUUUCAAGGAUAUGCGUAUUUUCAUCGUCAAUAGAAGUUUUAUCGAUGAUAACAGUGUAUCAUUGAUAUAGUUUGGAACUAUUAUUAAUCAAUUUUUUUUUAUCAUUUAUUGAAAAUAAAGAAAAUCAUGAACCACACCAAUAUAUUUUCAAUGAUAUGCUUUUAUUGUUGAUAACUUUUAUCGUUUAUAAAAGUAUAUCAUUGAUAGUGUGCUAUCACUAAUAAAUUUGGGAUACAAAAAUAUUUGUGAUACAGGUAUAGCAACAAAAAUUUGCUAUCAUCCAUAAAUCGAUAUUGUUUUUUUUAUAAAAUCAUAUUUAUGAUACAAAAGCAUUGAUGAUAAUAAUAUGGUAUUAAUGAGAUAGAUUUCUAUAAAAUGAGUCUAUUAUCAAUAAUAAAUUGUUAUCAUGUCUAUAAAUGAUAGACUUUAAAAAGUGAAAAUUUUGUGGCUUCAAUGAGGAUUAAAGAAAUUUUUUGUUAUAUUUACAAUUAGUUUUUUUGAAAAAAGAGUCUAUCAAUGAUAAAAUUUUUAAAGCAAUUUAUAUCAAUGAUAAACUUCUAUAAGUGAGAAUUUCGUGCCUCAAGCAUAUUUUGAUGUCUUUAAUAGACUUUUUUUUUUUUUUUUGCACAUUUACAUGGGUUGAAGGUAAAUUUUGUUAUAUUUACCAUUAGUUUUAAGUUUUGCUAUUUUCUUAAUAAUAAUUUUAACCUUGUUUUGGUGCAUAUGCCAGAACCCCUUAAAUUAAUCUAUUUUUAAAAUAGAUUUUUAUUUAAGUUUGAUCCAAUUUAUUUUUUAAAAUAUAGAAUGACCAUUGCAUUUUUUUAUUGGCCAAUUUCCAUGUCUUUAAUUAAUAUUAAUUUGAGUUCAUCUAAAAUUUUAAUAAGUCUCAAAUUAAUAGGGUGAGAAUUUGUGAUUAAUUGAAAAUUUCUUAGACGACAAAAAAAAAAAAGAUUGGCCAUUUAUUUUAAGUAUAUAAAUGGCGAUGCAAAUUAAUAUAUACACGUUCAAUAAAAAAUAUAAAGAGAGGAAUUUUCAAAAAUAACAAAUUUUACAAAAUAUUUACAACUUAUAGUAAAUUCUAUAACUAAUAGUCAUUGAUAUGCUAUUGUGAUAGAAGACUAUCGUUGAUAUAAUUCAAAAUUUUGUUUUAACUUGUUAAUAUUUUAAUUUAUUUUUAUAUUUUUAGAAAUGCUCCAAAUAUAAAAAGAGAACUAUGUAAAGAAAUGUCACAAAGUUAGAAAUUAUCUUUUAGGAUGCCUCCAAAAUUUUAAGGAUGCUCUUCGUCCGUGCAUUAUAGAAUGUUCGAAAAUCUGUAGUUGUUGCAUUUUUAUUGGAAAAAAUGUAAAGAAGUAUUAAAUUUUUUUAAAAAAAUUGCAUUUGGUUUUGAGUUAAAAAAGAAGAGGAAAUAAGUAUUAAAUUUAAAAAAUGGUUGGUGUUGAAAUAAGUAUUAAAAUAAAUAAAAUAUUAUAUAUAUAAAAAAUAAGAAAAUUUGUCGAUAAUAGAAAAUUUGACAAAAUAUUUACAUUUUUUUAUGGAAAAUAAGGCUUAAUAAAUUUUAGAAUUUUUUUUAGUGAUUUUUUCUUUGGAGUAACUAGUUUGUUUUUAGUUCUAUUUGUAAAAUAACUCUAUAAAAUAAUAUAAAUAAAAAUUAAGAAAAUAAAACAUAAAAAAUCUCACAAACUCCCCAUUCUUCUAUUUAUUUGAAAAAAAUUUCAACUUGUAUCUUACUAAACUCAAUAAAUAUCACUACUUAUAGACAAUUUGACAAACUCGAUUAUAUUGACUACUACGAGUUUGAUAUCUUCAAUACAUAUAAUAAAAAAAUUGUGAAAUAACACAUGGCACAAUAGGACACCAACCAGAAUGAUAAUUGAUAAUGGAAAACAUUUUUUGUUGUCAGAGACACAAAAUCAAAUAUUUCCACUCAAUCAUAUUUUACUAAAUUGUUUUAGAACUAAUAUUUAAAUAAACAUUUUGGAAAUGUGAAAUAUUCAUUUAAUUUUUAUUUAAAAAGCCAGAUUUUGUUUUUGCUUUUCGAAUACAACUAAGAAUUGAACGAUCGUAUUUAAAAAAAUAUGCAAAUUAUUGAAAGUUAAAAAAAACACAAUAACAAAAAAAACAUAUAACAGAUGUACCAAACCGAAACUCUAAUUUUUUAAACAUUAAACAUUAAAAAUCAAAUAGUUAUUAAACGAUACACAAACAUUUAUUUUUAAUAGUACAAAUUAUAAAGGUACAGUGCAUGUGGAAGUGUGUUGUUUUAAUCGUUGAAUUUUCCAAUACCAUAAAAGAGAAACGCAAUGACACUGGCUGAGUUUUAGUCGUUUCCAAUAAAUAUUACUUUCUUGAAAUCUAUUUUUAUCAUUAAAUUUAAAAUUUAUCAAUGUUACAAUACGUGAAAUCCUAUAGGCUUCUCUAAGUAUUCAACGACCAACGAAAAGCUUACACUCACGAGCACGUGACAUUCUACUUUUAACCUUAAGAGAAUAAACAUACCCAACUAAUUACGACUAAGUUAAAUUUAUUUGACAAGAUACAUAUAAUUCGAACCUUGCUACUAAAAGUAUUAACAAGUUUUUUUUUCAAUAUUGCGCGAAUAAAAAUUUGAACAUGUUUAAACAAUAUAUGUAAAUAAUGUUUUAACCUAUUGAACCAUGCUCAAAUGAAAAGGAAGUAUGAGGUUACAACAAAUUUGACCAACUUUUCGUAUAGCAACAAUAUUAAAGACUUGAUUAUAUCAACUUUUCUAAUGUUUAUAAAAACUUUUUUUUACAUCUCUAAAGAACUUUUUCUUUCAAAUGUGGGGUUAGGGCAAUAUAUUUUUAUAAUGUCGUUUGGUGUGGGUGUAGCUUUCAGUCCUUCUAUCAAAUUGGUUUCUUUGUACGCCAACUUUGACUUAACAAGUCAAGAAUAAAACGAAUUUCAAAAGAAAAAAGGACCAAAUUCCACUUUAAUUAAUUACCUCUAUUCCAACAUAUCAUGUAGAAAUUUUCAUACCAUGAAAAAGAUGUAUUAUAAACUUUGGAAGGGGUUAAGAUUUUAAGAAUCCUAUUUUGUGCAGUUUUGUAUUUGGUUUUUUGUACACCUAAUAUAUGCUCUGUAUUUAUUAUAUUAUCUCAUAAGCUUGGUAUGCGUGAGAGUUAGAGGUCCAAGAAUACAUGUGUAACCCUAAAACUAAUUUUUAGUUAAAAGAAACAAAUUAAUCUAUAUAAUUGACAUUAAAAAGUUUAUUAGUGAUAGAUUUUGGUUUUAAGAAUUAUUGAUAGAAAUUUCUGUUUGACUAACUUCAUCCUUUCCUCCCUCAUUUCAAAUCUCUUUUAUUCUCAAUUUUGAUCACUGACUUUUCUUUUCCUUUCGUAACUUGCUUGUAAGUAGAUUUUUAAAAGUUUUCGUCACCUAAAAUAAUAAAAUAGAGAAAAGCAAAUCAAUGUUUAAAAUUUGAGUGAAAUUAAAGGCUAUGACCUUUCAAAGUUUAAACAUAUAUACAAAAUAGUUUUCAUGUUAUAUUAUAAGUAAAAGUCUUAAAACUUUGUUUAAUAUAUAUAAUUAGUUAACAUGUUAGCUUCAUGAAAAACGUAUAAAAAAUGAAGGAUCAUGAAAUAUUUGGUACAACAAGUCUUGCAUGUAACGAAGAUAAUAUUAUUAUUUGCAAUUGCAUGAAGUUUCACGCAAACUAAGAAAAAAGAAGAACGAAGAAACAAACUCUUGCAUGUCUUUUAGUUUUCUUUUUCUAUUUCCUUGUUUUUGAUUUUUCCUAUACCACAAAGAAGAGAAGUGGAUUUAUUAGAUACUUUAGAAUAUCUCAACUCAAAUACAUCUAGUAGUGAUGCAUUCAUUCAAUAAAAAAUAGCUUUGCACGAAACAAAAAGAGGAAUCUAUAAAGCAAAAUAAUUGAAUCUUGUGCUAAAUGUCACCAUGUGUCCGAGACGAUGCAGAGUGACCAACGUUUUCAAAUUAAAUCGUUAGUUUUAAAUCAAAUCUUGGACUACAAAAAAUGUGUUCUCUCCUCAAGAAUUUUAGAAAAUCGGAUUUUCAAAUUUUCUAGAUUCUGUCUUAGAAUUUUGUUAAAGGAAAAUGAUAUAUAAGUUAAUAUAAAAGAUAGGAAACCUUAUGAAAUGAUUGAUUAAAAUUUGAAUGUUUGAAAAGCAUAAAAAAUAUAUAUAUAACAUUAUAGACAAAUUUUCUAAAUUAUUAAAAAGGAGUUUUUAUUUUAAAACAUAGAGAACUUUAAAUUGGUAGGAUUUUAAAACAUUGAAAAUAUUAAUUAAGAAAUAGUUGAAAUUUUUAUAUAAGAAAAAAUAUGAGGCUUAAUAGAAAAAUUAAAUAAGUAAAAAUAAGGAUAAAUAAGCAUCAUAGAAAAUUAUGCAAAUAUAAAAUAACAUAUUGAGAUUUUAAUAAAAACAUAUGAGUGAUCGAUCUAGAACUUUAAAAGAAUCAAUUCCUUCACCUCAAUAAUUCUAGAAAAUCGAACUCUUAAAUUUUUUAUAUUUCGUUUUCGAAAAUAAAUAUGCUCGAAACAAAAAAUUGUAAAACAUAUAACUUAACGAACUUUUAAAUGUCUCAAGAGAAAUUUAACAUGUAAAUAAAUAUUAAAUUGAACAUGAAAGUAGCCAUUAAUGAAAAAUAUUAUGUAAACAACCAAUAUCAUUUAAAGAAGCAUAACCAUACAUUAAUAAACAUUAAAAAAACACAUUAACAUUCUAUAGAAAAAUGAUUGGAAAUCGAACUUCUAAAGAAUCGACUUCUCACCUUAAAAAUUCUAAAAAAUUGAUCUUCCAAAUUUUGGAGAUUAAGAAAAUUAAAUGUUAACAAAUUUAAACAAUUAUUAGCAAUAACAUAUUAAAUUGACCACAAAACAAGAGUGUAAAAUAUAUUAAAUAACAUAUAAAAGAAGAUAAUAUUAAUUAAAGAAGCAAUAAUCAAUGCCAUAAGAAGAAAAAAAUAAUUAAAUAAAUAAAAGUGCUAAUUACAAAAAAAGUAAUGAUACAAUAUAUAGAAAAUAAAGCUUAAGAAUAAAUUAAAAAAAUAAAAAAGAGAUAAACAACGAGAUAGGAAGAAAUAUGUUAUAAUAUAUAUAUAAGAGAAGUUCAAAAGAUAAUAAAUAAAUAAUUAUAAGAGAAAGAAAAGUAGAUAAAUAAGAACAAGAAAAAUAGAUAAAUAUUUAAUCAUUUAGUUUUUGUUUUGCAUUUCUUUAAAUGGAAGCUUGAAGAAAAAUAAAUAAAGUAAUGAGAAUAGUAAGAAUAAUAAAGAAUAAAGAAUAAAGAACUUUGAAGAAAAAUAAACAAAAUAAUAAGAUGAAGAAAAAGAAAAGAAAAGAAAGAAAGGUUGAAAUCCUAACUCACGUUUUAAACUGUGGAUCAUUUCCACCAAAACUCUACCAUAUACCUACAUUUAAAUUAGAGUUAUAUUUUUAGAAAAUUGUAUCAGAUGACAAGAAAAAAUUAAAAAAAUACAUUCUACAGUACCCUACAUUUAACUAAAAAAUAUUUUAAUUUAUUUUUUGUGUUGCAUCUCCCAUGAUCAAAAAAGAAAGAAUUAUCAAUGGCAAAAAAAAAGCUUCUUCAAAUGGCUAGUUUUUUUUAAUUUGAAAAUAAUACUAAUUUUGACCUACAUCUCAAAAUGGCAUGGAGCCUCUAAUAAACAAAACAAAAUUAAAAAGAUACUAUAUUUAGUAUUUUUCCACCUACUUAAUUAGACUAACUAAUUGAUUUAGUUACUCCAACUAAACAAUUAGUUAAAUAAAUUUAUUUUUUACAAAGUUGGUUAAUCACAAAAUUAAAAAUUUUAGCCAAUUUAAAGCAAACAUUAAUCUAGCAAUUCAUCCAACAAAAUUAGGUGACUGAAAUAAUUUUGGUACCCCAUACUCCAUAGAGCUGACAAGAGAGAGUAGUGCUCCUGAUUUCAUUGCUUCUUUUUAUAUUAGAUAGUAGUACAUUGUUCUAUUUUUAAAAAUUAUUUACAACAUAUACCAAAUUCUAUCACUCAUAGUCAUUCAUAUGAUAUAGUGAUAAAAAAAUAUGAUUGGUAGAAUCUUUCGUAAUAUUUUAAUUUAUUUUGUAAUUUUUAAAAAUAUCUCUAUUUAAAUAAUAUUUUGUUUCUUACGUGUUUGAGUUUUCUUUUCCCUUUGUUUUUGGCUUCCUCUCUCUCUUUUCUCAUAUUAAAGUAAUGCUCUUGAUUUGUGUGAGAUUGUUUUUCUCUUCCUUUAUUAUUUUGUUUUUUAUUGUGGGGUUAUUUUCUACUUCUUUCUUUUAACAUUUGGUUUUAAGUCCUAUGGUUGAACUUUGGCAAAUUGGAAAUGGUAGCCUCCAAGCACCGUAAAAAAAACAUUAGAUAUUGCUCUUGCUUUUAAAGCAUUAUAUUUCAAGUAACAACACUUACGAUUUAGACGUGGGUAACAUAAAAGUUUUGAGAGAUUAUUCUUUUGUAAUUGGGUCAGGGAGAGAACUGCUUUAUGUGAUUGUUUAAAUUUAUCUCAAUAGAGACUUCAAAUUCCCCAAAUUUAUUAUAUAAGUGAAACGUAAUAAUUAAUUAAUUAGACACGGCAUUGGAUAGUUUAUAUAAAUAAUUAAUAAUAAAGCAGCCACAUUUCUUUGAUCAGAACCAUAUUAUACGUUGUUCAUUGUAAUACGAUUAACAUAUAUAAUAAUUAAUCUCACGAGCAUAUAUGCAUUUAUUCAUAACUUACAAACACCAACUUCAGAAAAUAAAGCCAUUUUAUUUAAUGUUACACAAUAACAUGUGCUUAAUUGUUAGGCUUAGCUUGAGGCUUUCCAUCAACAAUACCAGCCUCACCAGCAAAGCUGCAGCACCUGAUGCAACGGCCGCGAAAGCAUUCGCAACAACCUCGGUUGCAACCGUGGAGGCAUUCCGCAAGGUUCCGAGAAUGAGCUCCUCCAUAACUGUGGCGCUCCACAUUGUCAACUUCACCAGUUUCCAUCGUAGCUUCUUCUGCAAAGUAAAUCAUUGAUAUAAUCAUUAUAUACUACCACAAAUUUGACCUUUAUUGAUAACUAAAAAUAUUAUCAAUGAAGCAGUGUCAACAAAACUUUUGACAUCAACAAAAAUAAUUUUGUUAUCGGCAAAAAUCAACGUCAAAUACAAAUAGUUUCUGUUGAUGUUUAUUGUCCAUCAACUAAUUAAAAAACCUACAUUGAUUUUAAGCUGUAAUUAAAAAUUUCAUUGGCGGUUUGUUUGUCAUAAACCUCAACUAAAUAAAAAAAUUAUUUGUCAUAAGCCCAAGCUGUGGUAUAGUACAUAACACUAAUUGAAGGAAUUAAAAGUAGCGAGUAUACAUCGCAUUGCAGGUUUAAAAAAUGAAACUCACUCAAUUUCGCAUCCCUUGCUGUAACAGUUAUCGCCUCCGAGGAAAAGAGGACGACGGCAAAAAGAAGACCGAGCAAGAUGAAGGACUUGGAACUCAUUCUCUCUCUAUUGAUUAGAGAUAUGAUCAAUUUAAUUUGGAGGUGAUGGGGUGAGAAAGUAUUGUAGGAUUGCAAUUGUAUUUAUAGUAGUGAUGACAUAAAAUUCAUGUCAAGGUGGGACAUCCUUAGUCCCAAUUUUCAAAGGUAGAUAAGUUUUUGUGGAAUAAUUAUAAUGAGCUUAUCUUUAUAAGAAAAGUAGAACAAAGGUUUCUUACCGUGGAGUCUGUUCAAUGGACAGGCACGUCAAAGUAAUAGACUCAGAUUAGAUAAUGUUAAAAAUGUUAAUUGUACAAUUUAACAUUGUUGGGUUCCAUCAACUUUAGUUAUUUCUUUAGGUUAUACAUUCGUAGAAAUCUUUUUGUAUUAAAAUAACAUCAUUUAAUCACAGUUUGGAGGGGCUAAAAAAUAAGUAUAUCAACGGUAGACUCCUGUUCACUAAUAUAUGUACCUGAUCUAUAUUCUCAAGUGUCUAAUAUAUGUACCUGAUCUAUAUUCUCAAGUGUUUUUUAUAUAUAUAUCUAGUUUUUGUAAAUAUUUUUGUUUAUUUUGUUAUAUAUUUGAAAAUGUUAAGCGGAUUUCUUCACCUAUUUUUAGAUAAAAGAAUUUAUUGAAUCACACGCCAAGAUCUAGUCUUAAAACAAUUUAGUUAAAAAUUUCUGAAAUAAAUAAAUAAACGAACGAAAAUAAGAAGUUAAAAGAAAGUUAGGAAAUGAACAACCAAGUAAUAUAAACAUAUAGCGAUCAGGACAGAGAAUAUUUAUUCUAAUAUUACAAAACGGUGUCAUUAGGUUCGAAAGAUGUGUUUUUCAAUCUAAAACAAAAUGGUUAGAAAUUUCAAGUCUUCUUUCUGUGUUAAGGGCAAAUUAAAGAGAAAAAUAAUCUUUGAUCAUAUUAACAAAUAAUUGAAAGAAUAAUGUAUAGUACAUAUGCAUGAUCCAUUAUGUUGCAUGCAUUUCUUAAAUGAAUAAAUAGAAUUUUGAAAUGUAAAAAAAUGAUGAGAGAUCAGACAAAGAUAUAUCCAACUCUUCAAAAAAUGGUUUUGUUUUUGGAACUUCUGUUCUAUAGUUGGGAAAAAGAUCAGUCCGUGGAUGGAGAAUUAACAGGAGCAGCUUCAACACACGCACGAGGAUUUUGCUUUCCAGUAAUGAUGGGAAUCACAUUUCUACACUGAGACGUAAUCCGUCCUUGAGUUCCGAUGUAAGCGAGGUCAAUAUCUGUAACUUCCACACCUUCACACGAAAAGACUGUGCUACAAAUAAAUUUAACAGCAACGAAAGUAGCAGAAGUGCCUCUGAUAUUCUUGAAACUAACGUUGUUGAUCUUAAUUUUUGAUGGAAUCUGAACAAAUGUAUACAUAAAGAAAACCAAAAAUUAAAUCAGGUUAGUUUUGCAUUUGUUAUAUAUAAGAAAAAAUAUUCCUUAAUUGAAGUUAAUUAAUUAAUUAGUUGAAAUUUAUGAAUAAGGAAUAAUUUCAAUACAUAUACCUUUUUGUUGCAUUGAUUAGAUGGACAAUAUUCUUGGUCAAUAAUCACAGGAUUGCUAACAUUAACCAUUUCAAUAUCUUCAAAAUGCAAGUCAGAGGCUGUGUAUGCAACUGCACAAUCUGGCCAUGUCUUGAUUCUAACACCAUUUGAAGUAUUGAUAAGUUUACAUGAUUUCACUGUAACUCCUGCCACCUCUUUCUCCUUGGUGUACUUGCCUAAACUUCCUAUACUUAUGCCAUGACCUGGUCCGCAAGUUACAUUAGUAAUAGUUAUUUGCUUGUUGCUGUCUCCAACAGAUAUACAAUCAUCUCCGGUUGAGAUACGUGUAUUGAAAAUGUUAAUCACUUCUGAACUGCUCACAUGAAUUCCAUCGGUGUUGGGACUAUUCUCUGGUGCAAUAAUUGUCACAUUUUGAAAAGUAACAUUCUUGCAACCCAAAAGAUUGAAGUGAAAAUUCUUACUAUCCAACGAAGUUAUGUCCUUCACCAUUGAAUUGGUUACGAAACUGAACUUCACAUUCUUACAAAUUUAACCCCGGCCCGCCCCACAAAAAGAAAAGGUAUCCGAGUUAAAAACAAUGCAUUAUGUUAAUCGACAAAAUUAUAUAAUCAACGAGAUUAAAAAGAAAGAAGCUAAUACAAUUAGAGAAUUAAUUUACCAUAGGAAGUUUAGUGCAUAUUUUCUUCAGGUGACAAUCAUUCUUUUCCCAACCUUUUUCUCCUUGACCAUCAAAAGCACCUGUGCCUGACAAUGUCAAUUGAUCGAUAUAUUGAAAAAGAACCAACCCAUCUCCUAUUGGAUCUGGAUGAGCUUGUAAUGUUCCUUCCAUCCGAACCUCAAUAGUACUUUUGCAAGGACCAUGGAGAAUGGAUUGGUUUAGAUGGUAAACUCCCAUUGGAAUCAACAAUUUACUAGAAUAGGUCGAUGCACAUGCAUCCUUCCAUGCAUUUGCCAAAGCCUAUAAAUUGUGAAUCAUUUGAUUAAACAAAAAAAAAAAUACAUAAAGUACGAAAUUUAUCAAGUUAAUAUAUAUUUACCUGAGUAAUAUCAGUAUUAGGUUUGGCACCAUAUGUAGUGAUAUCAAAAAUGGAUUGACCUUUUGCAGUUGAUGCCAACAUUAACAACAAAUGUAAUAGUAAUGUCAUAAUGUUUGACCUCAAUCCCAUCAUUUUUAUUUAUUGCCUUCUGCUUUUUGCUUAUGAUCUUCUCUUUAUUCUAAUUGUUAAUUAACUAUGAAAAUGGAAUGAAUGAUUCAAAUAUAUGUGCAGUCAUUCAACCCUUCUUUAUACUUUCCAAAAAAAUUUGGUUGCUAAAUUUGAAAAUGAUCGUUGAAAUAUUGAAGUUAAACCAUUAGCUGUGUGUCAUAAAAUUAGCCAUUUCAUGACAAUUGGAAUUUAUUAAUCAUUCCCUCAAUUCAAUCAAAUUUCUGUUCGAGAACAACUCAAAAAAGGAAGAAUUGAGAAUUUUGGUGAAAAAAGUAUUAGAAAUUUUCACUUUAUUUUUCUCAUUCAUAACUCCUAAUAAGUAGAUAGGUCCACAUGUUUCAUGUUACGUAGAUAUAUUUAUUUCAAUGCUUAUUAAAUUUUGAUGGUGAAAUUCAAACUUUUAAUUAAAUUAAUCAUUCAGUUAUAUUUAUUUACUAUAAAUUGAGUGCGAGGAUUUGAACUAAGUUUUCUUAGUUCUCAAAUAUUUAUGAGUGUUAAUAUUCAUAAGUGUGGAUUGAGGUAAGCAUAUGCUAAAUGAAGUUUAAAAUAUUACUUUUCUGUACAUGUGGUAAUAAAAUAAUAAUAAAAUAUCACCAAAAGUAAAUAAAUAUCUAAUCGAGAUCGAUAUAUUAUUGAUACUUUUAUUGACAUACUCAUAAGAUUGAGAAAUACCAGCAUCUUCAUUUACAUUGACAUCUAUGUGACUAGUCAAUUUUAACAAGAACUUUUAAAAUAUAAACAAAAUUAUAUCAUAAAACUAAAUGAAAAAAUUUUGUUUUAAAUGACAAAAUGGUUAAAUAUAUAAUAUUUAUAAAUAUAGCAAAAUUUUACUUUUAAUUUAUGAUAAGUAGAUGUAAACGUAGAUGGUAGACAUCUCUCUAUUGCUGUAGUCUCUAUUGCAUUUCUAUUAAAGUUAUGGAAAUAAAACCGUAAUUACACUAAAUCAAAAUAUGAUGGUAGAUAUUAUAAAAAUCUGAUAAAAAGCAGAUCUUUGCAAUAACAUACUAAAACCCAAACAUGGGGAAAAGAAAAACUACAGAAGCCACUCCUUCCAUUCCCCAUGAAUUUAUUUCUCAAACUUCCACACUUCACACAUUUCAUCAAACACAAACUUUUUACUUUUUUUAUUAUUUCAUCCCAUAUUCCACACCUUGUCUUAUGGUUUUGCACCCUCUACUACUUCACCAGCGUACCUGCAGCACCUGUACACGCAUGGACCAUAUGUGCAACCUCUGCCGUAGCCACCACUAUAGCCACCAAGACCGAAGUCAUCACGACCAUAGCCACCACGAUGCUAACCACCACCACCGCUGUAGAUUUUGUCGUUCCGUCCUCCAUACUUAGCAUCCUCUACGCCAUUGGUUUCCACUGUGGCCUCUGCAAUGAAGGCGAGAAGAAGGCCGAGGAAAACAAAGGCUUUUGAACUCAUGUUUGUGUUUAAUAAGAGAUUGCUUUUGGGAGAUAUGGAUGAGAAAGAUUUGAAUUCUUAUGGUAUUUAUUGGUACAUAAAAGAGAAAGGGAGAUGAGAAUAUUGAGACAAUUGCAAUUAAAGACUGGCCCGUAAUUUAGUUGGGCAUUAGAUGAACUGAUUGAGAAGUAUUCUGAAAUGAAGAAGGAAAUUAAAAUUUGAGUCAGCUCUCUUAAAUAAUCUUUAUCGUUUAAAUGAUUUGUAAUUAGUCAAACUCUUUAGUAGUGUGACUGUAUCAAACUCCAAGAGCUUCUUUUAGCCAAUUAUCAAUAAUAAUAAUAAAUAUAAUUCUGGAAAAACAAUUUCUAGCAUGCUUUCAUUUUCUAUUCCUAAACUUGGUAAACAAAAUUCUUUGUCUUAAAAAUUAAAACUAAUAUUUUCAUAAAUUAUUUAGCAAAGUUGUUGGAAUAUGGACUGGUUUAUGAUUGUACCAAACAGCAAAAACAAGUUACAAACUACGAACCCAACUAUAUCGUUUAGAAACUGAGAGACCCACGUGGCGGAUGUUGCCUCACCCAAAAGCCACCGGAAAUUGCCUUCACUGGAGACCCACAUGUCGAACAACCAACUGCAAACCCCAAGAACAACCACGGCUGAAACAACCUCUCUGAUGGCUCGAACCCACUGCUAAACCAGCCGCCACACCGCGCGAAAUCCGCCGGUAGAACAUGGAAACUCGCCGACGUUAAAGCUCAGUCAGACGCCGUACUGCCCGAAAAACGAGACCGAAACGCGGAUGCUAAAGCUCUCUCCUCACCGGAAAACGCCCGACCCGACGAAGAACCUCAGAAUCUCCGUCGCGUGGCCGUCCGGUAAACGCCAUCAACGUCAACCCGUUCACCGUCGGCCCCUGCUCUUCUCUCUACUGUGUUUGUAGAAGAAACUUCAACUUUCCUCUCUCUCUAUUCUUGUGUAUUGCGGCAACCCCUCACCUCUCUCCUUUUCUUUUCACUGUAUUAAAAAUGGCAAGUGAUGUGAAUAAUUGCAAAAAUGUGUUCUUGUUAUUCCGCCAUCAACAAAACUAAAAAAACUUUGUUUAUUAAGAAAAUAAAUAAUCCACGUUGUUUAUUUCUUACAUUCUUUCAUAUUUCUUUAAUAAAAUAAGAGAACUUUUCUUUAUGUAUCACGGUGAAGAUAGAUAUUGUAUUAAGAAAAAUAUAUUUCUUAAUGAUCAUUUAUCAUGACCAUCAAGAAAUUAAAAAAUUGUGUUCCAAACCCUACAUCUCUCUUAAUGCAUCCUCUUUCACAAAUACUUCCGUUCCAAAAUAAUUACAGUCUGAGAAAAGUUUAGAGAGUAAAAACAAUUUCUCUCUCAAACAUUAAACCAAUAUAUAUAAAUGAUCCAUACAUAUAUAUAUGUGGAAAGUUCAAUAUGAAAUAUGUUAACAGUAUUGGUAAAAAUACUAUAUAUGGAUGGUCGUAAAAGAAAUACGUACUUUUUAAAAGUUGAACUUCCUCUUCAUCUCUGAUUGGAGAUAUUUGUUGAAAACUCCAAUAACACCUCAAAAUAAUAAUAGUAAUAAUUAUUACUAUUAUUAUUAUUACUAUUAUUGCGUAGGAUAGAACACCAUGAAAUGUUGAUAAAUUUAUUUAAUUGUGUCCUUGUCACUUGUCAGUACCACCAUAAACUUUAGAUAAUGCAGGCUGAGCAAACAUUUUUUUACUUUCUUUUCUCAUUUGUAUGCAAAAUAUAUUGCCACCAUAUAUCGUUUUGACUAAAGACGAAAGAAAGCGUGUAUACCUUAACUAUUAAAAUUUAUGUUCAAGUUAUGGAAAUAAAACCCUUAAUUACACAAAAUGAAAAUAUGUUUGUUGAUAUUAUAAAAUUUUACAAAAACCAAAUCUUUGCAAUAACAUACUAAAACCCAAACAUGGGGAAAAAGAAAAACUACAGAACCCACUCCUUCCAUUCCCCAUCUAUUUAUUUCUCAAACUUCUACCGUUCACACAUUUAACCAAACACACAAACUUUAAACCUUUUUAUUAUUUCAUCCCAUUCUACACCUUCUCUUAGGGUUUUGCACCCUCUACCACUUCACCAGCGUAGCUGCAGCACUUGUGCCCACAUCGACCAUAUCGGCAACCUCUGCCGUAGCCACCACGGCCACCACCAUAGCCUCCACGGCCACCGUAAUGACCACGACCAUACCCACCACGACCACCGCCAUAGCCUCUGUCGUACCCACCGCCAUAGCCUCUGUCGUACCCUCCACCAUAGCCUCUGUCGUACCCUCCACCAUAGCCUCUGUCGUACCCACCUCUUCCAUACUUGGCAUCCUCUACGCCAUUGGUUUCCACUGUGACCUCUGCAAUGUUAUAUUUAAAAUUAAUCCUUAACUUUACGAAAAUGUUAUAUAAAAUCAAAAUCUGUAUAUAAAGAUGUUAAAUAAUGAGUAUAUAUAUUUUACAUGAGUUUUUUCUUAAUAUUCGUGUCUGUUCGGAGUUAGUUUAUGUGUACCUAAACUAAGUUUACCGAACAAAUUUGGAUGUGAAAGGAACAAGCACAAAGAAUAUUAAAUCAUCAAUAGAAGACUACUAUGCAUUCAACUUCUUAGAUGACUUAAAAUUUAUUAUAACAUAAAACUCACCGUUGUCAGUCUUGGAGGAGGUCUCCGCAAGGUCCCUUGCAGCCACUUCAGAGGAGAGGAGAAGAACGAAGGCGAGAAGAAGGCCAAGGAAAACAAAGGCUUUGGAACUCAUAUUUGUGUGUAUUGUAAGAGAUUGGUUUUGGGGGAGAGGGAUGAGAAAGAUUUGCAUUCUUAUGGAGGUAUUUAUAGGUCCAUAAAAGGGAAAGUGAGAUGAGAAUUGAGACAAUGGCAAUGGCAAUUAAAGACUGGCCCAUAAUUUGGUUGGGUGUUAGAUGAACUGAUUGAGAAGUAUUUUGAAAUGAAGAAGAAAAUUUGAGUCAGCUCUCUUCAAAAAUCUUUAUCUUUUAAAUGAUUUGUAAUCAGUCAAACUCUUUAGUAGUGUGACUGUAUCAAACUCCAAGAGCUUCUUCUAUCCAAUUAUCAAUAAUAAUAAUAUAAUUAUGGAAAAACAAUUUGUAGCAUGCUUUCAUUUUCUAUUUCCUAAACUUGGUAAACAAAGUUAUUUGUCUUAAAAAUUAAAACUAAUAUUUUUCAUAAAUUACUUACCAAAAUCUAUCAAGUAAAUACUGUAGGUUAGUUAUUUAGGGUUCAUUUUUUUCACCUUGUGUUUUUUCUUAAAAAAAUUGAUGUUUAAUUAGAUUUUUUUUUCUAUUAAUGAUUGAUUUGUUUUGGUAUAUCAUUUUCGAUCCAAUAUAACAAAAUGAACAAAAUAUGUGACAUUUUUUAAAAUAAAAAAUAAAUUAAAAUAUUUACAAAGUAUAACAAAAUUUUAAAUUCUAUCAAUGAUAGAAACUGAUAUGCUACUAUCACUGUCUAUCCAUCUCACUAAUAGAAACAUGUUAAUGUCUAUCAAUGUCUAUUAUUGAUAAAAUAUGAAAAUCGUACUAUUUGUUGUAAAUAUUUUGUCAAAUUUACUAUUUUUUACCAUUCUCUCUUAAAAAAAUAUUUAUAAAUACAGUAAAUUUCAAAAUCUAUCAAAGAAAUUGGUAGAAAUAUUUAUAUAGUAUAUGUGAUAUAAAUAAACACUAAUAUGAUUGAAGUUUUUUGUGUCUACUAAUAUCUAUAUUUUUUAUAUUUCUAAAUUUGGCUAUAUUUAUAAAUAUUUUCAAGAAUUUUAGUUUAUACAUUUUCAAAUGGUUUAUCUUAUAUAAAAUUUGAAUAGACAAACAUAAAAUAAAGCACAGCACAAUAAAGAAAACGUUAUUGAAUAGCUUCCACUGAACCCAAUUUGCAAAUAUCAUUGAUAUUUGUAAUAUUCUUUUAAUGCUAUGUUUUCUUACAAGAUAACGAGAGGAUAUUUUUAUAUUUAUGUGAAACUCAUCAACUUAUAUGAAAAUGUCAAAACAACAUUUAUUUAUUUCAUACUCUUCAACUUGGUGUCUGUCAUUCUUUAAAUAGAAUUUUCAAAGCUCAUAAAAAUCUCUCGAAAUUUGAGAAGAUAUCAACGCCCUUACGGAUCAUUGGACAAGCAUAUCUCCUCUCUUCAAAAAUUAUUUUGAUAGCUCUAUUGCUCUAAGUAUUUAUGCUUUUGUUUAAUUGUACUGACUUUGGGUCUUUCUUGGACUUUCCUCUAACCCUUGCUUUUGUUUUCCCUUCUUUCCAUAUUAUCUAUUAUAUAUUAAUGAAGCAUGAAUGAUGAUGAUGCUACGAAGGUACUGUUCACAUAGUGGAGAUGAUGAGAUGUCUUAGUGCAUCUAUUGACCUAUCUCGUAUCUUUUUUAAAAAAAAAAAAACAUUUAUAUAUUUCGUAUACUAUAAUUUUGCAAUAAAUUUAAGAGACCUUUAUAAAACUAACUCCCAAACUAUGCGGGGUAGUGAUAGUUGUGAAACCUAUUUCUAAUUUGAGUAUAGAAAGUAAAAUUUGGUUAAGUAUUUUGAAAAUUUGUAUUUUGGAUAAGAGGAGACAUUUUGAAAUAAGACUUUGCGAUAAGAAGUAUGUGUUUGAAUCAAUCCACAGAAAUGAUUAAGUGAUAAAAUCUUUUAUGGUUAAGUAUAAGUUUUGUUAUUAAGAAGUUAAUUCACGAGGGAGUUUUGAGAAAAGAAUGAUUUGCAAUAGGACCUAUAAACACUUUCAAUAGAAAGAGUCUUCACGAGAAAAUGUUGAAGUUAUUCGUAGAAUGGAAAUAGGCGAGAAGUAAGGUCUGGCAAAGAAAACGUCUAUCUGAUUUGACAGGGGUUAAUGUGUAAGAUUAAAGGUUUAAGCAUGACUGAGUUAAAUAUUAAAUUUACAUGUGUAAAGUUUUAAUCAGGAACCAGCGAACUUAAAAGAGUUUAAGCAUGACUAAGUUAGUUUAAGAGCUAUGUAAAUAAAGGACCUAGUCAUUAAGUAAGCACAUAGAUUUUAUUAAAAAAAAAUUACUAAAAUGUUGUUGUUUUGCUUGACGAGAAAAAGAAAAAAAAAAACAAAGUGUUAAGUGCUACGAUGUGUUUCACAAGAAGGCUCCACAAAAGAAAAGGAAGAGAAGGAUUUUUGAUAAAGUGUGGGAAUGUUUUCUCUUAAAUGAAUUAAUUAUGUUAAAAAAUUUAUUAUAAUUUCUCUUUACUUAUUUAAAAGAAGAAUUCCAAUGAUAAGUGUUUCAAAUGAAAUUUAUAUCAAAAGUCUAUAUGUUUUCAAGUAUGAUUUAUAAUGUUAAAGUUGUUUUCUUGAGAUGAUGCUAACUUUUAUGUGCACAUAAAGAGUCAAGGUUACUAUGGGGUGUACAAGGCUACAUGGUGAUAAGAAGCUGGUUUAUGCUUUGAAAUGAGCGUAUAAAGCUUAGUUGGCCUGAGCAACAAGGACAAUCUGUAUGUUUUCGGAUGUUGUUGAUACAACAGUCUAAAUGUAGGGUAAUGAGACCAAACGUAGAAAACGAUUCGAGAUCCUUGAUGAAAAGUAUAAUUGACUAAUGGGUGUUAUUGUGAAAUGAAUCUUGAUGUGAUUCACAAGUUGAACUAAUUUUAUUGUAAAAAUGAUUAUAUACGUUUUGAUAUGUUUUGCCAAAUGAAGUGUUUAUUGAUAAACUGAUUUGUGUUGAAAUUUAUGAUUUGACGAAAAACAUUUUCAAAGAGCAUUGCAAAAAGGAUUUCAUUAAAACCUCACUAAAUCUUUUAAACUUGCAUUUUAAAUUUUAUCUUCCAAGAUUUAGCAUUUAGGCCAAUUAAAGAAGAAGGUUGAAGGGCUUGCGGCAAGUUGAGAAAGCCACGAGGCGUUAAAGAGCUUUGAUCGAUAAAUGUUAAUUAUUUGAUCAAAAUGUUGUAAUUGUUUGUUCAUACCAAACGCCUGUUAUUAAUAUAUUAAAGUGUGUGUUUCAGGUUAUGUUACUUAUUGUACUUGGCAUUUAAAGUUGAUUUUCGCUACGUUUUGAGUUUCACUUCAUAGUUUGAAAGGAGUUGAGAAUAAGCUAGGCAGUAAGACUAAUUGUAAAGUUUAAUUAAAGUUAAAUCUUGUAAAGUUUAAAGUUAAAUCAUGUAAAGUUUAAAGUUAAAUCACGUCCUAUCCGCACAACUUCCUGCAAUUUUGUUGUCGGAACAGAGUGUGACAAUAGCGAUGCACCUAAACUAAAUUUACUAUUUUGGUUGUUACAGUGGUCGAUAUGAAUAUAGAUCAAUGGAAAGAAGAAUAUCAACAUCCUCUCUAAAACUUAAAUAUAUUAAUCUAAAAUUUUCAUUUUUAUGUUAAAUUGAGAAGAAGAAGAAAAAAAAAAGAAACGAAAGCAAAAGUAUUAGGUAAUAAAAAUAUUUUGAAGAUGAAAAAAAUUUGAAGUACUCUUGAAAGCAUGAAUAAAUAAAAUUUGGUUCCACUUGUAUUGUUGAAUAUCCUCUUGUUCCUUUCCAACCAAAUGUUCCAGAUAACCCCAUCAACAGACUGUAAUUGUUGAUUUCAUAACACACAAACUUGAAAUCAACAAUUAAGUAAUAGAAGACCGUAAAGAUCGACACACAGAUAAAACAUGGUUCACUAACAGUGUAUUAGCAACUACAUCCACAAACAAAGGAAGAAAAAAUAUGGUUAGGAGAGAGUGUUUUCUAAUACAAAUGUAGCUGGAUAGAGUGCAUCCAAUGAAAUUCUCAUUGUUUUGGUUGCAGACCGAGCACGCCAACUUGGAUUAAGGCAGUGAUUUGGGAGGCUAUUUAGCAGAAUAAUCUCCACAGUGUUUCCCGGGUAGAAUUUAGCAUAAGAAAAAAUUUCACUUCUUAAUUAGAAUGGGAGAUUUUUACAAAUUAUUAAAGAUUGUCAGGACUAAGAUUUUCUAUCUUUGGAAGAUCAUUUCCUCUUUCCUCGUUAGGCUUAGGGAAAGAUGCUUUGACAUUAUCCCAUAUGCUAAUGUCCCUAUCCCGGAGGGGUCCUCUAGGCUUAAUAUCCCAACCAAUCUUUAAUCGAGCUAUUUGCGCCAAGGGAUGAAGCAAAAAGCUUGGGGAAGCCAAAGGAGAGAGGACCGUGUUGGUUCAAUUUUUUAUGCCAAAAAAGAAAGAGAAAGAAGAGAGCAAGAUGAUUAUACUAAAAAAGAAUUGCCACAGUUUCUAUUUUAAUUAUUAUCCCUGCAUAACUCUUUCACAUAUAUAUUUAUAUCCAUAGGUUGUACACAAGUGAAACUAUCCUCAAAUUUAUAUGCUAUUUAUAUAAUAUAUAUAUAUAAAACUAUAAUAGUAUACUAUAGUCAUGUAGUUCAAACUUCGUUUAUUACCUUUUUAUUUUAAAAAUAUUUUAUUAAUAGUAAAGUUCCUGUGAACAUAAAUUUCUCCAUCAUCUGCUCCUACUUGUAUAUAUCAUCUUUAAUUAAUUAUCAUUUAGUGUCCACAUGUACAGUUUAAUUCCCAAAUAGUGUUCAACAAAACGAAGUAUUAGAAAUUUUCACUUUAUUUUUCUCAUUCAUAACUCCUAAUAAGUAGAUAGGUCCACAUGUUUCAUGUUACAUCUAUUUAUUUUAAUGCGUAUUAAUUUUUGGUGGUGAAAUUCAAACUUUUAAUUAAAUUAAUUAUCUCAGUCAUGUUUAUUUACUAUAAAUAUCACUAUAAAGAUCAAUUGAGCUAAGCAUGCUUAAUAAAGUUUAAAAAAUUACUCUUCUAUACACGUGUGGCAAUAAAGAUAACAAAAUAUCACUAAAUGUAAAUAAAUGUUUGGCAAGUUUUAUUAUUUUUAUAACUUCUUUAGAAAUAUUCAAUCGAUAUGGAUAUGAUAUUGAUUUUUGUUUUAUAAAUUCGUGAAAUUGAGAAAUAUAAGCAUUUUCAUCAACAUUCGCAUCCUAGACAUUACUCCUAUAUGACUAAUGAAUUUGAACUAGCGAAACUAAUUCAUAAAACUAAAUGAACAAAUUUUAAAAAAUUUUAUUUAAAAUAACAAAUAUGAUAGAACGUAUAAUAUUUACAAAUGUAACGACAAAAUUUUACUUUCAGAUCGUGAAGGUUGUGGUAAACCUGAUAGACAUCAUAUAUUAUUUUAGGCGUUAUAUUGUAUUGAUAAUAAAAGUAAAAUUUUAUUCUAUUUAUAAAUAUUUAUAAUAAUUUUUUAUAUUCAAAACAAUUCAAAAAAUUAAGUUGGCCUAAAAUUUCUAUUUUCAAUAUUUAUGGCCAUAACAGUUAUUUAAGUGAUCGGACUCCAUGAGUUCGUAAAAUUUAAAUGAGUUAGGCAAACAAGUAUUAAUUUGUAAUUUAUUUCUUUUUCUUAAUUGCAUUUUCUUGUUUUUGACAUGUUUAUUUAUUUUUAAUCUAAGUUGAAUGAUAUGGUAUUAAAUUUGUCUUUCAUCCGUUAAUUUUUCUUCUUUUCUUAACAUACCUUCCAGUUAUUGUCGCUCCAAUCAUCCUCAUCUUUGUCUCCGUCCCUAGGCCCAGGCAUCUCCCUCAAUGCAUCCUCUAUCACAAAUAGGUUCCAAAAUAAUUACAGUCUAAGAAAAGUUCAUAGAGUAACAACAAUUUCUCUCUCAAACAUUAAACCAAUAUAUAUAUAUAUAUAUAUAUACUAGAAAGAACACGUGUUUUGUACGUGAAAAGUGUAAUUUUAAAUCUUAAAUUUAAUUUUAGUGUCACAAGUUAAAAACUAAUUAUAAACAAUAUCUUUAGUUUAUAUAUAUAUAUAUGCUAUUAUUAAAUUCAAAUCUACCAAUAAUAAGGUGACCAGAUUGGACAAUUAGAUCUUAACCAGAGAAUAUAAAGGACCUAUAUAACAAUAUAAGUUUAUGAAAUAUACAACUAUAUAACUACAAAAUAUUAUAUAAACAAGGAGAGAAAAUUAGUGAGCAACCAUAAUAUAACAUGUACUUUUUUUUCAUUGAAAAUAAAUUAAAAAAUAAGAAAAUAAAAAGAGAUCAAAUGAUGGAUAAAGAAGUCUCUCCAAUCCAAAAUAUAAUGCUAAAAGACGACCAAAAUUUAAUUAAUAGAUUAUAGAUACAUAAAUGAAAUAAAAUUAUAGUGCAUAGUAAGUAUUGUAGAAAUAUUGCUUAUUCGAGACAUAGUUGACAUCGUUGGAGGCCUCCUUGGAUUCUCUAUACAUUUGUUGAAAAACACAGAAAUUCUCCUUGUUUUACACCAAAUAAUUAUUCUCCUAUACGUGGAUUUAUUUGAUUGCUCACAAUUUCAUUAGAUUUUAUUUUAUAUAAAAAUACACAGAAAGAAAAUGAUUGGGAACGUGAACAUGAGUCACAAAGAAGAUGAGAGAGAAUGUGUGAGUGAUAGAAGGGAAGAAGAAAAUUUUAUAUAGCUUUAAAAUUGAGCUAAUGAAUAAUAAUAAUAAUAAUAAUAAUAAUAACAACAACGACAAUUAUUAUUACUAUUAUUGCAUAGAAUAGGAGAGACCAUGAAAUAUAGAUAAAUUUAUUUAGUUGUGGUUGCCAUUUUGAGUACCACCGUAAACUUUGGAUAUUGCAGGCAAGGUGGUUAAUAGAAUUAAGAUUUUAUUAUAUGUAGGUAAAUAUUUUCACCGAUUUUAAUAUUUAGAUGUUUUCUUUUAUUAUUAUUAUUAUUUAGUAUGAGUGAUCAUGUGAGUUUUUUUCUUUCUUUCUUUUUUCUAACGAAAUAUAUUGAAGAUUUUAACUAAAGAUGAAAGAAUGUGUGUAUACUAAAAAUAAGUGAGACGAUCAAUAAUAUCUGAAAGUAAUUAACUGAGAGAAUAGCUAAAGAAACAGACAAAACAAAUAAUACAGAAGACUUUGUUAGCCUAAUUUGACGAAUACCACCUAUAUCUGGAAGCUUCUUAGCUCAUAUAAGAAAUAUUAUUAUAUAAGAUUUAAAUGAGCAAGGAAAACACUUUUAAGUUAUUACAAAAACUUAAUUAAAGACCGACUUUCAUUGAAUUUGUGUUUGAAUCUUUUUGAAGAUAAACUCAAACUCCCUUGAAUUCAUUCACCACAGUUCAACUAUUUCAGUCUUCUUUCAUAUUUCUUAUCAACAGGUGCAGCGUAAAAACCACUUGCAGAACUUCAAUAAUAUUCCAUCUUCAUAUAAAGAAUGCAAUUCGACAACCUUCACAAACAAUAAUUUGAUCUUCGAAAGAGAACUUCUUUGAAAUCAAUUUUCUAUCAAUUUGCACGUCGAACUAAGCCAAUAUAGUUUAAUUAUUUAAAGAUCGAUAUAAUAUAUUUCCGGUAACUUCUUUAUGGAGAGAUAUAGAUAAAAGAUUCAUGUUAGGAAAGAAAAAUAUUUUAUCUUUAAAUAAUAUCCUAAUCUUUAAAUAAGGAAGUUAAUAAUAAAAAGAAAUUUAUUGGUGUUGUUGACAAAAAUAUCAACAUAUACGUUAACUAUUAAAAUUUAUGUUCAAGUUAUGGAAAUAAAAGCGUUAAUUACAGGAAAUGAAAAUAUGUUUGGUGAUAUUAUAAAAUUAAAAUUUGCAAAAGCAAAUGUUUGAAAUAACAUACUAAAACAAACCCAAACAUGGGGAAAAGAAAAACUACAGAACCCACUCCUUCCAUUCCCCAUCUAUUUAUUUCUCAAACUUCUACCGUUCACACAUUUAACCAAACACACAAACUUUAAACCUUUUUAUUAUUUCAUCCCAUUCUACACCUUCUCUUAGGGUUUUGCACCCUCUACCACUUCACCAGCGUAGCUGCAGCACUUGUGCCCACAUCGACCAUAUCGGCAACCUCUGCCGUAGCCACCACGGCCACCACCAUAGCCUCCACGGCCACCGUAAUGACCACGACCAUACCCACCACGACCACCGCCAUAGCCUCUGUCGUGCCCUCCGCCAUAGCCUCUGUCAUACCCUCCUCUUCCAUACUUGGCAUCCUCUACGCCAUUGGUUUCCACCGUGGCCUCUGCAAUGUUAUCUUUAAAAUUAAUCCAUAACUUUAUGAAAAUGUUAUAUAAAUUCAAAAUCUGUAUGUAAAAAAGUUUAAUAAUGAGUAUGUAUAUUUUAUACAUUUUACAUGAGUAUUUUUUUAAUAUUUGUGAACAUUCAAUUCAGGUUAGCUUAUUUGCCUCUAAACUAAGUAAACUGAACAACUUGGUUAGCUCUGUAAUCAUUAUCAGGAACAAGGACAAAGAAUAUUAAACUCUAAAUAGGUGACUACCAUGAAUUAAAACUUUUUGAAUAACUUAAAAAAUUUAUUAUAACAUAGAACUCACCGUUGUCCGUCUUGGAGGAGGUCUCCGCAAGGUCUCUUGCGGCCACCUCAGACGAUAGGAGAAGAACAAAGGCGAGAAGAAGGCCGAGAAAAACAAAGGCUUUGGAACUCAUAUUUGUGUGUAUAGUAAGAGAUUGAUUUUGGGAGAGAGGGAUGAGAAAGAUUUGCAUUCUUAUAGAGGUAUUUAUAGGCGUACAAAAGAGAAAGAGAGAUGAGAAUUGAGACAAUUGCAAUUAAAGACUGGCCCAUAAUUUGGUUGGGUGUUAGAUGAACUGAUUGAGAAGUAUUUUGAAAUGAAGAAGAAAAUUUGAGUCAGCUCUCUUCAAAAAUCUUUAUCUUUUAAAUGAUUUGUAAUCAGUCAAACUCUUUAGUAGUGUGACUGUAUCAAACUCCAAGAGCUUCUUCUAUCCAAUUAUCAAUAAUAAUAAUAUAAUUAUGGAAAAACAAUUUGUAGCAUGCUUUCAAUUUCUAUUCCCAAACUUGACAAACAAAAUUGUUUGUCUUAAAAGUUAAAAUUAAUCUUUUACAUAAAUUAUUUAGCAGAAUCUAUUAAGUAGAUACUGUAGGUUAGUUAUUUAGGAUUCAUUUUUUCCCUCAGGUAUUGUAAAAGAAAUUGAUGUUUAGAUUUUUUUUUAUUAAUGAUUGAUAUUUUGAUAAAAGGAUGUUAAUAUCAUUUUUAAAGCUUGCUUUUAAAUAUAAUAAAAUUAAAUUUCAAAAUUAAUUUAUCAAUUAAAUUUAUAGAAAUAUUUAUAUAAUAUAAUCAGUAUGGACCAAUAUUUAUACUAUUCAUACUUUAAAAUUUUAUAAUAUUUAUAAAUAUUAAAAAAAUUUCAAAUGAUUUUUCUUAUAUAAAAUUUAAAUAGACAAGAAAAAAAAAAACACAGCACAUGCACAUGCACUAAGAAAUGUCAUUGAAUAGCUUCCCCUGAACCCAAGUUGUAAAUAUCAUUCAUAUUUAUAAUAUUUAUCAACUUAUAUGAAAACGUCAAAACAACACUUAUUUAUUUUAUACUAUAUUUGCAAUAAAUUUAAGAGACCUUUAUAAAACCUAACUCGCAGAGCAUGCACGAUACUGGGUAGUGAUAGUGAUAGUGAUGCACCCAAACUAAAUUGACUGUUUUGGUUGUUACCGUGUUCGAUGUAAAUAUAGUUGAAUUGAAAGAAGACAUCAACGACCUCUCUAAAAAUUAAAUAUUAAUGUAAUUUUUUUCAUUUUUAUGUUCAAUUGAGAAGGAAAAAAAGAAACAGAAACAAAAGUAUUAGAUAAUACAGAAAUAAAAGUAUUAGAUAAUACAUAAAUAAAAGUAUUAGAUAAUACGUAAUAUUUUGAAGAUGAUAAACAAUUGAGGUGUUUUGGAAAGUAAAAACCCUCUUUUUAGAAAAAUAUAGGACUGGAUGAGUAGAUGCACUUUAAAGUAUAAACUGUGUGGCAUGAAUAAAUAAAAUUUAUAUGAUUCUCAGAUAGUAUUAGAAUUUUAUUGUUUUGAAGGAUAGCCGACAUAAAUUUCAUGAAAAUUCUGGCAAUAUCUCCAAAUCCUAUCAUCCACACACACAGUCUCUCUUCCUUUCAAUUCAAUGAAUGGAGGAUUAAAUUUUACAAAUGGAUGGAAAAGAUUUCUUCUCUCUUUAAAGGAAAUGACAAAUUGAAAAAAGCACCAAAUUGUAGUGAUGGAAUACUAUUGGCCGUAAAAAUUAAACACCUUACAUUCAACCACCAAACUUAGGUGACGGUAGAAAUGGUAACAUUUAUUUGAGUGGGAGGAUUCAAUUUUUUAUCAUUUCAACGUUCCACUUUUACGGCUAUUGUAAGUUAAUUAGAACACCGUCGUAUAAGUUUGAAGGCUCAAUUUUUAUAAUUGAAAGUUUGAUAAUGUAAUUGCAACUACCAUUCUAUUUUAAAUGUGGUUUUUGUAAUCUUUACAUAACUUGUAAUGUAUGUCAAUUGUAUACAUAAGAUAUUCAAAAUUCUUUACAAAAUACUCAACACACGCAAACUUAUGACCUCAUGUGUUAUGAAUCAACAAAUUAAGUAAAAGAAAAUUGUAAAGAUCGACACAUAAAUAAACAUGAUUAACACUAACAUUGUAUUAGCAGCAACAUCCACGAACAAAGGGAGAAUAAAUAUUGUUAGAGAGAAUAUGGCACCACUAGAUUAGAUAGAACAAUGUUUAUAGUACAAUAUGACAUUACUUGAUUUGAAAGUUUAUAUAUGCACUUCUCUAAACCCUAAAAUCAAAAUCAUGAAUGACUACGUAUGCACAAUUAUGAAAAACUAAAGAAUCUAUGGAGUUUUCGUGUAGUGCUACUUAACGAAUAUAAGGUAUUCGAACAUCAUGUGUAUCCUAGUUGAUCUCCAAACCAGCUACAUAAUAUUAAUUAUAUAUUCGAAUUUUUGAAUUUUUUAUAACAAAUAUACCUCAAUAAAUUGAUCACCACCUAUGAUUAAAGAUAGAAAAUCAUUUAAGAUAUGCACGUAAAGGUAGCUGAGUAAAGUGAUAAGAUUAUCACACAAGAGAACUAAUAGUUAGGAUAACAUAAUGCGAAAGGGUAUUGGCUCAUGAGCAGAUUGAAGAGUUGGGUUUUUCCAUGUCAUUUUCAUCUCUGAUUUGUGUCUGCAAAUGAGCAAUGAUAAGUGUGAAUCAGUUAAAUUGGUUAUUAAAUGCUGAGACUUUAUUGAGUUGAUCCAUUUUCAAACUUUCAAACUUGCAAAUUUAUUGUGCAAUUCAGAAAGUGGAUCCUUUCAAAUUUAUUGAGUGGGGUCUAAUUAUUCAUCUCUUAUUUACGUCAGAGCAAAGCCUUUCUUAGGGGAUGUGUAUAUCUAUUAUUUCAUUGCCAAGGAAUGGGGGUAACCACUUGUGGGAUCACUUUUCAAAAUUUUAUGAUUUUCUAGAAAAUAUAUUAUUUAAUUGCAUCUUAGUCUCUCUACAAACGUUUCUACAACUCAUCCACACUUUAAUGGCAGUUAAAGAAAAAUAUUGUUUUUUAAAAAGACUCAUUCUAUGUUAAACUGAGAUUAAAUAAUAGAGUGUGGUCGAUUGUUAAAAGAUUUGUGUGUAAUCUAAAAUGAUCGGAUUAGUACUUUUCCAUUAAAAGUUUAUAUAUCUAUCCUUUAAAGUGAUGGACUCUGCAUAAGGAUUGAUAUUUGAUUACAAAUUUUUUUACUUAUGUUUGGUUGGAAUCCUUUAUCUACGUUUUUUUAAAGUGUCUAAUAGAUAUUUUAAUUUUAAAAGAAUUUAACAACGUUUAUCUUUGUUUGAAAGUUUAUAAACUAUGAAUUACAUUUUUAUAUCAUUACAGUUGUGUUUAUUUGGGACAUUGAUAAAAAUGAAUAGAAACAAAAUUCAAAUGUUAAUUAGCACCAGAUAUAUAAUACAUUGAUUGACUUAUUAACUAGCAAAAAAAAAAAUUAAAAGUUUAAACACAUAUUACUUAAUAUUUUAAAGCUUACAAGAGUUGUUAUACACAAUUCUAAACAUUUUGUGUGUUUUUAGUUUUUUUUAAAGGUAAGCUUAUAAACAUCUUAUUUCAUCUCUAAAUUUUAAUUAAUUUUGUUAUUAAACUUUAAUUUCUACCUAUAAAUAGAUAGAUAGUUAGAGCAUGAUUAAGUAAAGUUGAAGUUGAUCUCCUUCUUCCCUAAAAAACUUCUUAUCCCUACGUUGAAGACAAAUUAACUUAAGAAGCAUAGUAUUCGUAGCAAACAUCACACGUAUGUAUCUAGUAUUUAUUAUUCUACAACCCGAGCACAAUCUCACUAAACUUUAAUUUAGAGCUUUGUUAGAAUAAUGACUAUAAACUUUGGUUUUUAUUCUAGCCUUUUGAAUAUCAUGGCCAUGCAACCUUGCUUAUUAUUGAAUAUACGAGUGAGGAUUUGAUAGUGCUCAAGGAGUGUCCACAAAUUAAAGUGGAGACUCCUAGAUGCAGUAUAACACAAUUAUUUUUUUUUAAAAAAAAAGAAAUUACUUUGUAGGUGACUUCUAUGUCAAUAUAGAAUUUAUCAUUGACAUCACGUAAAGAUUAGAUCUAAAUAAUUAAGUUGUUAGACUAAAUUUUCACCAUAAAUAGUACCAAAACAAUGAAGCUAUAAACAGAUGAGUGAUUUGAAAAGAAAUUUAUUUAAUUAAUUGAAGCAAAAAUGAAUUGGUUAGAGUAUUAAUUAGUUAAUAAGUUCUAAUAAAUAGAUAGGCAAAAGUAAGUUAGCAUAGUCAAAUCUGGUUGGCGGGGUAGGAAAAAGGUGUCAAUGUUCUUCCCAUUUGUACAAAGCCACCAAGGAUCAUCUGUCUCCAGUCAAUAUGAAUGCAUUUAAUACAAUACUCGAAUGAGAAAAUAUGUGCAUUUAUAGAUUAUUUUUUUAGUUCAUUUCUAAAACUUUCCAACUUUUUUUUUUAUUUUGGUUUCUAAACAUUUUAAAACGUUUGUUUUAAUGUCUAAAUGUUUAAAAAUAACAUAUAUUGUAAUUAGAAUUUUAUUAACUCUUUAACGAAAUGAAAAGAUAAUUUCUACGUAUGAAUGAUUAUAUUGUCAAAUAAGAUAAUUAUAGUAAAAAGUGAGUGAACUACGAAAGAAAUGAGAGAGAUUUGAGUUUAUAAAAGAAAAACAAAGAGAACAAAAUUAGUACUUAGGUUUAUUUGAUAAAUGUGUUAGUUAUGUUUCUAUGUUGACAUAAAAGAUCUAUAAAAUAAAUUAGUAAGAUUUUUCAAUUAUUUAUCUAUUUAAGUAAUAUAAUAAAUCUAGAUUAUGAUCAUCUAGAAGUUACAUCAACAUUCUUUUAAAGAAUUAAUAGAAUUCUAAAUUAAAACAAGAAUUGUGGUAAGCUUUUUAUUAAAGUUUGAAAAACUAUAACAGAACACAUUUUAAAAGUUUAUCACAAAAAUAAAACAAGAUACUUUAUUAUUAUUUUGAUUCAUAUAUAUAGAGUAGAACAUUAUACACAUAUAUACACAAAUGAACAACAAAAAAAAAUUAGAAUGAAAAUUAGAUUGUGGAUGUUGAUUUUUUGAACGCAGUGAUAUUCUAAAUCGCUCCACUUAGCUUAUGUAUGUUUGGUACUUAUUUUUCUAUUAAUAUAAAUGUUGUUUUUGAAAAAGAAACGUUACAGAAAACAAAAUAGGAUGUAAUUACAGAAAUAAAAGUUAAGGUAUAGAUAGAUAAUUUGUUUAAUAAAGGGAAAAGUUAGAGAAGAUAAAUCUUACAGAGUUGGGGGAAAAGUUGAUAAUAUAUAGAGAGAGAAAACUUGAGAAUGGAGAAUCAAUGUUAGAGAGAGAGAAAAAAAAAAGGUUUGAGAGAUAUUUUAAAGAGAGAAUAUUCAGCUAGAUAAAAAUAUCAAAAUAUUAAUUAAAGAGAUAAAAACAAAAUAAUCAUACACAAAUUUGAUAAAUAACAUCACAUAUAAUAAAAAACUGAGAGAUUAUGGCUCGAUUCGAUAACGUUUUUUGUUUCAUGUUUUUUUGUUUUCGAAUGUGUUUAAUAACUUUUAUUGUUUCUUAGAAAAAGAAAAAGAUUUUUUUAAUAAUUAUUUAUUGUUUUUCGUUUCUUUUGUUAUUUUCUCAAACAUUUUUUCUUAUUUUUAUAGUUUAAAUUAAUUACAUAAAAUAUAAAAUAUAUAGAAUUCAUUAAAAUAUAAAAAUUAGUUAUAAAAUAUUGACAUGAUCAAAUAUUUACGUAAGCCGAUGCAAAUUUAAUAGCUAUAGUAUAAUAGUUUUUAUUAAUUAUAUGUUGUUAAAUUUUAAUUUAAAAUAUUAUCUCUCAUUUAAUUCAUUUGUCCUAAAUGAUGUUGAUGUAAUAUGAAAGGUAGUGAUUUGUCCUAAAACUUUUAGAACUUAAAGAAAAUAGAGUAAAACAAAAUUGGGAGAAACUACUCUUCAUGAUUUUUUAAUUUUGUCUAAUUUUUAGAAACGCCUUCAUAAUUUAAAAACGAAAAACAAAAAGAGUUAUCAAUCAUAUUUAUUUUUUAAAAUAUGAGGCAAAAAUAAAAAAAUGCCCUUAUAUUCACUUCCAAAAGAAAAUUAGUAUUGCUUACAGAGAAAGAAGUAUUCUUAGUCAAUAUAUUCUUUUAUGAAAAAAAAUAUUUUUUCCUUUUAUAAAUUUAUUUUCACCUUAAGUACCUUAAACCUGAUUUGUCAUGUCUUUAAAUCUUCCUUUUAUCUCUAAAAAAAUCUCACUCUAAUAUAUUUUUUUUCUCUACAAAAUUAAGCCACUAUCCUAAAAACUUAUUAUAUAUUUUUUUAUAUCAUUGAUGAAGCGAAAAUGAUAAAAGUGGUAUUCGGAUACACCUAUUGACUCACCGUAUCUUAUUAAAAAAGAAAUAUGUAUACUUUUUUAAAUAGACUACUUUUGAAUAUAACAAGAUAAAAUAAAAUGUUUACCAAUAUAGUAAAAUAUAUUGUGACAUUUUAUUAUAUUUGUAAAUAUUUUUAAAAAAUUUCGUUCUAAAUAAUUUUCCUUUAAAAAAUAUUUUAUUGAAAUUAAAAAUUGAUUAGUGGACUUGGCACAUAUUAUCAAAAAUUUAAAAAUUUAAAACUAAAAAAUAAAUUAAACAAGUCUAUGGUUGAAAAAUCAUGUUUUAAUAAUUGAAAAGGCAGACAAAUGACAGAUACUAUUCUAGUAGCAAAUGAUGUGAUAGACUAUUGAAGAAACAAAAAAAACAAAGGUCUGGUGAUCAAGCUCGAUAUUGAAAAAGUUUUCGACAAAAUUAGUUGGAGGUUGAUUGAUUCUAUGUUUAUAAAAAAAAAUUAUCCAUUCGAACAGAGCAAAUGGAUUAAUUAGGCUUGCAUCUCUUGUGUCCAAUACUCUAUUAGGAAGAACUCCGAGGUAUGAUUAAUCCCAGUAGGGACUCAGACGAGGUGACCAUAUACCCCCUUCAUAUUUGUUUAGGCUUUUAUUAACCUACUUGGAGCAAAAAGAUGAAAUCAGAGGGGUCAAGGUCGAGAAUGAUUUCAAUUUAACUCACUUGUUAUUUGCCAAGGACAUCUUACUCUUUGUGGAAGAUAAUGAUGAUCUCCAUGGGCAAAAAUUUACGGCAUCAAAAGAAAAAGGUGUGGCCUAAGUAUAAAUAAAAGUCUUGGACACACAAACUUUGCAUUGCUCAGUAGAUGGCUUUGACGCUUCAUAUACGAACAACGAACUCUAUGAAAAAGGUAAGUUCAGCAGCUUAAAAGCCCCGUGGAGAUCUACACCAAAGAGGAUUGAUUGGUUCCUUGAAAACGUACAUUGGCAACUCAACAAUGUAGGAAAAAUCUCUUUCUGGAAUGGGCCUUGGAAUGAAAAAUUCCUUCUAUUCUUUACAGGCCUAGACAUUUUGUCCUCUCAAAUCUUCAAUCGGGUAGUGUGAAAAAGAGAUAUGUCCAACCUCAAUAUUUUCGACUAGAAUUUACACCUAAGAUCAUUGAGAAGCUUUGAACUCCAACAAUGAGCUAAUAUGAAAUCUUUCCUUCCUGCUCCUAACAUCGUUGGUGGUACUGAUACACCAACAUGGAAGCUGAAUUCUAAUGGUCAGUUCUCUAUUGCCUCCUUAAAAAAAGCUAUACAUAUUGUGGACCAAAGAGAUGAAUCCAACAUCAAUCCUAAUAUCUUCAAAAACCUUUGGAAGUCAAGUAUCCAAAAGAAAUGUCAAUUCUUCAUUUGGACUCUUUUGCACAAAUGUAUCAACACUGGAAAGCUCCAAAGAAGAUUCGCAAAUUGUAACCUUAAUCCAAAUUGGUGCAUUCUCUGUAAGAACCACUUAGAGGAUAUAGAACAUACAUCUUCAUCAAUUGUGCUGUCACUAAAGAUAUAUAUGGGGGCAAGCUGAUUGAACAAACGAUCAAUUGGAGUAACCACAAUACAAACCUGAUUUCUUUAUGUGAGGAUUUCUUUAUGUAACUCAAAUUGAAAAGUUAGAGAUUUAUUAAACACAUUCUAAAGUGUUGUUGGUUUUAUUUCUUAGGUAUGAUUGGCUAAUUUUAUUAUUGGAAAAACUUGAUUGAACAGCUUGUUCCAUGUUAGUUUGUUGAUUUUAUCUUGAGAUUGGUUUGUUUAGAUGUUGGUAUAUGUAGUGCACAUUUGUUGGGUGACUUCCUACCAUCGUCAUGUCUUGCAAAAUGUUGGAAUAUUGGAAAUCACAUUGUAAGGUAAAAGGCAACAAAGGUUGCAAAAAAAAAUUAUUCUUAUCCGUCGGUGAGAUUCUACAAUAUUUGUGGCCUACUAUGAUUGAUAUAUUCGUUCUUUGAAGAUCUGGGUCUUGUUCAUCUUUUGGGUUGACCACUUUGAACAAUAUUUGAGUCGUUUUGUCUUCUGUGUUUUUGAAAAUCAUAAGUCGUGUCAAUCCUUAAAAUUGCGGAAGUUUGUUCUUGAAGCACAAUUAGUAACUUGAGAAAAAAUUCUCGAAUUUAGGAGAGCCUAAAAUUCAUCAAAUGGUUGGAGUACUCUUCAUUUAAAUGUGGAAAGAUGGAAAGUUAGCAAUUUACACUGGUAAUCAUCAAGUCUUUACAAAUAAGUAAAACAUUAUAUCAGUAAAAAUAGUAUAUAUAACAUUAUAUUAGUAAAAAUACCACUCUGCAUAUGUGCUAGUAUUGCUACCAAAACUCUAUGUUAUGUUCUGGUAUUGUAUGCAACAGUUUUGUUAGGUUGUGUGUACUAAAUCACCUUUAUUUCAUUAUAUUAUAAAGGGUAUAAGUACAAACUUGUUGAUGGGUUAACUAAAAAUUUGAGCUUUAAAAAAUCACAAAGAAUAGGAUGGUAAUUAACAAGACACUAAAUUUACCAAAUAAAUUAGUUAUCCUAAACUAGCAAGCUUGAAAUUAAUAGGAAAUUAGGAACAAGUAUAUGCCAGAAGAACAACCAUGAUCAUAUAUAAUAUCGUAGAUCAAAGCUAUGAAAAAAAAAACAGUACUAUAUAACACACCAAAUUCAAACGAUGAGAUACCCAAAUCCAACAAAAUAGAUUCCAACCUAAGCAAAUCAACCUCAUAAGAAACCUAACAAGUAAUUCAAAAUCUUUUUUUAAAGUUCAAAAUUACCACCUGAUUUUAAUUUGAAAGAAAUCAAAAUUGUCUAAGUUAAUAUAAAUUGAUUCAGAUGAAGACACAAACCAAGUUCGCUUUUAUGUGGCCUCAUGCAUAAUUCUAUGACAAAAAAGCAGACCCUUUUUCCUCAUAUUUGGUGAUAUAUUUCUCACAUACGUCCUUUCGGUGACUUUAUCGACACCCAAUGGCCAGCAGCAGGAAAGUGAGUCAAACAUGUAAAAGAGCCAGAGUGCAACAUUUUGUGCAUAAUUGCACACAUAAAUAUUGAUCACAGCAACAAAUGGAAAAACUUUGUGCACUAAACGCUAGAAUUUUCUUUCAAUCCUCGAAGCAUGAGCCCUCAAUCAAAUAGAGAGAAAAAAAAAAAAACUCCAUAUCCAAAUCCAAUAGGAACUACUAAUAUCUUCCUAUCUCCACACUCAUGAUCAAGCCCUUUUCAAUUCCAACCAGAAAAAACAAAGAAUUAAAAAAAAAAAAAAGGUUGAAUUCUUGAUUCAAGAAAAGGCUUUGGUGGCUUCUCUUUGAACAGCUUUCAUCAAGAACCCAUCUUUUUCCAAAGCCAUUUGAAUAGGCAAGAAUCCCAUUCCCUCAGCAAUAGCCAACAUCAUAUUCUUCAUCCCCAUCAUGAACUCAUCCACGUCAACUUUUCCAUCCGAAUCCCGAUCGAACUGCUUGAAGACGGCACUGUAGAGUUGAGAGAGCUCAUCGGCAUCAGGUUUCACAUCGGUUCCAAAGUCAGCUUCGGAGACUCUCAAAGCAUGCAACUCCUUCAGCAUCUCGGCGUAGGAGAGGAAGCCGUCGCGGUCAGUGUCAAGACGGGUGAAGUGCUCUCUAGUCCAACCAUUGAAAGCUUCUUCGUCUUCCACAAAGUUGACUAUGGUGGCGCCGUCAAGUAAUUCUACGCUCAUCUUCGAUUGUUGGUGAGAGAAGAGAUUGAGAUGAGAUUUCCUUGGUGGGUUUGGUAUAUAAAGGCCUCUCUCUAUAACUUAAUUGGCGGUGGUUUCCAAAACAAGGAUUUUCGUUGGUUCAUUAUUGAAUUAGGGUUUUCAAUUAUUUUCCUUUUUUAAUUGGGAAUUAGGAGUAAAUAGCCAUUUUCAAGGUUAAACUUGCAAAUAUGGAAAAAAGAAAAAACGUUUUUUGUUUCUUAGCAAAUUGAAUCUCCAUACAUGCAUGUGUCCAUCUUUCCUUUAUUCACAGAUUGCACUUAAUGAGUUAAAAAUUGCCCUUCAUCAUCAUGAUAAAUAGUAAGUAUAUCCUAGAUUUAAAUUCCUGAUUUUUCUUCGUAAUUAGAUUUAAAUUUCUAAUUUAAGUAGUAUAUCUGUCCUAGGGUAUCUUCUGUUGUUGGUUUGGGUUUUUAUACAUAAUUUGAAUGUGUGUGUGUAUAUAUAUACUCAUCUGUUAUAUAUAUAUUUUUAAGCUUGUUUUACAAAUUUGAUCUUCCAUAUAAUCUCUUUGUUGGUUAAAACAGAAACAUGUAUUAUAAUGGGGGAAAAGAUGGUACAAUAUCGUCGUGAUGGUUCCAAUUCAUGCUACUUGGUUCUUACCUCAAUUUUGCUUACGAGUUCUGGAUUCAACUUUGGGAAUGACUAUGAUGUAAAAGCUCUACGAAAUCGUUAGUUUUAUUAUAAUAAUUUGAUUACUUGUUUUUCUUCUUCUUCUUUUGGUAAUUGUUAAAUUCAGGGAGAAAGGUAAAUGGAAUCAAAUUUGUACUUUUUUUCCUUCUGCAUUGUUUACCUACGAUGUAUUUGUAUUUUAAUUUGGUCCUUUGUUAGAUUCAUGAAGAUGGUCAAGCAAAUCAAAUUUGUUCGGUAUUUAAUUAAAUUUAUUAGGUAUGAUGUAUUUUGUUGUGUUCUAUUUGAUUUAGUAAAUUUAUUUAGGUACAAUUUAUCUUCGGGUGAUGUGUUUGAUUUGAUUAAUUUUUUUUAUUAAAGGUAAAUUAAAUCUUUUUUUAUAUAAUUAUAGAAAAAAAAUGGCUUUUUAAAAAAAAAAUAUAUAAACUGGUGCACCAUAUAAAACAAUGUAUAAACCUAAAAUUAAUUACCUCAGUCAUUCCGCUGCACAUGCGAUACAUGAUAUUGGGCAUAUCGUGCCUCGAGAUGUACGAGAUGCUCCGAACCAUGUCUCGGACUAAAUAAUUCUACCUUUAGUUAUUGAAAUUGGAUAAUUAGAUCUCUGGUCUUAGCGUCACCAAGAUGGUUAGGAGUUAAAGAAAUUUGUUAGGCAUAAAAUUUAUCUUUAUUUUAUUCUAUCUCGAACAUACACCGCCUGAGAUUCCUAAAAAGAAAAACUUUUGACUUUAAUUAUAAAGAUUUAAAUUGCAAUAACAUAUAUGAAAUAUAUGAAACUUUUUAUUUUGUUAUACCAUCUAAAAACAGCUACAAACUCAGUCUUUCAAUCUAAGUCCAAAUUGGUGUUCUUUAUGUAAAAGACACUUUUCAUAGAUUGUUGUACUGCUAAAAUUCGAUGGAACAAGCUUGAAGGACUUCUUGGAUGGAAAAACCAACAACAAAAUGUUGUUUCCUUAUGCUCUUUCCUUUGCUCAAUAAAACUAUCAUCAUUUUUAAUACUAUUGCAUCAGUGUUGUGAAUCUUAUGGUUGGAGAGAAAUAAUCGCAUCAUCAAUUUAUCUUCUGGUGAGCUUAUGCUCUUUCCUUUUCUCAAUAAAAAAUCUACUUUUGAUCUUUGGGAAGACAUCAUUUCUCUUUCUCAUGGCUGUGGGCUAGCAAAUACCCUAUGUUUGCAAAUUAUAGUGCUUCCUCUAUCGCUAUCAAUUUAAAUGCUUUCUAACUUUUUGUUGUGGGCUUAGCUCUAGCUCUUUAGCUUUCGCGCUGUGUUUGGCUUUUGUCCCAUACUGUAAUUGUACUAAUUCUUCAUAUAUUAAUGAAAGCGGGGAUGAUGAGGGUGCAAAGUGGUGUCUCUUCUUCCUAUAUUAGUGAAAGCGGGGAUGUCCACCUAGUAGAGAUGUACUGACCCAAUGUAUCUUUUUCAAAAAAAAAAAAAAAAGCUACAAACAAACAAAAAUGUAACUCAAAAGGAAAAUCGUUAAAAACAAUAUAGGUCAAUCAACUCCCAAUUUUAUAUCGUUUUUCAAAAAAGAAUAAGAAAAGAAGAUUACAAUUUUAUAUCUAAUUAACACCUCCUCAUAAUCCACUCUGCCAAUGGUAAAAACUUAACAAGUAAAUGCUUUGCUUUGCAAAGAAAACACUUCUUCAAAACAUAUGUACCUCUCAGACAUGAAACAAAACUCAUGGACUGUAAUUCUAUUCACCACAACCUCACCAACUGAUUCCACAUAAAGCAAAAGAUUACUUUCUUUUUAGUAUAACCAUAUUAAUAUUUUAUCCUAAAUUUUCAAGACUAAUUUUCAUAUAUUUAAACCUGGUCAUAAUCAGUUCUUCCUUUACUUGGUUAAUAUAAAAAUCAUUCCAUACAAACUAUAUCUUAAACUAGUUGGUCAAAAUGCUAAAGAAAAAAAAACUACUAUUAAAAAAUAGAUGUCAAUACAAAAUUUAGAAAUAUAUAUCUAUAUCAAUAGUGGUAAUAAUAGUUACCAUGAUCUUAAACUUUUGAAAAAUUGCAUCACAUCACACAAAAAUUUUAAAAAAAUAAAAUAAGUAGCCUAUAACACCUCUUUUGCAUAUUACAAAUAUAACAAGUAAGUAGAUAUAUCAAAGAACUAGGACAAAACUAUUUGAUAACUAUCCGUUUUAAAAUUUACAAUCAUCUCGUUUCAUUCUUUUUAUUUAAUGCAUCUAGAAAACCCAUAUUAAAAUAAUCUACAUCCAGGCCAUCUAAUUCCAUAAACCUAUUUUAACUCACCGUUUAUAAUAAUCACACUAUAUAUUGUAACAAAUUUUGCAACCCAAAUAGCGCUAAUUAAAGUGUGGGAGACCAUGAGGUUUGAUCUUUGAAAAUGUUAAAUAAUGUGUAAUUAUAAUAAUCACCUCCACCUCCUGAAUGAAUAUUAUUUAAAAUUCCUCCAUUACUACCAUAAACACUAUUUCAAAAGUCUUUCUAUAGUCUUUACUAUUUUAUAUUAAUAAUUUUAUUAUUAUUUUCUACCAUCUUUAUUAUUUACUUACAAAACUAAAAUAGUUUAUGAACCAAACACACAUAUCAUUAUAACUCAAACUAAUUUGGUUUCAAAUUAUUCUAAUUCAACUAUGAUAACCUAAUAUUAUAAUAACUCACUUGGAGUUCCAACAUCCUUAGGUGUAAAAAUACAAAUUAUCUAUAAUUUUCUUUUUUUGGAAAAAAUAUCUAUAUGUAUAUAGAUUUAGAUUCUAAUUAAUAUACAACUUUUGUAAGAUGAAAAUAAGAAAUCCAAUAAAAAUAGGAUUACAUCUCAUGUUUUUCAUAUGUGUUUAAUUAAGAUUAAGUAUAAACAUUAUUAUUAAAUAAUUUAUAGAUAUAUUUUAUCAUAAAAGGAUUUGGAAGGGUAUAAUUUUUAAUUUGAUAAUUUAUUAUUUUACCAUGUAUGAUCAUGUGAGCCCAUAUGGAAAUGAAUAUAUUAAAUCAUUUUUUUAUAAAGAUAAAAAUUUACUUUCAACUUUUGUUUAAAUAAAGUUAUCGUUUCUUUUUAGAAAAGAUACUAAUGUUUAAUAAAAUUCUAGUUUGAUAAAUAUAAAAAUUAAAGAAAAAGAAGAAGAUAAGAUUAAUCGAAAAAUAUAGAAAGUAAAAAUAAAGAGAAAAAAUAGAUUUUUUUUUUAUAAAUGUAACAUUAAAAAAAGAAAGAUGCGUGGUUAGUUGCUCGAUAAUUAAAUAAUGUAAUUUUCGAUAUUGUUUGUUACUGGAAUUGAAUGUAUUAUAUUGUUUACAUCAACCUUUCCCCAAAAAAAAAACCAUAAGAUUCUGCAUAACAUUUAUAUCCUGUCAAAUCAAUUUGCAUUAUUAGUUUUGAAAAGUCUACAUAGAUAAUUUUGUAUCUUUGUCUUUUCGUUUUCUUGAAUAUCCAAACUAUUAUGUGUAGUAAAAUGGUAUGAUAAAUUAAUUUUUUAUAAAAAAAAUCUAAAUCAAAAUUAAGAAAUUUGCUUUAUAUUUAUUCGUUUUGAAAAAGGUGGUGCAUCCGGAUAUCUCCACUAAGUAGACAUUUAAUAGCACCCUCAUCACUCCCACUUCGUUAAAGAUAUCUCAAGGGAGCAAGAGAGGGCUAGAGUUAAGCCCUUGAAUGUCGUCCCCCAUUUCACCAAAGCUUUUUUCAGACCCUUUGAGCAUUCUAUUGUUUCUUUCCAGACAAAGUCAAUAAAGUUGCAGCAAUGGUAUUGAAGGUGGAAAUUUGCUUUGUUUACCAAUCUUACAAAAUCAUGAUGCAUAUUUAUGAAUAUAUAUUUUUUCCUUGUAAAAGAUAUAGAAUUGAUAAAUGAAACAUUUGUGGUAAUAAAAAAAGAGCAAUACCCGAGGACGAACUCAUGUACACAAGAAUCUAUCAUGCAUAAUUACCCUUCAACCAGUACAUAUAACAAAAAAUAUAUUAAAAACAUCUUUAAAAAUAAGCAGAAAAUAAAAUUUAUAAUUGAAUACUGGAAAGAGUAACACAAGAAUACAUAUAGCUUAAAAUGCAUCCAAAUGAUUUUUUGAAAUAACGACCCACAACGCCACAAACAGACAUGCUAAAUUAAAUUAUGAAGACCAUUGACUUCAAUUUUCCACAUAAGUUCCUUUCCUUGGGGUCUACUUGAUUAAGAAAUAACCUUGUAUUAAACCCAACCAAUAAAAUAGUAUUAAAAACAUAUUUAUUAAAAUGUUAAAAUACCAUUUUAGUCCAUUCAAUUAAAGUUUUUGGCUCCAAUUUUUUUUAGUCAUGCAUGCUACCUUUAAUCAUUCAACUGAUUAUAUACUAAAUAGUCUAUGUAGGGUGCAAUCAAAAAUCAAAAAACAAAAAAUCAAACCAAAAACGUAUCGGAUCCGACCGAAUUUUUAUUAAAAAAGAUCAAUCAAAAUUGAACUAAAUCAAUUAGUUUAUAUAAAAUCGAUUGGUUUGGUUUUAAUUCUUAAUCGACCAUGCAUGCACUUGCACACACAAUAUAAUAUGUGAUAAUUAGUUUAUAUAACCCAACAAUACAAUUUGUAAUGGACGAAGAUACACAUAAAUUAAGAUAAACUGAUCAUAGACAUAGUUAUAUAUAAACUGGGUUUAAAAAUUGAAAUAGAUAGUACUCUAUCGUGAUUCAUCGUAAAUAAAAUGUGAUGAUUUAUAAUUAUACAUAAUAUGUACAUAAUAUGUGUAUCUUUUAUUUCUUUAUUUAUUCACAAAAAUACAAAGAUUGUUUAUGGUAACAUGUUUCGAUUUGUUUGAGAAUUAACUUUAAAAAAUGGAACUAUAUUACAUUUGUUAUUUUUAGCUUUUUAUUAAAAAUACAAAAAUGAAAAACAAGAAAUAAACAAAGUAGUAGUCCAAAUGUUUGGUAAUAUAUAUAUAUGGAAAGUCCAAAUUGAUUCUGAGUACAUAGAGAUAAUCAUACAAUAAAACAUACUAAACUUCAAAGUGACAUAUCAUAUAAACUACUAUAUAUAUUGAUUACACUCUUUUUUUGAAAGGAUAAAUUAAUACACAAAAACUUUAAAAUAGGAUUUAAAUCCAUGUGAUUUCGGAAUCAUUUAUUCAUUUUUUGAAAAACAGGUGAUAGUCCUCAGUCUACGGCAAGCUGCAUCCUCUAACAUAAGGAUUGCACUUUUCCUUUGGUGGCUUACUUCUAGGGAUGCAACGGCUAUAAGGACCGCUACCAUCGCAGAUUGGUUUGUUGCGAAUUGCUGUUCUCGGAGUCAAGUAAACAAUUCCCUUUUCUGCGUUUGGAAACCAUUUAAAAUAAAUCAACAAAAAUAGUUUAUUUUUAAAAACAACCAUUUUCAAUUUAAUGCUUCCUUCCAUGUUCAAUUUUAUCAAAAUUUGUUUCAUAAUAACAAUCAUUUUGAAUGCCACAUAAUAUCAUAAUAUAAAUAGAAGCUCACCGUUGUUUUGGUGCAUCUUCAGCUUCCUUGCUGCAGUCACCUCCGAGGAGAUGAAGAGAACGAAGAAGAAGAAAAAAGCCAGCAAUGAAUAACCACGUCCCUUUCCACUACUCAUUCUUAUUCCUUUCUCACUAUUAUGGAGAGAGAAUUGAAUUUGUUUUGAAGAUGAAGUUUGAGAAUCAUUUCCGAUUAUCUUUUAUAGCCAAAAGAGAGUGGAAAAAAAACGAAAAUUUAAUUAAUAAAUUUUGUUUUGGAUAAUUACUAUGAAAAUUUAAUCAAUAAAUUUGUUAUGGAUAUGGACGUAAAUAAUAUGUAUAGAUCAUAAGAAAACUUGUAUUUAAAAGAUGAAAGACCAAAAAUUAUAUACGGUUCAAACUCACUAAAUAGAAAUUAUAAUGGAUGACCAUUUAUCCUUAAUAAUAAUUAAGGUUAUAUUAUACACAGUUUAGUUUUUCAAAUUUAUUAUACACCGUUUAGUUUUUCAAAUUUAAGAUGUAAUGUAAUCUCUUAAAAUAAAAUUAAAAAAUAUAGCUUCAUAUCAAAUAAAUUAAACUUUUGGGUUCGAAUUUUCUUUUUAUUUUAUAAUAUUUGAUUCAUAACUUUAUAUCAAAGCACUUUUUCCUUGUUUUGUUCUUAAAUUACAAAUUUAAUAGGAAUAUUGAUGUAUGUUUUUUUAUUGUCCAAAAUUAAAUAACUCCUUUUCAAAUCAAAAGUUUAAAUGCAUGUACCUUCACUUUUGUUUGAUAAAUAUAAAAAUGAAAGAAAAAGGAGAAGAAAUGGGAUUAGUCUAAAAAUAUAGGAAGUAAACAUAAAGAGAAUAACUAGGUUUUUUUUUAUAAAUGUAAUAUAUAUAUAUAUUUCCUGUCAAAUCAAUUUGCAUUAUUAGUUUUGAAUAGUCUAAAUAAAUAAUUGUGCAAUGCAUCUACAAACACAUGUAUAUAAUUGUAUAACUAUAAUAAUAUCGAUAAAAUCUGAAAUUUUAUCAACAUUUUUAUUUUAUAAUAAUUUUUCAAAAUUUAAAAUCUUAUACAUUAAUCAUCAUGCAUACAUUUAUAAAUAUUAUUUUUCUCGUAAAAAGUAAAAUAAUUAAAAAAUUGAUAAAAUUGAUGUAUGAAACAUUCAUGAUAAUCAAGAAAAAAGACAAUACUAAAGGCCAACUCGUGUAUGCAUUUAUCUUCAUGCAUUGUUAUCCUUCAAUCACAUAUGACUUUACAAAACAUCUCUAAAAGGAAAAAUAAAAUAAAAUUUAUAAUUGAACACUUAAAUAUGAGUGACACAAACAUAUAUGUAGUUUAAAAUGUAUCAAAAUAAUUUUUUCGUAAACAUCUUAUUUCAAAUGACCCACAACUCCAUGGCAUGCCAAAUUAAAUUAUGAAGACCAUUGACUUCAAUUUUCCACAUAAGUUCCUUUAGUUGGGGUCUACUUGAUUAAGAAAGAAUGCUUCAUUAAACUCAACCAAUAAAAUAGUAUUAAAAAGAUAAUUAUUAAAAUGUUAAAAUAGGAUUUUAGUCAAUACAAUUAAAGUUUUUUGCUCCAAAUUUAUAGUCAUGCAUGCUACCUUUAAUCAUUCAACUCAUUAUAUACUAAAUACCCCUAUGUGGGGUGCAAUAAUGAAAAACCCAAAAACAAAAUAUCAAACCAAAUCUAAGGUUAUAUUUUAGAAUGGUUUUUUAUUAGAAAAAUCAAUCAACAACUAAAUCAAUUAAUACAUCUAGAAUCUAUAGGUUAGUUUUGAUUCUUAAUCAACCACACAAGCAUACAAUAAAUAAAUAUAUGUAAUAUAUAUAUUAUUGAAUUUCUUACUCUCACACACAUGCACCAACAAUAAUAUCUCAACUACUCCAAAAAUUUCACAUACAAUACAAGUCUAUCAGCUAUAAUUUUGUUAUAUUUGCAAUUUUUUUAAAAUGUUGUUGUAUCCUUAAUUAUUAUUCCUCAAAUGGUCAUCUAUUAUAAUUACCCUUCAUUUUAUUAGAGGAAAAAACUUCAUAAAAUUGAAGUGUAAUUAUAAUGACAAUUAAUAGGGCUACCAAUUUGGAAGACGACCAUGCAUUGACUCAUAUUUCCCUACAAAAAUUUUCUUUUCAUUUAGUUUUAACAAACAAAAGUGUCAUUAUUAUAGUUUAAUUGAUUAAAAUAUGUAGCAUCAAUCAACCGUUAAUCAAAAUAUUACAUUCUUUUAAUUCAAGAUUUUUUUAAGAUAAUAUAUUUUAAUUAGGGACAUUUGCAAAAAUAGAGAAAAGAAUGAUAAUAAAGUCUAUAUCACUGUUAUUUUUAAAUUGCAAAAGUAUGAGAUAAUGAAAUUUAAAUGGUAAGAAGUAAAGAUAAAUUUAGGUUUUUUUUUAAAAAAUGUUGCCACGAUAUUUUUAAAAUUACAAAAAAUUUUAAAAAAAUGUCUUUAUCGUUUGUAUAUGUGGACAAAAUUAUGAUGGCUUAUAUUGCAUCAACAAUACUUCUAACAAUGCUACCAUGGUUAGUAUAUGGAUGAAAACAAUUUAACGACCUUGCUCUUUUAUUUUUUUUCUUGUGUCUCUUUCAAUCUAGCUAGACAUUUUUUUCCACUCUCUUAAUCUCAUUAUUUCAUUCCCUACCAAUUCAAUUUUAACUUGGAUCACUAACCAAUCAUAGAAGUUAUAAAUUGGUACGAAACAAUAUGUCUAGAUGGUUCAUAUAAGCAAUAUAUAAUAUACACAAACUUUUCUGUCAUUAAUAUUCUUAUUUUUCUUCCUUUAUCAUACUUUGGUUGGUUUUUUCCUAUCCACUGCAAUUGUUUUCAAAAGAAAAUUUAAAACUAAAAUGAAAAGAAAAAAAAUCUUGAGUUUGUGUCACACGUCCAACUUCUAAAGUGUGGAGUAAUUUCUUUUAUUUAUUAUCAAACGUUCAUUUGAACUUUAAAUUUGUUUGUUAUAUCAUGAGAUAUAAAUAUAAAAUUUUGCUAAUUAGAUUGGUGAUUGAAAUUUAUAAAUAUUUUAAUUUAUUUUAUUAUUUUAAAAAUGUCUCUACAAAUUAUGUUGGAGCUAAAUGUGAUUUGAUAAUUAUUUAAUCAAUUAUUUAGGGUCCGUCCGUUUAAGAAAUAGAAAAAGUAUAAAACUGACUAUUUUUUAAAAAUUCUAAAUUUGUCCUUCCUUGUAUCACUGUCAUUCGUCUUGAUUUUUUUUUCUUGAUAUCCUUUUCAUUAUAUUAAAAUAAAAAACUUCAUGGAAUUGAAGGUGGCGAUUAAUGAUGGAAAUUAUGGGCCACAAUAGGCCUACCAAGUUGGACGACCAUGCAUUGACUUAUAUUCAUUUACUCGAAAUAUGAAGAAAAGUUUUAAUUGAUUAUAGUUUAAUGCAUGGAAUGAAAUAUGGAGAUCAAUCCAGAGCUAAUUAAUCAAAAGAACACAGAGAAAUUUUUGUAACAUAAUACAUUUAAUUUAAUUAAGGUUAAAUUAUACACAAUUUCGUUUUUCAAAUUUAAGAUUUUAUGUAAUCUCUUAUAAUAAAAUUAAAAAAUAUAAAUUAAACUUUUAAAUUCUCAUUUUUUUUUAUUUUAUAAAUUUUGAUUCAUAACUUUUGUAUCAAAGCACUUUUUCUUUGUUUUGUUUCCAAAUUACAAAUUUAAUAGGAAUGUUGAUGUAAGUUUUUUAUUGCCCAAAAUUUAACAUCAACAAAACAUUCAAUAUAUCAAUAUAAAUAUGUGCCAACGUAAAGAUAUAUUAAUGCUAAUUAUUAAAUAACUCCUAAGUAAAAGUUUAAAUCUCUUUCACAUUUGUUUGAUAAUAAAAAUUAAAGAAAAAUGAGAAGAGAUGAGAUUAGUCUAAAAAUAUAGGAAGUAAACAUAAAGAGAAAAACUAGGAUUUUUCUUUAUAAAUGUAAAAGGUAAACAAAAAAAAAAAAAAAAGAAGAAGAAGAAGAAAGAUACGUUAGAAUGUAUUAUUGGAAUUGAAUGUAUUAUGAAAAAUAUUAUUUCAAAUGAAUCACAAUGCCACAAAUUAAAACUUGACUAACAUUGACUCCAAUUUUCCACAUACGUUUCUUUCGUUUAGGUCUACUUGAUUAAGAAAGCAUCAUGCAAUCAAUUCAACAAUAGUAUUUUAAAAGAUAUAUUUAUUAAAAUGUUAAGAUAUCAUUUUUGUAUUGUAAGUCUUUUUUUCUCCAAUUUUUAGUCAUAUCAUUCUAAUGAAUAUGUACUAACUAGUCUAUGUAAGGGUGCAAUAAAAAACCGAAGAACAAAAAAUCAAACCAAACUAAUGGGUUGGUUUGGUUUUUUUAGUAUAAAGUUGGACAUAUCUUCAAUUUAUAUUUGUAGAAAAGAAAAGUUAUGUAAAUGGAACUAAAUCAAUUAGUUUAUAUAAAAUCGAUUGGUGAGUUUUGAUUCUUAAUCGACUUCCAAAUAUUUCCACAAUAAGAUAAAAUAAAAAAAAUCUCAAAUAAUUUCAAACACCCAAUAUAGUAAUAUAUAUAUAUAGAACUUCUAAUUCUCCAAAAUGUUCACACACAAUAAAAAUAAUAUAUAUAAUAUAGAAUUUCUCAAAUUCCUCAAAAAUUUCCACCAACUUCCAAAAUUUUGGAAAUCCACUCCCUUCCAAUUUUUUAAAAAAUUUCAUCGAUGUUGUAUGUUCUUGCGAGAUUUACCAAAUGUUUCUAUUUAAUUAGAAAGAUCAGAGAGACAAGUUAGGUCAUAGAUUUCUCAAAUUUAUUUAAUGUCAUAUGGGCUUGAGCAUGAAAGCUAACUUUUAAAUUUGAACAUUCCAUUAUUUGUGGUUUGAUAAAAAAGAUCAAAGCUAUUCAAUGUGCCUUUGCCAAAAAAAAGGAAAAAAAAUUGGCCACAGGGACUAAUGUCCACCAUUAAUUACAUUAUAUUUAUUCUGCAUCAAUACAUCAAAUAACUUUCAUCUUUCUCUCUCAUUAGCUCUAUUUCUAUCUAAGAUGAUAAACUCAAUUUGAAAUAUGAGAGAAAAAUAUAAGAUGAAGAUAAAAGAAAAAAAAAAGUCUUAAAACUUUUAUUUAAAGAGGUGUGAAGUUAUAUCAGUCUGAAAAGUUGUAUAAUCGUGAAUCCAAACUAGAAGUAUAUAAAUCAUGAAAUUUGAUGGUUUUUUCAGCAUGUGACGUAAAAACUUCUUAAGUUAAACAAAUGACUUCACUUAUUUGAACUCAUGAGCCUAACUAUAUAUUAUCUUAGGGUGUUACAUUUGUGACUUCAUUAGCAUAGUUGCAACAUUGGAUGCAUUGUCGACUAAAACGAUUGAAACGACAGCAACCAUGUGAGCAACCAUGUCCACCUCUACCAUACCCACCGCAUGAAUUUCUAGAUUAAUUUCCGCAGCCAGGGGUGUCCACGGAGCUGCAGCGGCCGUCACGUAAAAGGUCUCUUGCUGCCACUUUUGAGGACUGGACAAGAACGACUAUGAUGGAGAAAACAAGAGGAAAAUUCCUCUUGGAGUUGGAAUAAUUCAUUUUUCAAUGUUCCUUUUCUUUCCAGUAAUUAACUUGUAAUUUUGAAGAGGGAAUGAGAAAAUUUUGCACCUCUUCUCAUUCUAUAAUAUUUUAUAUGCACAAGCGAUAUACAAGAUUAAUAUAGAUAGUUGGAAAGAUGCAAAACAAUUAAGUAUAUAGCAAUAUUUUAAAAAAUUGCAAAUAUAGUAAAAUUUAUCCAAUUCUGUCAAUGAUAGAAGUCUAUCACCGAUAGAUCAUGUUGUAAAUAUAUUAAAAACCAUAAUUAAAUAGAAAAAAAAAUUAAAUUUAUAAUCGAAUAUUUAAAUGAAUAACACAAACAUACAUAUAACUUAAAAUGAAUCCAAAUAAUUGUUUUGUGGAAAAGUUAUUUCAAACGACCCAGAACGCUACAAACAGACAUACCAAAUUAAAUUUUGAUGACCCCCUUUCCUUUCGGUCUACUUUAUUAGGAAUUUAUUAAUAGUAUUAAAAAUAUAUCUAUUAAAAUGUUAAAAUAUCAUUUUAGUUAAUACAAUUCAACGUUUUUUGCUCCAAUUUUUAGUCAUGAUACCAUUAAUCAAUCUAAUGACUAUAUACUAAAUAGCCUACGUAAGGGUGCAACAAAAAAUCAAAUCAAUCUAAUGGUUUGAGUUAGUUUUUUUUAGUAUAAUGUUGGACAUAUCUUUGAUUUAUAUAUUUGGAGAAAAAUCAAAAAGUCAUUUAUUUGGAGCGUCUUUUUAUUAAGAAAAAUCAAUCAAAAUUGAACUAAAUCAAUUAGUACAUAUAAAAUCGAUCGGUUAGUUUUGAUUCUUAAUCGACCACGCUCAUAUACAUAAAGAAUAUAGAAUUUAUUACUCUCACAAACAUGCACACACCAUAUUAUCUCAACUUUAGAAGUUCCACACACAAUACAAUAAAAAAAAUCUCCAAAAAGUACACACACCCAAUAUGUUGAGAUGAAGAGUGAGUAAUGACCCAAAAUGUGAACUAUAUAUUUUAUAAAUGUUCAUCCGUCAAAUUUUUCAUUUAAUAUAAUUCAAGAUCUCCUAGCUACCUAUCAACUUUAACCAAACAUCAAUUCUUGCAUUUAUUUAUAGUUAAAUUAGUGUCUCAAUUUUUUGAAUUGAAUUGGGAAUCUUCAACCCCACAAUUGGGUUUUCAUUUUUUUUUCUUUACUAAUUACUACACAUUUGACAGCCUCCUAAAUAAAAGUGCACCUUCUUUCAUAAAUUGAUAGCAUUUUCUUGACUGGGAGUAAUUUUGGGUCCUCUCAAAGAAACCAACAGCAGAAUGUUGAAGACAAGGUUUCUAAAAAGUUCCACCAACAUUCGAAGAAAAUACUACCAACCAACAAAAACAAAAUUAAUAUGUUAAAAUUUAUUACAACUAUACAAAAUUCUCUCUCGGACUCUAAUUACAAAUUUGGAUGAUUACAUAACGAUUACUCUUUUGAUAUUUUGUCAAAAUUCAACAAUCUCUUUGAAAAUCUACUUCCCAAGGGUCCAUCUAAUCAUCAACUAUAACGGCUUAUUUGAUUGGUUUUAGUGCAUAUUAUUCCCUAAAUAUGAACAGCAUUAUCGCUUUUAUUAUGACAGUAUGGAUUACUUUUGUAAAUCUUUUUUUUAAUAUAUUGCAUUAAUUUCAUGAUGAAUUAAUCCCAUCCUCAACAAAAAAAUCAAGAAAUUAAUGAAUUGAAAGUACAAAUAAAUAAAAUGAGUAUUUUAACAUUAAUAUAACUUAAAGUUAACAAUGAAACCAAGUAAGUUUAUUUUAUUAAUAAAAAAAAUUAAGCUAAAUCCAAUUUGAUAACAUUUUAAUUUCAUUAAUUGGUAGAUAAAUAUUUUGAAAACAAAAAGAUUUGACCAUAAUUACAUAACAAAUAUAAAGCCAUCAGCUUUUUCAUCAUUAUUUGACAGCACAUUCUCAUGCAUUAUUCUGCCGACUAAUCCAUGGUAAUGCAAAACAAAUCAACGGUGGAAAUUAUUGGUAACUCAAAACAAAGAAUCGUAAUUAAACUUUAACCUUAGUUCUUCCAUUAUAAAUAAAUGAAAACCUUAGUUCUGUCGGUGAAUGCACAAACAAUUAACAAACUAUUUACGAUAAAUAGUAAAAUUUUAAUUCAAACCCAAAAUAAAUAAUCAAAAUACUUUUUAUUUUCUUCCAAUUAUGUGAAUUCUCCUUUAAUAUUUACCUAUGUCCAAUGUUGUUGGUAAGAAAAAAAAGUAUUUUCAAAUGUAUCAAUAUCUUAACAUUUUAAAAAUUUAUCAUCUUAUAUUAUUAUAUCUAUUUUUCGUACCUAUAUCUAUAUUUCUACUUCAUAGGUUAGAUAUCUCCAUAAAUAAGAUAUUGACAUGAGAGGACAUUAAUCAAUGUUUUUACUACAUACAUGGUAAAAAAACUAAUAAAAUAAGUAACAAAAUGUAACUUGAUAUAAAUUAACAAACACUUCAAUUUGUUUACAAAAAAGAUGCAACAUUUAUUUACUAUUAAAAAAAUUAAAAUCUUUUGUCUUUAUAUUUUUUUAGAAAUAAUAUCUAUUAAUAUUUAUGUUUUAAAAAAUUGAGACAUCAAGGGCAUGAACAAUAACUAAUUACUUGUAGUAUUUUAAAUAUUUGAAUUUGUAAUGAAACCAUGAAUACAUUUAAAGUAAUAUUAAAAAAUAAUAGUUUAUUACUAAAAUAAAACUCUCCGAUUCCUAUGUUCAACCGAUCCAUUGGUUGGAUGACAGUCAAAAACAUGCGAAAAAAGAAACCAACGGCUCAAAACACCUAAAAAGACUCAAUGAAAAAGGAAACAGCCUUAAACAACGCCCAAAAAUCACUCUAUGCAGUACAUAAAUCCAUCCUAGAAGUGUGUGUGUCUGUGUAUAUAUAUAUAUAUGAUCAAGUUCGUUCUUCAUUAAAUCAUCAAGUACUAUUUGUUUUCUUUGCUUUCAACAAAUUAAAAGCGAUUCAAAAUGAGCGUAGAGAUCUUGAACAGUGCAACCAUUAUGAAUUUUGUGGAAGAUGAAGAAGCUUUCAGUGGUUGGAUAAGAGAGCGUUUUAGCCAUCUUGACAUUGAUAGAGAUGGAGUUCUUUGUUAUGGAGAGAUGUUGAAGGAGUUGCAGAGUCUUAGGGUGUUGGAGACUCAUUUUGGGAUUGAUACGAAACCCGACCCCAACGAGCUUUCGUCCGUCUACGGCUCCUUGUUUUUACAGUUCGAUCGCGACUGCAAUGGAAAAGUUGAUCUUGGUGAAUUUAUGGAAGAAACCAAGAAGAUGAUGUUGGCCAUGGCUAAUGGAAUUGGCCUUUCUCCUGUUCAAAUGUUGUUGGAAGAAAAUAGUUUCUUGAAGAAAGCUGUGGAUAGAGAAUCCACCAAACUCGCUGCGGCUUAAUUGCAAUAUAUAUAUAAGUUCUUUCCGAGAAGGUGUAUACCAAUUAUUACGACAUGCAGAGCUAAGAUUAAUUGAGUUGAAUUUUGAUUUUCUUUGGAAGGAUGCUCAUUUCAUCCUAACAAAAUGUUAGAGCAAAACUGAAAUCAUUCAUCUUUUUUCUUUCGAUUGAUGAACUUUUACAUUUUUGUGUAUGAUAAUGGUAGAAAUCAAAUCUGCCUUUUUUCCAUUUUUGACAAGGAUGUAAUAUAAUCUAGCUUUGAGACAGUAAUUUAUUUAUCUUAUAGCUGCGAAUUUAAUUAGGUGAAUUUCACAUGUUACACGAACCAUAUAUGAUACACAAUUGUUAAAAUUAGCUAGAAGACAAUAAGCAUAAGGUGGAAUUCAUAUCCAAUCAUAUAAACUAUAUAUUUAUAUAAAGUUUUAACUUUUGAAAUUAUUGAAACUAAUUAAUUUGAAUUUUCUUCAAAACUAUAGAUAGAAGUGUUUGUCAUCUCAAUUGGAAUAUACAAAAAAACUUGAACAAUCAACUUUUAAGGAGAGGAAGGAAAGAUGUCAAAUAAUUGGGUCAUUGUAGAGAAAUUUUUGUACAACACAUGUUAUAUAUAUUUCUAAUAAGAAUAAAUAUGCUAUAGGAUUUGUAUUGAAGGAAUACUUUGUUCUAUUUUUAAAAUUCUAAGAAUGUGGUAAUUAAAUUAAAUACGUUUUUGAAUUGAUGCCAACAAAUUUGGGGAAUCACAUCCAUUGAAGAUGCUUCCCUCUUUUUCUUGGGUACUUUCGAGUGAAAAUUGAAGAUUUCGAACCACAAAUUUCUUAAUCACACACAUACGUUACAUAUGGUAUAUUAGUUGAGUUAAAUUAGCGUGGAGAAAUAUGCUUCACUUUUAAAACAGCUUUUAGUCUUGUGAAUAGUAAAAUGAAAAAAAUUCUUGGAUAAUCUUUUAUUUCUUUAUUAUUCGUUUCCGUAUAUAAAUUAUAAUGGCUAAAUUAAUUCAAGAAUUUGACUUCCGACCUCUUGAACUAUAAUACAUGUUUAAAUUAGAAAUAUAUAUAUAUUUUUUUUUUUUUGAACUUUUACGUACAAUACAAUCUAUUGAUUGAACUUAUAAUAAUAAUAUAAUAAUUCAUUCAAAAUAUAGUAAAACAAAGUGAUAAACCAUGUUACAAAUAUUGAUUUGUUUCUAUUCGACUAUAAGAGUCGAUAGCCAUAAAAGUAGAUUGUACUAUAUUUGUAACAUUUUAAAUAGUUAUUAUACACUAAAUUAUUGUCCCUAAAAUUCUCGUUCAUUUUAAUCAUCCACAAAAAAUUCUUAAAACAUUAAUAAGCAGAGGCCGAAAAUUAGUAUUGGAAAUAAGAAAACUAAAGCAUGAAAAGAAGAAGAGAGCAAAAACAUAAGAUUCUCCCUAAUAAAACGUCUCUAUACCAAUAGAAUGGGCCAAAACAACACAUUAUUUGAGCAUUUGUUUGCUUUAUUGUUUUCUUUUUCUUUAAAUAAAAAAUAAUAGACAUAGUUGUAAAUUUAGCAAUUACAUUUAAAAUAAUUAACUUUAUAGCAACAUUUUAAAAAAAUUGUCAAAUUCUAUUCAUACAUACAAGUCUAUCAAGAAUUGUUUUGCUAUAUUUGCAAUUGUUUAAAAAUGUUGUUAUAUUCUUAUUUAUUAUUUUUAAAAUUAUCAUAAUUACAAUUACUUAAUAAAAAAUAAUAAUUUUUUGUUUGGUAAAAUAUUUUUUUUAAAAUAAACUUUUAGAGAGGUAAAGGGAAAUAUUAAACGAUGUAAAGAUAUAAUUUUAUAUAUAUAUAUAUAUAUAUAUAUAUAUAUAUAUAUAUAUAUAUAUAAUUUAAAGAAAAAGUUUAUGUAAAAUAGACAAAGAAAUAAAAAAAGGUUUUAGAGAAAGAACGGUGUAGAAAGAGAAUGAAAUGUUAGAGAGAAUAUUAUAGUAAGAAAUUAAAGAGCAAUAGAUGCUGUUUAAAAAAAAAGAUGGAGUGGAUCAAUAAAUUAAACAUAGGUUAAAAGCAAAAGACAUAAAUUCAAGAUAUACAUCAGAUAAAGAGAAUAUUAGUAAUGGAAAGAGAGAAGAAAUUUGAAAGUGAAGUAAGAGGAUAAUUAUUUAAUAGUAUGUUUUAAUCUCUAUAUAACAUUUUCAAAUAUAGCUAUACCAAAAUUAUUAAAUUCUUUAUAGUUUAUUUGAAAUUUUUUUGCUAUAUUUUGUAAAGCUUUGCUUUUUUUUUUUCUUCAUCAAAACAAAACGUGUCGAAGGGUUUCAUUUCAAAGUAAAAUUUUAUUCUUUAAACUAUUUUUUUACUUAUUCAUGCAGAAUUUUCUCUCAAAUCUUAGUCGUAAUAUUCCUUAACCUUAAAGAUUAUUGUCAAUAGAGUUUGACAGCAUAUCUUCUCAGUAUACAGUAGCUAGUAAGGAAUAAAUUUGUAACUUACUUUAGAGGUUAACUUUCUAAACUUUUUUAAAAAAAGAGAAAAAAUCUCUUUUUUAAAAAAACUAAUUAUAAUAAGCAAUAGACUUAGGUGUUGUUAAAAGCAGGUUUAAAAUAAGUGCAUGUUUAAAAGUAAAUUGUAAUCACUUUUUGAUAUCAAAUUUUUAAUAUUACUAAUAUGUGAUAAAAGUGAUGUUAAGCAUUUUAAAAUCAUUCUCAAACAUGCAAUAAAACUGCCAUGAUUUUGUAAACCGACCAAUUGGAUUCUUAACGCUCUACUCACCGACCUCUCCUUGUGUUGACUUUGGUUCAUUAUUAAAAUGUGUUGUAUAAAAUUCCAUUUGAACAUCCUUUUUCACAUCCAUUAAAUCAAAUCAAGGAUUGGCCCCCAAGAACCUUCAACAGUGGCAUAAACAAAUGGCUAAAAGAGAAAUAAACCCUCCUGAGACCUAUUUAUAUGAAGAAACCUGACCCAACCUUCUGCUCAUAAAAAACCCAACUCAAAAUCUUUUCCAAUACCUUCCAAUUUCCUCUUUAAUUCACCUAAAUAUCAGAACUAGGAAAAAUGAGUGUGGAAAUAUUGGACGGUACCACAAUUGUCAACUUUGUUGAAGAUGAGGCAGCUUUUAAUGCCUAUAUAAGAGCCCAAUUCGCUCACCUCGACACUGACCAUGAUGGUCUCCUUUCCUAUAAUGAGAUGCUGGAGGAGUUACAGAGCCUCAGGGUGUUCGAUGCCGAUUUCGGAAAUGAUGAGAAGCUUGGUCCAGAUGAGCUUUCGUCUGUCUAUAGUUCUCUGUUUUUGCAAUUUGAUCGUGACUCGGAUGGAAUGGUUGAUCUGGAUGCGUAUAAGACUGAGAUCAAAAGAAUGAUGCUAGCUAUGGCUAAUGGGAUUGGCUUCUUACCUGUUCAGAUGGUGCUUGAAGAGGGCAGCUUCUUGAUGAAGGCUGUUGAGCGUGAAACUGCCAUAAUGGCUGCUUGAGUAAAGUUACCUUUUAACUCGCUGUAUUAGUAAAUUCAAGAAACAAUUCAAAAGAGUGAGGUUUUUGUUAACUGAAAUAAGAUGUUUUUCUUUUUGUCAUAUAAAUUUCCUCUAAAUUCAAAAGAUUAGUAGCCAUUAACUUACACGCCAAUUCCACAGCAACAUGAACAGUGUUUUCUACUUGAAAAUGGAUGAUGGUUAUUAUAAGAACAGGGACAAUUCAGGAGCAGGAAUGAAGCAGAACAUACUUUCACCAAACAAAUCUAACAUAGAUGUUAACAACUUUCCAGAAUUAAGAUCCUCCUUCCAGACUUGAGAUAGGACAGCUGAUUUUUUAAGAAUUUGAUCAUCAUGCUUCCCCUUUCUACUAGUGCUGCCCGAUGAUAUGGCUUCAUUUUGCAUCUGUCCAGAAGAUGUAGGCGAAACCAGAUUGGAAUUGCCAGAGGCAGCCGGAACAACUGUUCCUUCCAUGUGUGAUGCCGAUGAAUUAGUUAACAUGACGCCCAUUGGACCAUCAAUUGACAUCCUCUUGAGAGGAGGCUGCCCUUCUAAGUAGUCUGCAUUUGCCUUGCGUUUGUCUAAUAUUACACGUGCAGGAAAAAAAAUGAAUUUUAGCAUGUCAACUUCAAGCAGUAUACAACUUGCAUCAAAAACUAGAAGAUUCCAAAAGUUGUAGGAUUUGAAGGAUUUGGUCACUUAACAAGAGAAAAAAUCAGCAUGCAACAAUUAGGACAAAUCAAAUAUUUACCAUUUUAGUUCAGCAGGCUCACUAUUCAUAUAAUUCAAGGUAUACUAGGGGGACGUUUCUGUAUGCAGUGCCAUUCAUUAAAUAAAACUCAGAAACAAAAAUUCAAGAGAAGUAGGUGCCGAAAAUCACGUCAUUCAAGGAAUAAAACUUUCCAGCUUAGAGAAAAGCGAACUAAAAUUGAUACCAUUUUGUAUCUCAGUUUGAUUCAGAGAAAGUUGCAAGAGCUUACUUGGGAAAGUGGUGGUGAUAGUUCUUGCAUUUGUCCGCAAAACAGAACCUGCUGGCGUACUAAGCAAAGGAGGAAAAAUCUUGAUGCGUUCAUAUAUGCACUGACCGACAGCUCUCUGUAAGCCAUUUUGUGUCAUUAAAAGAUUACAUCAGUUCCCACAGAAUAUUCAGGUAAGAAACUAAGAAUGCUACACCAGAUCCUAACAAAAGAACUCACGAGCAAGGCUCCAUAAACAUGCCACGCUUCAUGCCUCUUCAUCUCAUUCUUUUGAUUAGCAAGAAGCAUCUCAGGUUCCAGAAGUCCCAGAUAUGGCUCAAGAUUUGGUAGUAUAAGAAGAUGAACCUAUAAAAUAUUAAAUACUACAAAUAAUUAUGAAGUCAAAAGACCUUUUUACUUUUCAUAUGUUUACUAUUGCACUUGAAAGAUAUGCGAUCAUCAUUAUCAUACGUCUGAACAUGGAAUGAAUCCGAAGGUCAAAGGCUUUUCUGGUAUACAAUUUUAUUUGGUAAUGAGAAACUAAUACGUGUUUAAAUUAAAGAAAAGAAGCUGCAGGGCCAACAGACCGGAUUCUCUUCGUGUUGGUGAGAUAAAAAGAAAUAUCAAGCUAGAUUAUUUUCACUUCGAUCAUAUCAAGCUUAUAAAGGUUAGAAAACCAAACAAGGAUGAACUCAACGAGGUAAAAAUUCUAUUCAGAUAAAAUCAACACACUAAUCAUAGCCAUCUUUUAAGUUCAACCUGAUUUGUCUUGUUCAUCUCAAAUAGCAAACAGAGGCAAACUAUAUAAACAUGAUCACUUCCCUUCUCUCUAAUAGCAUUGUUUUUCAUACUUUUGAGACAAACACGUCAGUUUUAUUUCCACACGGUCAUGUUUUCUUUUGCAUCCUUCUCCAACCUCCAACCCUCUAGAUAGUCUAAUUAAAGAUAAAGAAGCAUGUAAGAAAAAGCAUACCACAUUCAUCCCUAAGGCAGCUAAUCCUCGAAUUGCACCAUAAUGUUGAGUCAAAGACCGCUUUGGGUCUAAAAAUGCAUUGAGAAGAGUUUUUGUGAGCUUUGUCUGCAGAGUGUUGUAAACAUGACCAAACCUGCAACACUAAAACUGCAACCUUAGCAAAGAGCGAAACAUCUUGGAAGUAAUGUUACAGAUGACAAAGAAUUAUACUAUGCUCUGAAGAAAGAUGUUUUAGUAGUGUGUCUAUUAGUAGUAUUACUUAAAGAUCAAAAACCUACUUCCACUGAGAUAAAUGGAAAAAUCAAAAAGAGCAUACAAAAAGAUAAGAUAACACAAUAAAAGGGGACGUCCAAGUCCCAAACUAGCAAUAAAUAAAGGAGUUCAAUCUAAAAGCACAAGGCUGAAAGGAUAAUUACAAAAAGCACAAGUAACAGAUGCCUAAAAGAGAUAUAUUAAAUCAAACAAGAGACCACACCUCCUCUUGAGAUCCCUCAAGCCCCUCACAAACUCUCAAUCCUCUCUAGCCAUAUUCCCAAACAAAAGUAGAGAAAGCACAAUGCCCCAAAAUCAACGUGUAAUACAACAGGGGAAUGGAAGAGCCCUUCCUAAAUCAUACCUUAGCAAGCUCCCACUAAGUAUUAGAGGAACCUAUUUUCUGCAGAGUGUUGUAAAUUAAAAUUCAUAUAGACCAAAUCCAGUUUGAUAUGCAGUAUACUACAGCUAACUUGUUUAAGGUGGUAGUUGAAAUGAAGCAUUGCAAUUACUGCAAGUGAUCAAUAAGAAGCAAGCCAAUAAAAUAUAAAAUUAAUUUUUAUUUAAAUAAAAACUCUAGAAUAUAUAACUAAUUUAAGUUGAUAUUCCAUACGGGCAUGCAGUUUCAUAACCAUGUAGAAAGUCAGUCUCAAUUGCCUAUGGCCAUAAUAAAAAAUGAUAAGCAUUUGACUAAACAGAACCUGACAAAUCAAAUCUCACCUUUUACAUAUUAAAGCAACCACUUUUGCUGUGAAGUCUCUAAGCUCCCAAUGGUUGUCUGAAAACCUACUCCCUAACCUUUUUGCAACGAGGCAGGUCACAACAGAUGGCAUCAUUUGGUGUAGCUGAGAAGAAAAUAUGCUUGUCUCAGAGACAGAAUGAAUACCUUCCACACAAAGCACCAAACAAAACCAUGUAUUUAUCCUUUUUGUUGAAUUAAAACCGACUCACAAUGUAAGAAUAAAACGCAUACUAAAGAUAUCUUUUGAACAAGUUGAAGAAUGAUCAAAAGCCCAAAUUCGUUUUUUCUUCAGGAAAAUCACAACUUUCAUUGAGAAAGAAGGAAAGAAUAUACAGGCAUUCAAAAAAGCCAAGCCCACAAAAAAAGCCCAAGUUGGUAUUUGAUAGAGAUAAUAGGAGGAAAAUUAUUCACAAGGCCAAACAUUUGAAAUUGGAAACAUCUAUCAGCCUAUUUUAGUGAUCAACUUGAAAUAUUAUAUUCACAAGAAAUGUUACCUUCAUUGAUAUGCAAUUGCAAAGGAAGUAGAAGGAGGGAAAAAAGGGAAUACUACAGAUAAAAGCUAAAGACACCCUGAAGAACCUCACAGAAAAACCCAUCUGAAUUUGAGCUUAUCACAAAAGGAGUAUAAUUGAUAUGUCUAUGUCCUGCUAAUGAAAUAAUUCCACGAACUUUCAGGAUCCACAAAUGAACUUAUCGAUAUGAAUUCCUUUUUAGCAUCUCUACAAUGCAGAUGAAUCAAAUAUGCAUCUUUGUCUCACUCAAUUAUCUAAAUUUGAAUGACUUCUAUUCUAAUUCGUAUUCUAAUAUCAGUUACACUGACUGCCCAGAAUCAUGGAAGACAAGGCAGCACAAGAUGAUGAUAGUAAUACAGCCACUAUAGAAGAUCAAUGAGUUGUCCUCACAAUACUUACUGGACUUGAACAUUCAUGAAUCUCAACUCAACCUUCAGAAAAAGAAGAUUACACAACAUUCAACUCACAUAAGGUUCAAUGUGGAUAUGAGGGUUCUGAAGAAGACUCCAAACAACACGCAUCAAAGCAAAAAGAAGGGAAUAAUCACCCAGUCCACGAGCAACCUGAUAUCAUUGGAGAAUCAACAACAGUAAAUUUAAAAUUAAAAAACAAAUCUCAAGAAAUUCUAAUCCAAUCUUGUGUUCAAACAUUUAUACCUCGUCAGCUAUAUAGCACGUAAAAUAAGGAACCAAUGGGUGAAGUCCCGAGUCCGUAGCUAAACUCACUAAUGCCUUCUUAAAAAGGUCCGUACUGGAUCUACUAACAACAAGCUCUGUGAUUUUGUCAAAAUAAAGCUGCAAAUAAUGUUUGAAAACGUGUAGGUUAGAUAUAAAUUAAACUUUAAUAUAAAAAUAUAAGCCAAUAACAAGUCAUUUACCUGAAGUUCCUUGGAAAGUAUAUGCUUCACUGGUAAUUUGAUGUCAACUGGAACCUCAUCCUUUUGUUCACUACUUUUGGUAUCAGAAGGUGGUAAAAUUACUGUAGAAAGGAAAGAUACAAAAUAGAGGUUACUAAAUAAAUUGGGUUGCAACAACUGGAGAAAACAGGAAAGAGGAAGAAAUGUUAAAGAAAAAGUACAUCCAAUUCCUUCUUCCUUUGGGAAAUAUUAAAAACAAUCUAAGCAUGGUUGCUUUUGACCAUUAAAAGAAUCCCACAUAACCAACAGAGCAGAAAGUCUUGCAUAAUUGCAGAAAAAUCACACAAGUGAUUCAGCAUUUGCAGAAAUUGUUAGACUGAAGAUCAUAAAACCUCAAGCCAAUUCUUAGAACAACCAAACUCAGACAGUUAUAUUUGAACUUGAACCUUGCAAAGUUGUAAUAAAUGAAACAAAACUAAACGUACAUCUCUCCAUUUCCUUUUCCCUCUUCAUUUCAAUAACUACAGUUGGUUUUCACUCGAGCCCUUGAACCACUCAUCACUCUUGAUCCAUGGUUUUAAAGCUCAAGGUGCAAUAAAGCACAAUAGUUUUCAAGGCAUAAAAAAUGUGUGGGCUUUUUUUUUUGUGAGGUGCACUAUAUAUAAAAGUAAUAAACUAAGAAGAGAAAACAUAGUUGAAAUGAAAAUAUGAAAAAUCCAUAAGAAAUAGAAAAGACCCAUAGACACAAAAAGUUUGCAUUUAGGCUUAGUAAUUUUAUUUUUUAGCUAAUAAAGAAUGAAAAAACCUAAUUAUUACUACCAGUUAAAAGUAAUGAAAAAACCCCCAAGCCCCAAGGUUUUGGGGCUUGGGCCUUCAAGAAAGGUGUGCAUCUAGGUACCUCCCGGAAGGCUUUGUAAAACACUGCUCUUAAAGAAACGUUUCUUCUUCAAAACCAACAAACACACAAAUAUCUACUACAUGCUAGCAAGUUAAAUGUUACCAGCAAAAGUUAGUCGUUUACAUUUUGGGGAUCCAAAUACAUAUCUGCCUGACUUGAGAGUUAUAACAAUCAACGUUUUAAUCAGAUUUGAGACAAACCUUCUACAGGAGCAUUUUCUGGUAUUGCAGGCUGUACACCUUCAAUUGCUAGCCAAUGGCAAAAAACUGCUGCAUCAAGAGGAGCUUUUGGCAAUGGGGCGUCAAUAACCUAGAAGUAAAACCCACAUUUACACUAAUUAACAUUGGCCUAAAUGGGACAUGUUGAGUGAUGAACUUUGUCUUACGUCUUUAAAUUCCAGGUCCUUGUCCUCGAGGUAAAACAAAUCCCUAUGUCCCAUGGCUCUCUUAAAUCGCAAGGGCCCUCCUGAGGCAAAGCCAUACAUUGGCUGCCACAUUAACAUCAGAAAGGAGAGUGAAUCAUUAUUAGAAACUGAUAAAAGAAACAUAGGGUAUGUUGAAUUGCUCCAGCAGGAUCUUCAAGAUAAAACGCACAAAAAUCAUGCAUCCUUUAUAUCUGAUGAAUAUAACACAUCAACUUUACAAGAUAUUUUUAUAUUAUGGAAGCGUUUAAGUUAUACCAAAAAAUCAAGAAUAAACGCCUUUCUUAUCUUGUAAAUCAAACACACCAAAGUUUUCCUUUUGUUGAUUGUUUUCUAGGAGUGGUCACUAAUGCAGGGAUAUUUCAAGUCAAACAUUAUGAUAGUUGACGUCAAUAGGCACUAAAGACAGGACAUUAUCAACAAAAAGAGAUCAUACUAAUCCCAACCCAGAUCGCUUAUAUAAGGAAACUUAUGGUUUACAUAGUGCAUCACUUGUCAGAAUUGACAAGGACAGACUAUUACAUCACUCCAAGUCCUAAAUCAAGAUAUAAGAAAUAAAAGAAUAUUUGCAUAUAAAGAUGAUAGAAAAACUACCAUCAAAGGCAUGCAGAUUUAAAACACGCACAGAAGCCAUUUGCUCUAGCAUUGUACUUACCUCUACAUUUCUCAGGUUUAAUGCACCAUCAACAUCAUCUGCUGUCAACGUAGUUCUCUUGGAGUGACGCAUGCAUUUGAUGGCCUCCUAGAUUCCAAGGAAGAUAAAUAUUAACUCCUCCAUCAUUUAUUAUUCUACGACACACUAUAUUUAUAAGAGACUCUUUUUCCACUUUUGAUCGUCUUAUGGAAUUAGUGCUUUCUACUGCUUUUUUUUUUUUUUUUUUGGUACAAAACCAAGCAGUAAGCACCCUUUUUUCACAUUUCAGCUUACCAUACUUAUGCUCUAAUUGGAGACUUUUAUUGUAAACGCCUAUUAAUGUCAGGUUUAUUCUUUAGUUCAUUCAUCAAUGAAAUGUUUCUAUUAUAUAAAGAUUUUACAAGUUUUUGAGUAUCAUGACAUAGAACCACUAGAACAGAUACUGUGACCUCUUAUUCAAUUUAGCCACGCCGUGCAUUGGGCUCAUAAAUGCCAUUGCCAACAUCCAACCGUUUUAAAGAUACCAGUCACCCAAUUCUUCUCUUUGGUAUAAGGCAGCCACGCAGGUGACCCUCGAUUUUUAUGAACCUAAAGUCAUUGUUAAGCAACACCUAAACAAGUAUAGCCUAAAAAAAAAACUCUCCUUGUGCCGAACAUAUACCUUAGUUUAAGCAUAAACAACAAAAAUACCUGCAUGAUCUCCCGCAAACGAUAUUCCACAUCAGGAGCAACUGCCAAUGCGACAUCUGGGGAUAAGUUAUUGAUCCCAACACAUUGAGCAAUGACCUCAAUGUUUUCUUUAGGUACAGCACUCAUUUUGUUUCUUCAAGAUCUCAUGUACGGAGCGCCCAAGUAACCAGAUACGUCCUACAAUGUAAAACACCCAUCAAUUAAAACCUCUGUAAGAGUAGAUAACAUUCAUAUUAUAAGAAAAAGAAGAAGAGUGAAAGAUUAUGUUACGAAACCCACGUCACGUCAGCGCUGUGGUUUGUAGCGAUAUUCAAGGCAUUCCAACCGAUUCUGUUAAGCUUAAGCUUAGACCGCCUUUGGGGCAAAUUGCACAGGCCCAAUAAAGUAAUAAAGGUAGAAAUGAAGAAAUGGCUUCUCCGGAUUUGUUCUACAAUCGAUAAACAGCUUUACUCCAUGGAAAUUGAAUCUAAGAUCAACCAGCAAGAUUUCAAAGAGCCAAAAGCUUACGAUUGGCGAUUACGGUGAUGAAUGGCACUGCAUGAGCUUAAGCGGAGUAGAAAAUUUGAAGCUUUGGCAAUUUAUAUAAGGAAAAUCCGCAGGAUUCAGUAUCCGAGUUUUUUCGCGGUGGACUUUGAAGUUCGAAGAACACAAAAAUAAUGGAAGGAAGCAAACCCGAAUGAAGCGGGUAACCCAACUUCCCAAUCCCAAUUCGAAAUUUUUACAAAUUUCCCCAAAUAUAAUAUAUUUUCUAAAAAAUAAAAGUACAUAUAUAAAAAAACUCACAAAUUUAACCAAAUUUCUUAUUCUAUUCCUAAUAAACAUUUCAUUUCUGUAGCCAUUUAUUUGAUAUACUUCAAAUAUUUUAAUUUAUUUUGCUAUUUUUCUAUCUUUAAAUUAAAAGCGUACAAAUAAUUAGAUGUAUUAAGCGAAUUAUUAAAAAGUUAAUCCUUUAAUAAAUUGGUUAAAGUCUCCAAUACACAUACAAGUUAAUUAUGUUUGUGCAUUCAUGCGUGUUUCUCGUGUAAGAUUUGUUUUAUUCAUUUGCAGUAAUCUCAAACAAUUACUUACAUGUAGGUGUUGAACUUUUCACGAAUAUCAAUAAUGUGCAGUAAAGUAAACUUGAUUUUAGUUGUGCAUUUGAUAUUGUAAUCUCUUUGAUUCUUGAUUUGUUUGUCAUCUUUUUGGAUUGGUUUAUAACUUGUUGGUUGUCUUAAAGAAUCAACCAGCAAUGUGUUUGAAGUUUGAAUUUGAUGGGAUGCAAUAUAAAAGUGUCUUGUUAGUUUAACAAUGUGUAACGAUGAAGAUUCGAUCCUCCAAACUUUUUGUUUUAUUUGACAUUUACUCUUUCUUUCUUGAAGUUGGAAUUUUGAAUUUUUGUAUCCACUUUAUUUAUAUUAAAAAGUCAAAGUUACUUAUUUACCCUAUUAAAUUAUCGAAUGUACCACAAUAAACAAACUUACAUAUUAAACAUAAACUUAUCUUAAAAAAUCACGUAGGAUUAAAAUCUUAACGAAAGAGAUGAAGAAGCUUAUAUCCAAUAAAACAUAAAAUUGAAUGUAAAGACAUGCAAUAAAAUAAGUACAAUUUUGUUUUUGAUUUGAUUCGAUACAACUCGUAAUAAUAUUGGACUUCUCGUUCUCCCUUCCUACGGGUCCAAGAAUGUUUUUUCUAAAGAAAAAAAAUGAAUAUACUAACUUUUGUAAUAUAAUUUAAAUUAGGUUAGGUCAUAUUCAUAAAAUAGUCUUUUAAAAAAAAUGAUAUUUUUUGUAAAGGGAAAAGUUAUAGUAAUGAUACUAAAUGUUCGCCUUAUAUUAAUUUUGAUUUGAUGAGGUUAUGUUUACUAAAUCCAAUGGUUAAAACUGUGUUGUUGAUUUUGAUCUUGAUGCGAUGUGAUUUGAUUUGUAGAAUUUGAUUCUCUUAUUCUCUCUUAGUUGUAUGUGUAUGCUUGAUUUGAGAAAGUGAAACGUGUUGAUGUUCAUGAAAUUAAUGCCUUCGAAUAAUGUUUAUAUCUUUAAAAGAACUUGAGUCUUCAAGUGUGGUCAAGUUUAACUUCUGACUAUGAAAAUUUCUUUAUAUACUUUCGAAGUAUAUAGUUUCUUACCUUACAAAUGAAGAAGAAAUCUUUUAUCUCUAGGGAUCUUUGGUAAGCUUUAUGGAUUUAAAUUUAUUUGAUUCAUAGACCCGUUCCCUAAUCAACUAAUUGGAUUUGGAUCUUAUCUAAAAUAUUUACAAAAUAAGACAACAAAACUUAAAUAAGAUAUAGAGAGGGAUGGAUUUUGCUAUAUAUUCUAUUAGCAAAACUUUUAACAUUGUAUGCACAAAAGGUUACCCUCUAACUUUAGCACAUGAUUAAGUUGUUUACUAAAGAUGAAAUGGACAUGUUGAAAGGCAAAAGAACAUUUCAAAAUUACAAGAACCCAUUGAGAAAAAAUUAUUAAAUUUAAACCUGAGGCAUUAACCACAAUAUAAGAAACUAUAAAUAUUCAAAUCCAAUCCUCAUUUCUAAUCAACUAUUCACAAUUUUUCAGUACAUUACUUUUGGUUAAGUGACAGACUAAUAUGUUUUGGCUAGUGGCCACAGAGGUAAUUAAAAGAUGAGAAGGGAUUAAAAAGUUGAAUGGAUGAUUGUUUGUUAAUUGAAUAAGUGAAGUAUGAAAAAUUAAAUCUACCUUUAACAGAAUGAGUGAAUAUCAAUUAUGGGUAUAGUCGCUUUCAUAAAUUGAUAUUUAUUACUAUGCUACAAGUCAUCAAUAAACACGAUAUAUAUUACUUAAAAAACAGUUAAAUUGUCAUUUUCAUCCUUAUGACUUAUGUUUUUUUGUUCUUUUUUUCUUCUGCUAAGCAAUGGCAAAGGAGGGCUUGACUUGACUUUUUUAAAUGGUAGUAAGUGGAUUGUACACUUAAAUACGUUUAUAUUUGUUUCGAAGUUAAAGAAAGCAUGACUCAAUUGUCAUGUGAAUUCAUAUGUACUAGUAACAACAAAGCGAGAUCUGUUCGAACUUUUUUAUUCUAAGUUGUACUACAAGGAUAGUUAAAUCUUCCCAAAAAGGAAAAAUACUAUCAUCACUCUUUGUGACGUUUUCGUUUUAAGAAACAAAAGCAAAUAAGAAAAUUGUUUAACACAUGAAAACAACCAAAGACACAUCCAAAGAUUUUAGAGAAUCAUAAGGAUUAAAAUAAAAAUUUAUAAAUCGUAGGGACUAAAAUGAAACCGAAUAAUUUUGGGACCAAUAUAGUUAAUUUAAUCCAGAAGGGAAAAAAAGAUGGUUAUGUUAUGUCAGAGUGUAAUGAAAAGGAAUAGACAUAUCCUCAUUGCCAAGCAAACCUUUUUUUCUUUUGAGGGGGGUUUGGUUUGAUGAAACCACAAAGCAGUGUGUGGCAACCAUGUGCAAAAAGUUAUCUGCAAAGCAAUUAAACUCUUACCAAUCUAAUCCUUUACUUUUUCUUCAUCUUCCAUUAUUUCCUUUGAGAUUUAAUUAUCCCAUGUCCAGCUCUAAAGGGUAUUUGAUAAUUUCUCUCUAACAAUUUGCUUCCAUUUCCCUCUUUUUUAACCUUUAUAAUACUGCCCCCAUUUGCAUUUUCUCUGAGUUGUGUCAAUUACUCGCAGGUUUAUUUAUCUCUUUCUCUCUCAUUGCAUGACUUUCAGCACCACAAAGACUUAAAGAAGCUGUUUUUCUGUAGAUUUCCCUUCUGGGUUUUCUCUGUUUUGUUGAAUGUCAUGGGAAUUAAAGGAGAAUUGGUUAGGAAUGUGUUCUUGAGGAAUCGUUCUUUCAAGACCCAUGAGAAAAAUGUAAGUUUGGAGUAUAGUUAGUGUUCAUUUUCUGUGAACUUGUUCUACUUUUUUUUUCUUCUAAUCAUUGCUGUCUAUGUGCUUCAUGAAAUGCCAAGCUGAAUCUUCUUGAUUUUUCUUUUGUUCUUUAACUUGCUUUCAUCUUCAAUUUCAUUUGUAUCCCAAUUAUUUGUUUUCUUUCCAAGAUGAUCGUGGUUUCUGAGUGAACUUUUGUUGUUUUGAUUUCUGAUCCGAAUUUUUCAGACGAGGAGCCAUAGUUCUGUGGAAAGGAAAAAAUGGCACUCUGUUAGAUCUUACCUGUGUGGGGAUGAGUACAAUUCAGUUCUUGUUGAGGAAGAUGCAGCUUCCAUUAGAAGCUCUGAAGCGACUGUGACACAGCCUGUUGAGGAGCUAGAGGUUUCAAAACAGAAACAAGAACCUGGAGUGGAGGAAUCGGAAUUAAGCUCUCAAUUGUUGAAGCGCCAAGAACAAGCAGCAUUCAUCAUCCAGUCAGCAUUUAGAAGCUUUCUGGUCAUUUUAACACUUUUGCUUUGUGUUAAAACAUUUGGAUCCCAAAACUUUUGGUUGAAUCUUCUUUGAUUCAACAAAAUGAAGUGGAACAUCAAACUUCUUGAGCUUUAUAGCGAAAAGGAUAGAAAUGAACUUUGUGAAUUGAUGAAUUUGAAUUGCAGGCUCGGCGUAGAGAUGAGCAAAUAAAGACGAUGGAUAAUGAUUGUAAGGACAUCAUCGAGGGAAUAGAAAGUCCAAGUGGAGAGUCUCUAAGAACGUCCAUUGAAGUUCAGACUGGGAAUUCCGAAGCUUUCUCCGUUCAAGAUGAAAGAACUUUUCUUUCCAACCGAGUACAACAGAAAUCCAAAACCCAAUUACAUAGGCUGAAGGUUGAAGACGACAUGCUCUCGUAAUUCUUUGAAAGCUAGUAAUGAUCAUAUGUAACCUGUUUAGCCCUCUGGAUUUUGUAGGAAGAAUGGGAUGAUAGUACAGUGAGUAGCAAUGUAACAAAAAUGAGGAUUCAAAACAGGCUAGAAGCAUCAACCAGGCGUGAAAGGGCUCUAGCUUAUGCUUUCUCACAACAGGUACAAUUAUAAUAAUUCCUUAGAAAAUAAAGAAGUCGGAUUGUUUGGUGAAAUAAUUCUUGUUACUCCUAUCGCAUCGUUAGUUAAGAAUUUGCUCGAAGAGAAAGCACUCGAAAUCCGACGUCAUAGAAGCGAACAUGAGCUGGAGCUGGCUAGAGCGAUGGAUGGCCACCCGCCUUCCUGAAGGAUCCUCGGUUGAAACUCACACGAGGAAGCCAUCAGAAGUGAUUGACAACAAUCAUAGAUUGAUGAUAAGCCAAAGGCUCUUUGAUAUAAGUGCAGAAGAAAAGGAAAGCUGCGGAUCUAAUGAAGUAUCUGUAAGAUCUAUUAACUUCUCUGCUGAUGCUUUGAAGAAUACAGAUAGCAACUUGGCUAAGAACAGAUCAAAAGGUUCAAGUGAUAUAUCAAGGAGAAAAACAGUACCAAGCCUCCACUUUGAUGGAUAUUUUACAAAGGUAUAUCUCAAUCCACUUUGACUAAUGAAAGACCUAAUCGGAAUGGCUUUUGCUUGAAAACCCUUUUUCACAUUUUUUUAACACUUUAAAAGUCAUUUCGGACCUAGUUCGGAAACCAUAAAAAGCAAAGACCAACCCAAGUAGCUUCAACUUAAAAGGCCCAUUAUUCUCUGUUUUUCAUUGUAUAUUUAUUGUUUCUUCUCAAUUUAGGUGAGCAAACGGGAUUGGGUAACACUAGCAGAGAGUGAAAGAGAUAAAAAGAGCAGACAAAAGCAAGCUGGGGGCAGAGGAGAAAUCAAAUGUAACGAUGCAUAUAUCAACAGUUCUCCAAGUUCCUCUCCACUUGAAUCUAGAAUCGGUGUGUAAUUUAGACAUUGAAAUCUCCCAGUCCAUCAUCUUUGAUGUUAUUUAUGUUAUAAGGCAACCCCAUGUAUAUUAAGGAUAAAAACUCUCAUAAUCAGUCGGUAACCACUUAGAAACCGUUUGGAGCAAAGCUUGUCUAGGACCAUAAUAACUACCGUUUGGAACAAAACUUAUCUAGGACUAGUAAGACCAUAAUAACUACCGUUUGGAACAAAACUUAUCUAGGACUAUAAUAACUACGUAAAUACUAUUUGCUACAGUUUUUAUUAUCUGACAACCAUCAUUUUUUUAUUAUAUUAUUUGCUAUAGUGUUUACUAUUUCCUUAUCAAACUAAAAUAGUCUACACACUAAACACAUAUGUAAUUCAAACGAAAAUAAUCUACACCUCGAACACAAACUAUUCUAAUCAAACUAUAAUAACACAAAACUAUUCUCCAAUAGUGCAAAGUAUUUCCUUAAAUAAAAUGCAGAAAUCUUUGUACAAUAAUAACUUUCCCACCACAAAGACCAAUGGAUCUAAAGUAAAAGGCUUAUAAUUGACCUUAACUAGUGCAGACUGAUGAACACUAUUGAAGCAAGUUGAGAAGACAUCAUAACUAUUUUGUACAUUAAGCAAUGAAUGUAUACCUGACACACGACAACAGAAGAAAAAAGUACAAUUCCAUAUAGUGUAGAAUGUCUAUUCAUUUACUCUUAAAAUAAGAAAAAAUAUCACAUCUUGCAUUUAAAAAGAAUGGUACAAAACCAUCUCAACAACGGGGUGAAGUUGUAUUUCAAUAGAAGUAUUAUUGGCUAGAAGGGGCAUAUGCAAUCAUUCAGUAUAAACGAACAGAUGUUACAUGGGAUUGAACCGAUUCCCAUCUGCAUUUUCAGACUAUUACGAAAUGGAAUUCGGUUAUAAAACCUCACCCCACUUUAGUAUAUAGUUAUCAUUUACUAAGAGAUUAUUCAAAAUAAAGGACUAACAUCUAGAUCUUAUCAAUGUCUUCAUCCUCAAACUCGAUAUAAGCAUCACCACCACCUUCGUCAUCAUCAUCCAUACCCCCAACAAUACCCUCAUUAAGACGUGUAUUCUCAGGUAACUCACCGUAAGCUUUCAAAAGCCUGGCUUCAUCAGGCAUGUAUUUGAGAAUCACAUCAGCUUUGUCGUCUUGAUAGUCACGAAGACCAACUAGUAUGAUAUCCCCAGCUGCAAUCCAAACUUUCUUGUGCAUUUUUCCUCGAAUAUGACAAAGACGUUUAGUUCCAUCAAUACACAUCGCUUCACACCGACCAUUACCUAGCAUUCGAAGCACUUGAGCAUAUUCCUGUCCAUCUUCCUUAAACACAAGCUCACGCUUCUCAUCAUCUGCCUCGUUCUUACCUCUCUUCCUAUUCUUUCCUCCUUUUCCCUUGUUCUUCGGCAUGGUUGCAGAUUAUACUAUCAAUAUAAUGGAAAAUUAGUCACCAGAAACAUAGAUUCAUAAACUAAGCUAGAAAGUAAAAGCCAAAGAAGUGUUUGUAAAAAAGAGCAUUAGCAAAAUCUGAAUUCUCCCUUUCCCUUGUUCUUCGGCAUGGUUGCAGAUUAUACCAUCAAUAUAAUGAAAAAAUAGCCACCAGAAACAUAGAUGCAUAAACUAAGCUAGAAUGUAAAAGCCAAAAGAGUAUUUGUAAAAAAGAGCAUUAGCAAAAUCUGAAUUAAUCAUGAAUUAUCAAAAUAGAUUUGCAUUUGCCAAAAAGGAGCAAAAGAGGAGUUUCAACACUUAUGACCUAUCAUGAAUAGACUAGGGUACGAGCAUGUAUGCACAAAACAAAACCACUGAUCAAUCAACAAAUAUGAUCAUGUGGGGUUUAACUAGUAAAACAGAUAAUUUUCUUUCAGCUCUCUAAUAAUUGCAUGUUUUGGCUAAUUUUGAAAAGGCUAAAAUAAUUUUCUUUUGAUAUUCAAAAUCACUCUGAAACUAAUAUGAUGUUUAAUUUACACUUUUUAAAUGUUAAUUCUUAAUCAUAAUAAUUGGACAUGAUUUUAGUCACUCAUGACCCACAACCCUAGCUAGUUACUGCAACCUUUUAACAUAAUCAAAAUUCAUUUUACAUGCGAUGAACACAAUUAAAGACCAGGAAAUCAAAAAAGAAAGAAAAAAUGAUGAGACAAUACGAAAAUCCAAAAUAUUCACACUAAUCAAGCUAUCAUAAUCUUCAUCAAAAGAAGAAAAUGGCCGAACAAAAGAAGGGUUAAACAUAAUAUUGACAUGCAAAAAUAUGGGUAUGAAUUAGAAGGAAAGGAACAAUCGAAGAGUACCUUUUCUCGCACAGAUGGUUCAAUCGAGCAAUUUUGCAGAAGAAAGCUAUGUAAUCUGAGAAUUAAGAAUGUUCUUCUAUCUUCUUAUUAUUACGCAACCUAAAAGUAUUAAAAAAAUAAAAUAAAAAGAGAGAAUCCCCCAAUGGACCGGGCCGAUUUUUAGCCCUAUAACAAUGAAUUCCUGAUUUGGGCUAGCCCAAAACAACCGCCAAAUUUAGCAGGCUUAACAUCCUAUUCAACUUAAUAAUAUACAUAGUAACGAUUUUAUAAAAAUGGUUUUUAACCUAAAUUGAUGUAUGAUAUUACGUAAAAAAAUCCAAAUUACUAAUAAAUUUUAUAAAAGUCCUAAAUGAACUAGUAUAUUACAUGAAGGCUUAAAUUACUUUAAUACUUAUUUCUAUUAUUUAAUUAAUUUAUAAUAAAUAUCUAAAUAGAAAAAAUGGUGGGAUAUAGUUUUGGAAAGAAGUGAGGUCUAAAUUAAUUUAAUAUCAAUUUCUAUUAUUUAAUUUAAUUGAUUUAUAACAAAUAUUUAAAUGGAAAAAAUGGUGGGACACUGUUUUGGAAAUAAGUGGGGCCCAAAAUAAUUUAAUACAAAUUUCUAUUGUUUAAUUGAUUUAUAAUAAAUAUCUAAAUGGAAAAAAUAAUGAGGUACAGUUUUGAAAAAAUAAUGAGGUACAGUUUUGAAAAAGAAAUGGAAAACUUUUCAUGUUUUCCUUCUAUGAAAAUGGUUGUCUACUCCUUCCAACGUGGAUUACGAUUUUUACUUCAAAAUUUUAGGGAGUUCGGAGGUGAAGAAGAAGACAGUUGACGGCUCACAAAUACAAAACUUCUCGAACAUAAUCUAGUUAAAAACUUUGAGGUUAGUAUUGCAUAUAUUCAACACAUAUAAAACAUUAGGUAUAUUAUGUAUAUUUUAGAUAUUCAAUUAAAUAGUCAAUCAAAUGAAAAUGUAGUUUUAAAUGUGAUACAUUUUAGGGUUUAUUGAGAUUUUGGCGGUGAAAAAAAAAACUUUCGAUGGCCAAAAAAUACAAAACUUAUCCGAGAGAAUCUAGCUAGAAAAUUUGUGCUUAAUAUUAUAUAUAUUUAAAACAAAUGAAACAUUCGGUAUAUUAUGUAUAUUUUAUAUUAUAUUCAAAAUAUAUGAAACAUUUGGUAUAUUAGGUAUAUUUUAAAUAUUAGAUUAAAUAGACAAACAAACGAAAAUUUAGUUUUGAAUGUGAUACAUUCUCGAGUUUAUUAAGAUUUCAACGUUGAAAAAGAACGGUCAUCCUAUCAAAAAAAUAAUAGAACUAUAUGUCAGUAUAUAGUAUUAUUGUAUAUAAUAUGAGGUACAUAUAUACUAAAACAUAGAACAUAACUAUUAUAGAUUGCGGAUAUAUUAAAGUAUAAUGUAAUCAAAUGCAUUUAUAGGAAAAAUAUGUAUGUAUGAUCAUGUCGUUUACUACUAUUUUAGUAAUAUUUAUUCUACAAACAAAAAAUUUAAACACAAAUUCUGUAUGAAUUAUGUAUAAGGUAUUAUUGUAUAUAAUAUGAGGUAUAUAUAUACUAAAUAACAUAUAUGAAUUCAGUGUAUAUUUUAUUAGUGAAAGGUUAUUAUAUAAAUUUGUUUAUGUUUUUUAUUUAAAUAUUCAUAUAUUAUGUGGUAAAUAAUACGUUAUGUUUGAAAUAAUAUUGAUUAUGUAUUAAAGUUGCCCAUUAGGCAGUUUUUUAACAAAAUAUACCUAUUAUAUUAAUAUAGAAAAUGAGAGGAAAUCGUGCAACAUUAAAAUAGUAAACUUCUUUACCGUUUUCUCACUUUCCAUAUUCAACGAAAAGCUUGUCAUUUCGACAAUCAAGAACAUAUACAACCUAUUAUAUAAUGCGAUAAUAUUAUAAAACUAGUAUAAUCAUAAAUAAUAUGUGGUAUAUAUUCAAGGGAAAUAUUAAAAAACUGGUAAAUUCAGAACAAAAUAACGUUAAAAUAAGGGAAAUAUUGUUAAUAUAUAAUAUAUAUAUAUAUAUACGCAUAUGAUAUACUCAAAAUGAACUAAUUUUAAAUUGGUAAAAUAUCAAAUGACAUACUUAUGUUAUUCUUCGUAUAAAACAUCAACUAAAAGUAUUAUAUCUCACAAUUAAUAUAUAAAACUAAUAUAAAUAUAAAUAAGAUGUGGUAUAUAUAUAAUAAAUAACAUAUACAACCUAUUAUAUUAUGCAAUAAUAUUCUAAAACUAGUAUAAUCAUAAAUAAUAUGUGGUAUAUGUUUAAAGGGAAUAUUAAAAAACUGGUAAAAUCAAAACAGAAUAACAUUAAAAUAAGAGGAAUAUUGUUAAUAUAUUAUAUAUAUGCAUAUGAUAUACUCAUAAUGAACUAAUUUUAAAUGAGCAAAAUAACAAAUGACUAGAUUUUAUCGUAUCUUCAGCUGAUGAAUAAUUGUAUAUGGCGGCGAUUUGUUAAGAUUCUGCAGCUUACGGUUAUGAUAAAUUUGAAUACAAAUUUAUAAUAAGAUGUAAUAAGAAGUUCAAAUGAUGGAGAAGAAUAGCAAAAAAAAAAAAAAAAAAAAAAAACUGUCGACGAUGGAGAAGAUAAUGUAAUGGCUGCCGGAGAAAGUGAACAAUUAAGUUAAGUUAUAUUUUUAGAAAGAAUAAUUAAAUAGUUUAUUACAAAAUAAAAUAAAAUUAUAAUUAUUAUAAUAUAUUCUGAUUUAUAAUUAAUUUAAAAGAUACUUGAAAUUUAUUAACGUAUUAAUUCUCAAACAAAUAUUAGGAAGUUAUGGAAUUCAUAUUAAAUACAAAUCGUUUUAAAUAAAGUAAUUUUUUAAAUAAUCUUAAGAAUAUAAUAUAUAAUUAAUAAUUAAUGAAAGGUUAUAAUUGUCCGUAAAGUAUUAUUUUUUAUAUUUAAGAAAAUAAUUUUCAAUGUACGAUAUUUGUGAAAUUUCUUAAUAAAUUAAGACCUUUUGUCUAAAAGUUUCUUAUAAAAAUUAUUAAAACAGAAAAAGUAUUCAAGGUUAAAUCUUAUCAUUAGUAGAUCAUGUUGCAAAUAUUGAUCUAACUACAAGUUGAUAAACUUUGUUAUAUUUGUAAUUUUUUUAAAUGUUGUUAAACUUUCUAUAUAAUUAAUUAUUAUUUCUAAAAUGGUCACCCAUUGUAAUUACCUUAAAAUAUCUGUAAAAAAUUCAUCAUAUAUCAAUAGUAUUAGUAGGCUACCCAAUGUCGACAAAAAUUAUACAUCCCAUACAAGACGUAUGAUGUAGUUAAACCAUUAUUUGUUUGGCAAAAAAUUAACUUUUACUUAAACAUUGGAAGGAUUAAUUUUUUCACUCGAAUAAAUGUAAGUUCUUGCUUGAAGACCAACAUGGAUGUCCACGUCACACAAUGUAAUCCAAUAUACAAUAAAUAAAAUGAAAGUUGAGAUGUUUGAUGAAUUUAUUAAACAUGGAUUCUGAGCAAAACUUAUAUAAGUGUGUAUUUGAAAUAACUUCGAGUGAUGAUAUUUUAAAUUAAGCUCUCAUUCGUUCCAGAACAAAAGGUAUAUUGAUUUUAUUUGAUGUUUUUACACUUGAAUUUAUAUGAAAGUACAUGAAUGAAUAGAAUUCAUAUCCAAAUAAGAAGAUAUAUAACAUGAGAUAUUGAUUAUGAAUGCAUAGUUCAAGUAAAAGCCUCUAAAGAAUUUAUAGUUAUUAUGUUUGAAGUCCAUUAUGAUUUCAUACACACAUGUAUAUAUAAAAGGAAAUGUUUCAUAAUUUUUGGUAAAUUUUUUGAACAAAUAUUGGCAUUUCAUUGAAAGUGACAAAAGCAAUCUAAAUUUAGGAUUACUUCUUAUAUUAAUUACCCAAGAAUUUUCAUUAAUAAAUCUAGGGUACUCAUAUUACCAAGUUUGUCUCAAACAUUUCAGCCUCUUGUUUGUUUGGAAAAGUAAAAAAUAAAAGUAAAUUAAAAGACAAAGGAGUUGUCUUAUAUUCUAAUUAAGGUUGUCCAUCAUUUUGAAGCAGUGGUGUAAGAAGAAGAGCAAAUCGGAGGAUUUUGUAUUCCUGAAAUGAUUGGUUUCACAUUCAUGCAUUCAGAAGUAAUAGAACCUUUUAUUCCAUUAUAAACGAGGUCAAUGUUGGCUACUUUUACUUCUUCACAUGGUAGGUUGCUACUACAAAUAAGUUUGACUGCCACUGGAGUUGCAGAACUUCCUCUAAUGUUCUUGAAGCUCACCUUAUUAAUCUUAAUAUUUGACGGAAUCUGAAAAAUUGAAAGUGAAAAUCAAAGUUUAUUCGUGAAGUUGAAAUGUAUGAAGGAAUUUCAAAAUCAAAGUUUUAAGAAUGUGAUCAAUACCUCACGAUUGCACUGAUUCCAUGGACAGUACUCCUGGUCUAUGAGAAUUGGGUUGCUAACGUUGACCAUUGUAAUGUCUGAAAAAUGCAUGUUGGUGGCAAUACCAGCAACGGGAGAGGCUGGCCAUGUUUUGAUCCUAACACCAUUGGUGGUGUUUAUUAUUGUGCAAUUAUUUACUAUGACACCUUCAACAGGUUCUUCGUUAUUGUAUUUUCCAAGACUUCCUAUGCUUAUUCCAUGCCCUGGCCCACAUAUCACAUUAUUGACUUUUAUUCGUUUACUUCCAUCUCCAAGUGAGAUGCAAUCAUCUCCUGUUGCUAUUCGAGAUUUCAAGAUUGAGAUCCCAAUUGAUCGACCAAUGUGUAUUCCAUCUGUGUUGGGACUAUUUUCUGGUGCAAUUAUGUUAACACCUUGGAAUGUGAGGUUGUUGCACCCUAGGAUGUUGACAUGAAAGUUUUUGCUAUCGAGUGAUGUUAUUCUCCUCACAAUUGAAUUGGUAAUGAAGUCGAAUCUUAAACUCUGCUCAUUUGAUAUGCGAUCAAUAAGUCGUGUCAGAGAUGGGGGAGAAAGUCAUGCACAAACUAUUAGGGAGGGAUGAAAAUUAUGAGUUUUCUCUAUCUAUUUAGUCUUUAUAUUUUUAUAUAAAAAAAUGGCUCUUUUGCCUAAUUUUUUAUGGUUAAGUUUCGUUCAAUAUUUAAUUUCUUAAUCAUUAUCGUAUGGUAUUAAGAACACAUUUACCAAAUUGUAAAAAUGAAAAUAAUAGAGAACGAAAAUCUAACAAACCUCUUCAUAAUGAACAAAGACGAAUGUAGUUAAUGGAUAGGAAAACAAAAGAUAUAGAACUUACAAUUGGGAGUUUAGCACAAUCUAUACGUUUAUGGCAAUCAUUCUUUUCCCAACCUGCCUUUCCUUGGCCAUCAAAAACUCCUCCACCUGAUAGUCUCAAUCUAUCAACAUAUGCAAAAGUAAUCCAACUAUCUCCAUGAGGAUGUUUUGGAGCCUGCAAUGUUCCAUGAACUCGAAAUUCAAUAGGGCUCUUGCAAGGGCCUUUAAAUUCUCCUUCUCUUACUUUAAAUGUUCCUUUUGGAAUAACCACUGCACUUGGACGAUCAGAUGCACAUGCGUCAUUCCAUGCAUCUUUCAAAGCCUAUGUUUCACAAGCAACAAGACUACAAAAGUUAGCAAAAACAAUUAAUUAAUUCAUUAAGUCAUCACUUUGGUAUAUACUUUUAUUAUGUAUUUAUACCUCAGUGACAUCGGCACCAGACACAAUAUUACCAUACUUCCUCAAAGAAAAAAUGUCAACAUGGGAUCGAGCCUCAAUAGUAAAUGAUAGCAAUGACAUCAAGAAUGUAGUAACCAAUAAGAUCAAAUGCUUAAUCACACCCAUAUCGUUUUUUUUUCUCUUUUAAAUUCUUCUUUAUGUUUGAUGUUUGGAAACUUUGUAUGAGGAUGAUGUUUUAUUUUGCAUUCAAGAUCUCUAUAUAUAUAUAUCAAUUGAAAGACAAUAUGCAAUGAACCUAAAAGAGGUUACGAGGAUUGUGAACUUAGUUUGUGAUAUAUUGUUUAACCCACCGUCCAUCACUUUCAUCUAUGCACAAAUUUUGAUAACUAAAAUUUGUUUAUUGUUCACAAUCUGUUUUAUUUUCCAUUAAGGAUCUCUAGGUUGAAUGGGUUUGCUGCAAAAUUUCCUUCACCCACCAAUAUAAACAAUCACAUUUCUUGAUUAUAAGAAUAAAAAAAUUUACAAAACCAAUCAAACAAGAACCCAUCAUGCAAGAAACAGAAUCAACGUUCUUUUUUUUUUUCUUAGCCACACAUGUUACUUAAAAAUGUAAAACCCCUGGGGUUAUUUAUAACAAUCCCUAUAAAUUGGUGGAUUUUUUUUUAACGUCACAUUGUUGUAUUGUUAUUGAAAAUCAUUUGGAGUAUCUAUGAUUUCUAUGACUAGUUGGUUUCUGUCAAGAUAAGGAAAAUGAUUGAUUUUAUAUUGUCAUUCUUAUAUAGUCCAACAAAUUUGAAAGAUUAUUGUUUAUAAUUUUUAUGUUUUUAGUGCCUCACGAACAAAUUUAUGUAGAAUGUGUCUUGUAAUCAAGUUCAUAAUGGAGGUUUUGCAUUACCCAUCGUCUAUCAAAUUUAUUUCUUGUGUACAACUCUUCUUUUUUACUGUUAUUAUAUAAGUUUUUCUUAUUAAAAAUAAGUUUAUUAUAAUAUUUGUAGUUUAAUACUAAGAAUGACUCUUUUGCACAAAAACACUCAAUAAAAUACUAGAUGAAAUAUGUGCCAAACUACAUUUAAUCUAUAUCAAAUGAUGGUAUUAUAGGACGAGGUACCUUUCAACUCGGACUUGGUGAUCAGAUUCAAAUCCUAGGUGUUAUUUUCUUAUUACUAUUAUUAUUAUAACCAAUAAUUUGUUUGUUUUUUUCUAACAAAUUUGAUUUAUUAUGUUUAUUGCCUAUAAGACUUUUAAUUCAAUUAUAUACAUUCAUACAUACAUAUAUACAUACAUUAUGAGACUCGUGCAACACAUAUAGUUAAAAUUAGUAUAUAUAAACAUGGGAAAAUAAAACUUAAGAUUUUUUUGUAUCUGGGUGUGUAUACAUAUAUGUGUAAACUUUCUUUUUUUCCCUUUGUUAUUUACUUUACCAUUAUUUUAAACGAUAUAAAUUUAAUUAUUAUUUUUAAAAUUAUGUCCAAAUAAAUAUCUCAACUUUCAGUUUAAUAUAAAAAUCUUAUAAGAAAUAUUCAACAUGCUCAACAAUUAACAGUCUUUGUUAAAUAAAAAAAUCUGUUUUUAAUUAAAUUUUGAAUAUUUUAAUUGUAUAGUCUACAAUAAUAAUAAUAAAUAUAACCAUUAGAUUCAAAAUAAUUAAGUAUAUAAUAACAUUUUUAAAAAAUUAUAAAUAUAGCAAAAUCUGUUAAAGUGAUAAAUAUUAAUUUAUGGUGGAUAAUAACAAUAAAUUUUCCUAAAUUUUGUUAAGAUGUUAUUAUAUAUCUAAUUAUUAUUUGUGAAGUUGCGACCAAUUAUAAUUAUGGAAUUAUUUAAGCACGAGGGCCAAACAAAGGGAAAGCAGCCCAAUUCAUUGGCUGGAAAAUGAGCCCAUAUUCUAAAACCCAAUCUGGAAAUCCCAAAUGUGAGUAGAACGCGAAAUUAAUUUCUUAGGGUUAGGGUUUUGACCCUCAGGUUCGGUUUCAUUCUCCAUUUUCGCGUUCUAUUUUCAUCGGCAACGGAAAUUCGUUCAUAUUCUUGGAUUUCCAUGGCGACGCCAGCAGCCAAUGCUCCAGCAAAGAGGAAGCCUGUGUUCGUAAAAGUAGAAGAGCUAAAGCCUGGUACCAGUGGCCACACUCUCACCGUCAAGGUUGUGAGUUCCAAAAAUGUUAAGGUUGUUAAUAAAGGUGGACGAUCCACCAUGCUUACUGCUCGCCCUCAGCAAUUAACUCGAAUCUCUGAAUGUCUUGUUGGUGAUGAGACUGGUUCCAUCGUCUUCACAGCUCGAAACGACCAAGGUGUGUUUCUCUGAUGAUUUUGUUUGAAAGCUUACGUUUUUCUCAUCUUUUGAAUGUAUUGAGUGCUUGCUGAGACGAUUUUUUGUAUGUUUCCAUUUCGUUGGAUGUCAUUUGGUGAUUUUGAAUUCUUCUGGAACAGUUAGUGGUCUUCUUUUUUGUUUGUGGAAGUCCUUGAUAACUGAGAAGUUACAAUAUAGACUGCAAAGAACUCUCCUUUACAGUGUUACAUAAUCUUUUAGAGUUGCACCAAUGAAAAUUUAUUUCACCCUAGGGAUGACCUCCUCUGUGCUGAACCACCGUGGAUAAUAGUUAUUUAAUAGUUAUAUUCUAAUAUAAACAGAAUUUGAAUGUUGAGAUAAUUGUAUUACAAGGAAUGUAAUCAUAAUCAAACAUUGAGAUUCAAGAUAACUUGAAAAUGCGUUUAACAAGGUCUGUAAUAGGAAUACACUUUGGGCAGAACACUUGGGUGUUUUGGAUUGACUUUCUACAUGCUUAAAGUUACUUUUUUUUAACACUUAAAAACACUUCUUUUUAGCCUUUAUGUACUAGUUGCGCAAAGUGAACUACAUUGUCAAAAACAGAACACUAAGAAUUACUGUAGGGUAGGAUAUCUUUUGUUCAAGCACUUGAAAUGAUCCUCAAGGACAGUUAGUGUGUGAGUUUUUUAGUCUGUGGGAUUAGAUGUUACUGGUCAGGAUAGAGCUUCUUUUAUGUUUAUCUCCUUCAAGUCAGGACCGUUGAGAUGGUGGAUUUAGGUUCAUGGGUGUAGACAUACUUAGUCUUCAUGUUGCAUUGUUGUCAUUUUAAUUGCAGAGCCGUUUGGCCCGUUUCUUUAUAUAUUGCCUCUUACUUAGUGAUUGAUAUUUUUUUAUGUGUCUGCUUGGUAUCAACAACCUAUUGCUAUGUAUCGUGUAUAUUAUAGGCGGUAAAAUGCUUGUAUUGGUGGAAGUGAUCUUCAAUCGUUGCUCAUCCUCCCCCCUGCUCCCAAACAAACUUGUGUAUGUUUGUAUGUAAUUAAUGUUUAUUGUGUAAUAUUAUCUAAACGAAUGGUUGUAAACUCUGCAGUUGAUCUCAUGAAGCCAGGAAACACUGUGACCCUAAGGAAUGCAAAGAUUGACAUGUUCAAAGGUUCUAUGAGGUUAGCAGUAGAUAAAUGGGGACGAGUUGAAGUAGCUGAACCAGCCAACUUUGAGGCUAAAGAAGACAACAAUCUCUCACUGGUUGAAUAUGAAUUGGUUAACGUUGAAGAAUGACUUGAAAUUAUGCAGUGUUAAUUAUCAUGGAUUUACUUUCUUUAUUGUGUGGUGGACUGCUAUUUAACUGGUAUACAGUUUCUAUAUGGCAACACAAAAAUCUUGCUGAGAGUAAUAUAAGUUGAUUAUUGAUGUGCCCAACUAUGCUUAAUUUGGAUCUGAUGUGAUAAAGAUCUUCAAAGGCAAAGUGCAAACGUUACUAUCUGGUCUACUUAUUAUUUUGAAAAGUAAAUAGAAUGCUUUACCAAUGUAGCUUUGUUUUGGUCCCUUAUUUCUAUUAACUAUUGGGGUAUUCUGCUAACUUGCAUUUGAGGAAAGGUAUAUUUGAUACAUACAUUGUAGCCUUUGCAUUCAUGGAAAUCGACCCCUUAUCGAUAUACUUUGUCAGAUUUACUUGACUCUUCGUAUCAACUAUUAGGAGAAGUCAAUUAUAUUUUUGCAAUGUUAUUUAAUAUUUAUUAACAAAAAUAAUAAAUAUUCAUCUCAUAGAGGUUCACAACACUUUAUACUUAUUAAGAAAUUGAAGUGAAAGAAUCGACAAAAAUAAGAAAUUGAAGAGAUAAAAUACUUUAUACUUAAAGAAAAUUACACACGAACCACCUGCAAGACAACGAACCAUAUCAUUCGCAUUACCUGAGAGUGAGUAAUCACAACACAACAGACCUUUAAUCUCAGCCAAAAAAUCAUUCAUCUCAUAGAGGUUCACAACACUAAGUCGAAGGACACAAGUAAGAUCAAAACAAUCAAACAAUCACAAUGAGAAAUAGAAUGACACUAGGAAAUAGAGAAAACAGAGACUGGAGCCGUUUGAUAAGGCCAAAGGCUUCCAAAAAUGUUAUUGGCCACUUUGAGAGAACGGGCAUGCAACCCGUAGAUGAGAGAGACCUUGAGAGGUCACGAACAACCCCACCCGCCCCAACAUCCUCCAACCACGAGGCGUCGAUAUUGAGCAUCCACACCCCAACGUUAGGCGGAAUCUAAGAAGCAUGAUGCACCGGGUUCCCCCCUCCUAAGCGAAAAUGGAGCCCCAUCUCCCUUCAAGUGUAAAGAAGAUUCUUCUCAACAGAGCAUCACGAUCAGGCUCGAACCCGCAACGCUUCACCACAUUUCCGUAAUUCCACACAUCCCACAGUAGGAUAGCCGCAAACCCUGUUACGCACCUCGGUCGUAGAAACCACCCUAUAUCAGCAGUUCGACAGACUCCAACAAUUCUUGAAAUCGCCAAAAAGCCCAAAUAAGGAAGGGAAGAAUAAUAAUCAAAUGCUUCUACAAAACUUGCAUCGCAGCCCAUAAAACAUUUCCUACAAAGAAAACAAAGCGGGUUAAUAGAGAUUCCAUUUUUUUACAAAUUAUGGCAAAGGUAGGGAGUCGGAGACAGCGUUCACCCUUAGGGGCACCUCAAGUUUCCAUAUAGCUUUCCAUAAAGGUUUCCAUCUAAAGGGGAGCCAACCCCGUCACGGAACACACCUCCCUCAACAGAAAGGUUUUCAUCAUCACCACGACAACCCCUAACAAGGAUAUUCAGGAUAGUCAUUGCAUCACUUGGGAGAAAAUUUUCGAAGACAGAGGACUUAUUCCACGCCCUAUCAUCAAUAAACAAAUCGUAAACCCCUUAGGAACCAUGGCUCCUAUUGAUACGUAUAUGUGUUCUCAACCCUCACCACAAAGCCAAUGAUUUCGUUAAUAUAAGCAGUGUUUUGAGGUAAAUUUGUUUUAUGAUCAGUUUUGUAAAAUCACAUUCUUUUUUCCUGCUAUAUUUAAUUCGUGAUCAUCACUAUUUUUUGCUAAAACAAUAAAAAAAAAUUAUGUGCAUCAAAAUUACUAUUCAUAUCACGACCAAAUGAAAGUUGUGACGUCUAUAAUUGAUGUAUUACUCUUCUUUUGAUCUUUUUGCAAAGCUCUUUCCUUGAGCCGUAAAGAACCUUCACAAUUUUCACUUAAGUUGAGGGAAAAAAAUGUGAUAAGUCCAAAACUUACCAGAUAUACAUAUACUUGAAAAUUAGAAAACUUGUUCGAAACUCGAUUGGAGGUCUAGAUUUUCAUUUAAACUUUAAAAAUUUUGGGAACUGAUUUUAAAAAUGGUUUUAACAAGAUGCUAUGUUUAAUGAAAAUCUCCUCCAACAAAAACUUUAAUGUUUGAAUCUCUGUUGUGUGUAUUACUAACUAAAAUGGGGAAAUGAUAAACUAAGAAAUUCAACAUCUUAUUAGCAAUGAAGUAUAUGAUUCAAAUCCUCCUCCCACUCCAACAACGCCUCUGCCCCCGAAAUGCAUAACAUAACUUUAAUGAACUAAAUUUCUCUAAUUUGUGUGUGUAGGCCUAUUUCGUUUUAAAUGGGCAAAGAUAAGGAGAUGAUUGUUUCAGAAAUAGAAAUAAAGGUUAAUAUAAAGACUACGAAACAAUAUAAGCAUAAUUGAAACCUACUAAAAUUUGGAAGUACAAUUGAAAUUACAAAAAUGUCACACAAUAGCAAAAUGUGCUAAUUUGUAUAAUGUGUAUCCAUCUUUUAUAAAAUAGUUGAAGAACAUUUGAGCUAAAAUAUCAUAAGCUUUAACAAAUUCAUGAAGCUAAACUAAGCAAGCUGAAAAUUCUCGACAAUCAAGAAUUUGUACAACACCGCAAAAUUUCAAUUCCUUCUCUCAUUCAUGAUUAACUGUCAGUCGAAGUAGUGUCAUGAGACGGAAUCUAUGGAAGAUUUCCUGAGGUAUUGGUGCCUCAAAGUGUUUAACCACCACAGCCAAGGAACGUCCCUUCUCUUGUUUCGAACUCAGUUUACUCAACUUCUUUGAUAAUUCUUCUCCUACGGAGUGGCACAGUCGAAAUGCUCCCAGGAGCGCUGUGAGCUUUCCUCCUCUCUUCUUUCCUUCUCUCGGCGUCAAUAAUCGUGCGUCGGAGUGCAGCGGCUUUGAAUAUCGGUUUCGGUAAGUGUCUAUGCCUGUAGUGAAAAACCCGAGUUUAAAGUUUUAAAAUCCCUUUCCAAUACUACUGUUUCCUUAUUGUUACAGCAUAUGAAACGGCAGUUAAGAACAAGAGACGGCAAUGAGGAAUCCUCUUUCCGAUGGUAAAAGAGAAACCGAUUAAAUGUGCGUGUGUAUGAUGCAUACACAUCAGACUUGGUGUCAUGAAAUUAUAGGAUGCAGAUAGAGGCUAAACAAAUAAGCAGUGCAUGAAUACCGGACAAGAGUUUUACCUCACAAUACGCUUAACCUCAGGAAGAUGUUUAUAACGAUUCUUAACAGCCUCUUGAUAUUCAUGUUUUCUUUUCUCCCUCGGAAGAAGCUGCAGCAAAUAUUAAUUUAGAAGUAAAUUGAUAAAUCCCAAAUGUAUUGAAAGAUAAAUGUAAUUGAAAACAAGAUAAACCCGAUAAAUUCAUGUGGUAGAUGUACUUGGACCAUACCAAUCUUGAGAUCACCUCGCUGUAUUAACAACCAUCUUCUCUAACAACUCAACUAAUCGCUAAUAUGCACUUAAUACACUCCAAUCAAAAGAGAAUUUGUAAAAUAAAAAUAGGGCUGUAAACAUUGACGUAUUCAUUAUCCAGCUCGAGCAAGUGCAGAUACUUGGCAAAAAUAAAGAGAGAGAGGAUUCUUACAACUCCUAAUUGUUCAGAUGCCUUGGCUUUCCAAAGCCGAAGGUUGGUGUCAUCACUCCCUGAUAUCACAUAACUUGCAUCACAGCUGAACCUGACGCAGAACACCCUAAAAAACCAAAAAGGAUGCAGUAACAUCAGCAAAAAAGAACGAUCAUUAUUCAUAUUUGAGCAUUCACCAAUCACAUUAAAUGUAUUGAAACUAAUUGCACAUCGGAAGGCUUCAAUCAAAUGAUAAACCUACAAAACAAAUAAUUAACUUGGACCAAAGGCUAGAAUAAUGGUGCAACCUUUGCAUUCUUUUGGUAUGAUAAAUCUCACGGCUGUGACCCCCGUUAUAUGGAAAGAUUCUUAUCUGCAAAAUUAAUUACAUGAUAGGUUAAAAACAUAACUUGAAAAAUAAGAUACAAAAUGUUGAACAUAACCUGGGUUGGAACUCACUGUUCUAUCGUAUGAGCCAGUAACAAAUUCUCGACCACUUGGUGAAAAAUCAAUAUCCAUUCUGAAAGAAAGUGCUAAAUGUUAACACGAGUUUUACUAAAGCUUGAAGUUAAGGAGUGGCACUAUUUAAUUCUUAUAAACCAAAAUAAAAAGUUUGUUUCAUACACUGCAGAUACAUGAUCUCUGUGCACACAUUUUGCCUCAUCAAGUUUCCUAGAAUCGUAGCUAUAACAGUUGCAAUCUUCAUUUGCCUGGAAAGCAUAGAGUAAGAGGAAUUAUUCUUAAGGGAACAAAGAACAAUUGUAAACAUACUAGAUGGUUAAAAGAAUGACAAGAACAUAAAAAGUUAGACUACUUAUAAAAUUUAAUGAGGCCUGCUAUAAACUAUUAUACACGUAAGAACAAAGAAGUAUUUGAUUAUUAUAUUGUCUGCAUUUUGAUAAAAGCAACAAAGCCAAAAAGCUAAGACAACAUCAAGCAAUAUCAAAUCUUAAAGAUCCAUUCAUGUGCUUACAGCAGUGAAGUUCAUUGGCUCCCUUGGAUUCCAACAAAUAGAAUUAGUUUUUGUCUGUCACAAGAAAGGUACCCAUAAGAAUACACAAAACGAAACAAAAGAUUUCAAAGCAACUCUUUUGACUAACUGCCACCAUCAUACCCUCAUAAUUACUUUCCUUGCAGGGGAUGACAUGCGCAAAUCAUACAAUGCAAUACUUCGAUCACUACAAGAUGAAAAAAAAUAGCAUAGAGGGUUAAAAAUACUCCCAUCAUAUAAAAAUGAAAAUGAAGUGAUCAGCAACACGGAAAAUUUUACUGGAUUAAACACCAUUACUAGUUCCAUAUUGCCCUUUUCAUCCUUUUUCUUUUCUUUUUUUCCUUUGAUAGAGCUAGUUCAAAUCCACACUACUUCAUUUAUGAAGAUGUAAUACAUAUAUUUAAUCACCACAAAACUCCCGACAUCCAUAAUAUCAGAGGUUCUUUUAACUCAGAGGGAAAAGAAAUCGUGUAUUUCCAUGAAUGCCCACUAUCAAUAGGAACUAUUUACUAAAGCAUAAACAACUUAUUGAAUCAAAUAUUCACAGAUCCCUGUCAUGGAGAAGUAGGAUAAAGAUAAUGUAAUAAUGCCCCAAGUAACUUUCACUCUGACCACGAAAAAAUUAAAUUAAAAAAAAUAAAAAAGCAAAAACAGAACCUAUUAGCUCAAAUUUUGUUUACGGUCCAAAAAUUGAUGCAACAAAAUGAGGGGCGGGGGGGGGGGGGUUGGAAAUAGUGGAAGGACAGAUCUUGUACAACAGAAAAAUGCAUAACAUGUAUUGACCAUUAUUUUUCUGUUUUAGUUCAAAUUGUGCAAGGUUCAACGAUCCACCCAUCAACCUAUGGCUAUGCUCAAAUUGAUAUGCAUGGACCGUUAGCAAGUAAACUAGCAUUUGUGAUCAUACAUACCUAGCCGACGUUGCCAGGACAUUGGGUUCCCCAGGAUUAAAACGAACAGAGAUAACUGAGUCUGUUCCCCACUCAUAACUGCUCACUGGUUGAGACCUACCAAAAAAAAAAAAAACUUCAAUAUAUAAUAAGGAAAAGAAAGUGCCAAGUGAAAUGAAUGGUGAUGAAUACCUGUUGUGAUCCCAGAUAUCUAAUUGAGCACCAGCAGUAGCAAAAAGAUUUCCAUCCCACUGAUGAUCAAUAGCCCUAUAAUCAGAAACUAAGGGCUCAAAAUUCAAAAAGACCUUUAAAUAAAAAGAAGCAGAAAAAAAGGGUUAUAGCAUUGUCUAAAAUUAGUAGCUUACCAGAAAGCAUUCUUCCAGACAUAAACUGCCAGAGGCUGAAAACAUGGUUUUCAUAAGGUUAGUUGGGAAUAACACAACAAAGAUAACUCAAGCAUUACAACGCAUGGAUAAUUCAAGUGCACACCUCGGAUGAAUUAUUUGAAGUUUCAUAUGAAUUCAGAGUGGGAACUGGAACAUUCCAUAGCCUGACACUAAAACAACAAACAAGAAAAUUUCGGUCCCAAGUAAAAAUUUAUAAAAGUCUUAACAUUCUACAAUGCAUCAAAUAAUGUAAUUACAAAAUUGUGUCUUACGUGCAAUCUGUCCCACAUGAUAUCAAGAUGCGUCCAUCGGUAGAUGCAGUCAAGCCUCGAACAGCACCUUGAUGUCCAGGAAACUGAUAAACAGUUCGCCUAUAACGUAUGUGGGUCAGCAUUUUUUUUUUUCAGAUUUUUAAUUGUAGCCUAAUUUGUGUCAAGCUUGUUGACCACUAUAAAAACAGAACUGCAUAGAACUAAAUGUUAAAAACCAUCAUCUUACCUGUUUGCAAUAUCCCACAGACGAAUAUCUGUAGACAUAAAAAUCAAUUAUUGAUGGAGAUAUAAAACAACAAAAAUGCAAGACAAAUUAAUAUCAUUGUUUUAAUGGAACAAGAGCAUUGCAGCACUAUUUACUGAAUGGAGACUACAAAUUAAAAUGAAGAAAAAGUAAAGCUAUUGCAAAUUAAGUAAAAAAUUCUAGAAUAUAAACACCCAGCAACAGUACAACUAUAAAUGGUUACCAGAACAGCACAAGAAUUAAACACAAACACACAAAGAAGUAAAUUUCCCAAAAACUUCCGACCAAACUUCUGUGAACUCAACAAAAAACAGAGGAAGAAAUCAUAAGGAAGAAGAAACUAACAAUGUUAACCUAGCAGCUGAAUCAUUGAAUAAUUUACCUCCAUCCAUCGAACCGGAAAAUAUCCCUUUCAAGUGAUUAGGAUUCUUCGCCAUACAUGAAACGGAGUCCAUAUGCCCAUCCAUUGCUCCUAUAAAUGGUUUUGCAAACAUCUAAACAUAGAAAACAUAAGAAUCUUUACUAAUUGAUUGAACUUUCCCAACAACUCGGCAACUUGAAACAAUGAUUCAAAUCCCAACAUUACCUUGUCCAAUUUCGCAGCAUUAACAGCACGGACAUACUCAACCGCCUUCUCUUGCGUACGGAGACUGGGGUCGAAGUUCCGAAAUACCCUCUAAUUGAAGCAAUACAGAGUCAAUACUUGAAGCAAGAUGAAAUCGAACAAUAAAUAAAUAAAUAAGUAAAUCCCGCCGGUUAAUCACCUGGAGGUCAUGGCUUCGUUCUCGAGUGAAUUCAUCAGUAGAGCGGGAUAUCACCUUGACCUUCAUCGUUGAGUAAAACCCUAACUAGGGAAAGAGAGGAGAUGGAGAAACGAGGUUGAAGGAGUUAAACCCUGCACUGAUGGGCCAAAUUAAGAACCAUCAGUUAAGUUUGUGAACCGAACCAACCGACUCCGGUUCAUAACGGCCGGUCAGUUUUUAACCGAUUUUGAUGCGGUGGCGAGAUGGAGGCUUUUGGAAGAAAAAUAGAAUUGUUGAACGGUGAAGAUGAAGGCUUGGGGAACUGGAGAGAAGCUGGCCGUGAACGUGGAGGCGAAGAGGAGCAGCUGAAGACGAAGAAUUUCGUGGAUGAGAUGAACGGCAGCUGAAGAUGGCCGCGC
rnacentral:lncRNA from 1 species